AACUUGGCAUACUGACCAGAAAUGAAGAAGAUGAUGCUGGGGUCAAAUGGCUAAAUGGAAAUGGCUGAAAUUUGGAGGAGACUCAUGAUUUAGGCAUAUGAAGGUAUUGUAAAAGUUUCAUACCACUUGCACAAAUAUAAAUGGUACUUCCUUCACAAUGCUCCAAUCUGGACAGAAUCUUAAAUAAUUCACUGAGGAAGAAUGGAGUGAUGGCAGGGGCUAGUUUUUGGUGGACAAGGAUGACUAAUCAUAAUGAACUACUCUGCAAAAUUUCAGCUCAAGGGACACAAGGAUAUUGUGCUCAAUUUUUGAACUGGGGAACUUAAUCUCUUGAUGGAAUUGAUGAAUAUAUGCAUAUGAGAAGCUCCACAAAUUAUUUGGGAUUUUGCGUGGCUACCAAAAUGGUAGUUCCUUUGGAAAGGCCCCAAAUUGGAAUAUUGGCUUUAAAUAGGAAAAGGACAUUUUUUCCCUACUCAGUGAUAGCCAAUAUUUUAUGAGAGCUUCAUAUGAUCACAAAGAAUAUCUCUGCUAGUUUUCAUGACCUUGGGAUAUGGAUAGAUAUUUUCUUGGAUUUAAUUCCUCAGAAAGGAAGAAACAAAAAUUAAUUCUAGAAAAGAAAUAUUGCAUAAGACUUGGCAAUAUUUUUGCACAUCUGGGGUCUAUGAGGGAAUAAUGAGCUUUGGGAGAAAUUGGAGGAUCAACAGAGCAAGGGAAAUGAUGGCUCCUUUGAAAACACAACGACAUGAUUCCCAAUUCCAAUACAUCAGAGCUAGGGUUUCCAAGAGGUUCGGGGUUUUCUCAGCGAGAACAAACUGGCACAAGGACAUGGGAAAUGCACGGAGACGUUGAGGAUAGACUGGGUUCGCCUCGUCAUUGGCCAAAUUUGAGAGGAAAAAUCCGAGAGAGAGAAGCUAGGAAGGAAUAACAACACAAAAAUCGAUAACCCGAUUUUUGGGGUGUUACACCCAACCAGUGCCCAGGACAUGCUAGACACGUCCAAAGCACCCCAGAGCGCGCCAGCAUGCCGUGGUAUGCCAAAACUGCACUCUGGACGCGCUACAGAGAACUCCAAGGUGGGGGCGACGCCCUUGACCAGUUCCAGCCUCCCCCGAGGUGCCCAACUUCUUCCCCGACAACCCCUCUGCAUCAGGCGACCAUCAGGGCCCCUCCUCUCCCGUGCUAAGAGCUGGUUCGACGCGUGCCCACGUGCACCAGAACCAUCCAGAGAUGCGCAUCCACUGAUGCUUGUCUCCCCUCUCUCUUCCUUCCCCACAGUAGGUUCUGGCAGUACAAAACCACGUCCUGAGACCGUGAUUUCAACCACAGCUCCUCUCCGCACCGCCAUGCGCACCACGGUGAGUCACCAACGCUCCCGAAUCAGCUCAUCGUCGCGGGCCUAUAAAUAUCCCUCCCCCUCGCUCCAGCACCCCUCAAGCAUCAUCACAGCUACCUCUAGCACCUCCCUAGCCACCCAAGCAAGCGAGCAGAGCCCCGGUGCUCGAGAUCGACCGAGGCCCCUCCGCCUCGGAGCUCCGGUCGAUCUCCGGCUACACGUCGGCUCCUGCAUCCCUCUGCCCACCAAGCCACUUCCCUUGACACCAGGGAUCUUUCCCCCAUCUAUCCCAAGCUAAUCCGUGCCCCUAGCUACCCCCUCCACCUUCGCCUGAAACUCCUUCGGUGCGGCUUCCUUACCGCCGGUGAACCCGAGCCACUCCGCCGUUGUCUCGACCACCAUCAGGUUGGCGAUGACAAGCCGGACCCAUUUCCGUCUUCGUUGGAGCCCGAGGAUGUCGGUAGCCACACCGACGUGCUCCUCCUCCUGUCUGGCCAAAGGUAGGAGAGGACCCCGACAAGUGUGCCCCACCUAUCGUUGGCCCAUCUCUCUCUCCCUCGCUGCCCGCAGCCGCUAACCGCACGGGCCCGCGCGUCAGGUUCAAACCUCACGGCGCGCGCGCGUGUGCAGGCGAGCUGCUGGCCUUUGGUCCGGCCCAGUCCCAGGCCUAGCCAGGCCAGGGACUGUAGCCCUUUUUCUUUUAUUUAAAAGCUUGAAUUUCAAAUAUUUUUAUAAAAAGAUUUAACCAAUGUGAAAAUAUGACUUUUCCACUGUCAAUCUUCAUUAAAAUGUGUAGUAUUUAAUAGAACCAUUGGUUGAAUUUUUGCAGCAACUAUUCCGUUUUAUAAAAAUAAAAGGAUUAAUUUGGAAUAGUUUUGCUUUUGUUUAGUUGAUUUUAAAAAUAUUCCUUCAUUAGAUUUAUCAGAAAUAACCAACAUUUUAAAAAUGACUUUGUGAUUUGUUUCAGAGUGGGCUACUUAUUAUUUUAUCUUUAUACGACGAUAGAAAACCCUGUGACGAAGGAGUCGGAGCGGAAGACCUCGAAGACCCCAGAUACCUAGCUGACCAAGGCAAGUGGUCCUUUGACCAUGACUGAGCAUAUGUUAUAUUGCAUGCUAGUGUAGCAAAUAUUUCCGUUGCAUAUGAUCAUAAGUGCCGGUAAAUCAUUGAUGUGAUGUUACCGAUGGCUUCUUCGGAGCACAUGCAUUGAGCUUGAUCCUACCACCUAUGAGGGUCAUUCUAAUAUCAUGUCAAAAAGUAAAGCUAGAAGUAGUAUUAGCAUGAACAUGUUGAUGAAAUAAAUCAAUGGUUAUGAAAAUCCCGUCGGGUGCCACUAAUGUUCGAGGGUGAUGAUGAGUUAGGUGGCCACUUUGGUGAAGUGGUGCACCGGGUAUUUGUGUGAGUAUGGUUUCGGAAAUGGGAAUAGAUUUAUGAUGUGUCGACCGUCCCAACCUUACAUGUACGACCACAUUACCCCUUAUGGGACGGGGUUGUGUUGAUUACUCUGGUCGGUACUUGCAAAGAGCCACAUUACUAGUGGCGGGAGUGAUAUGUGGUCACUCUCAUGAUGGGGUCAUGCCAGGUAGGGCGACUAUGCCGUUUUUACGUGUUCCAGGCACACCGUUGGUCCCCGCAUGGUUGAUACCGUCGAGAUUCGAUGCUUGUAAGACGUACAACAUGUGGGCUGGGUACCAAUCGAGUGAACCUGUUUGUCUAGUAUCGUUAGGGGAAAGGCAUUGAUCGGGUACUUACCUCGGGUAUGAUAUAUACCGCGAGUCGUGGAUGACACAGAAAUUUCCCGGAUCUCGUGGGUCCAGCGUACUACCUCUGCAGAGUGUAAAACUAUUCGAAUAGCCGUGUCCAUGAUCAAGGACAGUUGGGUGGUGCUGCUUAAACUAUGUCUAGUCGUUUCCGCAUAAACUCAGUGUGUGUGAGUAUGUGUUAAAUGGUGUUAUUAUGGAAGAUUUUAUAUGACCAAGUUUGGUGACUUGGCAUAUAGGGUGAACCCGGAUGGUUCAACCCUUGACAGAUAUAUUGAUAUCUGUAGCCUGUUCUUCAAAAGUAGUUUACUUAUGAUGCAUACCUAUGAUCAUGUUUAUUUACCACCAAGAGAUAUCCACCAAAUAAGUAUGUUAUUGUUAUCCUUCACUUGCAUUGUUCACAUCAUGGGCUGUUUGCGAGUACAUUCAAAAGUACACAUUGGCUUGCCACUGGUUAUAUUAUUGACCAGACAUGGAAGGAUCGGAGUUUGGAGAUGAGUACGUCUUCAGAGACGCCCCUGCGAACUAGGACGAUUCCCAGUCAGAAUGCGUGUUGGUGUAGGCUGAUGGCAUGGGCACCCGCUUAGCCCUAAGAUUUCCGCUACUAGUUGUAUUAGUGUGAUUUGGCCUUAUAGGCCCUACCUUGUGAACUUGACCAUUCAGUCACGUGAUGUAAUAGUUCGGUACUUGGAUGUAAGACUCUUAAUACUCAGUAUCUGUGUGUUCGGUGAGCAUUGAUCUCUGGGAUCACUGAGCACGUUCAUUCGGUGAUUUCGACUCAUAAGUCGGGGUCCCCACAGAGCUGGUAUCAGAGCCAUCCUGACUAUAGAAAGCCUUAGGUAGCAUGGACGAUAGCCAAGACGAUUAGUGCGCAUAGACCUUAACCUGAGAUUUUCGCACCCACUAAAAACUUUCUAACCUUCUUCACUACAUCUUGUGGAUGCCCUCCAUACGUGAGAUGCUUCUAGAGAUGGGCUUUCCCCUACUUUUGGGUUAUAACCUCGAGAAGUGCCAAGUACGCCGCACACCCAUAUUCCUCUACCAUGAGAACUGGGUCAACACCGACACCAAGGAGUAUCACGUGGAUGUGAUAGUGAAGGCUACUGACUCCCCGACUAGCUGGUUCUUUGAAGGACCACAUAUGGAGGAUCUGAUGUUGGCAGUGGAGACAGCCGCACGAGAGGCGCUCGUGCGUCUCGGCAAUAUUCUUUCCGAGAUGGCUAACGAGCCAGCUACUCGUCACCUACCUUUUGUUAAGGAUGGGNNNNNNNNNNNNNNNNNNNNNNNNNNNNNNNNNNNNNNNNNNNNNNNNNNNNNNNNNNNNNNNNNNNNNNNNNNNNNNNNNNNNNNNNNNNNNNNNNNNNCAACAUGUGGUGCUUGUUUAGAACCUUUUUGCUAGCCAAAACUUUGUACUAAGUAGAGAUACUACUUGUGCAUCCAAAUCCUUGAACCAAGUUUCUUCCAUGAGAGUCCACCAUACCUACCUAUACAUGGUAUUUCACUUCCAUUCAAAUUAAAUUUGCACGUGCCACCUCUAAACAUUCAAAUAAACAUCCGUUUUGUGUGCUCGUAUCGCUCAUGGAGCGAUGGGGCGGUAAUUAUCUUCCAUGCUAAGCAAUUUAUUCUCAUGAUGAGUGUUUAUUCACUUGUCAUUGCAUGAGAUAGGUUGGUAAAAAGGAUGCCCAGUCAUGCAUAAUACAAAAAUAAAUAAACAAGAACUCCCACUAUAAAGUUGAUUGUUUGGAUGGUACUCGUGGAUACGGCUAGCAAUGGAACAUGUUUGAGUGGUGGAGGUUGAGUAAAAUUUCAAUUCUGUUUGGGAACCACCAAUAAUGUGAUUAGCAUGGAAGCUAUUGAAAACUCUGUUGUGACGUUGACAGGAAAGGCACACCACCCAAAAUUACAUAUUCAUCUCUAUUUUAAAACAAUGAUCGCUGGCACUUCUACAAAUUCGUGCUUCCCUGUGCGAAGGGACAAUCUAUUUACUUUCAUGUUCUUACUUUUAAUGUUGAGUCAACUUCUUAUUACAACCUCACUCUAUUAUUUGGAAAACACCAUGUGGUGGGGAAUGAUUCAAACAUAUAUAUCCACUCGAAUAUAUUUGAUCAUGAUUCAUUACUUUUUACAAUUAUCUUUGUGAUAAAUAUGUUGGGAGGCGAAACAUUAAGCCCCAAUCUUUCUCUAUGUUUGAUGGAUGUUAUAUGUUCUAAAAAUAUGCUUUGAAUAUUAACAAUCAUAGAAUACCAUAUGAUAAUUGAGUAUGUGGAGCUCUUACUUAGACUAGAUGAUGCAUUGACAUCGUUUGAUGACUAAGAACAUAUGAUGUUGAGUUUCAAGAGAAUGCAUUAUUUGAACCAUGACAUGUGAUUUAGUUGCUACUCAAGCAUGAUGAUUUUUAUGAAAAAGUUGCUGGUUAUGAUGCUACAAAGAGUGAUUGGAAUUAUCAUUGAUCUAACUUAUAUACUAUACUAGCAUUCACACUUCAUGAAUUAUUUCUUUUAUCAUUUACCUACUCGAGGACGAGUAAGAAUUAAGCUCGGGGAUGCUGAUACGUCUCCAGCAUAUCCAUAAUUUAUGAAGUAUUCAUGACAUAUUUUCCUAUGUUUACAAUACUUUUAUAUGGUUUUGAUGCACUUUAUAUGAUUUAUUUAGAACUAACAUGCACUUACGCUGUUUUCACCAAAAUUACCAUGGUGAUGUUUUGUGCAAAAAAUGUAAGUUCUCGGAAUUGCCCGAAACUUUUUUAUAAUUUUUAUGGAGGAAAUAAGAAAUAUUGGAGUGAAGAACCACGAGAGGGGAGCCACUUGUGGGCUACAAGCCAAUAGGGUGCCCCCUAGGCCGCGCCCUGAUGGAUUGUGGGCCUAUGUGGCUGGUUUGGUGUGAUUCCAACGGUGAAAAAUACUAUAUAUACUAGAAACCUAGAAAUAAAGAGAGAACUUCCACUCCACUGCCAUAACUCUGUGUAUCAACGAAAAACACAUCUAGAUCCAUUCUAGUACCCUGCUGGAGCAGGGAAAUCAUCUCUGGUGGACACUUCAUCAUCUCGGCGGAGGCCAUGACAAGGAGGGAGUGCUUCACCCUCGGCGAUGAGGGUAUAUACAAGUAGCUAUGUGUUCAAUCUAUCUCUCUCGUGUUCUUGAGAUGGCGCGAUCUUGAUGUAUUAUGGGCCUUGUUAAUCUAGUUAGAUCAUAUGAUGUUAUUACCUUGCUAGCUUUUUCUUGAUGAAUUGAAUCUUUCCCUUUAUGAUCUCGUUAUUUGGAUUGAAUAUUUUGGUUUGAGAACACUUGAUGUAUGUCUUCCAUGCGGAUACCGUAGUAAAAAUUGGGGUAUUCAAGUGAUUCACUUGAUAUAUGUUAUGGCAUCAAAUUGCGGAUAUCGUUGACCUUGGGAUCUAUGCAUAGGGGUAGAUUGCAUGUUUUAAUACUAUGUUCUCCGAUAGAAAUAUUGGGGUGCCUCUUGAAGUUCUUUGUGUUGGAUUGAAUAUGAUAGAUCUGAAAUUGUUUGAUUUUUGUCGCAUAAUUUACCCAUGGAUUCUUAAGGUCACAUUGGAGUAUCUAGGUUGCAUUAGGGUGGAUUGAUAUGUAUCAUGGGUGUUAUUCUAGUAUGAUCUCUAGGGCCGUUUGUGACACUUAUAAGAAUAGCUCAAAAGAUUGACCAGAAAGAAUAGCUUUGAGGUGGUUCUACUACCUACACCAAUUUCAUCUUAUUAUUCUCCGCUAGAUAGGAACUUUGGAUUGAUUCUUUGUUGCAUGUUGAGGGAUGAUCAUAUGAUUCAACUAUGUUAGCAUUGUUGAGAGAUUGCACUAGUGAAAGUAUGAACCCUAGGCCUUAUUACAAAUCAGUUAUACAACAUUUUUCUCGCUGUUUUACACUUCAUACCUUGAUGUUUUUAUAUAUUCAGAUUACAAACACCUAUAUCUACUAUCCAUAUUACACCUGUAUCUACAUCUCUUUCCCAAACUGGUGCACCUACACAAUUUUCCAUUUAUUGGGCGUGUUGGGGACACAAGAGAGUUUUUGUAUUUGAUUGCAGGGUUGUUUGAGGGAGACCAUUUUCAUACUACAAAUCCCACGGAUUGAGAAACGUAGGUCAUCCACUUGACGGGAAAUUGUUAUUGUCCUACAAAACUCUGCGCUUGGAGGCCCAACAUAGUCUACAAGAAUAAAGUUAUGUAGUAGACAUCAAACACUUUUUUGGAACCAUUGCCAGGUAGGUGAGUGCUUGAAGGUAUAUGUUUAGAUAUUGCCAUUAAAUAUUUUAGUUUCUUGUUUUAACUAGUUUGGUUUUAGAAAAACAAAGAAUUAGGUUGCCUCAUUUGCUUCAUCUCUAUAAUGUCUUUCGUCAAAAUGACGGUUCGGAAAAUUGUGCUCAAUUCCUAGAGGAAUAAUUUAUGGAAAUGCUUAAUGUGAAACCCUUGAAUGAUGAGCAUGAUAAAAAUAUUGUUGGUAUGAAUUCUCUCAAUAUCCAUGAUGCUAACGUUUAGGUUGCCACAAGCUUGGAUAUGCUAUGUUUGAUGAAGAUGCUAUUUUUAGUCCCCCAAGUUUUGAUGAGCAAAUUUAUUAUGAGGAGAUCAUGCCUCCUAUCUAUCAUGAUUAUUAUGAUUACAUUUAUGCUAUAAAGAAUGUGGAUAACCAUGAAACUUGUCUUCAUUAUUUUAAAUUUAACAUGGAGUAUAUUAAUCAAGUAUCUCAUGAUAGUUAUUUUGUUGAGUUUGCUCCCUCUACUAUGAAUGAUAAGAAUUUUUCUUGUGUGGGUAGUAAUGAAAUUUUUUAUGCUUGCGCAUCAUGAAAAUAAUGCUUUAUGCGAUUUAUAUUGUUGAAUUCAUUUAUGAUGCUACUGAAGUUUUUUAUGAGGGAGAAACAUAUGCUUGCAGUAAUUGCAAUAAUAUCAAGUUUCCUUCCUAUGUGUUGAAAGUUUUGAAGUCAUGCUUGUUUUGCCUUCCUAUGCAAGUUGAUUAUAGCUACAAUAAAUUGUUUGCUUGCAAAAUACCUAUGCAUAGGAAGUGGGUUAGACUUACAUUUUCUUGUCAUGUGAUUCAUGAUGCUCUCUUGCAUGCCUUAGUUACUACUUUUCAUACGAGCAUCAUUGAAAUCAUCAUGCCUAGCUAAAAUGUAUUAAAGAUAAGCACUUGUUGGUAGACUACCCAAGACUUUUUAUUUAUGUUUUUGUGUGUUCACAUGAUUAAUCUAGUGUGGUAAUCAUGUUUUAUAGCAUUUAUAUCAAUAAAGUGUCAAGUAAAGCCUUUGGGAUAGUGUGGAUACUUGUUUGUUUGCUUGUGUGCAAAAAAGAGAAACUAUUGCGUCAAGUAUAUGAAUUAUAUGAUUUUAUUGGAGAGUCAAAAAAUUCUGAUUUUUUUUACGAAAUUUGUCAUGCAAAUUAUUUUCGUUUUCUUAUUUUUCAGAAUGUUUAGAGUCAGGGAAGAAUGGUGUCCAUUCAGAUCUUCACGGACUAUUCUGUUUUUGAGAGAUUCUGUUUUGCAUGCAUAGUUUGCUUAUUUUAAUAUUUACAUAGCUUAUAUUUGGUGAUAUAAAUUAUGGGAAUGCCAUGAUAAAGUAGGAAUCAUGUGAGAAUAAUUAUGAAUCUUGUCAUGAAAACAAAUAAGUGAAUGAUUGAUGACCCACAAGUAUAGGGGAUCUGUCGUAGUCCUUUCGAUAAGUUAGAGUGUCGAACCCAACGAGGAGCAUAAGGAAAUGACAAGCGGUUUUCAAUAAGGUAUUCUCUACAAGCACUAAAAUUAGCGGUAACAGAUAGUUUUGUGAUAAGGUAAUUUGUAAUAGGUAACAAGUAACAAUUCUAGCUAACGUGCAACAAGGUGGCCCAAUCCUUUUUGUAGCAAAGGACAAGCCUCGACAAACUCUUAUAUAAAGAAAAGCGCUCCCAAAGACACAUGGGAAUUUAUGUCUAGCUAGUUUUCAUCAUGCUCAUAUGAUUUGCGUCGUUACUUUGAUAAUUUGAUAUGAGGGUGGACUAGUUCUUGGGUGAUUCCCUUACUUGGAAAAACCUCCCACUUAUGAUUAAUCUCUCUCCCAAGCAUCCGCAACUAUGAAAUAGGAAUUAAGAUAAAUCUAACCAUAGCAUUAAACAUAUGGAUCCAAAUCAGCCCCUUACGAAGCAACACAUAAACUAGGGUUUAAGCUUCUAUCACUCUACCAACCCAUCAUCUACUUAUUACUUCCCAAUGGCUUCCUCUAGGCCCAAAUAAUGGUGAUGUGUCAUGUAGUCGACAUUCACAUGACACCACUAGAGGUGAGAAAACAUAUAACUUAUCAAAAUAUCGAACGAAUACCAAAUACACAUGAUUACUUAUAACAAGACUUAUCCCAUGUCCUCAGUAACAAAUGUAACUACUCACAAAGAAUAUUCAUAUUCUUGAUCAGAGGAGUAUUAAUAAUCCUUAAGGAUCUGAACGUAUAAUCUUCCACCAAAUAAACCUACUAGCAUCAACUAUAAGGAGUAAUCAAUACAACUAGAAACCCACAGGCACUAAUUUGAGGUUUUUAGACAAAGAUCGGAUACAAGAGAUGAACUAGGGUUUGGAGAGGAGAUGGUGCUGAUGAACAUGUUGAUGGAGAUUGACACCGUCCCAAUGAGAGGAUCGUUGGUGAUGACGAUGGCUCCGAUUUACCCCUCUCGGAGGAAAGUUUCCUCAUACGUCCAUUUUGCAUCAUGCUUUCAUGUUGAUAUUUAUCGCUUUUUGGUAUGUUAUUACACUUCAUGGUACAAUACUUAUGCCUUUUCUCUCUUAUUUUGCAAGGUUUACAUGAAGAGGGAGAAUGCCGGUAGCUGGAAUUCUGUCCUGAAAAAGGAGAAAGUUUGAGAUACCUAUUCUGCGCAACUCCAAAAGCCGUGAAAAUCAACGACGAUUUUUUUGGGAUUUAUAAAACAUACUGGGCCGAAGAAGUACGAGAGGGGUGCCAGCAGGAGGCCACAAGCCUGCUAGGCGCGAGCCCUCCUGGCCGGGCCUAGGGGGCUUGUGGGCUCCCACUUGGCCCUCUGGCUCCCCCCUUUUCCUACAAGAAGGGUUUCAUGCUGGAAAAAAUCAAGAGGAGGCUUUUCGGAGGAUUCGCCGCCGCCACGAGGCGGAACUUGAGCAGAACCAAUCUAGAGCUCCGGCAGGACGAUCCUGCCGGGGAAACUUCCCUCUCGGAGGGGGAAAUCGUCGCCAUCAUCAUCACCAACACUCCUCUUAUCGCACCCAGUUUUUUCUCUUCCUAACUAAUUAACUUAUUUCAAAAAUUAGGACCAAUUAAUUUUUUUGUGAAUGCUUGUGAUGCUUGGAGUGACUAUUGUUUCCCUGCUUGCUUGAAUGCAUGUGAUUGAUCCCCCAAUAAUUCUUGCCAUCCUCCAACUCACCUCCUCAUCCCAUGUUCUCCUGCCUAAUGAUCAUGCCAUGUGUUUAGGACAAAUAUAUAUUUUUACCAAAUAUUAUUUUCACCAAAAUGCAUUUCCUUGAAUUAAACUUUCAAACCCCGUGAGAUGAGACUUGUACUACAAGUCCUCAAAUUGGGGAAUUUAUUUUGCACCAAUUAUUUUAUUUAAAACCUAUUAUCAAAAUGUCUUCCAAAAACCAUAAUAUUAUUAGUUUAAAACUUAUUUUAUUAUUUUACUUAAAUGCGUGGCUGUGAGGCCAGAAAUGGUCUCCUAUGAAGGAAAAUUAUGUUUAUUGCCUUCAAAAUAUUUAAGAAAAUUUAGGGAAACUCAGUGGAUAUAUUUAUUCCAUAUAUAUGAGUUUCAACACAUGGUGAUGUUCAGAAUAUUGGGCAAACCCCUCCAAAACCAUUCCUGCCUAUUUCAAGCUUUUGAAAUAUUUCUAUAAGAAAUAUUCUCAAUAAAUUCCAGUAAAAUUCCAGCAUGUCAUCUAUGAUAUUAUUGAUGACCUUGCCAAGUUUCAUCUCAAUACAAGUUGAUUUGACUCCCCUAAUUAUUCUAAAACCCUAACUGUCCAGAUUCAAAUUUGAGCAACUUUACAUUGGGACGUGUCUCCUAUUGUCCUCAAAUUUGGUGGACAUGUUCUAAUACUCCAAUAAGGCAUCCACAUCAAGUGGUACAUCAAGGAGAAUAGAAGAACUUUCCCUAAGACCCUCAAAAGCCUCUCUGUUGAUUUCUGACUUUGGUAAACUUUACAUUAUAAAGUUUCUCCAAUUGACCUCAAACUUUUUGUGCAUGCCUUAUUGCUCAAAUAAUGCCCCUAGAGCUAAUAUUGGAUUUGUGGGAAUUGAUUUGAAUAGGGUUGCAAGCAGAAAGCCAUUUCUGCCCAUUUCAAGGGUUUUCCAAGUCUACAUUGGAAAACUUCUCCAACAAUUCCCAAAUUUGGUGUGCAAGCUUAUUUUCAUCUAUUAUUUGAUCCUGUUAAGUUUCAUAGCCAUUGGAAUCCAUCUGGUAGCCCAACCACAGAUCAAACACCUUGUGUGCACUCACUAAAUUGGCUUCUUUGACCCCUUCCAGUUUUACCCUUGAGCUCAAAUUUCUACCACAGCUAUCUCUAGUUGCAUUUUACCUCCAGUAACAUUCCCAUGGCCACUGAUCAAUUAUUGGAGAAGGACCCUUUGUAACUACUUCUCUUUUUCACCCUUGGCAGCACUGUUUUAUCUCUAUUUCCAUAUUUCUGCUUAACCCAAGCCUCCCAAUUCUUUCUAGAGCAUCUCUAGUAUGCCAAUGCUUCAUUUCAAGCCAAGAUAUGGCAUGCUCAUGUGGAGGAAAUGAGAAGCACAUCUACAAGUUCAUUUCUGGCUGAAACAUAGCUUUGUACAACAAGUACUAGCCACCCCCUGUGCUUGAUCUCAAACUUGGCGGUAUUGUAGUCCUUUCAUAGAUUACACUGCCAGACAUAAUGCUUUCCCAAGACUCCCCAUUUGAAACCCACUCUCCUUAACUCUAAGUUUGUUGUUGCAAACCUAACAACAGUCAAACCCGAGUCAAAACUAGUCCUCUUGGGUUCAAACUCCACCAGUGCUUCAUGGCACGCAUGCCUUGCAUGUUUGACACCUUGGCCUGGCCAAGGGGUGGCCCAGGACUCCAAGUGGGGUGGUGACCACCUCCCGGGUGUGCAGAAACGGUGCUGUGCACCUUGUCUUCUUUCUCCAGGGCAUGUCCAGCCGUUAAAUGAUGUCUCAGAGCACCAGGGCAUCUCCCUUGACUGGUCCAAGCUCUUCCCCAACACCAGGAUGCAGCCAAGGUGGCUCAGGCACGCGUGGCCGCCAUGCCCAUAGAGCACGAGGGAGCAUCCGAGAUUUCUCUCCUCUCCCCCUGUCCAUAUGGCCUCCCCGAGCGCCCUGAACCCUCUAGAUCAAACCCCCUCCUCCCUAUGAGCCUCCUGAACCUCCCCUUCUUCCCUCUUGAGCUCUCCUCCCCUUCAAUGGCCACCUCGGCUCCGCUUCGGCCGAUCUUGAGUUCAAGCUCCCUCGGCUCUCCCUUCUCUUCUAGCUCUUCCCGGAGCAUGCCAAGCCCUCGUAGAUCUUCCCUACAACCUCCCCGCUCUCCUUGCCCAUCUCUAGGUGGCCGGAGAUGCCGCCUCCGUGGCCGCCAUUGCUAGGGCCAUUUCGGCCGGUGCAACCCUCGGCCUAGUGCCCCCCGGCGGGAGUGAGGCAACCAGGGAGGUGCGGCUAGGUCCGACGAGCGCCCCGGUGGCCGGGCCGUCGGGAAGCCUGUAGCGUCGACGAGCCUCCUCGAGCCCUCUGCCUCCACACAGCUGGAGGUUGAAGACGACGUCAUAGGUCGGGCCCGAGUGUCAUCGUCCAGGUGGGGGAAGCUGACGGGUGGCCCCGCCCCGUUUAGUGGUCGCGUCCUGGCCGUAGGCCGCCUCCUCGUGCGGAAGGCGUAUUGCCCGCAAGGCGACUCCUGUGUGGCCCCUCGCUGGUGGCCCGAGCCACUGGGCCGGCCCGAAGGCCUAUCUGGGGCCGGUGGCACAAGAAAACUCCCCGAGAGGCUGAGUUUUUCUCAUUUUCCUUUUCUCCAAAACUUAUAAUUUCCCUCAUAAAUUCAUACUAACUCCAAAUUGCUUGAUUCAAAUUUCUACAGGUUCCUAAAUUCAAGCUCUAUCCACAUAUGUGCUUUGCACAUUUUCCCAAGAAGAUUCUCUAUAGUGUUGUUACUCAAAAUCCAAAUCUAGAUAUAAAUGCCCCAACUUUCAAAAUUCCUAGCAGAUUCAAAUCAACUCCAAAUGGAGUGAUUCCAAUUCCUAGGGCCUUCUAAAACCUUGCCCUAUUUUUGAAGCCUUGGUCAAUAUUUUUUUGUGUGACUUACUUUUGUUUCAAUAAAUAAAUAGCUUCCUAUUUCUAUUUAUUCCAUAUUAGAAAACUCCUAGAAUAUUCUUAUCAAAUCUAAAUCGAGUGAAUCAACCUCCUAAAUAUUUCUAAAAUCAUGCUCUGUUUAUUGAGUGCCUCCACUCAUUUUUAAUAGGAUAAUUUCUGUAGGCUUCUUCAAUAAUCACCUAUUGCUCUUUCCAUCCAUUCAAAAACCCCUGAAGAUCCAAACCCCCUUGGCAAAGAUUCACGUAUUUUUCUUAUGACCAGAGAGGUCGAGGAAAAAUAAAACUUCUAUUUUUGUGGCGCUUUUAUUUCUGCUUGUUGUGUGGCUUACCGUGGUUGUUUCCGACGAUAGUUGACGGGUAGACGGAGUACUCGGAGUUGGAGCGGAAGACCUCGAAGGCCCCGAGGACUUACAUGAGCAAGGCAAGCAGCCCUUUGACCAGGACUGAGCAUAUGUUACUUUGCAUGUUAAAAUAGCAAGUAUUCCCGUUGCAUAUGAUCAUAAGUGCCGGUAAUCAUUUGAUAUGAUUUUACCGAAGGCUCCCCCGGAGCACAUGCAUUGAGCUUGACCCUACCCCUUGAGGGUCCUGCUAAUACCAUGUUGACAAGUACAGAUAGAAGUAGUAUUAUCAUGAGCAUGUUGUUGACAUAAAGCAAGAGUUUACUAAAACCCUGCCGGGUGCCACUAAUGCCCGAGGGUGAUGAUGAGAUAGGUGGUCACUUUUGGUGAAGUGAUGCACUCGGUAUUUGUGUGAGUAUGGUUUCGGAAAUGGGAUUAGAUUUAUGAUGUGCCGACCGUCCCAACCUUACCAGUACGACCACGUUACCCCUCGUGGGACGGGGCUAUGUUAAUUACUCUGGUCGGUGCUAGCAAAGAGCCACAUUACUAGUGGCGGGAGUGAUGUGCGGUCACUCUCGUGAUGGGAUCGUGCCAGGUAGGACGACUAUGCCAUUUUUAUGAGUUCCAGUCGCACCGUUGGUCACCGCAUGGUUGGUACUGUCCAAAGUUGGUGCUCGUAAGAUGUACAACAUGUGGGCUGGGUACCAAUCGAGUGGACCUCUUUGUCUAGUAUCGUCAGGGGAAAGGCAUUGAUCGGGAACUUACCUCGGGUAUGUGAUAGACCGCGAGUCGUGGAGGACACGGAAGUUUCCCGGAUCUCGUGGGUCCAGCGUACUACCUCUGCAGAGUGUAAACUAUUCGAAUAGCCGUGUCCACGAUCAAGGACAGUUGGGUAAUCCUGCUUAAACUACGUCCAGUUGUUUCCGCAUAAACCAAGUGUGAUUGUGUGUGUGCUGUUGAAAAGUUAUUGUCGUGACAAUAAUGAUAUGACCAAGUUCGGUGACUUGGCAUAUAGGGUGAACCUGGAUGGUUCAGCCCUCAACAGAUAUAUUGAUAUAUGUAACCUGUUCUUCAAAAGUAAUUCUUUAACUUGAUGCAUAUUCAUGAUCAUUCCACCCAGAUGUGUUACACUAAAGAUGCAUGAUAUUGUUAUCCUUCACUUUCGUUGUUCAUAUCGUGGGCUAUUUGUGAGUACAUUUAAAGAACUCAUUGGCUUGCCACUGGUUAUUUCAUUGACCAUGUGUGAAAUAACAUGAUAUGGUGAAGAUUAACUCCGUGACGUUCUUGCGAGCUAGGAUUCUUCCUAGUCAGAAUGCAUGUAGGUCAAAGGCAGAUGGCAUGGGUUCACGCUUUCAACCAAUAAUUUCGCUAUUGGUCUAGUUUGGAGUGUUGGUCUAUAAGGCCCUAUACAUGUAAGCCUCGACCGGAGUGGUCAUUUAUUGUAUCAAACAGUAUGUAUGGAUGUAAGACUCUUUUAUUCGGUAUCAGUGUUCGGUGAGCAUUGAUCUCUGGGAUCACUGCACACGGCGAUCUCGACUCCUAAGUCGGGGUCCCCACACCUCUCAUCUAAGGGGACUCGUCACCAUCAACACCAUCUCAUAUCCAAACCCUAGUUCAUCUCUUGUAACCAAUCUCCGUCUCGCGACUCCGAUUGGUACUUGUAAGGUUGCUAGCAGUGUUAAUUACUCUUUGUAGUUGAUGCUAGUUGGAUUACUUGGUGGAAGAGUUUAUGUUCAGAUCUUUGAUGCUACUCAUUACCUCUCUGNUUACCUCUCUGGUCAUGAUUAUGAUUAUGCUUUGUGAGUAGUUACUUUCGUUCCUGAGGACAUGGGAUAAGUCAUGCUAUAAGUAGUCAUGUGAAUUUGGUAUUCGUUCGAUAUUUUGAUGUGGUGUAUGUUGUUUUUCCUCUAGUGGUGUUAUGUAAACGUUGACUACAUAACACUUCACCAUUAUUUGGGCCUAGAGGAAGGCAUUGAGAAGUAGUAAGUAGAUGAUGGGUUGCUAGAGUGACAGAAGCUUAAACCCAAGUUUAUGCAUUGCUUCGUAAGGGGCUGAUUUGGAUCCACUAGUUUAAUGCUAUGGUUAGACUUUGUCUUAAUUCUUCUUUCGUAGUUGUGGAUGCUUGCGAGAGGGGUUAAUCAUAAGUGGGAUGCUUUUCCAAGUAAGGGCAGUACCCAAGCGUCGGUCCACCCACAUAUCAAACUAUCAAAGUAAUGAACGCGAAUCAUAUGAACAUGAUGAAAAUUAGAUUGAUAGAAUUUCCCAUGUGUCCUCGGGAGCGUUUUACCUCCUAUAAGACUUUGUCCAGGCUUGUCCCUUGAUAAAAAAGGGAUUGGGCCACUUUUCUGCACCAUUGUUACGUUUGUUACUUGCUACUUGCUAUGAAUCAUCUUGUCACACAACUACUUGUUACCGACAAUUUCAGUGCUUCCAGAUAUUACCUUGCUGAAAACCACUUGUCAGAUCCUUCUCCUCCUCGUUGGGUUCGACGCUGUUACUUAUCAAAAGGAAUACGAUAGAUCCCCUAUACUUGUGGGUAAUCAAGACUCUUUUCUGGCGCCAUUUUCGGGGAGUGAAGCGCCUUUGGUAAGUGGAAUUUGGUAAGGAAAUAUUUAUAUAGUGUGCUAAAAUUUAUUGUCACUUGUCACUAUGGAAACUAAUCGUUUGAUGGGCUUGUUCGGGGUAUGUUCACCUCAAACGGAAGCACAAAGAGUUGCUCCUCAACCUGUUGCACCUACUGAAAAUAUUUGCUAUGAAUUUCCUUCGGGUAUGCUUGAGAAACUGUUGGCUAAUCCUUUUACAGGAGAUGGAACAUCACAUCCAGACUUGCAUCUAAUCUAUGUAGAUGAAGUUUGUGGUUUAUUUAAGCUUGCAGGUUUGCCCGAGGAUGAGGUCAAGAAGAAGGUCUUUCCCUUAUCUUUGAGGGAUAAGGCGUUGACAUGGUAUAUGCUAUGUGAUGAUACUGGAUCAUGGAACUACAAUCUGUUGAAAUUGGAAUUUCAUCAAAAGUUUUAUCCUAUGCAUUUACUACAUCGUGAUCGGAAUUAUAUUUAUAAUUUUUGGCCUCGUGACACAUAAAGCAUCACUCAAGCUUGGGGGAGGCUUAAAUCAAUGUUAUAUCCAUGCCCCAACCAUGAGCUCUCGAGAUAAAUUAUCAUUCAGAACUUCUAUGCUCGGCUUUCUCAUGAUGAUCGCACCAUGCUUGACACUUCUUGUACCGGUUCUUUUAUGAAGAGAGAUAUUGACUUCAAAUGGAAUUUAUUGGAAAGAAUUAAACGCAACUCUGAAGAUUGGGAGCUUGAUGAAGUAAAGGAGUCAGUUAUGAAUUUCAAGUUUGAUUGCGUUAAAUCCUUUGUUGAAACAGAUACUUUUUGUGAUUUUAGCGCUAAGUAUGGACUUGACUCUAAGAUAGUAGCUUCAUUGUGUGAAUCAUUUGCUGCUCAUAUUGAUCUCCCCAAAGAUAAGUGGUUUAAAUAUCAUCCUCCCAUAGAAGUCAAUGUAGUUAAACCCAAUCCAGUUGAAGAGAAAUUCAUUGCCUAUAAUGAUCCUAUUGUUCCCAGUGCUUACAUUGAGAAACCACCUUUCCCUGUUAGGAUUAAGGAUCAUUCUAAAGCUUCAACUGUGAUACGUAGGGGCUACAUUAGAACACCUACACCCCCUGAGAAAAUUAGAGUUGAACCUAGCAUUGCUGUUAUCAAAUAUCUCCUGUCCGACAAUGUUGAUGGCCAUAAUAUUCACUUCUGUGAAGAUGUUGCUAGAAUUGCUAAACCACACGCUAGAGACAAACAUAGGCCUGUUGUUGGCACGCAUGUUGUUUUUGUUAAGAUAGGAAAUCAUUGUUAUGAUGGUUUAUGUGAUGUGGGUGCUAGUUUUAGUGGAAUACCUCAAUCCUUAUAUGAUGAAAUUAAAGACGAGAUUGCACCUGUUGAGAUAGAGCCUAUUGAUGUCACUACUCAGCUUGCCAAUAGAGAUACUAUCUGCCCUGUGGGAAUUGUUAGGGAUGUUGAAGUAUUGUGUGGUAAAACAAAGUAUCCUGCUGAUUUCCUCGUUCUUGCUACCACCCAAGAUAGCUUUUGUCUGAUCAUAUUCGGCAGACCCUUCCUCAAUACCGUCAAUGCUCAUAUUGACUGUGAGAAGCAAACUGUCACUGUUGGCUUUGAAGGUGUGUCACACGAGUUCAAUUUCUCCAAGUUUGGUAGACAACCUCAUGAAAAAUAGUUGCCUAGUAAGGAUGAAACUAUUGCCUUAGCUUCUAUUGCCAUGCCUCCUACUGAUCCCUUAGACCAAUACUUGCUUGAGCAUGAAAAUGAUAUGCAUAUGGAUGAAAGGGAUGAGGUAGACAGAGUUGUCUUAGAACAAUAUCCCACCCUUAAGAAUAAUUUGCUUGUUGAACUUCUUGGGGAUCCACCCCCACCAAAGGGUGAUCCUGUGAUCGAGCUUAAACAGUUGCCAGAUACUCUUAAGUAUGCUUAUCUUGAUGAAAAAGAGAUAUAUCCUGUUAUUAUUAGUGCUAGCCUCUCAGAGCAUGAAGAAAAGAAGUUACUAAAAACUCUGAGGAAGCACCGUGCUGCUAUUGGAUAUAAUCUUGAUGAUCUUAAGGGCAUUAGUCCCACUCUAUGCGAGCACAAGAUUAAAAUUGAUCCUGAUUCCAAGCCAGUUGCUAAUCAUCAACGGAGAUUAAAUCCUAAGAUGAAAGAGGUAGUAAGAAAAGAAAUACUAAAGCUCAUGGAAGCAGGUAUUAUCUAUCCUGUUGCUCACAGUGAUUGGGUGACUCCGGUGCUUUGCGUCCCUAAGAAGGGAGGUAUCACUGUUGUCCCUAAUGAUAAAGAUGAAUUGAUCCCACAGAGGAUUAUUACUGGCUAUAGGAUGGUGAUUGAUUUUAGGAAAUUGAAUAAAGCCACUAGGAAAGAUCAUUACCCUUUUCCUUUUAUCGACAAAAUGCUAGAAAGGUUGUCUAAACACACACAGUUCUGCAUUCUAGACGGUUAUUCUGGUUUCUCCCAAAUACGAGUUGCACAAGCUGAUCAGGAGAAAACCACUUUCACCUGCCCUUUCGGUACCUUUGCUUAUAGACGUAUGCCUUUUGGCUUAUGUAAUGCACCUUCUAGCUUACAAAGAUGUAUGAUGGCUAUAUUCUCUGACUUUUGUGAAAAGAUUGUUGAGGUUUUCAUGGAUGACUUCUCCGUUUACUGGUCUACUUUUGAUGAUUUCCUUAGCAACCUUGAUCGAGUCUUGCAGAGAUGUAAAGAUACUAAUCUUGUCUUGAAUUGGGAGAAGUGCCACUUUAUGGUUAAUGAAGGCAUCGUCUUAGGACAUAAAGUUUCUGAAAGAGGUAUUGAAGUCGAUAAGGCUAGGGUUGAUGCAAUCGAGAAAAUGCCAUACCCCACAGAUAUCAACGGUAUAAGAAAUUUCCUUGGUCAUGCUGGUUUCUAUAGAAGGUUCAUUAAAGACUUCUCUAAGAUUUCUAGGCUUCUUUCCAAUCUCUUGCAAAAGGAUAUUCCUUUUGUUUUUCACGAUGAUUGUGAGGAAGCCUUCGAAAUACUUAAGAAGGUCUUGAUAACUGCACCUAUUGUUCAACUCCUGAUUGGAACUUACCUUUUGAAAUCAUGUGUGAUGCUAGUGACUAUGCAGUUGGUGUUGUUCUAGGGAAAAGAGUUGAUAAGAAGUUGAAUGUUAUUCACUAUGCUAGUAAAACUCUAGAUAGUUCCCAAAUAAACUAUGCUACUACUGAGAAGGAAUUUUUAGCAGUCGUGUUUGCAUGUGAAAAGUUCAGAUCUUACAUAGUUGAUUCCAAAGUCACUAUUCACACUGAUCAUGCUGCUAUUAAGUACCUAAUGGAGAAGAAAGACGCUAAACCUAUACUUAUCCGAUGGUUAUCUUGCUACAAGAAUUUGAUUUGCACGUUGUCGAUAGGAAGGGUGCUGAUAACCCCGUUGCAGAUAACUUGUCUAGGUUGGAGAACUUUCUUGAUGACCCACAACCUAUUGAUGAUAGCUUUCCCGGUGAGCAACUGAAUGUCAUCAAUGCUUCACGUAGUGGACCAUGGUAUGCUGAUUAUGCAAACUAUAUCGUUGCCAAAUAUAUACCACCUAGUUUCACAUACCAGAAAAAGAAGAAAUUCUUCUUUGACUUGAGACAUUACUUUUGGGAUGAUCCUCACCUUUAUAAGGAAGGAGUAGAUGGUGUUAUUAGACGUUGUGUACCUGAACAUGAACAGGGACAGAUCCUACAAAAGUGUUACUCCGAGGCCUAUGGAGGACACCAUGAGGGAGACAGAACUGCACACAAGGUAUUGCAAUCAGGUUUCUAUUGGCCAACUCUCUUCAAGGAUGCCCGUAAGUUUGUCUUGUCUUGUGACGAAUGUCAAAGAAUAGGUAAUAUCCGUAAACGUCAGGAAAUGCCUAUGAACUAUUCACUUGUCAUUGAACCAUUUGAUGUCUGGGGCUUUGAUUAUAUGGGACCUUUUCCAAAAUCCAACGGGUAUACUCAUAUCCUGGUUGCUGUUGAUUACGUCACUAAGUGGGUAGAAGCUAUCCCCACUAGUAGUGUUGAUCACAACACCCCUAACAGGAUGCUUAAAGAAGUUAUUUUCUCUAGAUUUGGAGUCCCUAGAUAUAUAAUGACCGACGACGGUUCACAUUUAAUUCAUGGUGCUUUCCGUAAAACGCUUGCUAAGUACGAUGUCAACCAUAGAAUUGCGUCUCCCUAUCACCCUCAGUCCAGUGGUCAAGUAGAGCUAAGCAAUAGAGAGAUUAAACUGAGUCUACAAAAGACUGUCAAUAGGUCUAGAAAGAAUUGGUCUAAUAAGCUCGAUGAUGCACUAUGGGCUUAUAGAACUGCCUAUAAGAAUCCCAUGGGCAUGUCCCCGUACAAAAUGGUGUACGGUAAAACAUGGCAUUUACCUCUUGAACUAGAGAAUAAAGCUUAUUGGGCAAUCAAAGAGGUCAACUUUGAUUUCAAACUUGCUGGUGAGAAGAGAUUAUUUGACAUUAGCUCACUUGAUGAAUGGAGAAAUCGGGCAUAUGAGAAUGCCAAGUUGUUCAAAGAAAAGGUUAAGAGGUGGCAUGAUAAAAGGAUACAAAAGCGUGAGUUCAAUGUAGGUGAUUAUGUCUUACUAUAUAAUUCUCGUUUAAGAUUUUUUGCAGGAAAGCUUCUCUCUAAAUGGGAAGGUCCCUAUAUUGUUGAGGAAGUAUAUCGUUCUGGUGCUAUCAAGAUCAACAACACGGACGGUAAUUUUCCGAGAGUGGUAAAUGGGCAGAGAAUCAAGCAUUAUAUCUCAGGUACUCCCAUAAAUGUUGAAAGCAAUAUUAUCAAUACUUCAACGAGAGUACCUAAGGGAUAUUUAUCAGCCUGUUUCAGACUCCGAAAACGAAGAGGUAUGUGAUUCAGUAAGAAAACAUACUCCAAAACUUUUCCAGUAGGAUUUUUCCUCCGUUUUGUAAUUUUUGAAAAAAUAGAAAAAUUUGAAGUAGUCCGGAAAGCGCACGAGGAGGCGACAAGCCUGCCAGGCGCGGGCCACCCCUGGCCAUGCCUGGGGGUCUUGUGGCCACCUCGUGUGCCUCCCGAACUCCGUUUUCUUGCGGAGUACUCCUUAUGGUAAAAAAAAUCAUUAUAUAUUCUCCCGAAAGUACUGACCCUCGUAUCAUGCCAAUUUCCUCUGUUUUUGUUUCGAGCCUGUUUCUGGUGCAGAUCUAGAUCGCUAUGCGUCACCAAAAACUUAGAAGGACAAUAUCUUCGAGAAGGUCAUCAAUCCCUACCUCGCGGGAGUGCUACAACACCCUCAAUCUAUUGAGUUGCGUGAGGGGAUGCUGCAUAUCCGUGAUGUUGAGGGUCCCAAGAAGAUCGGAAGCGUGGAGGCGAGGCUCGAAGCAAUGGAGCAACAAGUCUUCAAGUGCCAAGGGAUAGUGGAGCGUGGACUCAACGCCAACCACAUGAUGAUCAAGGAGUUCACCAACAAGCACAAGAUCGAUGCCAAUGACAUUGGGAAGCACCUCUCCAGGCUCUAUGUAAGAAUUGAUCACCUCCAAGCCCAGAUCUAUGACCUGCAGAAUCAAAACUGUGAGUAUGAGUAUAGAUUUAAAUCAAUACGGUUGGCUGCAGGUUUGAGGAUUCCGAAGACUCGUUCAUCUUUCCAUGAUGGAGCACCUAUGCCUUGGAAGACGGAGGAUCAAACCCAUGUUGCAACAACUCCACCACCAUCACCUUCAAAGGAAGACAACUGAGCAUGGGUAUGGGCAAUCCCCUUGUCUUGUGCCAUGCUUGGGGGAGUUGCCCCGGUAUCGUAUCAGCAUCACAUCUUUUGCCUUUACCUUUGUUUUAGUUUGUUCCUUUUCAGUUUUCUCUUUCUCUAUUUGAAUAAAGGUAUUAGUGUUUUAGGCUUGAGUUUUGCUUUGUGUCACCCCCGAUAUAUUCGAGCUCGUGAGCCAUAUAAUAAAGAGUGUCUUAGUUAAGGGCCUUGCCUCAUGCCAUGGUCAAAAGGAUGAGAAAAGAACAAAAGCAUGAAAGAUCAUGUAAUGAUCUUAUGGGAAGUGAUGGCUUCACAUAUAAAAAGAAUGUUGAUUGAAACUUGUUGAGGGUAGACAAACGUAGACCUUGGUCAUUGUUGCAAUUAAUAGGAAGUGAUAAAGAAGGACAGGUUCACAUAUAAAUAUAUCAUCUUCGACACCAUCUAUGAUUGUGAACACUCACUAAACUAUUGCAUGCUUAGGAGUAGAUGUUGGACAAGGAAGACAACAUAAUGAAUUGUGUUUGCUUGGUUCCGAACAAUGUUAUAUGACUAGAGAUCCCUUAGCAUGUGACGAUUUCUUCCACCUCAUAUUUUCCAAAACUCCCGCACCAAGUAGAGAUACUACUUGUGCAUCCUUAAACCUUGAACCCAGUUUUGCCAUGAGAGUCCACCAUACCUACCUAUGGAUUGAAUAAGAUCCCUCAAGUAAGUUGUCAUCGGUGCAAGCAAUAAAAAUUGCUCCCUAAUAUGUAUGAUCUAUUAGUGUGUGGAAAAUAAGCUUUGUACGAACCUGUGAUGAGGAAGACAUAAAAGUGAACAUAAAAGGGACAGACUACAUAAUAAAGUUUUUUAUCAUAGGAGGCAAUAUAAAGUGGCGUUCCUUAACACUAAGAGGUCGCACAUCCAAACCUCAAAAGCGCAUGACAACCUCUGCUUCCCUCUGCGAAGGGCCUAUCUUGUACCUUUACUUUUUGCCCUUGAAAGAGUCAUGGUGAUCUUCCCCAAUUCCUUAUUUCGCCUUUAUCUUGGCUAACGUCAUAUGCUUGGGAAAGAUCUAUAUUCAGAUGUCAACUUGGAGGUAAGUAUUCAUUAAUUAUUACUGUUGACAUUACCCUUGAGGUAAAUGGUUGGGAGGCGAAACUAUAAGCCCCUAUCUUUUUUUGUGUCCAGCUGAAACUUUGAUCUCAUGAGUACCACGUGAGUUGUAGAAAUUGUAGAGGACGAAAAUAUGAUUGAGUAUGUUGAUUUGCUUUACAAGCUCUUAUUUGACUCUUUCCGAUCUUGUGAUAAAUUGCAAUUGCUUCAAUGACUAAAGGCUAUCGGUUGUUAAUUCUUGGUAAGGCUCUUGAUCGAUACUUUACUUUGUGAAGGAAUUGUCACUUUAGCAUAAGAUAUGAUACGAUGGUAUUGCUGUUCUAAUCAUGAUCAUGAUGCCUGCAUGUUUGUAUCUUGUUUUGUCGACACCUCUCUUUCUAAACAUGUGGCCAUAUUUAUUGAUCUCGGCUUUCGCUUAAGGACAAGCGAGGUCUAAGCUUGGGGGAGUUGAUACGUCCAUUUUGCAUCAUGCUUUCAUGUUGAUAUUUAUCGCUUUUUGGGCUGCUAUUACACUUCACGGUACAAUACUUAUGCCUUUUCUCUCUUAUUUUGCAAGGUUUACACGAAGAGGGAGAAUGCCACCAACUGUAAUUCUGGCCUGAAAAAGGAGCAAGUUUGAGAUACCUAUUCUGCGCAACUCCAAAAGCCGUGAAAGUCAACGAGGAUUUUUUUUGGGAUUUAUAAAAAAUACUGGGCCAAAGAAGUACCAUAGGGGCGCUAGCAGGAGGCCACAAGCCUGCUAGGCGCGGGCCCCCCUAGCCGCGCCUAGGGGGCUUGUGGGCUCCCACUUGGCCCUCUGGCUCCCCCCUUUUGCUACAAGAAGGGUUUCGUCCUGGAAAAAAUCAAGAGGAGGAUUUUCGGAGGAUUCGCCGCCGCCACGAGGCGGAACUUGAGCAGAACCAAUCUAGAGCUCCGGCAGGACGAUCCUACCGGGGAACUUUCCCUCUCGGAGGGGAAAUCGUCGCCAUCGUCAUCACCAACACUCCUCUCAUCAGAAGGGACUCGUCACCAUAAACAUCUUCAACAACACCAUCUCAUCUCCAAACCCUAGUUCAUCUCUUGUAACCAAUCUCCAUCUCGCGACUCCGAUUGGUACUUGUAAGGUUGCUAGUAGUGUUAAUUACUCUUUGUAGUUGAUGCUAGUUGGAUUACUUGGUGGAAGAGUUUAUGUUCAGAUCUUUGAUGCUACUCAUUACCUCUCUGUUCAUGAUUAAUAUUAUGCUUUGUGAGUAGUUACUUUUGUUCCUGAGGACAUGGGAUAAGUCAUGCUAUAAGAAGUCAUGUGAAUUUGGUAUUAGUUCGAUAUUUUGAUGUGUUGUAUGUUGUUUUUCCUCUAGUGGUGUUAUGUGAACAUCGACUACAUAACACUUCACCAUUAUUUGGGCAUAGAAGAAGGCAUUGGGAAGUAGUAAGUAGAUGAUGGGUUGCUAGAGUGAUAGAAGCUUAAACCCUAGUUUAUGUGUUGCUUCGUAAGGGGCUGAUUUGGAUCCAUUAGGUCAAUGCUAUGGUUAGACUUUGUCUUAAUUCUUCUUUCGUAGUUGCGGAUGGUUGCGAGAGGGGUUAAUCAUAAGUGGGAUGCUUGUCCAAGUGGGGGCAGUACCCAAGUGUCGGUCCACCCACAUAUCAAAUUAUCAAAGUAAGGAACGCGAAUCAUAUGAGCAUGAUGAAAACUAGCUUGACAGAAUUUCCCAUGUGUCCUCGAGAGCGUUUUACCUCCUAUAAGACUUUGUCCAGGGUUGUCCCUUGCUACAAAAGGGUUUGGGACACUUUGCUGCACCGUUGUUACUUUUGUUACUUGCUACUUUCUACGAAUCAUCUUGUCACACAACUACUUGUUACCGACAAUUUCAGUGCUUGCAGAUAUUACCUUGCUGAAAAACCACUUGUCAGAUCCUUUUGCUCCUCGUUGGGUUCCACACUCUUACUUAUCGAAAGGACUACAAUAGAUCCCCUAUACUUGUGGGUCAUCAUUUCCCGGUGGAAUAGCUCCGACAAAGCUCUAGAUUGGUUCUGUGGAAGUUCCGCAUCGAGACGGCGGCGCCGCGUCCUGAAAGCUCUUAUAUGAUUUUUUCCAGGUCAAAACCCUUCAUAUAGNACUUUUCAGGACUUUUGGAGGUCUGCAGAAUAGGUCUCUCAGAUUUGCUCCUUUUCCAGUCCAGAAUUCCAGCUGCUGGUGUUUUCCCUCUUCAUGUAAAUCUUGUAAAAUAAGAGAGAAAAGGCAUAAUUAUUGUACCAUAACGUGUAUUAACACACCAUAAUGCAAUAAAUAUUGAUAUAACAGCAUGAUGCCAUAUGGACGUAUCAACUCCCCCAAGCUUAGACCUCGCUUGUCCUCAAGCGAAAGCCGAGAUCAAUAAAUAUGCCCACAUGUUUAGAGAUAGAGGUGUUGAUAAAAUAAAAUACGAACAUGAAGGCAUCAUGAUUAUCUUUAGAACAACAACACAUAUUGACAUAGAAUAUCUUAUACUAGAGUUACAAUUCAUUCACAAGGCAAAAUAUGCAUCAAGAACUCUAUUGAGAACUCACAAAUUAUGAUUUCAGUCAUUGAGGCAAUUCCAAUUUAUUGCAACUUAGGAAAGAGUCAAUAUAAGAUCUUGUAAAGCAAAUCCACAUACUCAAUCAUCUUAUAGUAUUUCAUAAUUGCUAACACUCACGCGGUACCUAUGAGGUCAAAGCUUCAAUCGGACACAGAGAAAGAUAGGGGCUUAUAUUUUUGCCUCACAACUGUUUACCUCAAGGCUAGUGUCAACAAUAAUAACCUAUGAUCACCCACAUCCGUGUGGAUAUAUUUGUCUAGAUGAUUCCCCAACACAUGACGCUUUCCAAAAGAUAAAGUCGAAAUAAAGGAAAUGGUGAAAAUCACCACGACUCUUGCAUAAAGGUAAGUACUAGAAAGUAAAAGUAACAGAUAGGCCCUUCACAGAGGAAAGAAGAGGUUGCCAUGAGAUUUUAUAGUUGGAUGCACAAUCUCUUAAUGCAAAAGAACGUCACCUUAUAUUGCCCCUUGUGAUAAAGAAUUUAUUAUGUAGUCUAUCGCUUUUAUUUCUUCUAUAUCACAAGUUCGCAUGAAGUUUAUUUUCCUUGCACUAAUAAACCACACGUAUUUAAGGAGCAAUUUUUAUUGCUUGCACAGAUGACAACUUAGUUGAAGGAUCUUACUCAACCCAUAGGUAGGUAUGGUGAACUCUCAAGGCAAAACCGAGUUAAAGGUUUUUGGAUGCACAAGUAGUAUCUCUACUUGCUGCAUGAGUUUCUUUUGGCUAAUAUGAGGUAGAAGUAAGCGACACAUGUCGAAGGAUCUACAACCAUAUAACUUAUAUUAGGAAAUAAGCAAACAUAACUCAUUAUGUUGUCUUCCUUUCUGAACAUCAACCUUUAGCAUAUAAUAUUUUAAUGAGUGCUCACAAUCACAAAAGAUGUCUAAGAUAAUAUAGUUAUAUGUGAACCUCACUUUCUUUAUUACUUCCUUUUGAUUGCAAAAAUGACCAAUAGAUUUUUUUGUAAACUCACAACAAAUUUCAAUCAACAUACUUUUUGUAUGUGAAGUCAUCACUCCCCAUAAUAUCAUUAUGUAUGCUCUAUUUCUUUUAUUCUAUACUUCUUUCUAUUUAUUUUUCUCAUGGUCAUAGGAAGCAAGGAAAGCCCUCAAUUCAAAACAACUCUUUAUUAUAUAACUCUCAAACUUUCUUACAUAGGGGGAACAAAAAGAAAAAAAAACUAGAUCACACUAAAACUUUAUUCUAGUAGAUCAAGAUAUAACUAAAAUAAACAAAGAAAAACAAAAAUGUAAAAGUAUGUGAUGGUGAUACGAUACCGGGGCACCUCCCCCAAGCUUAGCACAAGCCAAGGGGAGUGCCCAUACCCAUGUGUUCAGUUGUCUUUCUUCGGAGGUAUUGAUGUUGGAGUUGUUGGUGAGGUUGAAAGCUUAUCAAGUUUCCACUUAAGCAUGCAAUUUUGUUCCCUCAGAUCGUCUACUUCCCGCUCGAGCCUAAAUAUCUUUCGACAUAAUUCACCCUUGCUUUCCUGCAGAAAACGAGAAGGGAUAAGUAGGACCUUGGGUUUUCUCCUUGUAUUUGGGAGGGUGGACUUCUUGAACUCCACAUGCAUAUCUUCGGGUUGAGCCAAGGGAAUCUCCUAUGCAUACGAGUUUUCUUCCGCAUACUUGAGUGUCUCCCGUUCCUCCUCCAAGCACAAUCCAUCGGGAUUUACAUCCCCGUAGAGCUUGGGAUUGGCAAGAUAGUAUGAUACAUAACUCUCCCCAUCGAAAUCUUGGGACGACACCUUACUCUAAAUCUGUUGCAGAAACAAAACGAAAAGAGGAGAUAUUAUCGAGAUACAGAGGUCAAAACCUUUGGGAGAUUAUAUAAUGAAUUUUUUCCGACCCGUGGGAGUAUUCCACAUGAGUCUGGAGGGUGCACGAGGUGGCUACAAGCCUGCAGGGCACGGCCAGGGGGGUAGGCCGCACCCCCGUGGCUUGUCGCCUCCUCAUGCAUGCUUCAGACUGCUUUAAAAUUUUCUAAUUUUUUAAAUAUUCCAAAACUAGUAAAAAUUGCCUUUGAAAAUGUUUUGGAGUCGGUUUGCUUACCGUAGCACAUACCUAUUCCUUUUUGGGGUCCGAUACGUUCUGAUAGGUCUCCCUAAUGUACUCUUCCGGAGUUAUGGUAUUGAUAAUAUUAGUUUCAACAUUUAUGGGAGUACGUGAGAUAUAAUGUUUGAUUCAUUACCCAUUUACCACCUUUGGAUUUGUGCCUUCGGCGUUGUUGAUCUUGAUGGCACCGGAACGAUAUACUUCCUCGAUAAUGUAAGGGCCUUCCCAUUUUGAGAGAAGUUUUCCUCCAAAAAAUCUUAAACGAGAGUUGUAUAGCAAGACAUGAUCACCUACAUUAAAUUCACUCUUUUGUAUCCUUCUAUGGUGCCAUCUCUUAACCUUUUGUUUAAACAACUUACCAUUCUCAUAGGCCUGGGUUCUCCAUUCGUCAAGUGAGCUAAUGUCAAAUAACCUCUUUUCACCAACAAGUUUGAAAUCAUAAUUAAGCUCUUUAAUUGCCCAAUAGGCUUUAUGUUCUAGCUUUGGAGGCAAGUGACAUGCUUUACCAUAAACCAUUUUAUAAGGAGACAUACCCAUAGGAUUUUUGUAAGAAGUUCUAUAAGCCCAUAAUGCAUUGUCAAGUUUCUUAGACCAAUUAUUUCUAGAUCUAUUAACAGUCUUUUGCAAGAUCAAUUAUUUCUCUAUUGCUCAAUUCUACUUGCCCACUAGACUGAGUAUGAUAAGGAGAUGCAACUCUAUGAUUAACAUCAUAUCUAGCAAGCAAUUUAGGGAAAGCACCAUGAAUAAAGUGUGAACCACCAUUAGACCUUAAAUAUCUAGGGACUCCAAAUCUAGAGAAAAUAACUUCUUUCAGCAUUUUAAUAGAGGUGUUAUGAUCUGCACUACUAGUUGGAAUAACUUCUACCCACUUAGUAACAUAAGCAACAACAACUAGAAUAUGAGUAUACCCGUUGGAUUUUGGAAAAGGUCCCAUAUAAUCAAAACCCCAAAUAACAAAUGGUUCUAUAACAUGAGAGUAAUUCAUAGGUAUUUCCUAACGUCUACUAAUAUUACCAAUUCUUCGACAUUCAUCACAAGAAAAGACAAACUUACGAGCAUCCUUGAAAAGAGUAGGUCAAUAAAAACCAGAUUGUAAUACCUUGUGUGCAGUUCUAUCUCCAGCGUGGUGUCCUCCGUAGGCCUCGGAGUGACACUUGUGAAGGAUCUGUCCCUGUUGAUGCUCAGGUACACGACGUCUAAUAAUACCAUCUACUCCUUCUUUAUAAAGGUGUGGAUCGUCCCAAAAGUAAUGUCUUGAAUCAUAGAAGAACUUUUUCUUUUAUUGGUAUGUUAAACUAGGCGGUAUAAAUUUAGCAACAAUGCAAUUAGCAUAAUCAGCAUACCAAGGAGCAUUGCGUGAAGCAUUUAUGACAGCUAAUUGUUCAUCAGGAAAGCUAUCAUCAAUAGGUAGUGGGUCAUCAAGAACAUUUUCUAAUCUAGACAAGUUAUCUGCUAUGGUGUUAUCAGCGCCCUUUUUUAUCAAUUAUAUGCAAAUCAAUUUCUUGUAGUAGAAGGACCCAUCUAAUAUGUCUAGGUUUAGAAUCUUUAUUUUCCAUAAGGUACUUAAUAGCAGCGUUAUCAGUGUGAACAGUUACUUUGGAAUCAACAUGUAAGGUCUAAACUUAUCACAAGCAAACACAACUGCUAAAAAUUCCUUCUCAGUGGUAGCGUAGUUUCUUUGAGCACUGUCUAGAGUUUUAUGAGCGUAAUGGAUGACAUUUAAUUUCUUCUCGACUCUUUUUCCUAGAACAACACCAACAACAUAAUCACUAGCAUCACACAUAAUUUCAAAGGGUAGGUUCCAAUCAGGUGGUUGAACAACAUGUGCAGUUAUCAAGGCUUUAUUAAGAAUUUCAAAUGCUUCUACACAAUCAUCAUAAAAAACAAAUGGAACAUCAUUUUGCAAAAUAUUAGUGAGAGGCUUAGAAAUUUUAGAGAUGUCUUUAAUAAAUCUCCUAUAAAAACCAGAAUGACCAAGGAAACUUCUUAUACCUUUAAUAUCUGUUGGACAUGGCAUUUUUUCAAUAGCAUCAACUUUAGCUUUAUCAACUUCAAUACCUCUUCCGGAGAUUUUGUGUCCCAAGACAAUGCCAUCAUUAACCAUAAAGUGGCACUUCUCCCAAUUCAAGACAAGAUUAGUUUCUUCACAUCUCUGCAAAACUCGAUCAAGGUUGCUCAAGCAAUCAUCAAAAGAAGUUCCAUAAACGGAAAAAUCAUCCAUGAAAACCUCAACAAUAUUUUCAUAGAAGUCAGGGAAUAUAGCCAUCAUACAUCUUUGAAAGGUUGCAGGUGCAUUGAGUAAACCAAAAGGCAUACGUCUAUAAGAAAAGGUACCGAAAGGGCAAGUAAAAGUGGUCUUCUCUUGAUCCUCUAUUGAUAUAGGUAUUUGAGAUAAACCAUAAUAACCAUCUAGAAAGCAAAAAAUGUGUAUGUUUGGAUAGUGUUUCUAGCAUUUGAUCAAUAAAAGGUAGUGGGUUAUAAUCUUUCCUAGUAGCUUUAUUUAAUUUCCUGAAAUCAAUUACCAUUCUAUAUCCCGUAACAAUUCUUUGCGGGAUCAAUUCAUCUUUAUCAUUAGGAACAACAGUAAUACCUCCCCUUUUAGGGACACAAUGAACGAGACUAACACAUCUACUAUAGGAAUAGGAUAAAUUAUACCUCCCUCGAGAAGUUUUAGUAUUUCAUUUCUUACCACUACCUUCAUUUUAGGAUUUAAUUAUUGUUGGUGAUCAACAACCGGUUUAGAAUCUGGUUCCAUAUUGAUUUUGUGCUCACAUAGAGUGGGACUAAUGCCCUUAAGAUCAUCAAGAAUAUAUCCAAUAGUGCCACGGUGCUUCCUUAGAGUUUUCAGUAAUCUCUUUCAUUCACGCUCUGAAAGGUUAGCACUACUAAUAACAUGACAUAUCUCUUUUUCAUCAAGAUAAUCAUACUUCAGAGUAUCAGGUAAUUUUUUAAGCUCAAACACGGGAUCACCCUUGGGUGGAGGAGGAUCCCCAAGUAUGUCAACACGUAGGUUGUGUUUCAGAAUAGGCCUAAUCAAACAAAAUCUUAUUGACUUCUUUCCUUUCAUUCAUAUGCAUAUGAUUUUCAUGGUCUAGCAAAUAUUGUUCUAAUGGAUCAGUAGGAGGCAUAGCGAUAGAAGCGAGACCAACAAUUUCAUAUUUACUAGGUAAUUCUUUGUCAUGGGGUUGUCUACUAAAUUUAGAGAAAUUGAACUCAUGUGAUGCAUGCCCAAAACUUACAGUAACUAUUUCUUUUUUCACAUUCAAUCUUGGCAUUAACAAUAUUCAAGAAGGGUCGAACGAUUUUAAUGGGACAAAAACCAUCUUGUGGGAAACCAAGAACAAGAAAAUCAGUAGGAUACUUUAUUUUCCCACUCAAUACUUCAACAUCUCUACAAUCCCAAUUGGUGAAAUAGUAUCUCUAUUAGCAAGCUUGAUGGUAACAUCAAUUACCUCUUAUUCGGUUGGUGCAAUAUCUUUCAUAAUUUCUUGGUAUAAGGUAAAAGGAAUUGCACUCACACUAGCACCCACAUCAGAUAAGCCAUGAUAACAACGAUCUCCUAUCUUAACGGAAAAACAGGCAUGCCAACAAUAGAUCUAUGUUUACCCUUAGUAUGAGGUAUAGCAAUUCUAGCGGCUUCAUCACAGAAGUGAAUGACAUGCCCAUCAAUAUUAUCAAGCAAGAGAUCUUUAAACAUAGUAAUAUCAGGUUCUACUUUAAUUUUUUCAGGAAGUAUAUGUGUUCUAGGACAACUCUUACGAACCACAGUUGAAGCUUUAGCAUGUUCCUUUUUCCUAACAAGAAAGGGUGGUUUCUCAAUAUAAGGAGCAGGAAUAACAGGGUCGACAUUAUAAAUAGUAGUUUGUUCUUCAACAUUAAUAGGUUCUACCAAUUUAACUUCAAUGGGAGGAUGAUAUUUAAACCACUUCUCCUUGGGGAGAUCAACAUGAGUAGCAAAAGAUUCACAGAAUGAAGUUACUACCUCAGAAUCAAGUCCAUAUUUAAUGCUAAAAUCACGAAAAGCAUUGGUGUCUAUAAAGAAAUUAACACAAUCAAACUUAAGGCUUAUACCUCCCUUUUUAGGGACACAAUAAACGGGACUAACCCAUCUACUAUCAGCAAUAGGAUAAAUUAUACCUACCUCCAGAAGUUUUGGUAUUUCAUUUCUUACCACUUCCUUCAUAUUUGGAUUUAAUCCUCGUUGGUGAUCAACAACUGGUUUAGCAUCAGGCUCCAUAUUGAUUUUGUGCUCACAUAGAGUGGGACUAAUGCCCUUAAGAUCAUCAAGAGUAUAUCCAAUAGUGGCAAGGUGCUUCCUUAGAGUUUUCAAUAUCCCUUUUCUUCAUGCUCUAAAAGGUUAGCACUAAUAAUGACAUGAUAUAUCUCUUUUGCAUCAAGAUAAGCAUACUUCAGAGUAUCAGGUAAUUGUUUAAGCUCAAACACGGGACCACCCUUGGGUGGAGGAGGAUCCCCAAGUAUAUCAACAGGCAGGUUGUGUUUCAAAAUAGGUUGCUGAUCAAAGAAAAUCUUAUGUAUUUCGUUCGUUUCAUUCAUAUGCAUAUCAUUUUCAUGGUCUAGCAAAUAUUGUUAUAAGGGAUCGGUAGGAGGCACGGAGAUAGAAGCGAGACCAAUAAUUUCAUCUUUACUAGCUAAUUCUUUGUCAUGGGGUUGUCUAUAAAAUUUAGAGAAAUUGAACUCAUGAGGUGCAUCCCCAAAACUUACAGUAACCGUUGCUUUUUCACAAUCAAUUUAGCAUUAACAAUAUGCAAGAAGGGUCUACCGAAUAUAAUUGGACAAAAAUCAUCUUGUGAGGAACCAAGAACAAGAAAAUCAGUAAGUUACUUUAUUUUCCCACACAAGACUUCAACAUCUCUAACAAUCCCAAUUGGUGAAAUAGUAUCUCUAUUAGAAAGCUUGAUGGUAACAUCAAUUUCCUCUAAUUCGGCUGGUGCAGCAUCAUUCAUAAUUUCUUGGUAUAAGGUAAAGGGAAUUUCACUCACACUAGCACCCACAUCACGUAAGCCAUGAUAACAAUGAUCUUCUAUUUUAACAGAAACAACAUGCAUGCCAACUAUAGGUCUAUGUUUACCCUUAGUACCAGGUCUAGCAAUUCUAGCGGCUACAUCACAGAAGUGAAUGACAUGCCCAUCAAUAUUAUCAACCAAUAGAUAUUUAACCGUAGAAAUAUUAGGUCCAACUUUUAUUUGUUCAAGAGGUAUAGGUGUUCUAGUACAACUCUUACGAACCAUAGUUGAAGCUUUAGCAUGUUCCUUUAUCCUAAUAGGAAAGGGUGGUUUCUCAAUAUAAGUAGUAGGUAUAAUAGGAUCAACAUUACAAAUAGUAGUUUCUUCAAAUUUAAUAGGUUCUAGCACUUUAACUUCAAUGGGAGGAUUAUAUUUAAACCACUUCUCCUUGGGGAGAUCAACAUGAGUAGCAAAAGAUUUACAAAAUUAAGCUACUACCUCAGACUCAAGUGCAUAUUGUGUCUAUAAAGGAUUUAACACAAUCAAACAUAAGGCUUAUACCUGACUCAUUACCUUCAUCGAGUUCCCAAUCUUCAGAGUUUCCUUUAAUUAUUUCCAAUAAUUCCCGUUUGAAUUAAAUAUGUUUCUUCAUAAAGGAACGAGCAUAAGACGUGUCGAGCGUGGAUUGAAUAUUAUGAGAGAGUCGAGCAUAAUUUUUUUGAAUAAUAAUUUCUCUCGGGAGCUUAUGAUUGGGGACAUGAAUAUAACAUUGACGUAAGCCUCCCCCAAGCUUGAGCGAUUCUUUCUCCUUCACGAGGCCAAAAAUUACAGAUAUAAUUCCGACCACGAUGAACCAGAUGCAUAGGAUAAAACUUGUGAUGAAAUUCCAAUUUCAAUCGGUUGUAGUUCCAUGAUCCAAUAUCAUCACAUAGCCUAUACUAUGUCAACGCCUUUUUCCUUCAAAGAUAAAGGAAAUACCAUCUUUCUUGACAUCAUCCUCGAGCAGACUUGCAAGCUUCAAUAAUCCACAAACUUUAUCCACGUAGAUUAGGUGCAAAUGAGGAUGUAGUGUUCCAUCUCCUGCAUAAGGAUUAGCUAGCAUCUUUUCUAUCAUACCUGAAGGAAUUUCAUAAUAAAUGUUUUUAGUGGGUGCAGCAGGUUGAGGAUCAUCUCUUUGUGCUUCCGGUCGGGGUGAAGAUACCCCUAACAAGCUCCUCAAAGGAUUAUUGUCCAUAGUGACAAAUCACACUAAAUUUCAUCACAGUAUGUAAUUUUUUCCUUACCAAGUUCCACUUACCAAAGGUGCUUCACUCCCCGGAAAUGGCACCACAAAAGAGUCUUGAUGACCCACAAGUAUAGGGGAUCUAUCGUAGUCCUUUUGAUAAGUAAGAGUGUCGAACCCAACGAGGUGCAGAAGGAAAUGACAAGCGGUUUUCAGUAAGGUAUUCUCUGCAAGCACUGAAAUUAGCGGUAACAGAUAGUUUUGUGAUAAGGUAAUUUGUAACGGGUGACAAGUAACAAUUGUAAUAAGGUGCAGCAAGGUGGCCCAAUUCUUUUUGUAGCAAAGUACAAGCCUAGACAAACUCUUAUAUAAAGAAAAGUGUCCCCGAGGACAAAUGGGAAUUUAUGUCUAGCUAGUUUUCAUCAUGCUCAUAUGAUUCGAGUUCGUUACUUUGAUAAUUUGAUAUGUGGGUGGAUCGGUGCUUGGGUGCUUCCCUUACUUGGACAAACCUCCCACUUAUGAUUAACCUCUCUCGCAAGCAUCCGCAACUACGAAAUAGGAAUUAACAUAAAUCUAACCAUAGCAUUAAACAUAUGGUCCAAAUCAGCCCCUUACGAAGCAACACAUAAACUAGGGUUUAAGCUUCUGUCACUCUAGCAACCUAUCAUAUACUUAUUACUUCACAAUGCCUUCCUCUAGGCCCAAAUAAUGGUGAUGUGUCAUGUAGUCGACGUUCACAUGACAACACUAGAGAAGAGACAACAUAUAACUUAUAAAAAUAUCGAAUGAAUCCUAAAUUCACAUGAUAACUUAUAACAAGACUUAUCCCAUGUCCUCAGGAACAAACGUAAAUACUCACAAAGCAUAUUCAUAUUCAUGAUUAGAGGAUUAAUAAUAAUCAUUAAGGAUCUGAACAUAUAAUCUUCCACGAAAUAAACCAACUAGCAUCAACUACAAGGAGUAAUCAACACAACUAGCAACCCACAGGUACCAAACUGAAGUUUUGAGACAAGGAUCGGAUAAAGGAGAUGAACUAGGGUUUGGAGAGGAGAUGAUGUUGAUGAAGAUGUUGAUGGAGAUUGACCCCCUCUCGGUGAGAGGAUCGAUGGUGAUGACGAUGGCUUCGAUUUCCCCACUAGGAGGGAAGUUUCCCCGGCGGAAUAGCUCCACCGGAGCUCUAGAUUGGUUUUGUCGAAGUUCCGCCUCGAGACGUCGGCGUCGUGUCCGGAAAGCUCUAAUAUGAUUUUUUUCCACGUCAAUACCCUUCAUAUAGGAGAAGAUGGGCACCGGAGGCCUGCCAGGGGCCCCACAAGCCUCCAGGGCACGACCAUGGGGUAGGCCGCACCCCCUGGCUUGUGGCCACCUGGUGGGUCCCCUUCGGUACUUAUUUCACCCAUUAUUUUUAUAUAUUCCAAAACAAUUCUUUGUUACUUUUCAGGACUUUUGGAGCUAUGCAUAAUAGGUCUCUCAGAUUUGCUCCUUUUCUAGUCCAGAAUUCCACUUGCCGACAUUCUCCCUCUUCAUGUAAAUCUUGUAAAAUAAGAGAGAAAAGGCAUAAGUAUUGUACCAUAAUGUGUAUUAACAGCCCAUAAUGCAAUAAAUAUUGAUAUAAAAUCAUGAUGCAAAAUGGACGUAUCAAUGAUCUAUCUUUACACUAAACCAUAUCACGAAGUUCCGUUAAGUUUUGUGUGGUUGAAGUUUUCAUGUUUAGGGUGAGAUACCGAUAUGAGGUGAAUGAGGAGCAGCAAGAACCAAAGCUUGAGGAUUUCGAAGGCACCCUAAGGUAAUAUCCAAGGAAGACUCAAGCCGCCAAGCUUGGGGAUGCCCCGGAAGGCAUCCCCUCAUACGUCUCCAACAUUAUCGAUAUAUCUUACUUGGAGCUAUAUAUUUAUUUGUCACAUAAUAAAUGUUUUAAUUGGAGCGUAAUUUCAUACAAUUGUUCUAUGUUAUAUGUUAUUUAUAAUAUUUUUUAAUAAAAAGUUCCAAGAUUUUCUUUUAGAAUGUUUGAAUUGCAUGUAUGAUGUGUGCUCUACAAAAAUAGAAACUUUUUGAAAGGAUCGAUAUGGUUGACUAGAGGGGGGGCUAAUAGGCAACGACCACUUUUUAAUUAUUCUUAACAAGUUAGGGUUAGAAACAUAGAGGUUCUUUAAAAAGACAACUAGGUUAUGAACCUAUAUGAUGCUACCAACUAUAAUCUCUAAGGCAAGUAAGAAAUAGUGUACAACAAUUACGUACACAAUGUAAAGAUUAGAUAUAACCACAAGUGGAACCAAUGAAGACGAGGAUGUGUUACCGAAGUUCCUUCCCUUUGACAUGAAGUACGUCUCCGUUGGAGCGGUGUGGAGGCACAAUGCUCCCCAAUAAGCCACUAGGGACACCGUAUUCUCCUCACGUCCUCACACAAUGCAAGGUGCCGAAUCGUCUUGUGCCUUUUUCCACCGUAUUGCACUAUAGGUGCUCUUGAAGGCGGCGACCGAACCUUUACAAGCAAGGUUGGGGCAAACUCCACACAAAGCUUGGAGGCUCCCAACAAGACCCUGGAGCUUCACCACAAUGGAAUGUGGCUCCGAGGUGACCUCAACCGUCUAGGGUGCUCAAACACUCAAGAGUAACAAGAUCCGCAAGGGAUUAGUGCGGGGAAUCAAUUUUCUCUUUGUGGAAGUGUAGAUCUAGGCCUUCUCAACCAAUCCCUAGGAAAUCAACAAGUUUGAUUGGCUAGGGAGAGAGAUCAGGCACUUUUGAGCUUAGGGAGCAACAAUGGAGCUUGGGAGGGUCAAAGGUAGGGUUCUUGAGCAAGAAGAACCCUUUAUAUAGUGGGGGGGGAUCCAACCGUUUUCCCACUCAUAGCACGAGCCCAUCGGUAGUACCGCUGGCUGCAGCGAUACUACUAGUGGACCUCUAGCGGUACUACUGCUGGCUGCAGCGGUACUACAGCUGAGCCCAUGGUAGCGCAAAGAUACUACCGGGCCAACCACCACCAAGAAAGUCUUCGCAAAAAGUCCGACGUAGUACAUCCACAAGGAUGACCGUACUAAAGUCCUGGAGCGGUACUACCGCUGACGAGGGGCGGUACUACCGCUGCCGCAGUGGUACUACCGCCAGCUCUAGCGGUACUACCGCUAGGGAUAGCGGUACUACCGUCAGCUGUAGCGGUACUACCACUAGGGCCGGCGGUACUACCGCUAGGUCCAGCGGUACUACCGCUAGGGGUCCUUUUUGCAAGAGGAGAAAGACCAGAGAGGGUAAAAGCUCCAUAGUUGCACCGGAAAGGGGAUGGAGAAAAAAUGUGUACGUGCAAGAUUGAUUCCACCCAAACCUUCCGAAUACAUACCCCCUCUUAAUAGUACGACAUUCCUACGACUCAAAGACCACCCAAGAGAAUCGUAGAAGACACCCUGCUUCUAUUCCAUGGAGGGUGCCGAAUCGUCUUUUGCCUUUUUCAUGUAUUAUCUGAAAUUCUCAAUGCACACGAUUAGUCCAUUAAGGUACUGUCAUCAAUCACCAAAAUUACUUAGGCAUAAAUAUGCCCUAACAAUCUCCCCCUUUUUGGUGGAUUGAUGACAAUACCAAAUUUGCACAGUAGAAAGCAUGUGAUAGUAAAGAUAAUUUAAUAGAGAUAAUUGAAGAGCAUAUUACUCACAGCAUAUGAUUAAAAUAGGUCUCACAAUAAAAACAAGUCUCACAUCACACCUAGUAAAGAUAGAAAAUACGAUCAAACCAAGUUCAAAGCAAACACGAUAAAGAUAAAGCAAGCAAAUCCAACUCCUAGACUCUCUACCGCUUUAGCACCAAGACACCAAAAAGGGGCACACCUAAGACACAGGUGGUCACUCCUCAUCCUCAGACUCAUCUGUGGCAUCCAGAUCCUUCUUGUCCUGCUCCUCCUCAAUGUCCUCAUGACAAACCUCCUCCUCAGCAUCGGACCCAUUCCAUUGGUAACCUUGAGCUCUCAUCCAGUCAGUCUCUGGAGUGAUGUCGUCCUCUGAGCCGCUUGAGAUUGCCACAUCAAGUGUCCUUCAGCUUCACAGCCCAAGAUGGCAGAAGAGCGGGUAUGCGAAGUAGGUCCUCCUCCAGCAGCAGUCUAUGUGUCCGUAUCCAUGGGCUGAGAAGAAGUUGAGGUGUUGGCCCAUUUGUCCUUUAGACGCAGCUUGAUAGGAUCAUGCACAAAAUAGUCAGCUUCAACAGGGAGGGGCUCUACCAGAUAGGUAUCUUUCCACUUCUUCUGAAUAAAGGCAAACAGGUAAGGCCCGUAGAUGGGAACCUUAUGGUUCAUGAUGCAAUUCCAGAGCUCAUGGAACAUCACAUUAGAUAUGUCGAGAGGCCCAGUGUCCUUAUUCCUUGCCUCCUCAGACAGCAGAAGCAUCUGAGCCAGAUGUCCAUGCACCUCGUCCUUGUUGCGAAUAUGAGGGAACAGGGUGUUGUAGAAGAUCCGAUGCAUGAUAUCCAGAUGCGUGGGGAGCUCACCCUUUUUUAUGUAAAGAUGUUGCAGCCCGUCCUUGGGGGUGGAAGUAGAGGUAGCUGGAGCACGAGGACGCAGCCCAAGAAUAGUUUCUUGCCCCUAGAAGUCGACAUUGAGGAGCUGCAUGAACUCCGUCCAGGUACCAGUCAGCUUCUGACUACCCGUCAUCUAGGUCAUGGUGCGCUCGUCAUGAGGUUGAAAGUGAACGGUGACAUAAAACUGGGCCACAAUAUCUGGAUCGAAGUCCUUUCUGAAGGUGAUGACUUCGGUAAUGCCAAGCUUGUUAGCCAAGGGGAGAGCCUCGCCAAAGUAGUCAGCAUGCCGCCGAAGGUGAGCGAGGUCGAUCCACUGCACUGGGACAUAGAUCUUCUUGAAGGGCACGAUGAUGUCACGAAAGAUCGUUGCCUGUUCCCAUGACCAAACAUGAUCGACACCCCUGAGUUGAACUUUUUCAUUACCAUAGGGAUCACGGGUAAGGAGUGCCACACAGUCCUUAGGAGGCAUAGUGCGGACGUUGAGCCCUUUGGACUUAGUGACAACCUUCUUGAAAGACUUCUUUUUAGGAUUCAUAUAGGAAGCAGAACCUUCUGGAGCCUCUGGGUUGCGGUACUGCUUUGAUUGUGUGUUACGUGUAGGAUUCGAGCGACGAGAACCACCCGUGACACACAAGACACACACACAAAAAGAGUGACAAAAGGAGUCAUGGCAUUGUUCAAAAAUAUAAGAAGAAACACACAUUGCCAAGGGAAAUCAAAAUAAAAAAAAUAAAAAUGCCCUCCUUGCGGUAGUACCGCUGGGGUCGUAGCGGUAGUACCGCUGCCCCUCAGCGGUAGUACCGCCAGGAUGGCGGUAGUACUGCUGCCUCCUUAGCGAUAGUACCGCCCGAGUGGAGGGGUAGUACCGCUAGGCGUUGACUUUCAGAUCUGGACAUAUUUGAAACAACUAAAAUUACUAGAUUCGUUUCAAGAGAUCCACGGCUAAUAAAUAAAAUCAUCACAAGAAUCAACAUAGCCCUAAAACAUGUGGAACUCGAGAUCAUAUAGGUGUUGACAAGCCUAGUCAGUGGGAUCCAAGUUUUGGAUCAAAUCCAUGAGAUGUAUGAUAAGAGCUACUAGAUCUAAAACAUGGAGAACUAGGGCAUGUCAAAAUAUAUGCAAUGAAGUACAUUAGACCUAAAAUUCCCUAAGAUUUCUCCCUUGUUCCAUCCAAAAACUAAGCAAAAAGCAUAUCCAUGGAUCCAAAUCAACAAGCUCCUAACCCUAGAAACAAGCACACCAACCAAGAGAGGAAGGCGAGGAGCUUUACUGGAGUCCAUGGCACUUGACGAAGGAAGGAGGAGGGGAGCAAACCCUCCAACUGAAAAGAGAGGAGAGACUCCGCAAAGAGAGAUCUAAACUAGGGGGUUCGGUGUAGAGGGAGAGAGAGCCACGAGGAAGAAGAAGCAGGGCAAGGAAAAACGGCUCCCCCGCCCUUUAUAUAGUCCAAGGGGUACGGGCGCAGCGGUAGUAUCGCUGGGUCAUAACAGUAAUACCGCUACCCUAGUGGUACUACCGCUCCCCCUGGCGGUAGUAUUGCUGGGGUCCUAGCGGUAGUACCGCUCCCCCUUGAGACAGCCCUAAAAAGCCCUAGUCAAGCCACGAUAGGCUGGGCUCCUGGUGGUAGUACCGCUCCCCCUGGCGGUUGUACCGCUGGGGUCCUGGCGGUAGUACCGCUCCCCCUGGCAGUAGUACCACUCCAAAAAGGCAUAAAGAGACUUAGGACUUCAUGGAAAUGAUGUGGGCGACGACUAGUCAGUGUAGACAAAAAGGUAACACCAGCAAGAUAUACUGACUAGUCAUUUUGUAUCCUUUCUACAAUAAGAGAGAAAGGUGGGCGGUGGCCAGAGCCACCUAUGUUUGAGGCAAAGGUAUGACACCGCGAAGAAUUAUCCUUGGGUUCAUGACCAAUGCUCGUCUUUGAAGCACAAGUGCCAUUUAAUAAUGGCCAAAGUGAAAGGCUUGAUCGAUUUAUGCAUAAUGGGGGGAGGGAAAGUUCAUAGAGAGAACAACACUCCCCCUAUGUCCAUGCCUACACCUAGAACAAGAUAUAAUGCAGAGUGAGAUGCAAAGUGCCUAGUUUCAAUCCACAUGACUUGAAUCAAUGAUAUUUAGCUCAUGCCUUAACUCUCAGAACCUUGCUUUAUCUAGGGGCUUAAUGAAAUAUCUGCAAGUUGCUCUUCAGUGUUGAUGAGGUGAACCUAAAUAUCACCUCGCUUUAUAUGUUCACGAAUGAAGUGAUGGCGAAUAUCAAUGUGCUUGGUCUUGCUAUGUUGCACUGGAUUGAGGGAAAUAUUGAUAGCACUUUGAUUGUCACAUAGAAGAGGCACUUUGUCACAAGUGACACCGUAAUCCUUUAAAGUUUGCCUUCAUCCAUAACAACUGUGCACAACAAGUCGCAGCUGCCACAUACUCAUCUUCGGUGGAAGAUAGUGAGACACAAUUCUGCUUCUUUGAAGACCAACUUACGAGUGAACGACCAAGGAAUUGACAUCCUCUAGAAGUUGACUUCCUCUCCACACAGUCUCCCGCCCAAUCUGAGUCAUAAUAGACCACUAGGUUGAAGUUUGCUCCUUUGGGAUACCAUAGACCAAAGUUUGGGGUAUGAUCCCAAUAUCGAAAGAUUCGCUUAACAACCAUAUAAUGGCUUUCUUUUGGUGCAGAUUGAAACCGUGCACAAAUCCCUACGCUCAACAUGAUAUAUGGUCUAGAUGCACAAAGGUAAAAAAGGGAUCCAAUAAUGGAGCGAUAUACCUUUUGAUCCACUGCUUUACCAUUGGGAUCACUAUCAAGCUUGCAUUUGGUGGGCAUGGGAAACUUGACCGGCUUGACAUCCUCUAGCUCGAACCUCUUGAGCAUGUCUUGAGUGUACUUGGCUUGUUUGACGAAGGUCCCUUCUAAGCCAUGUUUAAUCUCGAACCUGAUGACCCACAAGUAUAGGGGAUCAAUCGUACUCCUUUCGAUAAGUAAGAGUGUCGAACACAACGAGGAGCAAAAGGAUAUGACAAGUGGUUUUCAGCAAGGUAAAAUCUGCACGCACUGAAAUUGUCGGUAACAAGUGAUUGUGUGGUGAGAUGAUUCGUAGCAAGCAACAAGUAACAAAAGUAGCAACGAUGCAGCAAAGUGGCGCAAUCCCUUUUUUAGCAAGGGACAAGCCUGUACAAAGUCUUAUAGGAGGAAAAACGCUCCCGAGGACACACGGGAAUUUCUGUCAUGCCAGUUUUCAUCAUGUUCAUAUGAUUCGCGUUCGUCAUUUUGAUAGUUUGAUAUGUGGGUGGACUGGCGCUUGGGUACUGCCCUUACUUGGACAAGCAUCCCACUUAUGAUUAACCCCUCUGGGAAGCAUCCGCAACUACGAAAGAAGAAUUAAUACAAAGUCUAACCAUACCAUUAAACUAGUGGAUCCAAAUCAGCCCCUUACGAAGCAAAGCAUAAACUAGGGUUUAAGAUUAUGUCACUCUAGCAACCCAUCAUCUACUUACUACUUCCCGAUGCCUUCCUCUAGGCCCGAAUAAUGGUGAAGUGUUAUGUAGUCGAUGUUCACAUAACACCACUACAGGAAAAACAACAUACAACAUAUCAAAUUACCGAACGAAUACCAAAUUCACAUGACUACUAUUAGCAUGACUUAUCCCAUGUCCUCAGGAACAAAAGUAACUACUCACAAAGCAUAAUCAUAUUCAUGACCAGAGAGGUAAUGAGUAGCAUCAAGGAUCUGAACAUAAAAUCUUCCACCAAUUAAUCCAACUAGCAUCAACUACAAAGAGUAAUCAACACUACUAGCAACCUUACAAGUACCAAUCGGAGUCGCGAGACGGAAAUUGGUUACAAGAGAUGAACUAGGGUUUGGAGAUGAGAUGGUGCUGAUGAAGAUGUUGAUGGUGACGAGUCCCCUCCGAUGAGAGGAGUGUUGGUGAUGAUGAUGGCGACGAUUUCCCCCUCCGGGGAGGGAAGUUUCCCCGACAGGAUCGUCCUGCCGGAGCUCUAGAUUGGUUCUGCUCAAGUGGCGAAUCCACGAAAAAGCUCCUCCUUGAUUUUUUUCCUGGACGAAACCCUUCAUAUAGCAAAAGAGGGGGGCCAAUGGGACUGCAGGGUGCCCACAAGCCCUCAUGGCGCGACCUGUGGGGGUGGUCGCGCCGUUCAGGGUAGUGGCCACUUGCACGCCCCCCUCUGGCACUUCUUCGGCCCAGUAUUUUUGAUAAAUCGGGAAAAAAUCCUCGUUGAUUUUGACGGUGUUUGGAGUUGCGCGGAAUAGGUAUCUCAAACUUGCACCACUUUCAGGCCAGAAUUCCAGUUGUCGGUAUUCUCCCUCUUCAUGUAAACCUUGCAAAAUAAGAGAGAAAAGGCAUAAGAAUUGCACCGUGAAGUGAACUAACAGCCCAAGAAACGAUAAAUAUCAACAUGAAAACAUGAUGCAAAAUGGACGUAUCAACUCCCCCAAGCACAGACCUCGCUUGUCCUCAAGCGAAAGCCUAGCUCAAUAAAUAUGUCCACAUGUUUAGGGAGAGAGGUGUCAAAAAAACAAGAUACGAACAUGCAUGCAUCAUGAUCAUGAUCAGAACAACAAUACCAACAUAUAAUCUCUCAUGCUAACGUGAUAAUUCCUUCACAAAGUAAAGCAUGGAUCAAGAACCUUACCGAGAAGUAACAACCGAUAGCCUUUAGUCAUUGAAGCAAUUGCAAUUUAUCACAACAUCAGAAAGAGUCAAAUAAGAGCUUGUAAAGCAAAUCCACAUACUCAAUCAUUCUUUCGUUCUCUACAAUUGCUACAACUCACGUGGUACUCAUGAGAUCAAAGUUUCAGUUGGACACAGAGAAAGAUAGGGGCUUAUAGUUUUGCCUCCCAACUACUUACCUCAAGGGUAAUGUCAACAGUAGUAAUUCAUCAAUACUUACUUCUAAGUUGGCAUAUGAAUAUAGAUCUUUCCCAAGCAUACGACGUUAGCCAAGAUAAAGGCGAAAUAAGGAAUUGGUGAAGAUCACCAUGACUCUUUCAAGGGCAAAAAGUAAAGAUACAAGAUAGGCCCUUCGCAGAGGGAAGCAGAGGUUGUGAUGCGCUUUUGAGGUUUGGAUGCGUGUCCUCAUAGUGCGGAGGAACAUCACUUUAUAUUGCCUCCUGUGAUAAAGAACUUUAUUAUGCAGUCUGUCGCUUUUAUGUCUUCCUCAUCACAGGUUCGUACAAAGCUUAUUGUCCACACACUAAUAGAUCAUACAUAUUAGAGAGCAAUUUUUAUUGCUUGCACCGAUGACAACUUACUUGAGGGAUCUUAUUCAAUCCAUAGGUAGGUAUGGUGGAUACUCAUGGCAAAACUGGUUUGAAGGUUUAUGGAUGCACAAGUAGUAUCUCUACUUGGUGCGGGAGUUUUGGCUAAUAUGAGGUGGAAGCAAUCGUCACAUGCCAAGGGAUCUCUAAUCAUAUAACAUUGUUCGGAACCAAGCAAACACAAUUCAUUAUGUUGUCUUCCUUGUCCAACAUCUACUUCUAGGCAUGCAAUAAUUUAGUGAGUGUUCACAAUCAUAGAUGGUGUCAGAGAUGAUAUAUUUGUAUGUGAACCUCUUCUUCCUUAUCACUUCCUAUUAAUUGCAACCAUGACCAAGGUCUACGUUUGCCUACCCUCAACAAGUUUCAAUCCUCAUUCUUUUUAUAUGUGAAGCCAUCACUUCCCAUAAGAUCAUUACAUGAUCUUCCAUGCUUUUGUUCUAUUCUCACUCUUUUGAUCAUGGUAAGAGGCAAAGCCCUUCAACUAAGACACUCUUUAUUAUAUGGCUCACGAGCUCGAAUACAUUGGGGGUGACACAAAGCAAAACUCAAGACUAAAACACUAAUACUUUUAUUCUACUAGAGAAAGAGAAAACUGAAAAGGAAAACCAAAACAAAGGUAAAGGCAAAGGAUGUGAUGGUGAUACGAUACAGGGGAAACUCCCCCAAGCUUGGAGAAAGCCAAGGGGAUUGCCCAUACAAAUGCUCAGUUGUCUUCCUUUGGUGGUGAUGGUGGUGGAGUUGUUGAAGAGGUCUUGAUCUUGUUUAAUUUCCACUUGAGCAUAAAAUUCUUCUCCCUCAGAUCAUCAUUUUCCUCUUCAAGCUUCAACACCCUUCGGCAUAAUUCCUGCUUACUCUCCUGCAAGAAAUGAGAAGGUAUAAACAAGGUCUUAGGAAUCUUCCUUGAGUCAUGGAGGCUCGACUUCUUGAACUCCACAUGCGUGCGUCCAGGUUGAGGUAGAGGAGCCUCCUCUUCAUCCGAACUCGUUUGUUCCUUCCCCUUGGGAUCAUAAUCUUCUUCCUUGUCAGAGGUCCAGCCAUAAGGAUCAAAGUCCCCAUAGACCUUGGGGUUAGCAAGGUAAUCAGCCACAUAGCUCUGCCCCUCUGAAUCUUGAGAAGACAUCUUGACCUAGAUCUGCGGCAGAAAAUAGGCUCGAAACGAAAAACAGAAAAAAUCUGCGUGAUGCAGGGGUCACACCAAACGAGAGUAUAUAUAAUGAUUUUUUUAGACUAGAAGGAGUGCCCUGCACGAAAACAGAGUCCGGGAGGCGCACGAGGUGGCCACAAGCCCUCACAGCACGGCCAGGGGGUGGGCCCGUGCCGUGCAGGCUUGUCUCCUCCUCGCGCACUUUCCGGACUACUUCCAAUUUUUGUAUUUUUUCAAAUAUUCCAAAACGGAGAAAAUUUCCUACUGGAAAAGUUUUGGACUCUGUUUUUCUUACCGAAUCACAUACCUCUUCGUUUUCGGAGUUUGAAACAGGCUGAUAAAUAUCCCUUAGGUAUUCUUCCGGAGUUAUGGUAUUGAUAAUAUUGCUUUCAACAUUUAUGGGAGUACCUGAGAUAUAGUGCUUGAUUCUCUGCCCAUUUACAACUCUCGUACAAUUACCUUCCGUGUUGUUGAUCUUGAUAGAACCGGAACGAUAUACUUCCUCAACAACAUAGGGACCUUCCCAUUUAGAGAGAAGCUUGCCUGCAAAGAAUCUUAAACGAGAGUUAUAUAGCAAGACAUAAUCACCUACAUUGAACUCACGCUUUUGUAUUCUCUUAUCAUGCCACCUCUUAACCUUCUCUUUGAACAACUUGGCAUUCUCAUAUGCCUGAGUUCUCCACUCAUCAAACAAGCUAAUGUCAAAUAACCUCUUCUCACUGGCAAGUUUGAAAUCAAAGUUGAGCUCUUUGAUUGCCCAAUAAGCUUUAUGCUCUAGCUCAAGAGGUAAAUGACAUGCUUUACCGUACACCAUUUUGUAUGGAGACAUGCUCAUGGGAUUCUUAUAGGCAGUUCUAUAAGCCCACAGUGCAUCAUCGAGCUUCUUAGACCAAUUCUUUCUAGACCUGUUGACAGUCUUUUGCAGAAUUAGUUUAAUCUCGGUGUUGCUUAGCUCUACUUGACCACUGGACUGAGGGUGGUAGGGAGACGCAAUUCUAUGGUUGACAUCGUACUUAGCAAGGGUUUUACGGAAAGCACCAUGAAUGAAGUGUGAACCACUGUCGGUCAUUAGAUAUCUAGGGACUCCAAAUCUAGGGAAAAUAACUUCUUUAAGCAUCCUGAUAGAGGUGUUGUGGUCAGCACUACUAGUGGGGAUAGCUUCUACCCACUUAGUGACGUAAUCAACAGCAACUAGGAUAUGAGUAUACCCAUUGGAUUUUGGAAAAGGUCCCAUAUAAUCAAAUCCCCGGACAUCACAUGGUUCAAUGACAAGUGAAUAGUUCAUAGGCAUUUCCUGACGUUUGCUAAUAUUACCUAUUCUUUGACAUUCUUCACAGGACAUGCAGCAUAGGAGAAGUAAGUAUUUCCCUCAGUUUGAGAAGCAAGGUAUCGAUCCAGAAGGAGGGUCUCGUCAAGUCCAGAGUACCUCCGCAAACACAAACAAGCUUGUACCCAACGCUUCAAAGGGGUUGUCAAUCCCUUCAAGAUUGUUUGAAAAGUGAGAUCUGAAGGCGGAAAGUGCAACGAAGUAAAAAGUGUAAGGAUGAAAAUAUGGUGUGGAGUAGACCCUGGGGGCCAUAGUGUUCACUAGAGGCUUCUCUCAAAAUAGCAAGUAUUACGGUGGGUGAAAAAAUUAUUGUCGAGCAAUUGAUAGAACCGCACAAAGUAAUGACGAUAUCUAAGGCAAUGAUCUAGCAUAUAGGCAUCACGUCCGAGCCAAGUAGACCGAUACUUUCUGCAUCUACUACUAUUACUCCACACAUCGACCGCUAUCCAGCAUGCAUCUAGUGUAUUGAGUUCAUGAAGAAGAGAGUAACACUUUAAACAAGAUGGCAUGAUGUAGAGGGAUAAUCUCAAACCAAUGAUGAAAAUCCCCUCUUUUUACCCUUGAUGGCAACAACACGAUGCGUGCCUCGCUACCCCUUCAUCGGAUCUCGACAAACACACUGCAAAAGAAGAUUACAUCAGAUAGAUCUCCAUGAAGAUCAUGGAGAACUUUGUAUUGAAGAUCCAAGAGAGAGAAGAAGCCAUCUAGUUACUAGCUAUGGACCCGUAGGUCUAUGGUGAACUACUCACGCAUCAUCGGAGAGGUCAUGGUGUUGAUGAAGAAGCCCUCCGUGUCCGAAUCUCCCCUCCGGCAGGGUACCAGGACAUGCCCCAGAUGGGAUCUUUCGGAGACAGAAGCUUGCGGCGGUGGAAAAGUGAUUACGAUGCUCCCCUGACUUUUUUGGGAAUAUUUGGGAAUUUAUAGGCGCAAGAUCUAGGUCAGGGGACCUCUAGGGGGCCCACAAGCCUGCAUGGCGCGGCCCCCUCGCCGCAGGGUGGGGACUUGUGGGGCCCCUGGGGCUCUUCUGGCUUGGCUCCCAAGUCCCCCGAUCUUCUUCCGUUAUAGAAAAAAUCUUUUCGGGGAUUUUCUUCCGUUUGGACUCCGUUUCAAAAUCUCCUCUGAAAGGGGUCAAAAACAUGGAAAAACAGGAACUGGCACUUGGCACUGAAUUAAUAAGUUAGUCCGAGAAAAUAAAUAAAAGGCAUGCAAAACAUCCAAAGUUUGACAAGAUAAUAGCAUGAAACCAUCAAAAAUUAUAGAUACAUUGGAGACGUAUCAAUCCCCGAAAAAUCUGAAACCACGGGAGAGAGCCACCAAAAUACUUUUCCGCUGCCGCAAGCUUCUGUCUCCGCAGGAUCCCAUCUGGGGCACGUUCUAGUGCCCUGCCGGAGGUGGGAUUCGGACACGGAGGGCUUCUUCAUCAACACCAUUGCCUCUCCGAUGAUGCGUGAGUAGUUUACCACAGAUCUUCGGCUCCAUAGCUAGUAGCUAGAUGGCUUCUUAUCUCUCUUGGAUCUACAAUACAAUGUUCUCCAUGAUCUUCAUGGAGAUCUAUCCGAUGUAAUCCUCUUUUGUUGUGUGUUUGUCGAGAUCCAAUGGAUUGUUGAUUUAUGAUCAGAUUAUCUAUGAAUCUUAUUUGAGUUUCUUCUGAUCUCUGAUAUGCAUGAUUUCAUGCCCUUGUAAUUCUCUUCGAGUUGUGGGUUUCGUUUGGCCAACUUGAUCUAUAAUUCUUGGAAUGGGAGAAGUGCUUGCUUUUGGGUUCAUACCAUACGGUGACCUCACCCAGUGGCAGAAGGGGUAGCGAGGCACGCAUCGUGUUGUCGCCAUCAAGGGUAAAAAGAUGGGGUUUAUAUGUAUUGCAUGAAUUUACCCCUCUACAUCAUGUCAUCUUGCUUAAGGCGUUACUCUGUUUGUAAUGAACUCAAUACACUAGAUGCAUGCUGGAUAGCAGUCGAUGUGUGGAGUAAUAGUAGUAGAUGCAGAAAGUAUCGGUCUACUUGUCUCGGACGUGAUGCCUAUAUGUAUGAUCAUUGCCUUAGAUAUCAUCAUGACUUUGGGUGGUUCUAUCAAUUGCUCGAUAGUAAUUUGUUCACCCACUGUAAUACUUGCUAUCAUGAGAGAAGCCUCUAGUGAACACUAUGGCCCCCGGGUCUACUUCACAUCAUAUUUUCAGCCCUACACUUUUACUUUGUUGCACUUUCUGCCUUCGGAUCUCACCUUGCAAUCAAUCGUGAAGGGAUUGACAACACCUUUGUAGCGUUGGGUGCAAGUUUGUUGUUUUUGCGCAGGUACUUUGUAGACUUGGCUUGAUACUCCUACUGGAUUGAUUCCUUGGCUCUCAAACUGAGAGAAACACUUACUACUACUGUGCUGCAUCACCCUUUCCUCUUCAAGGUAAAAACCAACACAAGCUCAAGAGGUAGCAGUGAUACGUGUGCUUCAAAGACGAGUUUUGGUCAUGGGCCCAAGGUUAAAAUCCUCGUGGUGCCAUACCAACUUACUCAAACAUAGGUGGCCUCGGCCACCGCCCCUUCCGUAGAAAUUCUUUUCAUUGAUUUAUUGCACGGUCACUCCACAGUUCGUUCUACUUCUCCUUUUGCACUCUUUGAAGGUGGAGUACCUUCAUGAUUGUUUUUUUGUAGUAGCAUUAUCUCAUUCUUCUCUCCAAUGCAUUGUAUAAUAGGUCCAUUUUCUUUGAUGGUUGGGUGGCUUUUUUUGGGUCGCAGGCGGUACUAUCGCCCCCAGGCCGGUACUACCGCGCAAGCGGUACUACUAUGCGGGUCGGUGGUACUAUUGACUCGAGGAGAUCGUGGGCAGUUAAGUACAAGGCAAGGGGAGUUCUAACUCCUCCAUACCGAUUCACUUCCUCUCCCCAUGACUCUCUCUCAUCGGCGAUCAAGAAGACCACCAAAGGUCGACUCCGGAUAUCUAUCUGUGCCGCCCUCCACUUUUCUUGUCCGAUGGGAUUCCCCCCAUCUCCCUCGUGCCAUGGACCCCGAUACCGCCCUCGAUCCACUUCUUUGUAAUGGAGUUUUGUUGGUCCUUGAUCUAGGGCAUUGAUUGUGUAUUUGUCUAGUAUGAUUUUCAAUGGCAUGAGUAGGAGGUGUGAUGGGUUUUAGUUGCAGUAGGCAUGGUAGAUGCAUUGGUGAAUUGGGAGUUCGGCUCCAACACUGCUGUCCCCAAGGCCGCGAUAGUUCUCUCUUCUCAGGGCAGUACUACCGCUCGUGCCUGAUCGGUACUACCGCUGCGGCGGAAGUACCACUCCUACACAACGGUACUACUGAUGUGGUGGAAGUACCGCUCCUGUACAGCGGUACUACUCAUCUCUGUCUUGGUUACCUAGUUUCUUCUAUGCAUCUGCUCAUCUCUGUCUUGGUUACCUAUUUGACAAUUGCAUUAUUUUUAGACAUGUUUUCUUGCCAUUCUUCUUGUGAGUUCCAGAUGAUGGCUCUCAUCCUAUGACUUGUGACAUGAACCCUAAGUGUGGCUCCAAGUUCUCAUGUGCAUCUGAGGAGGUAGCAACUGGUUCCAGUGCUCAGCCACAAAAGCAGCCUACGAGGAGGACAAUCAGCAAGAAGAAGGGCCCCAAAGAGCCCCAAAAUUUUCCCCAAGACGUGUUAGCUGUGCUUCGCAAGCAGGAUCCCUAUUGUCCGCCUCAAGAUAAAGCACUCGCGGGGAGUCUGUUGUGGAACAAGACACGAUCUCUCAUUUACUCCAAGAUCAUGAAGACAUGGACCAAUGUCUUUAUGGACGUCAAGACCAUUGACAUGGGGCACAUGAUCCCCAAUCUCCGUACUGCUUAUUUUGUUGAAGCUCAUGCUCUCUGCAAGAAGCGGGGUCUUGGUCCUGUCAUCAGCUUCAAUAAGGACUUUGGUAGCGAGAUCGUGGCUCAAUUCUAUGCCACUGUUCACUUCCAUCAAGAUGAUGAAGAAAGGUGCAUGACCUAUAUGACUGGUGCGCGUGUGCUACACUUUGAUUGGAAGACUUUUAUGGACUCUUUUGGCUAUGCUGACAGGGGUCUGGAUGAGCCUAUUGGCCUGAGGCCUCAGACUCAGGGUGUUGCUGCUAUUCACAAGUACAAGCUCAUUCAUCACUCGAGGAUUGUGAAGACUGCCAGUCAUGACCAUACUGAGCUCAUUCCUUUUCUGGACAUCAUGCACAUGAUUUUUCGCAACACUCUGUUUCCUCAUGUUGGAAACAAGGACCAGGUGCACUCCUAUCUAGUGAACCUCCUCCUUUUCUGCAUGAAGGAGUGAGACCGUGAGUCCACCUUGGAUGUUUCCCACAUUAUGUGGAUGGAGUUGAGGUCUGUUGUUUUUGACAAGAAGAAAGUACCCAUCUAUGCUUCGUAUCUAUUCAAGCCGAUUGAGGGAACUUGGAAUGCUAACUUUCUUUCUAAGCUUUUAGUGACUGAUCACAUGGUCCGUCAUGGUGUGCGCAAGCUCUGUGUGAAGGAAACUUGGGGCAUUCCACCUGCUAUUCCGGAGAUUGCUGCUACUGACUCGGAUGACGAGCCUGAACCUAAUGAUGAGUUUUCUCGGAGAUUUGAGACUGAACCUUCUUGGGCCUCCAAGCUAAGGAAGAAGAUGAAGGCUCUUUUCUGCUUCCAGGCGAAGGGUCACUACAAGGCACAUGUUGACGCCAAGAAGGUGUGCAGUCGUGACAAGAUGAUGAUGCCAAAGAUUGGCCUUGAUGUCUAGAGUGGUUCAGAGGACAAUAUCACUGAUGAGGAGGACUGGAUGAAGGCCAACUGCUAGUGGACGGAGUCUGAGGAAGAGGUGUUCGCUGAGGAGGUGUCUCCUACUUCAGAUGAGUCUGAGGGGGAUGAUGACAAGGAGUACUGAGCUUCUCCUAUCUCCUCUUUUUGGUGUCUCGAUGCCAAAGCGGGAGAAAGUAUCUUAUUUUAAGAUGGAUUUGCCUUGCUGAGUCACGAGUGUGUUUAUUUGCAUUUGUUCUCUAUCUCGUGAACUCGUUUAUUGCUUGCUUUAGUUUGUGUUUGUCCUAGAGUUGUGUGAACUUAUGUAUAGUGUAAGACAUAUGCUACCCAAUCUAUCAUGUUAAGUCUUUACCUUUAUGGUGUGAAAUCCCGUGUCUCAUAUGCUUGCUUAACUGUUUUACUCUUCUUUUAUUCAUGUAAGUAUAUAUCCUUGUCUAUAAAAGAUAGGGGGAGUAUUGAUCCUAGUAUGUGCUCUUUGCAUUUUAAAAGCACAUUCAAAUAGAGCACACAUCUAGAGGGGGGCCGUCUAUAUAUUUUAGGUAUUGGGAAUGCCUAAGACUUCUUAGAUUAUUCAUUUGUUGGAAAAUACCAUAUUUUCACCAACCCACCAAAAAGGGGAGGAUUUUAAGAGCACAAUUUCUCCUAAGUAAUUUUGGUGGUUCAUGACGAUACCCUUUGCGGACUAAUUGUGUACGAUAUGCUUUCAGAGAAAUAUCAGGUGGCACGAGACGGUUAUAUUACCCUCACUGAGUGAAAGUUAAGAUGGUUCUUAGCUAUCGAUUUAGGGUUAGUGGACUCGAGUCAUAGAUAACCCCGUACUAUCAAGAGGGGAUCCGAAUUGGAAAGGCUGGGUGGAAUAAUCUCUCUCACCCUUGCACCCCUUCCUUAUCCCGGAGCAAUGGAGCUCCCAUGAAAAGUGCCGAGUCUUAUGUCUAAGUGGACGUACCGCUCUAGCAGUACUACCGCCUUCCAAAGUCGGGCACGCUACCGCUUAUAUUUUCUUCUAGUAUCCACGGGGUUUCUUCAUUUAAGCGAAAGUACCUCCAUGAGUGUGCAGUAGUACCGCUCCGCCCGUCACUUUCGCUCCCAGUUUCGCUUAGAUAUUAUCUCUGGCUCCAUUCCUCCCCUCGACUAGGGUAAGCGGAAGUAUCGCUCACUACAAGAUGGUAGUAUCGCCCAGGCGGUAGUACCACCCAUGUGCACGGUACUACCGCUUAGGUAAGUCAGCGGGGGUUGGUAACAUGCAGAUUUCCCCCCAAUAUAAAUAGAGUCUUCUUCCCCGAGGUGACCUCACCUUUUCCCCCCUGAAGAUCCAUUGUUGCUCCAAAUCUCAAUCUUUCCCGAUCUCCCUCCCUAGCCCUCAACUCUUUUUUUAUUCUCCAGGGUUUGGAGGAUAAGGGUUUCCCCCACACUUCCACCAAGUAAAAAAUUUGUUCCCCCCAUUAAUCCCUCGCGCAUCUUGUUACUCUUGGGUUUUUGACCACCCUAGAUGGAAUAGGUCACCUCGAAGCAAUAUUCCAUUGUGGUGAAGCUUCAUGAUCUCAUUGGGAACCUCCAAUUAAGUUGUGGAGAUUGCCUCAACCUUGUUUGUAAUGGUCUGGUCGCCGCCUUCAAGGGAACCACUUAGUGGAAUCACGACACCUCGCAUCGUGUGAGCGCGUGAGGAGAAUACGAUGGCCUCAGUAGCAUCUUGGGGAGCAUUAUGCCUCCACACCACUCCAACGGAGACGUACUUCCUCUCAGGUGGAAGCAAAUUCAGAAUCACAUCCUCAUCUUCAUCGAUUCCACUUGUGGUUAUUUCUUACCUUUACUUAUAUUUACUUCUUGCUUCCUAUUGUUGUUGUUAGCAUCAUAUAGGAUGCUCACUUAGUUAAAUAUAUUGACAAUCUAUUUGUUGCUAAACUUAAUUUGUUAAACAAAAAGAUUAAAAUUUGUGAGUUGUCUAUUCACCCCCCCCCUCUAGUCAACCAUAUUGAUUCUUUCAGUCUCGCAUAUCUAUUGUUUAGAAAACCAUACUGAUUUUUGUGGACCAAUCUCCUAAUAUAUCUCUGAAGUUCGUUGGCUAAUAGCUUAGUGAUGAUCUUGAGUGUGCAAUUCAAUAAAAAUAUAGGUCUAAACUCAGCUGGUCCAAAGGCAUAAUUAAUCUUUGGGACGAGUGUGAUAUAUGAAUAGUUGAUGCUUUGUAUGUUGACAUUCCGUGAGUGAAAAAUCUUGAAUGAGCUUGUAAAAAUCAAGUGCUAUGAUCUCGUAGCAAUGCUUAAGACAAGAUGCAUUAAAUCCAUCUCGUUUUGGCGCCUAAUCUCAUAGGAUUUGUUUUAUGGCCUUGUCAAUUUACUACGUAGUGAAAGGUGCUUCCAAAUCUUCGAGAUCAUCCACAGGGUGUAACAGUUGGUGAAGAACAAGGGGAUUAUGUGUUUGUUUACUUGUUCCCGCUCUAUCUUUGAAAUAUCUAUAUAAAAUGACAACUUUGUCAUCAUGAUAAGAAUGCUCAUUACCAUCCCCAUCUUGCAGCAUGGUAAUGCAAUUGUUUUUGAAUUUAAUUCAGCUUUGGCUUGGAAGUAUCUCGCGUUAGCUUCUCCCAUCUUAAUUUUCCUGGUUGUAUCCCUUUAUUUUGAGAAAAUUCUGUAUUGCUCCAGUAUUCUUUCUAGAUGUUUUCAAGAUUUAUAUUUCAUUAUUUUCUUCCACAGAAAGGGAUCUGGAUUCCUUAAUAGUAUCAUAAUAUAAUACCAUAAAGUUUUUGUCUGUUAUGCUUCUCUUCAAAUCAAAAAUGCCUUUAUUCCAAUUUUUCAAUCCUUUUCUUAAACUUAUAAUUUCACCGCUAUGGGUUUGGAACUACCCACUUCAUAAUUCUGUUGUGUUCGGAUAGUUUUCACUACAUCUUUGAAUUGCUCAUGUUCUAGCUAGUAGUUCUCAACUCUGAAGAUCUUUGAUUUUGGAAUAUCUCAUCCUAUCUUGAUAAUGAUUGGAACAUGAUAAGAAGUGUUUUUUGCUAGUGGGAUAGCAAAAUUUGAUGGGUAAUUUAGAUUCCAAUUUUCUGAUGUGAAACACUUUCAAUUUUUCUAAUAGAGGGGCCUCUUGCAUGUUGCUCCAUGUGAAUUUCCUUCCCUUUAGGGGAACCUCAACCAGAGCGUGUUUGCUGAUGGCCUCAUUAAGCAGUAACAUAUCAUUGAUAUUUCCUAACUCUCUGCUUCUGUUAUGAGGGUAUAUGAUGUAAUUGAAGUCUCUAGUAAUAAUCCAGUCUAUAUCAUCUUGCAUUGUGAAAUUUUGGAACAAGUUUAGAAAUCUGAUUCUACCGUUCUGUUGAUAGGGCACAUAUAUGUUUGUAAGAAUCCACUAAGCACCAUUGUGAUUAGAUGUAAAUUACAUUGACAGUGAAAAUUAAUUAACAUGGAAUAAAUGUCGUCUAAACAUUUGUUCAUUCCAUACAAUCACGAGCCACCUAGAAGCUCCAAUGAAUGGCAGAAUAUCAAAUUUAUUAAAUCUUCUUGGGCAAAAGUUCUUAAUAUAAAGUUGUCAAAGUUCCCUCUUUUUGUUUCUUGUGGGCAUAAGAUAGAGUAGUUAGAUCUUUCAAUUUUAUUAGCAAUGGUUGUCAAUUUCUUGAGAUCAUUAAUACCUCUGAUGUUCCAAUUUAAAAUAACCAAUUAUCUAUUCAUGGUGGAAAGAGUAAUAGAAUAUUACUAUGCGAAGGUAGUCUGACCAAUCCAUAGUAAAGUCUCACAUCAGUCCCACAUAGUUUUGACCUGAUAAGGUCGAAAAGUUUAACAUAAGUAACAUUAGGGUGGCAAAAUCUCAUCAAUCUACUACUUAGAAGUGGCACUAACAUAUUACAUGAAACUGACAUGACCCAAAAGUUGCUAGCUUUCUGUCUUCUAAAGAGUGCUCUAGAUCCACUGUUUAGUUUGUUCUUUAGGUGAUUUACCUCCCUCUAGUGCAAAUCUACCCCUUGCUCUUCUUGGCUCUUUUGCUCAGUAUAUCUUCUGUAGUGUCUUUGUCGGAUACUUUGGAAAAUGAGGUAUUCAGACUAGUAAUGACUUUUGUGGCAAUGAUAGGAGGCAUAACAUGACAUGCAAGUCACUCUUUUCCUAUACAAGAAGAUUGUUUAAAACCUUUAGAGAUCUUUCGUAAUCUGCAAUUUGUCCUUACCUAUAUUUCUACCAUUGGGACGGUGUCCUUCCUAUUUUUAUUUUUGUGAAGUGCAGAGGUAGAAUAGGUAGAAAACUAUUCAGUUGAUACUUGAUUAGUUGGAGAUGAGUUUUCCAACUCAUGCAUGCCUUGGGAGAGUGCACAAAUAAGAGAUUUAUCAAUAGGGAAUUUUUCUGGAAUGAAAAAUGGCAGUGCUGCUGAACUAGAGGAACUAUGGGUAAUAAUCUUCCAUACACUGGAUGUAAUGAAUUUAUUGGCUCAUACAAACUUAGUAGUGGAUAGCAAUGCAACAAAUAGGAAAUUAAACCGGUCAAUAGGUACCUGAAUCACAUUAUUAUCUAUAGCAGUAGGUGCAAAAUGUGUUUUCUGAUCCUUAUUUGCCAAAAAAUGUUCAACUCAAGUCUUUUUGAUGUUGAUGUCUUCAGUAGGAGCAUGAUCUUCUACUUUUUUACUGCUAGCAACCAGGCCUCGGCAGAUAGAAUGAGCCUAAUUAAGAAAUAUUGGAUUGGGGAAGCCUAGUGGAGCAGUCUUGUUCGAAUGUGUCUCACAUGUGUCCAAAUCAUUUCUCUCAUAUUUUGUGUCUUUCCUAACAGCUUCAUCGAUAUUUUUCUUUGGGAUAUUAGCCACAAUUUCAUCAUUACUUCCAGGUAGCUCAUAUGAGUUUAACAUAGUAUUGUCAAUAACAACUUCAGUGACUUGUGCCUAUAUAGCCUGGUGUGUAGUUUUGAUGGAAUGAGAUAGUAGUUCAAAUUGCAUAGGGUCCUCGUGAUAAACUGACUAAGGGUUGACAUAUUGUGAUAUAACUGCCUCCAAGCUUUGAUCAAAUACUUGUUGUACUAGCAUAUCUAUAGGUUGCAACAGGUUCUCCAUUGGUGGUUGGAAAGCAGCCUCCUAUGGUUGUUGGUGGGCUUGAGGGGAAUAUGGCCCAAUGGGCUUAACACCCAUAUUUAAAUCACACAUGACCUGAAUAUUGGGAGCGAGAGGACCAUUUGUUGAAGUUGCUGAACGUAGACCGUUGUUCGAUGAAACCAAGGAGUUAGUAAUGAUGCUAUUAUGCAGCAUAUCUUGUAUAAUCUCCUAUUCCAUAGGAGCCAUGAGAAAAUUAAGCUCUAAAAAUUCCCCUUCUGAAGUUCCGUAUCAAUCUCCUAUGUCAUUGCCUAAUGUCCCCAUACAGGCAUGUCCUCUGUUCCUCAUUGAUCUCCUUGUUAGCUGCCUCUUCAUUAUGGCCGAUAUCAAGAGCUAACUGAAGGUUUAGUUGAGGAGCUAGCUGUGGUACAAUAGGAUCAUGUUGUUGAUGGUACUCAUGCUGCUGAAGUGGACUAAGAAAAUGGUUAUGUAGAUUGAGGUGAAUGAAAUUUUGUGGAGGACCAGGGUGGGAAUUUCUAUCAGGUUCAAUAGGGUCCUCAUCUGGUGCCUCUACACAUAGAAUUUGUUGCUGAAUAUGACCACAAGAAUCGUGAGAGAACCUGUUUGUAAAUCAUUACCAUCCCCAAACACAAUAGUAUAUCGAAUAUCCCUGAGUUCUUUCACUCCUACUUUAAUCAUCUCAGCUCUUGUACUUCUAACAUUGUCCCAAAACAACAAUUUGUCAAACUUAUUAACAACAUUACUGACUUCAUGAAUUGGCCUUCUAUCAAAUGGAUAGCCACAUAGAAGAAUCCAUUGCAUGUCUGUUUGGCACUAGUCUUCUCAAGUUCAAACCUCUAUCAUGCCUAUCAAAAAUAACAUGCACAUCGGUGAAUGGAUGUGGGAUAUUGGAUAUGAGUGGAUCUCUAUCAAACACACCAUUUAACUUAACAUGUGCUUGGCAAAACGGACAAAAUUCUAUAACAAAAAACUCAAUCGCUUGACUUUGAAAAAAAUCUAAUAGUACCUCUCUAACGGUGUUGAAGGUGCAAGGGAGAUUCGACAUUGGAACAAUUGUUGCAAUUGCCCACUCUUAAUGGGUAAGAACCAUUGCUUCGAUGAUAACACAUAUCCUUGUUGGGCGGCCCUCCACCUUGAUGCUCUCGUGGUUUGGCGAUAAGAAUGGGGUGGGGUCAAACAGAAUGGAGGCCAUUGAGGUGGGGAGCACGUUCGACAUAUAGAUUAGGUAUUGGUGCCUUAGUUUAUUGGGUGAGAUUGUGGCUUCUUGGAGAAGGAGAGUGAUGGAGUUAUGCGAAGUGUUUGGAAGGAAAUUGUCGACCCUGAGAGAAAGCACAGAGGCAUUUACUCAUUUGCUCUAUUCUAAAUGUUGUUUGACUACCUGAUUAGUCAAAAGCAUGGGAACGGUGGAUACUUGCAUCGGAAACGCGAGCGUCGCUGGGGGAUUUGGGUUGGGCUGAGGAGUUGGAAUGGGGUCGUGAGGUGGAAUGUGCCUAUUAUGUGUGUGCCAAUCCCUGGCAAUGUGCCCCCAACAGCUAAAAACCCUUCAUUUGGUCUUGUUUGUGCAAUUAGGCCGAGAGUGAUAUGUGAGGAGAUAAUUGACACAGAAAAGCCCUCAAGGGCCAAUUUGUAAGUGUGUUGGAUGUUCUUUGUUGGAUAUAUGAUCAGCGCUCACCGGAUUAGAGUAGAUACUAGGGUAUCUAAGUGCUUGGAGGUAAGUUUUACAUGGAUGGCGACAGAAAAUGUGGGACCAUUCACGCUCCUUUACUUGGAGAUAUUGAUCUAAUUCCCAGCAAGAGUUUGGGUGACCAUUGCCCCAAAGCAAGAAGUUGAUGUUGAGUAGUGGGAGUGAGAUGCUACCUCCUUUGAUGAUAGAAAAUCCAACUAAUUUAGAUGAAACUAAGAACUUGAAUGACCAAUUUUGCAGUUCUUUGACUUUGAAAACGGAUGAUCUACCACCAAAUCGUGGGAGAAGGAUUGUGCUUACAGAUUCCUCACUGAGUCUGAUACGAGAUCUGGUAAAUCUAUAACCAGGAGAAAUUCUUAAAUAUCUUUGCCAUCCUCGUAGUUGAUGGGCACACCCCACUUCUUCGAAACUUCUGAUGCGAAGUCUUGCCCGAUGUCGAAAUUGAGAUCUGCAAGCGCCAUGGGGGGUGUUGAGAGAUGUGUGAUACUAUGUGGACACUGGGGCCAGAGUGGACACCGGUGGUGACGCGGAGGUGGUUAGGCGGAGGCUAGGUGACCGAUCUCUUGCGCCUAUAGCCCAAGCCGCCGCUUAAUAGAGACUUUGGUGUUCACAAGAAAUGAGAAAAAUUACUUCAUGCACGUAUCCAUGGACCAUACAAAAAGGAACAUCACAAGUCGCUAUCUAUCUAUAAAUACUAGUGCAACACUCGAUCCAUACAAUAUCAAAUUUUAACAUCUCCUUUCUUAUAAAUUAAUUGAAGUUAUAAAAUGUACUGUAAGUAAAAGAACAAGUUCAGGCGAUCAUAUACUCCAUGGUCACACAUGAAUAUGUAUCGUGUGACCCCAUGUAGAACGUGAUGCGUAGAGUGCGAUAUUUGUGAGAUUACUUUUUUAGAGAGUACAAACAUUGCGUAUCAUAUUUUUAUAGAAGAUAGGAAAAGUUACAAGACACCUGCCGAAGAUGCGAAAAUCAUCACAAGAACACCCACACCAACACUGUAGAAAGCUACUGAUACGACCAUUUUGCAUUAUGAUUUCCUGUUGGUACUUAUUAAGUUUUCAAGCAUUAUUUCACUUCAUGAUGCCAUCCUUAUAUAUUUUCUAUCUUAUUUUACAAGGUUUACACAAAAAGGGAAAUCACUCGAACUAGAAUUUUGGACAUGAAAUGCUAUGGAAAAGGCUGGAAAUUUUCUGCACUCCGAAUCACUAGAAAGUUCACGGAGAUUUUUUUACAGAAUAUGUGAUGAAUAUUUGAGCAAAGAACUACCGGAGGGGACCCCCAAUUUCCCCCAAGACAACAGCCCCCCUACGGCGUGGCCUGAUGCCUUGUGGGUCCCAUAGUCAGCCGCUGGUGCCCAUCUUCUACUAUAUGAAGGGUUUUGACCUAGAAAAAUCAAGAGGACACUUUCGGGACGAAGCACUACCAUAUCAAGGCGGAAAUCUAGGAAGAAGCACCUUUGCUUUCCCACGGAGCCAUUCUGGUAGGGAAACAUCCCUCUGGGAUGUGGAAAUCGAAGCCAUCAUCAUCACCAACACUUCCUCCUUCGUGAGAGGACCAAUAUUCAUAAACAUCUUCAUGAGCACCAUCUCAUUGCAAACCCUCGUUCAUCUCUUGUACUCAAUCUUUGUCCCAAAACUUCAAAUUGGUACCUGGGGGUUGCUAGUAGUGUAGAGUACAUCUUGUAGUUGAUGCUAGUUGGUUUACUUGGUGGAAGAUAAUAUGUUCUGAUCCUUAAUCAUAUUCAUUACACCUCUGAUCUUGAACAUGGUGAUGAUUUGUGAGUAGUUACUUUUGUUCUUGAGGACAUGGGACAAGUCUAGUUAUAACUAAUCAUGUGAAGUUGGUAUUCGUUCAAUAUUUUGAUGUUAUAUAUGUUGUUGCUUCCUUUAGUGGUGUCAUGUGAACAUUGACUACAUGAUACUUCGCUACACUUGGUACUGAGGGAAGGCAUUGUGGAGUAAUAAGUAGAUGAUGGGUUGCUAGAGUAACAUAAGAUUUAACCCUUGUUCAUGCGUUAUUCGUAAGGGGCUGAUUUGGAUCCACAUGUUUCAUGCUAUAGUUAGAUUUAUCUUAAUUCUUCUUUGGUAGUUGAGGAUGCUUGUGAGAGGGGGUAAUCAUAUGUGGGUUGCUUGUUCAAGUAAGAACAACACCCAAGCACCGGUCCACCCACGUAUCAAAUUAUCAAAGUAACGAAUGUGAACCAACUCAACAUGAUAACGUGACUAGACAAAAAUUCCCAUGUGUCCUCGAGAAAAUUUUGCCUUUUUAUUUUCUAUAAAAAAGAUUGGGCCACCUUGCUGCACAUUUGCUACUAUUUUUACUUGUUACUUGUUAGGAAUUACCUUACUACAAAACUAUCUAUCAUUCUUACUAAUAGCACUUACAGAAAUUACCUUGCUAAAAACCACUUGUCAUUUCCUUCUCCUCCUUGCUAGAAUGACACUCUUACUUAUCAAAAGGACUACGAUUGAACCCUGGUACGUAUCCAACGUAUCUAUAAUUUUUGAUUGUUCCAUUCUAUUAUAUUAUCAUCCUAGGAUGCUUUUUAGGCAUUUAUUUGUCAUUUUAUAAUAUUUUUUAGCACUAACCUAUGAACCCAGUGCCAAGUGCCAGUUGCUGUUUUCUGCAUGUUUUUGGCAUUUCAGGAAUACUGUACCAAACGAAAUCCAAAUACCCCUAAAAAUUUUAAUGAAUUUUUAGGGACAAAAUAAGAACAUGGAAACUUUGGAAAGAGGCUGGAGGCCCCACGGGGUGGCACAACCCAACAGGGCCUGCCCAAGGGGUGGUCAUGCCCUCAUGGCUUGGGGCCACCUUCCUUGGCCUUCGGUGCCCCUCUGUAUCCUAUAAAUUCUAAUAAAUCCCCAAAUCCCUAGAGAGCCUCCCGAAACACUUUUACCGUCGCUGCAAGUCUCUAUUUCCCUGUGUGCCCAUCUGGAGCCCUAUCUUGUUGCCCUCCCGAAGGGUGGAUCGAUCAUAGGACCUCUACAUAAACCUUGAUGCUCCCAUGGUGAUGUAUGAGUAGUUCACCAUAGACCUACGGGUCAAUAGCUAGUACCUAGAUGGCUCUCUCUCUAUGUUUUUCGUUGCCAUGAUCACCGCGAUUCUUGUGGUGAUCUAUCUUAUGUAAUCACUUUGUGCGGUGUCUUUGUUGUGUUCCGAUGAAUUGUAGGUUCAUGUUUAGAUUAUUCAUGAAAAAUAUUUCAGUCUCCUCUGAAUUAUUAUUUCAUUCUUAUUUGCAUGAUCGUUGUAGCUUCAUAAUUCUCUCCGAUCUAUAGGUUUAAUUUGGCUAACUAGAUUGGUUUAUCUUCAGUGAGAGAGGUGUGUUGUAGUGUGUUCAAUCUUGAGGAGCUCUAUAUCUUAGUGACAAAAUAGGGCACAAGACACAUAUUUGUAUUUCUUCCACUAACAAUAAAACAAUGUGGAUUAUUCAUAUUAAUUGGAUUUACUUUGUCUAAAUCACAUCAUCAUUCUCCAAACAUUACUGUAUUUUACUUAAUACUCUAGAUGCAUCCGAGAUAGUGGUCGAUGGGUGGAGUAAUAGUAGUAGAUGCAGGCAGGAACUGGUCUACUUGUUUAUGCACGUGAUGCCUAUAUACACAUGAUCAUUUCCAUGAAUAAAUAUUGCAUAACUAUGCUAUCAAUUUAACAACAAUAAUAUCUUUACCCACCGUAUGCCUUCUUCGAGAGAGAAGCCUCUAGCAAACACUAUGGCCCCACAUCUACUCACAUAUAUAUUUACAAACUCUCUUAAUACCUUGCUGUCAGUUAUUUGUUUUCUUUUUCUUUUUCAAAUUUUAGUUAUCAACUUUCAUCCACACUACUCAUUUGCUUCCAAGUAACGAGUUCAAGGGGAUUGACAACCCUCUUGCCCGCGUUGGGUGCAAGUGUGUGCUCUUUUGUGUGUAGGUGCUUUAGACAGGAAGUUGUGUGAUCCUCCUGUUGGUUUGGUAACCUUGUUUCUCACUGAGGAAAAUACUUAUCUAUAUUGUGCUGCAUCAUCCGCUCCUCUUCGGGGAAAAACCCAACGCACAUCAAAAGUAUUAGGAAGGAUUUCUAGUGCCGUUGGUGGGGAGUAUCAUCAACGUGCAAUCAAGUACCUUAUCACAAAAUAUCAGUCAUGUCGGGGGGAUAACCCCGGGGUAGGAUCAAUGAGCCUACUCCUUUGCCUUCUGCCAUGAAGGAACAACAUGGAACAUUCUGCAAAGCCCAAGUCCCCUUGGCCGGCUAGGAAGCACCUGCCGGCUGGGGGCGAGACGGCCAACUCUCUGGCCGGCCAGGAAGCCCCUGCCGGCUAGAGGUGAGAUGGCUACCUCCCUCUGGCCGGCUAGAGGCGAGGUGGUCGUACCCAGGCCGUCUAGUUAAGCGGCUAGCCGGGUAGGGAGCUCAAGUCAUAUUAGGUCAUAGGUCAUGAUGAGACCCUACGGUUAAAGGUGGCUACGCGUCAACCAAGGUACUCGAUCGGGUUGCCCGACAGGUAUAGCGUCGGCGGACAUGCCGCUGACCUCCUCCGGCUCUCAUCCAUCAUCCUACAUAGUGUCGGACCGUCAAACUCCCACUCCAUUACUGCACUCGGCGUGGGAAUAGUGGAGACGACCGUACUGGCGGCCCAUGACGAAUCUCGCUACACGACGCCGGGCAUACCACACGUGUCCUGCGUCAACCUUACGCGAGAACCUUACUGGCUAGCCGGCGGGUCCCACAACCAGACGGGACCUCACAGCCGGCGGGCCCCUCCAGCGACAAGACAAGACCCCUGUGGGCCCCCUGGCCAGCCGGUGAGUCUGCCAACCGGGUCCCACUCUUGUACUUUUAUCCUUAUUGUAGGUCGGUGGGUUCGUCUAUAAAACCUCCUGCCCCCUCCAAGCAGAGGGUCGGUCAACUUCAUACACACACACACCACAUAGGAGAGGUAGACGCGAGCCGGCUGCUCCUUCUUCCUCCUCCGCAGAACAGCUCAAGGAGCACAUUGUAGUCCCUUUGAUACGUCAUACACUCCGGCAGGAUUAAGGGUGUUAUGUCUAUGGAGAGCCCUGAAUAUGGGUACAUCAUGUGUUCCAUGCUUGUACCAUCCUUGUUCCCAGCGCCCUCCGGUGCCACUUCGGUUCCCACCAUCUUUAGCCUACCAUGGCUUAUGUUGUGAGUAAACACCGACAUUUGGCACCCACCAUGGGGCCGUCCGCGGCAUCGGCCGGAUUUACGUGCUGGGCGGGGCCCUGCGCUUACACCACCGGAUGCAUCAUGUCAGGACCAAUCAACAUGCCCGUAGAGCCUGCCCUUGAUGAGGCUUCGUCGAUGUUGAUCGACGUCCCCGUCCGUCAUUCGGAUUCCGAUGGGGAGUCCGACUAUGAGUCGCUCCCCAGUGUUGUUAUCGUUGCUAUUCAGAACCUCAGCGUUCUCUUCAGCGUCUUGCGCCUCAACGAUGGCCCUCGCUACCCUGGCGAGGAGUUCGACGUCGAGGCGUUGUGCGCCUGCUUCACUAGGGUCUCCCUCGCGGAGACGCCUGGAUUCGACGCAUACCCUAGUGACGUGCUCGUCUUCGACGGUCCACCGUCAUCUACGGGGCGCCUUGCCCCGUAUCACGUCGCCGUCGUCUCCAACGUCGUGGAGGUGAUGGUCAUUGGUGUCGGCACCAGCACGGCUCACAGCAAGGCGUCGGCUGACGCUGGUGAUCCUGCUGUUGUGUCCGCCGACACGCUUCAGGUCGCCCUUACACGCUUGGAGACGCCCAUCACCACCUCCACAAACCACACCGACGCGCGGGCCUCACUGGAGGAGCCUCGCAGGCAGAUCUUGGAGGAGGGCAUUGCAAUCGCCGCGGCUAAACGCCGGAUGGAGGCCAUGCACCGUGAGUAGAACUCCGCUUAUGGCCUCACUCCAGUUUCCGAGGGUCCUAGCCGGCUUGGCCCGGUCCGCGGCCGCGACCGGGUCAUUGCCGAGAUCCUAGGCGGCAAGCUACCCAUCUACGAGACUCCUGCGACCAAAUUACGGGCUGCGCAGGCGGCCAUGGCAGAAAUGCCACACUUGGAGGGCGAGGAGCGUGUCCUUCAGGAGAAAUGGGUCAAGGAUCUCCUUGACGCUGCCAACGAGCAGCAGACAAGGCUUGACCCUAGUCAAGCACAGUCACAGUCUCCGGGACCCAAUCCCGGAGUGCGUCGUAACCCCAGUGGUGAUCGUCAAGCCGAGGGAUCUUCCUUGCAUUGCACCUUCGGCCGGAAGGGCGAGGGCAGCUACGAUAGGCGUUCUCAACGCCAGAGCAAGCCGACUUCGAGCCGACAUCGUAGAGAUGAUGAGAGUGACUCGGUGUAUGAGGUCGCUCGUCCGGGGAGAACCCAUGCUGCCGGCUCACAGGACACCCUUCCGAUCACGUCUCGAAUCGGCCCUCGCAUCCCGCACAGCGACCACGAUGCUUGUAAGCGCCUCAACGUCCUGGCGCAGUCAGCUCUUCUAGAGGAGGGCGGCCCCAUCGGUCCGGCGUGCUUCGGCCCCCGGAUCCGGGGGAGUUGUUUCCCCGAGGCUUCACUCUCCCUCGGGACACCCUCAAGUACAACGGAACCGCCAAGACAGAAGACUGGCUGAUCGACUACACCACCGUCGUCGACAUUGCCAGGGGCAACAAGCGCGUAGCCGUCCGCUACAUGCCACUCAUGCUGGCCGGCUCGGCCAGGACAUGGCUUAACAGCCUUUCAGCUGGCAGUAUAAACUCUUGGGUUGACUUCGAGGAGGCGUUCGUCCGCAACUUCUCUGGCAUCUACCAGCCUCGCGAGAUGGCCAUGUGCGUCCAGAGGCCCGACGAACCCCUUCGCGACUACGUCACGCGUUGGAUGGAGCUACGCAACUCCUGUGAGAGAGUGCAUGAGGUACAUGCCAUCCAGUACUUCAUCGACGGUUGCCGAGACGACACUCUCCUCAAGCACAAGCUCAUGUGCUCCGAGCCUACCUCUCUGGUGGUGCUCAUGGCCAAUGCGGACAAGUACGCCACGACCGACUCCGCGAUGCGGGUCAAGGUGACCGCCUCGGAAAAAGUUGUCCCCACGCUGACUACUCCCAAGUCGGCUGGUGACAAUCGAGCCGGCCAGAACAACAACAAGCGCAAGGCGGAUCAACUCGAUUCGCGCAACAACAACAAGCUGGUGGCCAACGUGGAGGAAGAGGCACCGGCAACUCAAGCCGGCUCUCAACGGAGGCGGACAGGCUAGAACGACUUGCAGCCCAAGCUCAGCUUCUAGCAAAUGCUUGACGCUCCGUGCAAGAUGCACUCUGGGGUGAAGCCCUCUACCCAUACCCUUCGACAGUGCAGCUUUGCACGACGACUGUCGCAAGGGGAGGGCCUGCCGGCUCCCCCAGGUGCAGUUGUAGUGCCUCAUGCUCCGGCUCCCGGUCCAGCUCCGGCUCCGCCGCCACCGCCUCACAACAACGGCCGUCUCCACGAUGACUACCCCCAUCAAGAUGGAGCAUUCGUUGUCUUCACCAGCGAGGGUGAUGAAAAGCACAGCCAGCACCAGCGCCGACGCGAGGUGAAUGCCAUGGUUCCCCCGUUUCCCCAAUACAUGCAUUGGUAUGAAAAGCCUAUUACAUGGAGCCGGGUUGACCAUCCUACGGUGAUGCCAAAUCCUGGCUCAUACACGCUCGUCCUUGACCCCACUUUCGCCUCCCAGAGGCUCACCUGCCGGUUCUCCCGGGUGUUGGUCGACGACGGCAGCAGCAUCAACAUCCUCUACCUCGACACCUUGCUCAAGAUCGGGGGCAAGGAGAAGGACCUCCAGCCGACUAGCACUAUCUUCCACGGCAUCGUUCCGGGACAGUCCUACUCGCCGAUCGGCAAAAUCCAGCUGGACGUCCUUUUCGGUGACAAGGCUCAUUUCCGCCGAGAGUCUGUAUGGUUCGAGGUGGUGAAUCUCAAGAGCCCGUAUCACGCGCUAUUGGUAGGCGGCUCUGACGAAAUUCAUGGCCAUCCCCCACUAUGCCUACCUCAAGAUGAAGAUGCCGGGUCCAAUGGGCAUCAUCACCAUUGUCGGCGACUACAAGAAGUCGCUCGAGUGUGCACAGGACAGCAGCCGUCACGCCGACGCCAUGGUGAUUGCUGAGGAGAAAAGGCAGAUCGACCGGCUCGUGGCUCAAGUUACCGAGCUGCGAGCGAUCCCUACUCCACCAUUCCAGUCGGCCAGCGAAGGCUCCUUCAAGCCGGCCAAAGAAACCAAGCAGGUGCCAGUCGACCCUGCAAACCCGAAGCAAUGCGUCACCAUCGGGGCUAACCUCAGCCCCAAAUAGGAAGACGAGCUCAUCGACUUCCUCUGUGAGAAUCGGGACAUCUUUGCAUGGUCUCCAAAAGACAUGCCAGGGGUCCCGAGGAUGUAAGCCGAGCACAAACUUCACAUGCGGCCGGAUGCAAAGCCAGUGAAACAACGUUUGCGCCGCUUUGCCGAGCGGAAGCGACACACGAUUGGAGAAGAGAUUGCCUGGCUCCUCGCAGCCGGCUUUAUUAUGGAGGUUUUCCACCCGGACUGGUUGGCCGAUCCAGUCCUGGUGCUGAAGAAGAACAACACAUGGCAAAUGGGUAUCGACUACACGAGCCUGAAUAAGACGUGCUCGAAAGACCCUUUCGCCUUGCCCAAGAUAGAUCAAGUGAUCGACUCCACAGCCGGCUGUGAACUGGUGUCGUUUCUGGACGCUUAUUCAGGCUACCAUCAAAUCAAGCUGGAUCCAACUGAUCGCCUAAAGACCUCUGUUAUCACGCCCUUCGGGGCCUACUACUACACCACCAUGACGUUUGGUCUCAAGAACGCUGGUGCGACUUUCCAACGUUGCAUGCAGCAGUGCCUCCUGCCACAGAUUGGCAGAAACAUCCACGUCUAUGUGGAUGACAUUGUCGUCAAGACCAAGCAACACUUCAGCCUCCUUGACGACUUGCGGGAGACGUUCGCCAACCUGUGUGAAUACAAGAUCUGGCUUAACCCGGAGAAGUGCGUCUUCGGGGUUCCAGGCGGCAAGCUCUUGGGGUUCUUCGUGUCCGCUCAUGGCAUCGAAGCGAACCCUAAGAAGAUCGGCACCAUCGAGUGGAUGGUGAAGCCGGCUCGAAUCCUCGACGUCUAAAAGUUUGCCGGCUGCCUGGCGUCCCUUAGCCGGUUCGUCAGCCGGCUCGGCGAGAAGGUGCUUCCACUCUACCAGCUCAUGAAGAAAAUAACCAAGUUUGAGUGGAACGACCAGGCGGACGAAGCCUUCCGCGUCCUUAAGCGGGUCAUCUCAAGCCUGCCAAUCUUGGCAGCACUGGAUGAAAGGGAACCCAUUCUCAUAUACAUUGCAUUGACCACUCGCGUGGUUAGUGUAGUGUUGGUAGUAGAGCGCAAGGAGGAGGGAAAGGUACUGUUAGUGCAACGCCCUAUCUAUUACCUUAGCGAGGUCUUGUCCGCCUCCAAACAAAACUACCCCCACUACCAGAAAAUGUGUUAUGGUGUUUACCUUGCCGCCAAGAAGUUGAAGCAAUAUUUCCAAGAUCAUGCCAUCACUAUGGUGAGCACUGCUCCGCUUUCAGAAAUCAUGGGAAACCAUGAUGCAACUGGCCGGAUUGCCAAGUGGUCCAUCUCCAUGGCUGACCACGACAUCCGCUACGAGCCACGCACUGCUAUCAAGUCCCAGGUGGUGGCCGACUUCCUUGUCGAUUGGGCCGAAACCCAAUUCGAGCCGCCGCCUCCAGACUCCACUCAUUGGUGGAUGCACUUCGGCGGCUCAAAGAUGCGAACUGGUCUCGGAGCUGGCAUUGUCUUGACAUAUCCGAAAGGGGACCAACUCAAGUAUGCUCUCCAGAUUCACUUCCCCGCCUCCAACAACGUCGCCUAGUACGAAGCACUCGCUCAUGGCCUCCGGCUUGCCAAGGAGAUUGGCAUCCGACGGCUCGUUUGCUUUGGUGACUCGGACCUCGUGGUGCAGCAAGUCUCUGGCGAAUGGGACGCCAGGGACGCCAACAUGGCGAGCUAUCGUUUCCUCAUCUAGCAACUCAGCAGCCCAUUCGAGGGUUGGGAGUUUCACCACGUUCCCAGGGAGGACAAUGAGGAGGCUGAUACAUUGGCCAAGAUCGGCUCUACAAGACAAGCAAUUCCAGCCAGCUCUCUCUCGAACAGCUGCACAAGCCGUCCAUCAAGCCGUCUCCUGAGUCGACGUCAAUUUUUGUGCCGGCAGAUCCCUCAGUACCAGCGCCAUCGGCUACACCUCCUAUGCCGGCUACAACUCCUGUGUCGGCUACACUGGCUCUGCCGACUCCAAUUGUUGUGUCAUCUACAACUACUUCGCCGGCUACGAUGACUUCGUCGGCUACAACAAAAGAUCCGCCUGCACCAAGCCUGGAAUCCUGCCGUCUCGACACCUAGUGGGUGGACAUCAUGGAGGUAGACAGCCAGCUGGCUGCCACGACGGCACUAGAGACAGAGAGUCUCGAGCUUGCGACUGCUUCAUCAAGCUCGAGGGUUGCAGAAGCCCCUAAUACUCAGGUCGAGACGGAGCCAGCCAUUGUGUCGGCUCCGUCAUGGGCUCAACCCAUCUUGGCCUUCCUUCUUCACGGCGAGCUUCCUCAAGAUGAGGCGGAGGCAAGGCAGAUUCAGCGCAGAUCAGCAGCCUACGCCAUCAUUAAUCGCGAACUCAUUCGGCGUAGCGUGACUGGCGUGUUCCAGCGUUGCAUCGAAUCAUAAAAGGGGUAGGAGAUCCUCAGAGACAUUCUCCAGGGUGAGUGUGGGCAUCAUGCCGCCUCUAGAACCCUGGUGGCCAAGGCGUUCCGCCACGGAUUCUACUCGCCCACGGCCCUCGAGGAGGCCGUGGACAUGGUCAACAAAUGUGAAGACUGCGAACGCUUUGGCGCACAGAGCCACAUGCCACCUUCAGCCCUCAUAACCAUUCCCAUGUCAUGGCCGUUUGCCGUCUUUGGGUUGGAUAUGGUGGGGCCAUUCAAGACCGCUCGAGGCGGCAUGACGCAUCUCUUGGUAGCCAUCGACAAGUUCACCAAGUGGAUCGAGGCUAGGCUCAUCAAGAAGCUUGACGGCCCCACGGCCGUCAUGUUCAUCAAGGACAUUGCUCUCCGCUACAGUGUCCCCCACAGCAUCAUCAUCGGCAAUGGCACCAACUUUGCCAAGGGUGCUUUGGCACUCUACUGCUCCAAGCAAGGCAUCCGGCUCGACUUGGCAUCGGUGGCGCAUCCGCAAUCCAAUGGCCAGGUGGAGAGGGCCAACGGCUUGAUCCUGGCCGGCAUCAAGCCAAGACUGGUGGUGCCACUUGUGAGGUGAGCCGCCUGCUGGAUCGAACAGCUGCCGGCAGUGUUGUGGAGCCUCCGCACCAUGCCGAACCGGUCAACCGACUUCACCCCAUUCUUUCUGGUAUACGGGUCCAAGGCAAUCAUCCCCACGGAUGUCGAGUUCGACUCGCCUCGGGUCACCCUAUACACAGAGAUAGAAGUGAAGGAGGCAAGAGAAGACGGCGUCGAUCUUCUCGAGGAGGCAAGGGAUCUAGCCUUGAGCCGGACGACCAUUUAUCAACAGAAGCUCAGGUACUACCACAGCAAGAAGAUCAAGCCUCUCUCCUUCAGGGAGGGGGACUUGGUUCUCAAAAGAAUCCAGCGAACAGCCGGCCAGCACAAGCUCUCAUCCCCAUGGGAGGGGCCCUUCAUCAUCAUCCGGGCACUGCAUAACAAUGCAUACUACCUGAUCGAUGCCCAAAUGCCAAGGAAGCGCAAGAGAGACGACUUCGGCCAGGAGACGGAGCGUCCAUGGAAUGCGGCGUUGCUUCGCCGUUCUAUUGCUCGAAAACAAACAAGAAAAAUGAAAAGAGCAUGUAUGUAUGUAUGUUUCUCCCUCUUCGGGAUUUCCAAAUGAAUACAGUGGGUGUUUAAGCUAAUGCUUGGGGCACGCCUCUUUUGGAUUCAAGACAAGAGUGUUUCCCUCGUUUCAUGAGUCCCUUGGUCCGGCUCCACGGGCUCGGGGGCUCGCUAACCAGCUCCCGAACGACUUCCUUAGUUGUAGACGAGCAUAUAGUGUACGCCGGGUCGAACCCUGGCCAUCUCGUAACACCUACUGACCGGCUCCCGGCUAUCCGGCUAGCGACGCAACGUCAAGUAAGGCUGGUUGCAUGAAAAGUUCAAACUACAAAAAGGGUUGCCGGCUCUGGUUGGUUUGAUCAUCUUACGAUCUUAUUAUUCUAGCCGGCCUCUACUAGCUUGUGUUUGAGUCUUUAUGUCUUGAUGGCUUCGAAAAAUCUAAGUCCAAUAUUCUCAAAGGCAGAAGCAUUGUCCGAGUCACAGACCGACUCCUGGCUGUCGGGCUGGCGAGGUGGACGUUAGAGGGAAUAAAGGGGUUGGAGAAAAAGAAGUCAAACGGGAAUCAAUAGAUGAAAAUACAAGGCAGCACACAUGGAUUUUACGAAUUUAAUGCAGAAUACAUACAUUCAAAAGCAUUCAAAAGGCCAACGGCCGAAGUUCAUUACAAUAAACACCCCCAGUGGGUAGAACUAUUGGACUGACAUUACAUUGCAGAGACAAUGAAGAAACAAAGGGACCAGCUAAGGGGCAGCGGCCUCGUCGGUUGCCCCGGCUGCUGCUCCUGAAGUGGUGGCUUCACCAUUGCUGGCCACUCCCGAGGCGAAUGCGCCGUCUCCACCACGAGAGCUUUCGGCUCCGUCCCUUUCGGCUGAGUCGGCAUAAGCCACACUGGUGGAGUCGGCAGCUUCUCCCUCAUAGGCCGCCUCGUCGGAGCUGCCAUCGGCAUCAUACGGCUGAAGAUCGAACAGAUCCUCACGGAUCACAUUUCCAUCUACAUCGCACUCCAUGUUGAGCUCAUCCCACGCGGCUUUAGAGGCAAUAUCACUGGCCCUCAUCCGCAGCUGGUCCUCCACGGCCUGCAGCUCCCCUCCGAGCCAUCACGUUGUGCGACGAGCUUGCCCAAGUCCAGGUUACGAUACCAGGACUUGGCCAAGCGCAGCGCCAUGUAGGCACCAGCGCGCGUGGCUGAGGCACACCAGGCGUCGAGGCGAUCGCCACUAGCUGCAAGCCAGCCGAACAGCCGGCUCAUCAACGCCGGCUCCACAGCAUUGGGGCACAGGGUCCUUAUCAUCGACGCGCCGGCGACCUAGAGCCGCUCCAUGGAUUCGGCGAGGACAAGUAGGCGGGAUCUGAUGCCCACGACAAACUCCUCCACAGUCUAGCCGACGUCGGCAUCCACCUCCUCACCAGCCGCUCGACGCUCCUCACGGUUGGUCUCCACGACAGUUUCACCCGCUUCUCGUGACUCAGGGAAGAUUCCUGGGGUAGGGGAAGGGGUGCGAAGAAGAAUAAGAGGGGAGUUCAACAAAGAAUAAAAGAUCAAGACAAAAUAAAAGAAAGGCUUACAGUUGAAAUGGAUGUCGGUUUCGCGGGCCUCCUCCAGGGCCUCGUGCUCCCGUACCUUGCUCGCUUGGGCUGCGCAUCAGAGCUCUUCCUAUAGGGCCGCGGUUGUCUCCAUCGCCUUGGCCAGCUGCACUUGCUUCUCGAUCAGGGCUUCCUCCUUCUCCUUUAGGGUGGUGUCCUUAAGCUUCAUCUCCUCGAGAUGAACUGUCUUGAGAUGCUCCAUGUCAGCAGCAUAGGAGGUGUCCUUCUCCUGAAGGGUGGUCCGCAGCUUCCCCAGUUCGGCCUGAAGGGCCGCCUCGCGAUCCUUCUUCUCCAUCUCGAGAAGAUUCAGCUGCUGCUAGAGCCGUUGGUCCGCCUCGCGCAAGGCGUCUCGCUCCGAGACGACAGCGCCCAGUAGACCCUGAAGAUCAGCAACUUGGCCGUCAGCCACCUAGGUCUCGGACCGCGGCAUGUUGUAUGCCUGCACUUGGGCGUCAUGAAGCUCCUACGAGCAAAGCAAAAGAAGCAACAAGUAAGAUUCAGCCCGGCUAACUCCUAGCCGGCCCGAUUCUCAGGGGUACACCCAGUGGGUGCGCUAGCGCGCCCUCACUAAAAAAGCAAAGACAAAGCAUAGCACAAGGAGAUUCGGCCCGACCAAUGCUUGGCCGCACCGAUUCUCGGGGGCUUGAUGGCUACUACGCAACCUUCUCCUUGUAGACGUUGUUGGGCCUCCAAGCGCAGAGGUUUGUAUGACAGUAGCAAUUUUCCUUCAAGUGGGUGACCUAAGGUUUAUCAAUCCGCGGGAGGCGUAGGAUGAGGAUGGUCUCUCUCAAGCAACCCUGCAACCAAAUAACAAAGACUCUCUUGUGUCCCCAACACACCCAAUACAAUGGUAUGUUGUAUAGGUGCACUAGUUCGGCGAAGACAUGGUGAAACAAGUGUAAUAUGGAUGGUAGAUAUAGGUUUUUGUAAUCUGAAAUUACAAAAACAGCAAGGUAACAAAUGGUAAAAGUGAGCAUGAACGGUAUUGCAAUGCGUGGAAACAAGGCCUAGGGUUCAUACUUUCACUAGUGAAGUUCUCUCAACAACAACAACAUAAUUGGAUCAUAUAACUAGCCCUCAACAUGCAACAAAGAGUCACUCGAAAGUCACUAAUAGCGGGGAACAAACGAAGAGAUUAUUGUCGGGUACGAAACCACCACAAAGUUAUUCUUUCUGAUCGAUAUAUUCAAGAGUCCGUAGUAAAAUAACACGAAGCUAUUCUUUCCGUUCGAUCCAUCAUAGAGUUCGUACUACAAUAACACCUUAAGAUACAUAUCAACCAACACCCUAAUGUCACCUAGAUACUCCUUUGUCACCUCAAGUAUCCGUGGGCAUUAUUAUAUGAUAUGCAUCACACAAUCUCAGAAUCAUCUAUUCAACCAACACAUAGAACUUCAAAGAUUGCCCCAAAGUUUUUACCAGAGAGUCAAAAUGUGUGCCAACCCAUGUGCAUAGGUUCCUAAUGUCAAGAACCCGCAAGUUGAUCACCAAAACAUACAUCGAGUACUCACAUGAAUCCACAUGUGCCAACCCAUAUGCAUAGGUUCCUAAUUGUCACAAACCCGCAAGUUGAUCACAACAGAUAGACACUUGCAAGACAUACAUCAAGUGUUCUCAAAGACUCAAUCCGAUAAGAUAACUCCAAAGGGGAAACUCAAUUCAUUACAAGAGGGAGAGGGGGAAGAACAUCAUAAGAUCCAAGUAUAGUAGCAAAGCCCAUGGUACAUCGAGAUCAAGACAUCUCAAGAACACGAGAGAGAGAGAUCAAACACAUAGCUACUGGUACAUACCCUCAGCCCCGAGGGAGAACUACUCCCUCCUUGUCAUGGAGAUCGUCGGGAUGAUGAAGAUGGCCACCGGAGAUGGAUUCCCCCAACGGCAGGGUGCCGGAACGGGCUCCAGAUUGGUUUUUGGUGGCUACAGAGGCUUGCGGCGGCGGAACUCCCAAUCUAGGUUUCUUUUUGGAGGUUUCUGAAUUUAUAGGAAUUUAUGGCGGUGGAAUUACGUCGGUUGGGCCCACGAGGAGGUCACAAGCCUGGUCGCCACCACCUAGGGGGGUGGUGGCGGCGUCAGGGCUUGUGACUCCCUCGUGGCUCUUCUCGCCUUCUUUCAAAGGUUCGGGGGUCUCUUUUGGUCCAAAAAAAAUCAUCGUAAAGUUUCAUUCCAUUUGGACUCCGUCUGAAAUUGGGCCAAAAAAACGGAAAAAAUAGAAACUGGCACUUGGCACUGAGUUAAUAGGUUAGUCCAAAAAAGAUAUAAAAUAGCAUAUUCAUGCAUAUAAAACAUCCAAAGUUUACAAGAUAAUAGCAUGGAACCAUCAAAAAUUAUAGAUACGUUUGAGACGUAUCAAGCAUCCCCAAGCUUAACUCCUGCUCGUCCUCGAGUAGGGAAGUGAUAAAGAAUGAAUUUUUGAUGCUUUCAUGCUACCUAGCAUAGAUGUCCUUUGUAACUCCUCUUAUGUGACGUGAAUGCUCAGAUCCGUUAGAUUCAAAACAAUAGUUUUCUAUUGAGGUGGAGACAAUAAUACUUCAAGAAACUAGCAAGGUAAUCAUGAACUUUCAAAAUAACAAGGCCAAAAGAAAGUUAUCCCUACAAAUUCAUAUAGUCUGGCUAUGCUCUAUCAUCCUUGCACAACGAAUUUAAAUCAUGCACAACCUCCGUAUUGGUCAAGUAAUUGUUUUCACACCUUUACUUUCUCAAACCUUUUCAAAUCUCACGCAAUACAUGAGCGUGAGCCAUGGUUUUAGCACUAUAAGUGGAGUGGAGUGUGGUGGAGGUUGCAAGGCAAACAAGGGGAAGAUGGUCACAUUGACUAGGCAUAUCAAUGAGCUAUGGAGAUGCUCAUCAAUAGAUAUCAACGUGAAUGAGUAGGGAUUGCCAUACAAAUGAUGCACUAGAGCUAGGAGUAUGUGAAAGCUCUUAAAGAAAACUAGUGGGUGUGCAUCCAACUUGCUUGCUCACGAAGACCUAAGGCAAUUUUGAGGAAGCCCAUCAUAGGAAUAUACAAGCCAAGUUAUAUAAUGAAAAUUUCCUACUAGCUAUAUGGUGGUGACAAAACGAGAGACUCUCAAUCAUGAAGAUCAUCGUGCUUAAUAUGCACAAGUGUGGAAAGGUGGUAGCAUUGUCCCUUCUCUCUUUUUCUCUUAUAUUUUAUUUUUAUUUUUUUGGUGGGCUCUUUGGCCUCUUUUUUAAUUUUUAUUUUAUUUUGGUGGGCAUCUUUGGCCUCUUUUAUUUCCUCACAUGGGACAAUGCUCCAUUAAUGAUGAUCAUCACACUUUCAACUCAAAACAUAGAGCAACGAUGACUCUAUAUGGAAUGCCUUCGGCAGUGUACCGUGACAAUGAUCUAGCAUGGCAGAUAUAUUAAUGGAAACAUCAUGCUAGCUAUCUUACGAUCAUGCAAUGGCAAUGUAUACGUGGUGGCACAUGUCAUGGUGGUAGUUGCAUGGCAAUAUAUCUCGGAAUGACUUUGAAAAAGCCAUAGUAGAUAGGUAUGGUGGCUGUUUUGAGGGAGGCUAAUGGUGGGUUUUGUGCACCGGCGAAAGUUGCACGACACUAAGAAGAUAGUGUUGGUUGAAGGUGAAAGUGCAUCUAAACCUUGGACUCAACAUUAGUCAUGAAGAACUCAUAUACUUGUUGCAAAAAAUUUAUUAGUAAUCGAAACAAAGCAUUCAACGCAUACUCCUAGGGGAAGGGUUGGUAGGUAUAAACCAUCGCGCGAUCCCGACCGCCACGCAAAGGAUGACAAUCAAAAGACUAAUCAUGCUCAGAGUUCAUCACAUAGCGGUUCACCAUACAUGCAUGCUACGGGAAUCACUAACUUCAACACAAGUAUUUCUAGAUCCACAACACUUUACUAGCAUGACUUCAAGAUUACCAAAACCACAACUCAAAACUAGUUGAGAUGAAUCAAACUUCUCUAACUAUUCAAUGCACAUGAAGGUGGAAGUUUUCGUAUCCCUUUGGAUAACUACCCCUUUUGAGACUACUUUCAAAGCAUAGAUCAACUACCAAGCCACGCACCGCUGUGCUCAAAAAUAUAUAAGUGAAGCACAUAGAGCAAGAGUAUCUAGCUCAAAAGAUAUAAGUGAAGCACAUGUGAGCUGAAUUGUCUACCAAAGGAUAUAAGUGAAGCUCGACAAAAUCACGGUGAGUGCAUCUCUCUCUCUCUCUAGGUGUGGAGCAAGGAUGAUUGUGACACUAUAAGUGCAUCUAGUGCCCCUUAGUGAUUUUGGUGGUUUGAAGACUUAUAGGUUAAGUAUCUAAUGUGUCUAUGAGUGUACACAUGAUCUAUAAUUCACUGAGGAGUUUGAGAUAUUUGAUGAAUAUCGACCCCUAAAAAUGUAUAUCUUCGGUUGAAGAAAUUGGUCUGGAGCCGAAGAACUGAAUCGCGAAGAAUCUGCGAUGAAAUUGAUAUUCCUCACGAAGAUACUAAAAUUGAGGAAUUCAGUGUGUCCUGAAGAAAAUCAUUUUGAAGACUUUGAAGCAUGAAGAUUUACUCUUUCUGUUUUAUUUUCUUCGCACUUGAGUAAUAGGAACACCGUACUGUUAAAGGGGGUCGAAGUUACACUUUGGAAUGAAUUUCCUCAUGAUGCUCAACCUAAGCCUAAUCCUACCAAAAGCCUCAAAUGAGGAAUAUGAGUGACAUGAGGACUCUCAUAGUUGAGGGUUCCGACCGUUUUGAUAGCCACGCCAAGUCAUUGGUCUUAUCCACACCAACGGUCAUAUUAUUUAAGGGCAUUAGUGUCAAAUCAUGUCGGGAUGCUCCCAGGCUAUAAAUAGCCGCCCCCACAACCAUUAGUUGGUUGGCUGCUCCGUUAGGAACUGACACUUGUCAUAAGAGCAACCCAAAUUCCUCAGAGUCUUCGAGAGUAAUUCAUCAGUGAGGAAAUACCCCAUACACUGAAACCACAAACCAAACCUAGUGAAUGAGCAUCACUGAAGAAGUUGUUCCUGUGUGGGACUGAAGCCUUUUACCUUUGAGGACUCUGCAUCCUCCAGACGGUUAGGCGUCAUGGUCUAGAGCUUUCGAACAGUCAAUUGUGGAUCGCCGGGUGACCAAGUUUGUGAGGGUUUGGAAGUCUGCCCUGAAGACUUACCACGAGUGUUGGGAAAGGAAUGUGUGUUCUUAGCCCAAGGAGAACACAGUAGGGACUGUGUGUCUCGGGACUGUGUGUCCUUUGAUUUCAAUAGCAAGCCGCUCCAAACCAGAUGUACGACUGUCACAGCACUUGGAACUGGUUCAUCAACUACUGUCUUCACCGUGAAACGGGUUCUAAUUCCUCAACUCCUUACUUUCCUCAGAUUAUGUGUUGAUGACUUUCACUGCUACUGUUUGAAGAAUUUCCUGAAGACAUUCUCUGAAAUUCCUCAACCCCAAAUUCUUCACGCUAGUUAAUCUUCAUCCGUUUUCUGCGUGCCUGCUCACUGUGCAAUCUGUUUUCACAUUCCUCACUCUGAAAAACUGUUGUUGUGAAACUUUGUACUUCUGAUCCUUUACUGCUUCCGCUGUAAGUUAGUCAUCAGUGAGGACUUUCCUCAAAAGUAAUUUCCUCAGUGAUGAAAUUCUAAAAAUCUCCUAUUCACCCCCCUCUAGUCGAUGUAACGCACUUUCAAUUGGUAUCAGAGCAAGGUACUGUGUGAUUUUGGCUUAACCACCUAGGUUUUUAGUUAUGUCGACUGCAAGCAUGUUUAAGGUGACUGCAGCAUGUCCUACCUUCGAAGGAAAGAACUUUCCCUUCUGGAAGAACAAGAUGCAAAUGCAUCUACAAGCUAUUGAUAAUGAUCUCUAGUAUAUUGUGGAACAUGGCGUCCCCAUCAUCUCUACUAGUGUCUCUACUGCUGAUGUGAAGAAAUUCAAGCAACUCGAUUCUCAAGCGAAGAAUAUCAUCUAUGGCCAUCUGAGCCCAAGCCAGUUUGGAAGAGUGAGUGCUUUGGGCUCUGCAACACUGAUCUGGGGGAGACUGUGCAAAGUAAAUGAAGGAGUAUCAACCCAGCGUGACUCUCGUGUUGAUAUUCUAUGCAAUCUCUUCAAUCGCUUCAAGAGGCAUGACAAUGAAAGCUGCCAAGACACCUUCGAUCGCCUCACUGACAUAUCAAAUGAACUGCAAGCACUGGGAGCUCGAGACAUUAUUGAUGACGAAGUUGUGAAGAAACUGCUGAGAUCUUUGGAUUCUUCAUUUGAUACUUUAGUUCUGAUGAUUCAAGAAAGACCAGACUACAAGAUGCUUGACCCGGCUGAUAUACUCGAAAGACUUAAUACUCAUGAAUUCCAGCUAGAAGAAAAGAAAGAUCUAUAUGGACCAUGCUAUUCCAGACAACGUGCACUGAAGGCUAGAGCAAUUUCCUCAUCUCAAGAAGAAGAUUCGGAUGAUAGCAUUGGUUAUCCUGAAGAAUUUGGACAUGAGCUUGCAAUGCUCGUGAGGAAAUUCCAGAGGUUUACAUGACGUGGCCAGUUAGGUAAAUCUUCAAGAAGAGACAUGUGGAAAUCAGAACCUUCAUCUGAGGACUACAAGAAAAGAACCUGCAACAAAUGCAAGAAAUCAGGCCAUUACAUUGCUGACUGUCCCCGUUGGGGAAAGGAAUCAAAAAGAAGAAAUACAAGGAUGACUGAUGGGGUUAUAGUCCCAGGGUAGGGUCAUAGGCCUGCCCUAUAGGUCUUACCCAAGGACUACCCUUCAUAGAGGACAAGGCCCUUAGACAGUUCUGACCGAACUAAGGACUCCCCCAUCAUCCAGUCGGUGACGAGCACUCGGAGUGUAUUUAACGUACCGACUGGAUUCCACUCUGUACAUCGUAACCUCCCAGGAGGGCAACGGUCAUACGUUUUCAUACACCAUUAUUAACAUUUAAGGCUUACGUUACCUGUAACGUAAGCAUUUAUUCAUCGCUAUUCCACCCCUGUCCACCGGGCCAUUAUGAAGGGCAGCGCACUCUAUAUAAGCCGCCCUUCCCCAGUGGUGCAUGGGUUGGCUUUUACUGUAAUCCUAUAUUCCACUCGACACAAAGCUCCCAAGAGAACUGAGACGUAGGGCUGUUACCUCCACCGUAGAGGGGCCUGAAAUCAUACAUCAUCGUCGUAGCUAAGGCUCUGCCCAUCCUUUCGUACCCUACACAUCUACUGUCAGACUUAUACCCACGACAGUUGGCACCCACCGUGGGGCAGGCGUCUAAGCGACUUCCGACGAGUUUGCGACUUCAUCUUUUCAUCAUGUCGUCCAGCGGAGAUUUGUGCAUGGGUCAUGAGAUCCUCUUCGGCGCACUCUCCUUCAUCGUCGACGAUUCGGCGUGGCUUUGGGAUGCGUCCCUCGAUGUCGAGGCGCUCCCCAGUCGUGGGGCUACGCACUUCCGUGCCGGUUCUCGCGACGUCCUUCUUCUCCAGCGAUCGGCCCUGGUGUCGAUCUUCGCCCCUGUCACGCGCCACAACAAGCGGUCCUGCCGUCCGCGGCUCCAGCGUUGGGUACGACACGCCCAGGCGCGACAGAAUGCGUCCUCUCAAGUGGCGGUCCUCGAGUCGGUUGUGGUCGCACCGCCGUCCCAGUGCUUGGACUCAGUUCCGACUGAGUUACCUUCUGGGUACUUGGGUCGCGGGCCUGCAGCCGAAGUUCUCAUGGCCGAUUCCCAUGAAAGUCCCCUCCGAACUGGUCGGAACGAGCAUGAGGUCGGCGAAUCAUCCAGCGCUCGUCGUCAACACCACUGUUCUGCCAGUCGACGCACUCGCCAGAGCAACGUCGAGGAGUUCUGCACACCUGUCCUCAACCUGGCUGCCGCUGCCAAGAUAGUCGAUUCCCUCCAACCGACUGAUUUAGAGGCUGGUAGAGGGAUCGAGCAGAUCUGUGCCCUGUUGCACACGGCGCAGUAGCAAAAUUCGGCGGUCUACCAGUCGCACAACAGGAUCCACAACAGUUCUGUUGACGCGAACACGCAUCGGUCGGUUUUCAGCCCCGACUCUCAUCAGCGACGCAGAGGGGGCAGCCGUUCCAGGAAUCCCGAAGAUCGUCGCCGUUCGCGCACCCCUCCGCGGGGUGGGCCUUACGAACCCCGGUAUCACGAUGAUCGGCGUUCAGUCGGUGACGCGUAUGAUCCAAAGCCCGAUGCAAGAGGGUACAUCGCCCAGAAGAAGGUCGACAGAAGUCGAGCCCACCGUGAUGGUCACGAUAGAGACCGUCCGAGUGGAGGCAGGACCGUCGUUUCUGGUCCCGAGUGCUUCAGUCGGGCCAUCCUCUCAGCUGACAUCCCUCCCAACUUCCGAUUGGCGACGGGAAUCAGCAAGUUCACAGGAGAUUCCAAUCCAGAAAGUUGGUUGGAGGACUAUAGAGUGGCAGUCCAGAUCGGUGGCGGAGAUGACCAGGUCGCCAUGAAACAUCUCCCCCUGAUGCUCGACGGCUCGGCGCGAGCUUGGCUGAAACAGUUAGCUCCGUCAAGCAUCUACAGCUGGGCAGAUCUAUCCUGAGUCUUCAUCAAGACCUUCGAGGGUAUGUGCAAGCGCCAUGUUGGUCUCGUGGAGCUCCAACACUGUGUCCAGAAGCAGAACGAGCCUCUGCGCAAUUUCAUCCAGCGCUGGACGACCCACUACCACACGGUGGAGAACGUCACAGAGCACCAAGCAGUCUGUGCCUUCAAGGCAGGCGUGCGGUACAGAGAUCUGUACCUGAAGUUCGGUCGGACACGUGACAUCUCCAUGAGCAAGAUGAUGCAGAUAGGCGCACGCUAUGCAAAUGGCGAAGAAGAGGACCGCAUACGUAGCGGCAAGCAUAAGGCAGUCGCCGACGGAGAUGGGAACAACAAUCGAAAGCAGAAGCAGAAAGCUCCAUCCACUCCGCAGGCAGAGGCAGCAGCUGUUACGAAUGCCAAGUUCAAGGGCAAGGGGAAAGUUCAGUAUACCCCCAAGAAGAAACAAUUCGGAAACUCCAUCCUGGAUCAGCCGUGUCCAAUACACACGAAGAUGGACGAAGAAGGCAAUCCCAUAUUCCCGAAGCAUACCACUCGGCAGUGUCGCCUCCUGAUCCAAGGCUUCGGCGAAGGGAAGCCGAGUGAAAAGGACAACGAGCAGGAUGAUGAGGACAAGGAGGAUCUGUUCCCCCAAGUCCAUGCAACAUUGAUGAUUUUUGCUGACGUGGAAAGCAAGAGUCGACUGAAGCUGGUGAACAGGGAGGUGAACAUGGCAACCCCAACAAACCCCAUGUUCCUCAAAUGGUCUCAGACUGCGAUAACCUUUGAUCAGUCGGACCAUCCAGCACACGUGCCCACCCCAGGGGGGCAAGCUAUGGUCAUCGACCCGGUGGUGGAAGGAGUCCGACUGCGCAAAGUCCUCAUGGACGGCGGCAGCGGCUUGAACAUCAUGUACGCCGACACUCUCAAGGGGAUGGGCAUUCUGAUGUCCAAACUUAGCGAGAGCAGCAUGCAGUUCCACGGAGUCGUCCCAGGACGAAAGGCCAAGUCACUCGGCCAGAUCGCGUUGGCCGUCGUUUUCGGCUCCGACAAGAACUUCCGUAAGGAAAAGCUCACAUUCGAGGUGGUGGACUUCCAGAGUGCAUACCAUGCGAUUCUGGGCCGUCCCGCGUACGCGCGUUUCAUGGCCCGUCCAUGUUACGUGUAUUUGAAGCUGAAGAUGCCGGGUCCCAAAGGUGUGAUCACGGUCACAGGCAAUCGGCAGCGGGCCGAGGAGUGUCUGCAGCAGGGGUCGAGGAUUGCCGAUCAGCGGAUGGGUAUCCUCGAGCUGGAUGAGUACAAGAAGACAGCCGACCCCGCUAACUUGAUGUGUUCGAAGAAGCCAGCUUCGGAGUCCGCAUUCCAGUCGGCGGGAGACACGAAGAAAGUCAGCAUCCACCCCACGGAUGACGCCGCUGCCCCGACGAACAUCUCCACCACCCUUGACCCAAAAUAGGAAGCCGAGCUCAUCCAAUUCCUCCGUGAGAACUGGGACAUAUUCGCAUGGAAGCCCGCUGACAUGCCAGGUGUACCCAGGGAGUUGGCUGAGCACCGGCUGCAUGUGGAUCCUGCUUCUCGGCCCGUCUGAGAACGCCUGCGCCGGUCUGCCGCACACAAAAGGAAGGCAAUCGGAGAGGAGGUGGCUAAAAUUUUGGCGGCCAACUUCAUUCGCGAGGUACACCACUCCGAGUGGCUCGCCAAUGUUGUCAUGGUGCCCAAGAAGGACAAGUCUCUCCGUAUGUGCAUCGAUUUCAAGCAUCUCAAUAAGGUCUGCCCGAAAGAUCAUUUCCUGCUCCACCGCAUUGAUCAAAUUGUUGAUUCGACCUUUCCAGCACAGUGGNNNNNNNNNNNNNNNNNNNNNNNNNNNNNNNNNNNNNNNNNNNNNNNNNNNNNNNNNNNNNNNNNNNNNNNNNNNNNNNNNNNNNNNNNNNNNNNNNNNNCACCGAUCACUCCCGCCACUAGUAAUGUGGCUCUUUGCUAGUACUGACCAGAGUAAUCAACAAAGCCCCAUCCCAUAAAGGGGUAUCGUGGUCGUACUAGUAAGGUUGGGACGGUCGACACAUCAUAAAUCUAAUCCCAUUUCCGAAACCAUACUCACACGAAAACACCGGUGCAUCACUUCACCAAAAGUGAUCACCAACUCAUCAUCACCCUCGGGCAUAAGUGGCACCCGACGGGGUUUUCAUAAACUCUUUAUUUAAAUCAUCAUCAUGCUCAUGAUAAUAUGCUCUAUAUUUACUUGUCAACAUGGUAAUAACAUGACCCUCAAGGGGUAGGGUCAANNNNNNNNNNUAGUGGCACCAGACGGGGUUUUCAUAAACUCUUUAUUUAACUCAUCAUCAUGCUCAUGAUAAUAUGCUCUAUCUUUACUUGUCAACAUGGUAAUAACAUGACCCUCAAGGGGUAGGGUCAAGCUCAAUGCAAUGAUCUUACUCUACUAGUAAACAUGACAGUAGCAUGAUCCUCACAGAUGGUAGGAUCAAGCUCAUCAUGCUCAUGCCCCGAGGAGCCAUGUGAAUAACAUCAUCAACAUGCAAGGGCUUUGAAGAAGCCUCCGGUGCCAUCACCACAAUGAUGAACCGACAUCGUGAUCACAUGCAACGGGAAAAUACCAACUAUACUAGCAUGCAACAAUGUUUAUGAUCAAGUCAUGGUCAAAGGGCUGCUUGCCUUGGUCAGCUAGGUAUCCGGGGUCUUCAAGGUCUUCCGCUCCGGAUCCUCCGUCACUCGGUAACUCUACCGUCGAGAAAGGAAUAAAUAAAUAAUAGCUCACACCAAAACAGAUCACAAGGUGCUUUUAAAAAUGUUGCAAAGCUUGAAUAAAUUCAGUUUAUUAUUUUGGAAAAAUGUUUCCUAUGGUUUUUAUUAGCUAAGCAUAUUUAUUUAAAAGCAAACACGAGCAAACAAAUGCUUUUAAUAUCAUUUUAUUAUACCAAAACAGAUUCUGUUUUUGAAAAAUGUCAAACUCUACACAAUCAAUUACUACACAUUUUUAGAAAAUUGUUGGUGGAAGAAUCAUAUUUUUCUAAUGGCUAAAUAUUUUUAUAAAAAUCAUUUAAAGUGCAGGUUAAAAAUAAAAGAAAAAGGCCAGGGGGGAGACCCAUUUAUAGGCCAGCGANNNNNNNNNNNNNNNNNNNNNNNNNNNNNNNNNNNNNNNNNNNNNNNNNNNNNNNNNNNNNNNNNNNNNNNNNNNNNNNNNNNNNNNNNNNNNNNNNNNNUAUGUUAUAUAUCGCGAGUCGUGGAUGACACGGAAGUUUCCCGGAUGUCGUGUGUACAGCGCGCAACCUCUGCAGAGUGUAAAACUAUUCAAAUAGUUGUGUCCACGGUCAAGGACAGUUGGGUGGUGCUGCUUAAACUAGGUCCGGUCAUUUUCGCAUAAACCAAGUGUGCGUGUGUAUAAAGGUGUUACAUGAGAAAGUGAUUACCUGGGUCAAGUCUCGUGACUUGGCAUGGAAGGUGAACAUGAGGUGUUCAGCCCUUGGAGUACUUAUGUUGAUAUCUGUAACAAUGUUUUUAUGGUUAUUAUUCACCUAGAGAUGCAUGACAAUCUAAAUACUUGACCAUGUUUAUGCAUUAAUAAAACUUGCUUUCCGCAAAGGCUACAUUAUACUUCAUAUUGCACUCAAUUACAUAAUCCACAUCAUGGGAUGUUUGCGAGUACAUUCAAAGUACUCAUUGGCUUGCCACUGGUUAUUUAUUGGACCAGACAUGGAGGAACCAGAAUAUGGAGAAGAAUUCGUCGUCGGAGAGGGAUACGCGAACUAGGACGCUUCCCUGUCAGAAUGCCUGUUGGUUAAGGCUAAUGAAACGGGGUCACGUUUACUACCAAGAUUUCCGUUGUUAGUUGUGUUGGUGUGAUUGGCCUUCAUGGCCCUAUCUAUGUAAGACUUGACCAUAAUGGUCAUUAUUUGUAUCAGACGUUAUUCAUGGAUGUAAGACUCUUGUUAUUGGGUAUAUGUGUGUUUACAGAGCAUUGAUCUCUCGGAUCACUCUACACGUUCAUUCGGUGGCCUCGACUUGUAAGUCGGGGUCCCCACAAACUUCCAGGGACCAGAAGGUCCGGGAAGCUUCCGGGCCACCCAGAGAAACUUCUAGUUUUUGUGCAAUCUUUCUGGUUAGGGUGGAACCUAGCCGGAACUUCCGUCCCUGUUCUGGCAGCUUCCGGGGCACUCCAACCAGGGUGCAAACACUCUGUGUAGCCCGGAACCUGGCCAGAACUUCAGGGGUCCAGAACCUCCAGGCUUCCCCAGAACUUCCAGGCUUGACAGGAAUCUGGCCCCAACGGCUGGAUUUCAUCCCCACCUAUAAAUAGCCUUAUUCUUCCCCAUGAACACAGCAGAUACUCCAUUUCUCUCUCCACCAUUUUCAGACCUCUAUUUCUUGGAGUUCUCCCUCCUUAGCCAACCAAAGAUCUUGAUCUUUUGAGGAGUGAAGGAGGAGUUGUAAGUGCAUCUAGUGCCCUUAGUCAUUUUGGUGGUUUGAAGACUUAUUGGUUAAGUAACUAAUGUGUUUAUAAGUGUACACAUGCUCUAUAAGUCGUUGAGGAGUUUGAGUUAUACGAUGAAUAUCGACCCCUAAAAAUGUAUGUCUUCGGCUGAAGAAAUUGGUCUUAUGCUGAAGACUUUCAUCGCGAAGAAAUUGCGAUGAAAUUGAUAUUCCUCAUGAAGAUAUUGAAAGAUGAGGAAUAUGGUGUGUCCUGAAGAAAAUCAGUCCGAAGUAUUUGAAGCGUGAAAAUUUAUUCUUUCUGUUUCAUUUUCUUUACUCUUGAGUCAUAGGAACACUGUAUUGUUAAAGGGGGUCGAGGUAAUACUACGGAAUGAAUUUCCUCAUGAUGCUCAACCAAAGCCUAAACCUACAAAAGCCUCAAGUGAAGAAUAUGAGAGACAUGAGGACUCUCAUAGUUGAGAGUUCCGACCAUUGCCGCGAUACGCGCCACCUCACUGAUCUUAUCCACACCACCGGUCACAUUAUUUAAGGGCUUGAGGGAAUUGAGACUGGAAGAGCUCGAAGCAAUUCAGUGGCAGGCGCUUUGUAGUGCGUGUGCUGAGUCAUCCAAUCCAAAACCCAAGUGUUGACAUCCUUCGGGUCUCCAGAGAUGUGCAGUGUGGCGUAGAAUUGAAGAAUCAUGCCGCAGUUCCAGUCGCCAAUGUCAGUGCAGAGAGGAAGCAGUCCAGAUUCGUGAAGAACAUUGAGGACUGGAGUGAAGCAAGGAAUUUCUUCCAUGACACAGUGAGGAAUAUGCUUGUGCUGAAAUAUCUUGUUCCUCCCACAGAGCACUGAAGCAUAGUAGUUGAGUUGGUUCCUCGUCCAAAACUUCCGAUGCCUGAUGCGAAGCUUAUCAUAAGGAUUUGCACCAGUGAAGUACAUCCGUUCUUCAUAAAAUGCUUCCUUUUGAAACUUUGCCCUUUUUGAAAAAGGCUGAUUUUGCUGCGGUUGAAGAUUAUGUUGUUGUUCUUGAGGAGGAGCUAAUAUCAUUGUUGUUUUUGUGUUUACCACAACAAUAGCAGUUUCAGUAUUUGGGGCAGGAGCAUUUUCUUCAUUCUGAGCAUUUUCAUCGGGUUGAGGAUUUUCCUCAGCUUGAGGAAUUUCUUGUUGGAGGAGGCUGUUGUAGCAUUGGUCGUUGCAUUAUCUUCAGCUGGUGCAGUUUAUUCUUGAGCAGAUUCCUCACGGAAGGUCUGCCCAUCAGAUCCUGUGAGGAUUUCUGUUGCAGCAGGAGUAGGAGGGAUUUGGGUUGACCUUGGUGAGGGAUGAGUUUCUUCCCAUAAGUCAUCGUGAUUAACUGGAGUGGUGCACCCAGUUUCAUCAUCACCCACAAUUUCAGCAGAGGUCUUUUGAGGAAUGGAGGGUUGAGGAGUGUCAUCAAUUUGUAUUUCCUCAUCCAUGAUUUUUUCAGCUUCAGCAUCCUCCAUUUUCUCAUCAUCUUCAGGAAUGACGUAGUCAACUCCGAAGGGAACCAGUGAGUAGGAUGGAGCUAUAUUCAUAGGUGUAGCAUCCACAGGGGCAGUUGAAGACUCUGUCUGAGUGACCUUUGGGCGCUUGGCCUCUGAGGAUUCUGAGGUCAUUGAAGCUUUUCUCUUCUUUGCUUCUUUCUCAGCAGCUUUUGUCUUUUUCACGUCUGAUGCAGACGGAAUCAUCUUCUUCACCUUUGAGGUUGAGGUGAAGGAAUAGUUUCUUCGGGAGCUGGUGCGGACAAGUCCUGGCAGUUUCCUCAGCUGAAGCAUUUUCUUCAGUUGGAACAUUCUCUUCAGCUGGAGAAGAUUCUUCAGCUAGACUGUCUUGAGGAAUUUCCUCAGCAGCAGGUUCAUCAGCUUCAUCUUCUUUUGUCAUCUAAACCGUGUAGCUAGACUCAGGUAGCUUUUGCUGCACAAGAGGAGCAGCUUUCUUGUUGUAUUCAUCAACUGCAUCUGUUGCAAACUUGAUGAAAUUCACCUUGGCACUUUGACGAUCAGAUAGGCUUGUGUACUUAUCUGUCAAGGUUUUCAGUUCAGCCUGAGUUCAAACAAGAGCUUCACGCGUCAGAUUGAGGAGAUUCUGCUUGAGGAAUUUCUCAUUCUUCAGUUUAGCAGCCUUUGCUUGCUUGGCUUGAUGUUCUUUCCAUUUUGCCUCAUUGAUGAAAGUGGCAACCAUGUGAAUGACACCAGGGGGAAGCUUCAAGUCAUUAAUGGGAUUGUUUGGAUCUUCAUACUAGAGGCUGAUGAAGUCCAGCAGAACCUUUGGGUCCAUGGCAAGAAGAAUGGAGUUGUCUGAGGCUUGUGCAACUCCUUCCUGCUGUUUCUGAUGAUUGCUUGAAGAGUUUCAUCAUCGAAUUCCUCACUUCCUUCUGAUGCAGAAGGAACAUUGAUGACUUUGCUAGGACUAGGCCUGAUGCCUCUUCCAGCAGUCAUUAGUCUUCAAGAGAGGUGGUGAAGACUUUGUAGCAGAACUCGUGGCAGAUGGCACUAGGGAACUGGAAUGAGCAGGCUGAUGCUUAACUAUCUGCUUAUGUUGAGGGUGUGAGGAUUGUGGUGUUGUUGAAGGUUUUGGCACUGGUGCAGCCUUCUGAGGCAAUUGCUCUUUUGGCACUAAGGCCUUUGGUUUCUUCAUCACAGUCUUCUUCUAAGGAAUAGCUGUACCAGAGGCUUAAGCAGCUCAAGAGGUGGCGGCAGUGGCAGCAGCAGUAGAGUCAUCGUUGAAUUUCUUCACGGUUGCUUCUGCUUUCUCGUGUAGCUUAGACAAAUGUUUUUCUUUCNNNNNNNNNNNNNNNNNNNNNNNNNNNNNNNNNNNNNNNNNNNNNNNNNNNNNNNNNNNNNNNNNNNNNNNNNNNNNNNNNNNNNNNNNNNNNNNNNNNNUGCUGUUCCCGACGACCAUGUAAGAGGAUGCCCAGAACAGCGCAUGCUCCACACGCGAGAACUGGUCAAGCCCUUGCCAUGCACGCUCGGGAUCUGUUCUUGAAAACCAUAACCAGCGAAGCCGCAGUGCGAGUCCGGCACGUUCGAGAUCGCGUACGCCCAGGCCCCCAAACUCGAUGGGGCGGCAGACGCAGUUCCAGUUCACGUGGCAGUGCCCACCGUUGGCCGCAGCGCGCCACGCCCAGAGGAAUCCGCGUUGAAUCUUCUCAAGCUGCUUGAGGGUCUUUUUGGGGGGUGCGAUCGCUAGCAGCUGAUGCACUGGGAUGGCGCUUAGGACAGUUACUAUUUCUACCAUUGGGCUAAUCUGGGAAAGAUAGACCCAUUUGCAGCAUCGAUGUAAAGGGGGAUUGGCAAGUAUAAACACCAGGUACAGCUAUCUAAAAGCAGAGCUUUUGUUUUUCAAUGAAUUAGCCAGUAUAUGGGGAAAAAAUCCCCCAAUAUCUGGGGACUAUUUUAAGAAAAAGGAAAACGAAACAGGGACUUCACCAUAAUAUCUGGGAACAAAUAGCAAAAUAAAGGUUAAAAGAAACUGUGUGCUUUGGGGAGGGAGGGGAGGUGUGUCAGGCAGUUAUAGUAAACUUAGCAAAUCAUCUAAAAUGACUAAUGAUUACAAGGAAACAAACCUGCAGACUGAAGCAAACCUUUCACAGCUUCGAAGUUCUUGUAUGUAUAGCCCACAAAGCUAAGGUCUUUAGAAUUAGGAAUCAUCUGCAAUAAUGUUUCAAAGCAAUGACGAAGAGCUUCAGAGUAAAUAACGAAAUAAUUGCAUGUAGUCUGUUACAAAGGUUGCAGGAUAAUGAAUCACUUAAUUAGUAGAGCUGGAGUUGAUAGGAUGAUGGAUAACCUUGACACGGACAUAUUUGUGCUUACCCUGUCUUUCUCCACGUAUAGGUUAAAUUAAAUACACAGAACUAUAACAUUAUGGAAUUAAAGAAACAGAUUAUGAAUGUAUUAAUACUAUCAACAAUAUCAUGUGGUCAUUAUCAACAAUAUCAUGUGGUCUAAAAGAUGAGUCAAAAAUGGGCAUACAAGGCUGAACAUGCUUUCAGAGUAGUUUUGUUGCAUCUGAGGGUUCAUAAAUUCAUACCUUUCUUGAGGACCCAGAACCUGUUCUUGCUGGAGCGGGAUCUACCUGCAGAGAAGAAAAGAACUGAUAAAGAUAAUUUAUGCUCGACAGAAAAGCAUAUGGAGCUGAAAGAAUGACAUAUUUAAUAUAUUUUUUGAGAAGACGCAAAAGGCCUUUGUGUUUCAUUUCAUUGAAAAGGAAGGGUUUGAGUUACAAUCCUCCUAGGAGGACAUACUGAAUAUGAAACGAAAUAUUCUUGAAAGUUGGGAAUAUUUAACGAAGCAAACCACAAGGUGGGUGCUCGGGUUGACUUCUGCAAUAAAUGCCACCAGGGUGUCCCUGGUCGAUCUAGUUUAAAGGAUCAAACACACAGAAAACUAAUGCAAAAGAACUUGCUCACCUCGUCAAACUUCUGAAAAUUCUGUGUAUCCAAUUCAUCAUUUACUUGAGGCUUAAACGCCGCCUCCAUUUCAUAAAGCUUAUCCCAUUCAACUCCAUGAAACCAAGGAUGAGCCUAAGGAAAAGAAAUUAGGUGUAUAACAACAAACAUAACAUAUGUAAGCAAUACUCGGAUGGAAUUGUAUGUAUGUAUGUAUGUAUGUAUGUAUGUAUGUAUAGGGGUGGGACACNNNNNNNNNNNNNNNNNNNNNNNNNNNNNNNNNNNNNNNNNNNNNNNNNNNNNNNNNNNNNNNNNNNNNNNNNNNNNNNNNNNNNNNNNNNNNNNNNNNNAGAAAGAGGAGGAGGAGGAGAAGAAGAAGAAAUCAAGAAGAAGGAGGAGAAGGUCCUUGGCCUUCUCCUCCUUCUCCUCCUCCUCCUCCUCCUUCUCCUUCUUCUCUUCUUCUUCUUCUUUCUUUUCAUUUUUCCUAUUUCUUCUCCUCUUCUCCUCUUGUUGGAGCUAAAUUACCUAAUUAUAUCUUUUUGGAGCUAAAUGGGCUAAUUAUACCAUUUUAGAGGAAAACAAGCUAAGUAUAUAAUAUUCAUGAGCUAACCAAGGUUCUUAUGCCAUUUUGAGGUUAUUAUGGCAUUUUGGAGCUAAAUGGGCUAAUUAUGUCAUUGAUGGGGAAAUUGAAGCAAGGACAAUAUGAAAGAUUAGAAGAAAGAGGAGGAGGAGGUGAAGAAGAAGAAAUCAAGAAGAAGCAGGAGAAGGAGGAGAAGGAGGAGGAGGAGAAGGACUAGAAGGUCCUUGGCCUUCUCCUCCUCCUCCUCCUCCUUCUCCUUCUCUUCUUCUUCUUCUUCAUCUUUUCUUCUUCUUUCUUUCCAUUUUUCCUAUUUCUUCUCCUCUUCUCCUCUUGUUGGAGCUAAAUUANNNNNNNNNNNNNNNNNNNNNNNNNNNNNNNNNNNNNNNNNNNNNNNNNNNNNNNNNNNNNNNNNNNNNNNNNNNNNNNNNNNNNNNNNNNNNNNNNNNNCCGGCAUUCUCCCUCUUCAUGUAAACCUUAUAAAAUAAGAAAGAAAAGGCAUAAGUAUUGUACCGUAAAGUGUAAUAACAACCCAUAAAGCGAUAAAUAUCAACAUAAAAGCAUGAUGCAAAAUGGAUGUAUCAACUCCCCCAAGCUUAGACCUCGCUUGUCCUCAAGCGGAAGCCGAGAUCAAUAAAUAUGCCCACAUGUUUAGAGAUACAGGUGUCGAUAAAACAAAAUACGGACAUGCAGGCAUCAUGAUCAUAUUUUGAGCAGCAAUAUCGUCAUAUAAUCUCUUAUGCUAAAGUGACAAUUCCUUCACAAAGUAAAGUAUGGAUCAAGAACCUUUAGUCAUUGAAGCAAUUGCAAUUUAUCAUAACAUCGGAAAGAGUCAAAUAAGAGCUUGCAAAGCAAAUCCACAUACUCAAUCAUCCUUUCGUCUGCUACAAUUGCUAAAACUCACGUGUUACUCAUGAGAUCGAAGUUUCAGUUGGACACAGAGAAAGAUAGGGGCUUAUAGUUUCGCCUCCCAACUAUUUACCUCAAGGGUAAUGUCAACAAUAAUAAUUCAUGAACACUUACUUCCAAGUUGACAUAUGAAUAUAGAUCUUUCCCUAGCACAAGACAUUAGCCAAGAUAAUGGCGAAAUAAGGAAUUGGUGUCGAUCACCAUGACUCUUUUAAGGAUAAAAAGUAAAGGUACAAUAUAGGCCCUUCGCAGAGGGAAGCAGAGGUUGUCAUGCGCUUUUGAGGUUUGUAUGUGUGAUCUCUUAGUGUGGAGAAACGUCACUUUAUAUUGCCUCCUGUGAUAAAGAACUUUAUUAUGCAGUCUGUCGCUUUUAUGUCUUCCUCAUCACAGGUUCAUACAAAGCUUAUUUUCCACACACUACUAGAUCAUACAUAUUUAGGGAGCAAUUUUUAUUGCUUGCACCAAUGACAACUUACUUGAGGGAUCUUAUUCAAUCCAUAGGUAGGUAUGGUGGACUCUCAUGGCAAAACUGGGUUGGGGUUUAUGGAUGCACAAGUAGUAUCUCUACUUAGUGCGGAAGUUUUGGCUGAUAUGAGGUGGAAGCAAUCGUCAUAUGCUAGGAGAUCUCUAGUCAUAUAACAUUGUUCGGAACCAAGCAAACAUAAUUCAUUAUGUUGUCUUCCUUGUCCAACAUCUACUUCUAAGCAUGUAAUAGUUUAAUGAGUGCUCACAAUCAUAGACGGUACCAAAGAUGAUAUAUUUAUAUGUGAACCACUCUUUCUUUAUUACUUCCUAUUAAUUGCAACAAUGACCAAGGUCUACGUUUGUCCACCCACAACAAAUUUCAAUCAACAUUCUUUUUAUAUGUGAAGCCAUCACUUCCCAUAAGACCAGUACAUGAUCUUUCACUGGUUAAAUCUUUUUUUAUAAAAAUCAUUUAAAAUCAAAUUCUAAAUAAAAAGAAAAGGGCAACAGCCUUGGCCUGGCUUGGCCUAGGACUGGGCCGGCCCGCUGGCCAGCCAACCAGCCUGCCCAGGCGCNNNNNNNNNNNNNNNNNNNNNNNNNNNNNNNNNNNNNNNNNNNNNNNNNNNNNNNNNNNNNNNNNNNNNNNNNNNNNNNNNNNNNNNNNNNNNNNNNNNNUGGUGGGGUGCAACCACCCCAAACCACUGUCGAGCACCUUCUGACAGAUGGUUAAAAGCCCCUUUAACUCUCAGAUUAGGUGGACAGUAUCAAUGCACAGCCCCAAUCAACUGGCCCCUCUCUGGUUCAAAGUAGAAAUGACAAAAUGCCCAUUCUAAGCUUCAGCUCAAGGCUGACAGCACCUGUUUCUCUUGUCUCCCUUGACCAGCCGAAGGUCCCACGGGACUUCAAUGGCUAGCCUCAUCCCGACUAGUGCCCACGACAUGCUAGACACGUCCAAAGCACCCAGAGCGUGCCAGCAUGCCGUGGCAUGCCAAAACUAUGCUCUGGGCACGCUACAGAGAACUCCAAGGUGGGGGCAACGCCCUCGGCCAGUUCCAGCCUCCCCCGAGGUGUCCAACUUCUUCCCUGACAGCCCCUCUGCAUCAGGCGACCAUCACGGCCCCUCCUCUCCCGCGCUUGGAGCUGGUGCGACGCGUGUUCGCGCGCACCAGAACCAGCCAGAGUUGCGCGGCCACUAAUGCUUGUCUCCCCUCUCUCUUCCUUCCCCACAGUAAGUUCUGGCAGUCCAAAACCACGUCCUGAGACCGUGGUUUCGACCCCAUCUCCUCUCUGCACCCCCAUGCGCGCCAUGGUGAGUCAUCGACGCUCCCGAAUCCGCUCACCAUUGUGGGCCUAUAAAUAGCCCUCCCCCUCACUCCAGCACCCCUCAAGCAUUAUCGCAGCCACCUCUAGUACCUCCCUAGACACCCAGCAAGCCAGCAGAGCGCCGGUGCUCGAGAUCAACCGAGGCCCCUCCACCUCGGAGCUCCGAUCGAUCUCCGGCUACACGUUCGCUCAUGCGUCCCUCUACCCACCAAGCCACUCCCCUUGACACCAGGGAUCUUUCCCCCAUCUUUCCCAAGCUAAUCCGUGCCCCUAGCUACCCCCUCCACCUUCGCCCGAAACUCCUCCGCCACGGCUUCCUCCUCGCCGGUGAACCUGAGCCCCUCCGUCGUUGUCUCGACCACCAUCAGGUAGGCGACGACGAGUCGGGCCCAUUUCCGUCUUCGUUGGGGCCCGAGGACGUCGGUAGCCACGCCAGCAUGCUCCUCCUCCUCUCUGGCCAGAGGUAGGACAUGACCCCGACAUGUGUGCCCCACCUUUCGAUGGCCCAUCUCUCUCUCCCUCUCUGCCCGCAGCCGCUGACCGCACGGGCCCGCGCGUCAGGUUCAAACCUGACGGCGUGCGCGCCUGGGCAGGCUAGCUGGCUGGCCUUUCGGCCGGCCCAGUCCCAGGCCAAGCCAGGCCAGGGACUGUAACCCUUUUUCUUUUAUUUAAAAACUUUACUUUCAAAUAUUUUUAUAAAAUGAUUUAACGAGUGUAAAAAUAUGAUUUUUCCACUAUUAAUCUUCUAAAAAUGUGUAGUAUUUAAUAGAACCAUUGGUUGAAUUUUUGCAGCAAUUAUUCCGUUUUAUAAAAAUAAAAAGGAUUAAUUUGGAAUAGUUUUGCUUCUCUUUAGUUGAUUUUAAAAAUAUUCCUUCAUUAGAAUCAGAGGCAAAUAUNNNNNNNNNNAAAAUAACCAACAUUUUUAAAAUGACUUUGUGAUUUGUUCGAGAGUGAGCUACUUAUUUUUUUUAUUUUUACGACGAUAGAAAACCCGUGUGAUGAAGGAGUCGGAGCGGAAGACCUCGAAGAACCCGGAUACCUAGCUGACCAAGGCAAGCAACCCUUUGACCAUGACUGAGCAUAUGUUAUAUUGCAUGCUAGUGUAGCAAAUAUUUUCGUUGCAUAUGAUCAUAAGUGCCGGUAAAUCAUUGAUGUGAUGUUACCGAUGGCUCCUCCGGAGCACAUGCAUUGAGCUUGAUCGUACCACCUAUGAGGGUCAUGGUAAUUUCAUGUCGACAAGUAAAGCUAGAAGUAGUAUUAGCACGAAAAUGUUGAUGACAUAAAUCAAAGGUUAUGAAAACCCCAUCGGGUGCCACUAAUGCCCCAGGGUGAUGAUGAGUUAGGUGGCCACUUUUGGUCAAGUGGUGCACUGGGUAUUGCUACGGCAACAGAGAACAACGCCAGAUACUGACACGUUGACGGAGACUGGGCUUGCGUUGGUUUUUCCCUUGAAGAGGAAAGGGUGAUGNNNNNNNNNNNNNNNNNNNNNNNNNNNNNNNNNNNNNNNNNNNNNNNNNNNNNNNNNNNNNNNNNNNNNNNNNNNNNNNNNNNNNNNNNNNNNNNNNNNNNNNNNNNNNNNNNNNNNNNNNNNNNNNNNNNNNNNNNNNNNNNNNNNNNNNNNNNNNNNNNNNNNNNNNNNNNNNNNNNNNNNNNNNNNNNNNNGAAGUGAGAUCUCAAGGCGAAAAGUGCAACGAAGUAAAAAGUGUCAUGCUGAAAUAUGGUGGGGAGUAGACCCGGGGGCCAUAUUGCUCACUAGAGGCUNNNNNNNNNNNNNNNNNNNNNNNNNNNNNNNNNNNNNNNNNNNNNNNNNNNNNNNNNNNNNNNNNNNNNNNNNNNNNNNNNNNNNNNNNNNNNNNNNNNNAACCAAAUCAUGUUAACUCUCAAUGCAUUUGGAGGAGAUUAAUUUUCCCAAGCAUGCAUCAAACACCUUCUCCAGAUUUGAAAUAUCAGCAUCUAGCACCCUCCACACUUACUCCCAUCACUCCAAACUCAUGCCACAGACUGCAUGUGCCUCCCCUCAACUGUAGACGAGAGGCCCAUCACUGGUUCAAUGAGAGGUAGGAAAAAUCCCCAUUUUAGCUCCUGAAUAAAUGUUGACAGCAUCACUUUACCUCUCUCCCCUUGGCCAGCUUGAUUCCUAUUGGCCCCUAGCAUCCGAGGAGCAUCUACCCCAUCUCCGAGACACCCCAGGCACAGCCAAGAUGCGCGAGAGCGCGCCAACAUGUCGUGGCAUGCCAAAGCUGCGCUCUCGACAUGCUACAAGGCGCACCUGAGCCCAAGGGGGCUAGUACCGGCCAGUUCCUGCCUUCACCCAUUGCCCUUCUUUGACCACACCGACGACCGAGUCCAGGACAGCAUCGGGCACCUCUUCUUCCCCUCUCCUCUGCCNNNNNNNNNNNNNNNNNNNNNNNNNNNNNNNNNNNNNNNNNNNNNNNNNNNNNNNNNNNNNNNNNNNNNNNNNNNNNNNNNNNNNNNNNNNNNNNNNNNNAGUCGCAACCCAUGGAGCAGAGCUUCAUACUCCGCCACAUUGUUGGUACAUGGGAACAUGAGUCGGAGGACAUAGCAAAACUUGCCACCCUGAGGCGAAGUCAACACCACGCCAACCCCCGAGCCUUCCAACUGCCUAGACCCGUCAAAAUGGAUGGUCCAAUAUGUGUGAUCAGGUCUGUCUUCUGGAAUCUGGAACUCGGUCCAAUCGUUGAUGAAAUCCACUAGUGCUUGAGACUUAAUGGAUGUGCGAGGGGUAUAUCGCACAUGGUGAUGUCCUAGCUCAAUGGCCCACUUAGCAAUCCGUCCAGUCGCCUCUCGAUUUUGUAUAAUAUCAUCGAGGGGGGAAGAACUAACCACCACGAUAGGAUGCUCUUUAAAGUAGUGUUUCAACUUCCGACUCGCCAUAAACACCCCAAAGACCAGCUUCUGCCAAUGUGGAUAGCGUUAUUUGGAGAGGGUUAGGACUUCACCGAUAAAGUAGACUCGUCGUUGAACCGGGUAUUCCUUCCCUUCUUCUUUGCGCUCGACGACCACUGACACGCUUACCGCUUUAGAAUUGGUCGUGAUGUACAAGAGCAUAGGCUCUUUGUCAGUUGGAGCGGCCAAUACAGGCGGCUUAGCUAAUUGUUGCUUGAGGGCUUCGAAGGCUUCGUUGGCUUUAUCCGUCCAAACAAAGCGAUCAGUUUUCUUGAGCAGCUGAUAAAGAGGGAUGGCUUUCUCCCCGAGGCGACUUAUGAAACGACUUAGAGCCGCGAUGCGACCCGCCAUGUGCUGAACUUGAUUGAUAUUGGCUGGCUUGCCUAGCGAAGUGACCGCUUCAAUUUUAUCCGGGUUAGCUUCGAUGCCUCGUUCUGACACCAGAAAACCCAANNNNNNNNNNNNNNNNNNNNNNNNNNNNNNNNNNNNNNNNNNNNNNNNNNNNNNNNNNNNNNNNNNNNNNNNNNNNNNNNNNNNNNNNNNNNNNNNNNNNACCCAGAUUUUCCUCGGGGGUGGUCCAUUCCUGCAGUUAGUUCCAACAUAUCGAGCAAAUACUUCACCAGAUUGAUUUUUAAACAGUUUAUGGUUGGAGCCAAAUGACUCGUGUGAGGAAUAGGAUAAUUCACAUGCAAAGCAUGAUGGAUUGGAUGGAUCAAGAGGAGGUCCUUUAGCAGUAACCCAUGAGGUUUUGGGAUACUGCUCAGGUUUUCAGUAUGAUCCAUCAGCAUUCAGUUUCCUUUCAAAGGCAAUUCCAUCUUUCCUCGGGUUCCUGUUCAAAAUCUACUUUUUGAGCACAUCACAAAGGGUUUGAUGCCCUUUGAGGCUUUUGUACAUGUCUGUCACAUACAAUUCCUUCAACCAUGCAUUUUCGUCAGUACUAUUUGUGGUUUCCUCAAGUAAGGAUUUGUUACCACAGGAGCAGUUGAAGAAUUUGUAGCAAUAGAAGCAUUUGAUGAUUCUGGUGAAGAAUUGGCAGUUUCACGCUCAGUGCAUUUCAGACAUGGUGGAGUGAAUUCAACCUGAGCGGCACUGAUCUGUUGAGCAAGCAAUGAAUCGUUUUCCAUUCGAAGAUCAUCAUGAGACAUCUUCAACUUCUCAAGAUCAAGUUACUUUGAAAAAAUUCAUAGGAAAGUUUCUCAUGAUCAGCCAAGAGUGUGCCAUAACGANNNNNNNNNNNNNNNNNNNNNNNNNNNNNNNNNNNNNNNNNNNNNNNNNNNNNNNNNNNNNNNNNNNNNNNNNNNNNNNNNNNNNNNNNNNNNNNNNNNNUCAAAUCGGAAGACCCGAAGUCAUUCCGGUGAUCUGGUGUCCGGCUUACCAGCAAAGAACAAGAGGAAACCAAAUGAGGUACCCAUGGAUAAAACUUCUUCAUGUUUCUUUGGAUCGCAUCAGUAACCCGCCUAUAUCUUUGACGUAUAAUUCUUGCAGAAUUCUCCUCCUACAUCUGGCGACUCAGUAAUGUUGACACUUCCGCCAAUGAUUCGUGUCCCUGGGUAAGUCUUUUGAUAAUUUUACUUUGAAUCUGAGGGUGAUAAAUUUUCAGUCCUUUAACGCGACUCUCCCCUUUUUUAGGGCACAUGCGAAGAAGAGUGUAACGACCAAGAUGCGGUCCUUUCCAAUCUGGGGGUCGAGGCCCCCGAAUAGGAAAGAAGCGCAUCUAAGCGUUUCGCAAGCAAGUAAACAUAGCACAGAUUAAAUAAUUNNNNNNNNNNAACAUUUUCUAGACUCGACUCGGCCAAAUACGAUCACACUAAGGCUCCUAUGGUCGUAAGGCUCUGAUUACCAACUUGUAACGACCAAGAUGCGGUCCUUUCCGAUCUGGGGGUCGAGGCCCCCGAAUAGGAAAGAAGCACAUCUAAGCGUUUCGCAAGCAAGUAAACAUAGCACAGAUUAAAUAAUUACAAGUAGACAAUUUGGGAUUCAACUGUCUUCUUAUUAAUAAUACAGAGUACAACGCAGAUACAAACAAGGUAGUUCCGGUAUCAGGCUGCUGCAUCCUAUGAUUGAAUAAGUGGCUAACUUAUGCAAAAGAGAAGCGAAGGUGGUCUACGAUAAAGGUCGGGAUUACUUGAUCAGUAAGUGAUCCUGAACACCUACCUACGGCAUUCAUAACCCCACCGUGUUCCCGAUCGAAGAGAGANNNNNNNNNNUGCACAUACAAACAAGGUAGUUCCGGUACGAACUACAAAACAAGGAAAAUGCUAUGCUACCUGCUGCAGGCCCACGAUCACGAUCACGGCUCAGUCCUCUCGAUAGUUCACGUAAAGGCGGUCUGUCUCCUCGUCGUACUGCCACGCUAGCUGGGUGCCGUCGGGAUCAUCUGCCUCUGGGGGACCUGUACCUGCUGGGAGUUUCGGAGGAAUCCGUGAGCCACGGGGACUCAGCAAUCUAAGACCUUGGUGCCAGAACUAGUCAUGUUAUUGGGUAAGGUAGGGAUAAAGUGUAUCAGGCUGCUGCAUCCUAUGAUUGAAGAAGUGGCUAACUUACGCAAAAGAGAAGCGAAGGUGGUCUACGAUAACGGUUGGGAUUAGUUGAUCAGUAAGUGAUCCUGAACUCCUACCUACGGCAUUCAUAACCCCACCGUGUUCCCGAUCGAAGAGAGANNNNNNNNNNNNNNNNNNNNNNNNNNNNNNNNNNNNNNNNNNNNNNNNNNNNNNNNNNNNNNNNNNNNNNNNNNNNNNNNNNNNNNNNNNNNNNNNNNNNAACCAAAGGAAUCACACCAUAAGGCUGUGAAGCAUAUUCUUCGAUACUUAGCUCACACACCAACACUAGGAUUAUGGUACCCCAAGGGCUCAAAUCUUCAUCUCGUUGGAUAUUCUGAUUCUGAUUAUGCUCGUGACCGUGUGGAUCGCAAGUCAACAUCAGGCACAUGCCAUUUCCUCGGAAGAUCAUUAGUCUGUUGGUCCUCAAAGAAGCAGAACUAUGUUUCUCUCUCCACUGCCGAAGCUCAGUACAUUGCUGCUGGAUCCUGCUGUGCUCAAUUGCUAUGGAUGAAGCAAACCCUCAAAGACUACGGCAUCAACAUGAAGAAUGUGCCUCUCUACUGCGACAAUGAGAGUGCAAUCAAGAUCGCCUACAACCCAGUACAACACUCUAAGACUAUGCACAUCCAGAUUUGUCAUCAUUUUCUCCGGACCAUGUCCUCAAGGGCAAUAUCAUCAUUGAGCAUGUGAAGACUGACAAUCAACUAGCAGAUAUUUUCACUAAGCCCUUGGAUGAGAGAAGGUUUUGCAAGUUGAGGUGUGAGCUGAAUAUCUUAGAGUCUUCAAAUGUUUUGAGAAAACAUGCACACAUCCUAACACUUAUGCAAAAUUGAUGACUUAGAUGUGCAACACANNNNNNNNNNNNNNNNNNNNNNNNNNNNNNNNNNNNNNNNNNNNNNNNNNNNNNNNNNNNNNNNNNNNNNNNNNNNNNNNNNNNNNNNNNNNNNNNNNNNGUCAGAAAAAAUAAAAUGGAUCGAGGCAAGCAACGCCAAAGUCACAUCCGUACCAGUCGGAUCCAAACUUCAAGCAUCGCUUCGUCGUUCCAACCCCAAUCCAUUCGGGGACUAAUGAUGGGGUUAUAGUCCUAGGGUAGGGUCAUAGGCCUAUCCUGUAGGUCCUACCCAAGGACUACCCCUCAUAAGGGACAAGACCCUUAGUCAGUUGUGACUGAACUAAGGAGUUCCCAUCAUCCAGUCGGUAACAGAUCCUCGACCAUCCAGUCGGAGACUAGCAUUCGGAGNNNNNNNNNNUGUUACAUAUAUCGACAUAUUUGCUAAGGGUUUGAUGGGGUUAUAGUCCUAGGGUAGGGUCAUAGGCCUGUCCUGUAGGUCCUACCCAAGGACUACCCCUCGUAAGGGACAAGGCCCUUAGUCAGUUCCGACUGAACUAAGGAGCUCCCAUCAUCUAGUCGGUAACAGAUCCUCGACCAUCCAGUCGGAGACUAGCAUUCGGAGAAUAUCAAACUAACCGACUCGAUUCCACUCUGUGCAUCGUAACCCCCUGGAGGGAAACGGUCAUACGAUUUCCAUGUACCUUUAUUAGCAUUUAAGACGUACGUUACCUGUAACAUAGGCAUUUAUUUGCCACUACUCCACCCCUGUGCACCGAACCGUUGUGGAGGGCAGCGCACUCUAUAUAAGCCACCCNNNNNNNNNNUUUCCAUGUACCUUUAUUAGCAUUUAAGACGUACGUUACCUGUAACGUAGGCAUUUAUUCGCCACUACUCCACCCCUGUGCACCGAACGGUUGUGGAGGGCAGCGCACUCUAUAUAAGCCACCCUCCCCCACUGGUGCAGGGGUUAGCAAGUCACUGUAUUCCAUAUUCCACUCGACAACAAGCUCCCAGAGCACUGAGACGUAGGGCUAUUACCUCCACCGCAGAGGGGCCUGAACUCAUACAAUCUCGCCGUAGCUAAGGCUCUGCCCAUCCUUUCGUACCCUACACAUCUACUGUCAGACUUAUACCCACGACAGGGUUGAACCAUCCGGGUUCACCCUAUAUGCCAAGUCACCGAACUUGNNNNNNNNNNUUGAAUGUACUCGCAAACAGCCCAUGAUAUGAACAUUGAUAGUGAAGAAUAACAGUAACAUGUAUCUUUGGUGGAAUGCAAUUUGGUGGAAUGAUCAGGUAUAUGCAACAAGUUAAAGAACUACUCUUGAAGAACAGGUUACAGAUAUCGACAUAUUUGCUAAGGGUUGAACCAUCCGGGUUCACCCUAUAUGCCAAGUCACCGAACUUGGUCAUAUUAUUACUCUCGUAACAACACCUUUUUAACACCACACACACACACUUGGUUUAUGCGGAAAUGCUGGACGUAGUUUAAGCAGCACCACCCAAUUGACCUUGACCGUGGACACGGCUAUUCGAAUAGUUUGACACUCUGCAGAGGUAGUACGCUGGACCCAUGAGAAACGGGAAACUUCCGUGUCAUCCACGACUCGCGGUAUAUCACAUAUACCCGAGGUAAGUACCCGAUCAUCAUCUUUCUCGUGACGAUACUAGACAAAGAGGUCCACUCGAUUGGUACCCAGCCCACAUGUUGNNNNNNNNNNNNNNNNNNNNNNNNNNNNNNNNNNNNNNNNNNNNNNNNNNNNNNNNNNNNNNNNNNNNNNNNNNNNNNNNNNNNNNNNNNNNNNNNNNNNGGUACUGGCGAGAGUCGACACAUGGAAAAUAGACAAACCAUGGGUUCACUGAACCUGCUUCACUGAAGCUUGACUUGCGCCUGAUCAGCCGGUCUAAACAACUAAAGGUUGUUGCAAAAGCCUUCUUAGGGUAGCACUAGAGUUUUGCAAACUCGUCCUAUCCUAUCAUAACUCAUCGAGCCAACGAACAUGACUAUCUUUGUGGCAUUGCCCAAAGGUUUCAUGAAAUUUCUAUAACCCACCGCGACUCACUGAGCGGGCUUAUUGUCUAUAACCCGUCGCGACUCACUGAGCCGGCUUAUUGUCUAUAAUCCACCGCAACUCACUGAGCCGGCUUAUUGUCUAUAACCCGCCGCGACUCACUAAGUCAGCUUAUUGUUUUCUCUGAUAAAAUAGGGCAAAGGACAUUUUUUGUCAAGACAUGACAAAGCAUUGGGAAAGGCGGUUCAUAUUAAUGAAGGCUGAAAUUUCCAAACACAAAUCACAAGGUACGGUUAUUAUACUGUUUUCCUGAAUCCUAAGACUAUUACAUGGCUCACCAGGCCAUACCGAGCAUCAUAUACCGGUCAGAAAAGGAUCAAAAUAUUCUUGGAGAAUCGAUUUCAUGACAAGUCGGUUCAAGCCGCCUCCGGGUCAUCCUGCUUCGAGCUUUCGCCGUCUUUGAUCUGUAAGUCGCUCAAUUUCCAAUUGCAAUUGGUCAAGGUGACGAACUCGUCUUAAUCACUCAAGAUGGCGGAGAGAUCAACGUUAAUGUCAAAGGGAUUCUUAUGGCGUCGUGGAGUCAGGCUGGUGACUUCAUACGAAGGAGGAGUCACCUGUUUGUUGCUUUCAUCAUAAGCCGCCUGGUACUUGUCUAAGUCGAGGUUGGCUCCUAGUUGAGUCGCUGCGGAGCAAGACUCUUUCACACAAUGAUGGUAGUCCUCCUUGGUGAACUCCGAUGCAUAAUAUUUUAACUCUCGAAAGCCAGCAGCCACUUCCUCCGACUUAAGUUCAGGAGCAUAGGCGAGACACCGACUUAGGGUGGUCAGUGCUCCUUUACGGGCGGUGAUACGUCUCCAAUGUAUCUAUAAUUUUUGAUGGUUUCAUGCUAUUCUCUUGUCAAACUUUGGAUGUUUUGCAUGCCUUUUAUAUAUUUCUGGGGACUAACUAUUAACUCACUGCCAAGUGCUAGUUCCUGUUUUUUCCAUGUUUUUGACCCCUUUCAGAGGAGAUUUUGAAACGGAGUNNNNNNNNNNNNNNNNNNNNNNNNNNNNNNNNNNNNNNNNNNNNNNNNNNNNNNNNNNNNNNNNNNNNNNNNNNNNNNNNNNNNNNNNNNNNNNNNNNNNAUACUUUGAUAUGCAUCGAGUAUAAUUAUCUGUUGGAACUUGCACAUAACUGGUUCAUCUGUGGUUUAAACCGAGUUUCUAUAUUUUAAAUGCCCAGUAUAGCCGGUUACGUUUCUUUAUUUUUUUUUCUUAUAAAAAGUGAUGUUUCUUCACUCUAGGACUUAUGUAUAUCCAACGUAAGGAUCGACACAACAAAUUUGAUGUUUUUUUCCCUUAUAGAAUACAUUGUGGAGAUGAGUACUCCCUCCGUUUCUAAAUAUAAGUUUUUUUUAAGGUUUUAUUAAAAGACGUAAAACUCCAUCGUUCAGCCGGUUGAUGCAUCGACACCAUCCACUGCUUUCUUAGCCGUCGGCUCACCGCUGAUGACAAGUCUCAUGCAGCCAGUUUUUCUGUUAUGUAACAAGAGUAUUGUUUUAAAAGGUUUCUGCAACACAGGUAUUGUUUAAAAAAAAAGGUUCGGUGGUGAAGUUUUUUUUCAGCAAUAGGCUAGUUUCAAAAGAUUUCUGCAACAUAGUUUUUUUUUUUGAAAAGAAGAAAAUGGUUCAACAAUGAAUANNNNNNNNNNNNNNNNNNNNNNNNNNNNNNNNNNNNNNNNNNNNNNNNNNNNNNNNNNNNNNNNNNNNNNNNNNNNNNNNNNNNNNNNNNNNNNNNNNNNGUGACGUUUCGGUAUAGUUGAGUUAUAGGUGUUGGUAAACAAAAGUUUUUCGGAGUCUCGGAUGAGAUCCAGGACAUGAUGAGGAGCUCCGGAAUGGUCCGGAGGUAAAGAUUAAUAUAUAGGAAGUCCUGUUUUGGUGACCGGAAAAGUUUCGGACUCAUCGGUAGUGUAUCCGGAGUGCCGGGAGGGGUGCCGGGGACCAUCGGGAGGGGUGUCACGCCCCAAGGGGUGUCAUGGGCUAUGGGAAGAGAUAAACCAGCCCCUAGUGGGCUGGAAUAAGUUCUCACUAAGGCCCAUAAGGUUUGAGAAGGAAAAAAACACAAGGUGGAAAGAGUUUCCAAGUGGGAAGGUGGAAUCCCACUCCAAGUAGGAUUGGAGUAAGACUCCUCCACCUCCAAUUUCGGCCAAACCUUGAGGAUUUAAGGCUGCCUCCUCCCCUCCCCUUACUCCCUCCUAUAUAUAUAGUGGUGAUUUAGGGCUGAUUUGAGACAACUUUUGCCACGUGCAACUCAGAUCUAGACACCAUAGUUCUUCCUCUAGAUCGUAUUUCUGCGGAGCUCGGGCGGAGCCCUGCAGGAGUAGAUCAUCACCACCACCGGAGCAUCGUCACGCUACCGGAGAACUCAUCUACUUCUCUGUCUUGCUUGCUGGAUCAAGAAGGCUGAGAUCAUCGUCGAGCUGUAUGUGUGCUGAACGCGGAGGUGCCGUCUAUUCGGCACUAGAUCAGAACAGAUCGUGGGACGAAUCAUGGGACGGUUCAUGGGACGGUUCGUGGGGCGGUUCGAGGGACGUGAAGACGUUCCACUACAUCAACCGCGUUUCUUAACGCUUCCUGCUGUGCAAUCUAAAAGGGUACGUAGAUCCAAAUCUCCUCUCGUAGAUGGACAUCACCAUGAUAGGUCUUCAUGUGCGUAGGAAAUUUUUUGUUUCCGAUGCAACGUUCCCCAACAGCAGUAUCACAGCAGGGGGCGGACCAAUCAUAUCUCCGCAAUAGAGGCACGGGAAGACCUGGACUGCAUUCUGGGUACGUUCCUCGUCAACUCCACCCCAGCAGUAGUAUUGUUUGAUUGUGGUGCUUCGCAUUCUUUUGUGAGACAAAGAUUUGCGGAAAAAUGUGGUUUAAAGCCUACUCUGCUUAACGGCCAAAUGGCAAUUCAAACCCCGAGAGCAGUGUUAAGGACCAACCUAGGAUGUAGGAAGGUCGGGAUUGUUAUCAAUGGGAUAAGCUUCUCAGCAGACCCCAUUGUCAUUAAGUCGCAAGGCCUAGAAGUAAUUCUCGGCAUGGAUUGGUUGGCCAAACAUCAGAGCAUCUUGGACUGUGCCAAGAGGGGUUAUUACCAUGACAAGCGACCAAGGGGUCAAAGUCAAGUAUGUCUCUGAGUGAGUAACCACUCGAGUACAACAGGUUAACGACCUAUCAGAAGUAGAGCUCGAUCGAGUGCCAAUAGUAUGUGAGUACCCGGACGUCUUUCCUGAUGAGCUACCAGGAAUUCCUCCCGACCGAGACAUCGAGUUCAUCAUUGAGCUCAUGCCCGGAUCAAGGCCUAUCUAUAAGAAGCCUUAUAGGAUGGGAUCCAAAGAGCUAGCGGAGCUGAAGAAACAGGUGGAUGAGCAACUCAGGAAAUGGUUCAUUCCUUAAAGUGAGUCACCUUGGGGAUCACCUGUUCUGUUCGUGUCCAAGAAGGAUGGGACUAUCAGACUCUGCGUCAACUACCGUUCCCUGAAUGAGGUCACGGUCAAGAACAAGUAUCCACUCCCCAAGAUUGAAGACUUGUUUGAUCAAUUACAUGGAGCUAAGGUAUUCUCCAAGAUUGAUCUCCGAUCUGGAUAUUACCAACUGAAGAUCCGACCUGAGGACAUACCCAAGACUGCAUUCGUGAUCCGGUACGGUUUAUACGAAUGCACUGUCAUGUCUUUCGGGUUGACUAAUGCCCCAGCUUACUUCCUGUACCUCAUGAACAAGGUCUUCAUGGAAUACCUGAACAAGUUUGACGUCGUAUUCAUUGAUGACAUAUUAAUCUUUUUCAAGUCCGAAGAAGAGCAUGAGCAACACUUGAGGUUAGUGUUGGAAAAGCUUCGAGAGCACCAACUUUAUGCCAAGUUCAGCAAAUGCGAAUUCUGAUUGAACGAAGUUGGAUUCUUGGGUCAUACCAUGAUAGCAAGUGGAUUGGCGGUUAAUCCCUCCAAGAUUACUACGGUAACCAACUGGGAGUCGCCAAUUGAUGUGAAGGAAGUCAGAAGCUUCCUCAGAAUCAUGGGAUAUUACCGCAAGUUUGUAGAAGGAAUCUCCCGCAUCCCUCGACCCAUGACGCAGCUCUUCAAGAAAGGUAAGAAGUUCGAAUGGACGCCGGAGUGUGAAGCAAGCUUCCAAGAGUUGAAGAAGAGGUUAACUACCGCCCCGGUAUUGGCUACUCCAGAUAUCAGCAAGGAGUUUGUGAUAUAUUGUGAUGCCUCCAGAACCGGGCUUGGUGGAGUCCUAAUGCAAGACGACAUGGCGACAUUACCUUCUGGGGAAGCGAUGUGAAAUAUAUACCGACCACAAAAGUCUGAAGUAUAUCUUCACUCAAAGGGAAUUGAAUAUGAGGCAACGAAGAUGGUUGGAGUUAAUCAAAGAUUAUGAUCUCAACAUUCAAUAUCACCCCGGUAAGGCCAAUGUGGUGGCUGAUGCCUUAAGCAGGAAGACCAACACCUUAAAAGCCAUGCUCAAGGAAAGGCAACCCGCCUUAUAUGAAGAAAUGGAGAACUUUGGAUUGGAGCUAGUGGAAUCAGGAUUCCUAGCUAACCUCGAAGUCAAAUCAACGCUGGCUGAUAAUAUCAAGGAGGCCCAGAAGGGGCAGAAGAACAGUGAAGGCAUCAAGAAGAAGACUCAAGAAGGCAAGGCCCCAGAAUUCUCACUGGAUUAACAAGGAGUAGUGUGGUUUGGGAAACGUUUGUGCGUACCCAAUAAGGUACACCUAAAGGAUUUGAUCCUGCAGGAAGCACAUGAUACACUCUACUCUAUUCACCCCAGUGGUACCAAAAUGUAUCAAGAUCUCCGAGAAAAAUUCUGGUGGCAUGGCAUGAAGAGGGAAAUAGCUUCUUAUGUUGCCAAAUGCGAUGUGUGUCAGCGGGUCAAGGCGGAGCAUCAGCGACCUGCUGGACUACUACAACCUCUCCAAGUGCCAGAAUGGAAGUGGGACAAGGUCGACAUGGACUUCAUCAGUGGAUUGCCCAGGUCAAGCAAAGGGCAUAACUCCAUAUGGGUCAUUGUCGACCAUCUGACCAAAGUGGCCCAUCAUUCCAGUCAACACCACUUAUGAUGGAAACCAAUUGGCUAGGUUGUAUAUCCAUCAUAUUGUGAGCCUUCACGGAGUUCCCAAGGAGAUUGUAUCUGACCGAGGCACACAAUUCACCUCAAGAUUCUAGAAGAAGUUCCAAGAAGCCCUCGGAAACAAGCUCUCUUUCACCACCGCUUUCCACCCGCAAACGGGCGGACAAACGGAGAGAGUAAACUAGAUACUCGAAGAUAUGCUCCACGCUUGUGUCUUGGCACAUGGUGCCAAAUGGGAAGACUGUGUGCCAUUCGCUGAGUUCUCAUACAACAACAGGUACCAGUCCAGUCUCGAGAUCGCCCCAUUUGAAGUGCCGCACCCNNNNNNNNNNNNNNNNNNNNNNNNNNNNNNNNNNNNNNNNNNNNNNNNNNNNNNNNNNNNNNNNNNNNNNNNNNNNNNNNNNNNNNNNNNNNNNNNNNNNAGUACUCAUUGGCUUGCCACUGGUUAUAUUAUUGACCAGACAUGGAAGGACCGAAGUUUGGCGACGAGUAUGCCGUCGGAGACGAACCUACGAUCUAGGACGCUUCCAAGUCAGAAUGCCUGUCGGUGUAGGCUUGAUGGCAUGGGCACCACUUAGCCCUUACGAGUUUCCGCUACUCGAUGUAUCUGUUUAAUUGGCUUUAGGCUUCGCUCUUGAACCCGACCUUCUGGUCGUUUGAUGUAAUAAUUUCGGUACUUGGAUGUAAGACUCUAUUAUUCAGUAUCUGUGUUCAGUGAACAUUGAUCCUUGGGGUCACUGGGCACGGCAAACUCGACUUGCUAGUCGGGGUCCCCACAGAAAAAGAUAAAUUCAUUGGGUUGCCUCCCAACAAGCGCUAUUGUUUAACGCCCUUAACUAGGCAUUGAUAAUUCGAUGUUGCUCACACAAAAGACAAGUAUUGAAGCACAACGAGAGCAUCAUAAAGCAUGUGAAAAUCACAUCUAAGUCUAACAUACUUCCUAUGCAUAGGCAUUUUAUAGGAAAACAGAUUGUCAAGACAACCAAUAGUUGCCAUAUGCAAGGAAGAAGAAAGAGACAAUAGCAAUCUCAACAUAACGAGAGGUAAUUUGGAAACAUGAAAGUUUCUACCACAAUAUUUUCCUCUCUCAUUACAUGUGGGAUCACAUUCGAAUUCAAUGAUAUAGCUAUCACAUAAGAUAUUCUUUUCAUCACCCACAUGCAUGCAAAGUUGACGCUCUUCAAAAAUAGUGGGAUUAUCAUCUAAAGUCAUGACUCCUCCAAACCCAUUUUCAAUAAUAUUGCAAAUAUCAUAUUCAUCUUGAGGCUUGAACAAAUUUUCAAGAUCAAAAUAAAAAUCAUCACCCCAAUCAUGAUCUUUGCAACAAGUAGUGGACAUAGCAAGACUAGCAUCCCCAAGCUUAGGGUUUUGCAUAAUUUUAGCAUGAUUGUCACUAAUAGAAUUUAUAGUGAAACUAUUGCAAUCAUGAUUUUCAUCCAAGGAGCCCUCGUGAAUCACUUCAUGAAUUUCUUCAUCACGAUUUUCAGAUUCACGCAUCUCAAGCAAAACUCCAUAAAGAUAAUCUAGUGAGCAAAACUCACUAGCAAUUGGUUCAACAUAGUUGGACCUCUUGAAAAGAUUAGCAAGUGGAUGAGGAUCCAUGUCACUAAAUUCUUAGCAAACGAAGAUGCAAGCAUUUUGAAGGCACAUAGCACACAAGCAAAGGAAAGGCAAACGAAAAAGGAAAAUUGUGAAGUGGGGGAGAGAAAAACGAGAGGCAACUGGCAAACAAAGUAAAUGUAAGAGAUGAGUUUGCAACACUUACUUGGAUGAGUUCUUGACUUGAUCCUCCCCGGUAAUGGCGCCAGAAAUCCUUCUGCAACUUCUCAAACAACAGCGCCAGAAAUUGACACGUUGACGGAGACUAGGCUUGCGUUGGUUUUUUCCCUUGAAGAGGAAAGGGUGAUGCGGCACAGGAGCAGUANNNNNNNNNNNNNNNNNNNNNNNNNNNNNNNNNNNNNNNNNNNNNNNNNNNNNNNNNNNNNNNNNNNNNNNNNNNNNNNNNNNNNNNNNNNNNNNNNNNNAUUUUCAUGGAAAUAAUAUUUUAUAAUUUUUUUCUUAGAGAUCUACUCACAAGCACACAUACAAACAGUGACAAUCAAGGCACUCAUAACAUUACUUGAAAAGUUUUAUUUUAUACCAAAUUUUGAAAGAAGACACAAGAGACAAAAUGAUGUGAAAACACGGUGUGACAGACCUAUCCCCCUUACAAGAAUCUCAUCCCCGAGAUUCCUGGGCUUGGUGCUAAAAAGGUAUGGAAACUCGGAUCUAAGGUAGUCUUCACGCUCCCAUGUUGCUUCUGCUUCUUAGUGGUUGCUCCACUGGACCUUGAAGUACUUGAUGGUUCGGUUUCGGGUACAAUGUUCGGCUUCGUCCAUAAUGCGAAUCGGUCUCUCAUGAUAAGUGAGGUCUAGUUGAAGGUCAAUCGCUCGAUGAUCGAUGCCUUAUAGAUGUAUGGAUGACUUAAUGCUUGAAGGCACUUCCGGAGUUUUGACACGUGGAAGAUGUUGUGCACACCUGAAAGUUCUGGAGGUAGCUCCAACUGGUAAGCAACUUCUCCACGCCUUGCGGUGAUUUUAAAAGGUCCAAUGUACCUUGGAGCGAGCUUCCCCUUGAUGUGGAAACGUUUGGUUCCCUUCAGAGCCGUUACGCGGAGGUACACGUGAUCUCCAGGGUUGAGUUCCACUUCUCGGCGGUGUGAAUCCGCGUAGCUAUUUUGUCCGACUUGGCAACCUUUAGGUGCUCGCUGGCGAGGUUCACAUUCUCCUCAGCUUCACAGAGGAUGUCUGGCCCUAAAAUCAGUUCUUCACGAGUCUCGGACGAGUAGAGAGGAGUGCGGCACUUACGUCCAUACAACACCUCAAAUGGGGCCAUCUGGAGACCGAACUGAUAGCUCUUGUUGUAAGAGAACUCAGCGAAUGGCAGAUAGUCUUCCCAUUUGGUCCCGUGUGCCAAGACACAAGUGCGGAGCAUAUCCUCAAGUAUCAGAUUUACUCAUUCCGUCUGCCCGCCGGUCUGGGGGUGGAAGGCGGUUGUGGGGACCCCGACUUAUGAGUCGAGAUUGCCGAGUAAACGUGUACAGUGAUCCCAGACAUCAAUGAUCACUAAACAGACAUAUACUUAAUAACAAGAGUCUUACAUCGAUAAUUUAACGCCUGAUACAAAUACAAACCAUUAUGGUCAAGUCUUACAUAGAUAGGGCCAUGAAGGCCAAUCACUCCAACUCAACUACUAGUGGAAUUCUUGGUAGUAAACGUGAACACAUGCCAUCAGCCUAACCAACACACUGAUGACCCACAAGUGUAGGGGAUCUAUUAUAGUCCUUUCAAUAAGUAAGAGUGUCGAACCCAACGAGGAGCAGAAGGAUCUGACAAGUGGUUUUCAGCAAGGUAUUCUCUGCAAGCAUAGAAAUUGUCCUCAGUAGCAAGUAACAAUAGUAACAAAGGUGCAACAAAGUGUCCCAAUCCCUUUUGUAGNNNNNNNNNNNNNNNNNNNNNNNNNNNNNNNNNNNNNNNNNNNNNNNNNNNNNNNNNNNNNNNNNNNNNNNNNNNNNNNNNNNNNNNNNNNNNNNNNNNNCCCAUCCUUAACAAAAGGUAGGUGACGAGUAGCUGGCUCGUUAGCCAUCUCGGAAAGAAUAUUGCCGAGACGCACGAGCGCCUCUCGUGCGGCUGUCUCCACUGCCAACAUCAGAUCCUCCAUAUGUGGUCCUUCAAAGAACCAGCUAGUCGGGGAGUCAGUAGCCUUCACUAUCACAUCCACGUGAUACUCCUUGGUGUCGGUGUUGACCCAGUUCUCAUGGUAGAGGAAUAUGGGUGUGCGGCGUACUUGGCACUUCUCGAGGUUAUAACCCAAAAGUAGGGGAAAGCCCAUCUCUAGAAGCAUCUCACGUAUGGAGGGCAUCCACAAGAUGUAGUGAAGAAGGUUAGAAAGUUUUUAGUGGGUGCGAAAAUCUCAGGUUAAGGUCUAUGCGCACUAAUCGUCUUGGCUAUCGUCCAUGCUACCUAAGGCUUUCUAUAGUCAGGAUGGCUCUGAUACNNNNNNNNNNNNNNNNNNNNNNNNNNNNNNNNNNNNNNNNNNNNNNNNNNNNNNNNNNNNNNNNNNNNNNNNNNNNNNNNNNNNNNNNNNNNNNNNNNNNNNNNNNNNNNNNNNNNNNNNNNNNNNNNNNNNNNNNNNNNNNNNNNNNNNNNNNNNNNNNNNNNNNNNNNNNNNNNNNNNNNNNNNNNNNGAUACUGAGUAUUAAGAGUCUUACAUCCAAGUACCGAACUAUUACAUCACGUGACUGAAUGGUCAAGUUCACAAGGUAGGGCCUAUAAGGCCAAAUCACACUAAUACAACUAGUAGCGGAAAUCUUAGGGCUAAGCGGGUGCCCAUGCCAUCAGCCUACACCAACACGCAUUCUGACUGGGAAUCGUCCUAGUUCGCAGGGGCGUCUCUGAAGACGUACUCAUCUCCAAACUCCGAUCCUUCCAUGUCUGGUCAAUAAUAUAACCAGUGGCAAGCCAAUGUGUACUUUUGAAUGUACUCGCAAACAGCCCAUGAUGUGAACAAUGCAAGUGAAGGAUAACAAUAACAUACUUAUUUGGUGGAUAUCUCUUGGUGGUAAAUAAACAUGAUCAUAGGUAUGCAUCAUAAGUAAACUACUUUUGAAGAACAGGCUACAGAUAUCAAUAUAUCUGUCAAGGGUUGAACCAUCCGGGUUCACCCUAUAUGCCAAGUCACCAAACUUGGUCAUAUAAAAUCUUCCAUAAUAACACCAUUUAACACAUACUCACACACACUGAGUUUAUGCGGAAACGACUAGACAUAGUUUAAGCAGCACCACCCAACUGUCCUUGAUCAUGGACACGGCUAUUCGAAUAGUUUUACACUCUGCAGAGGUAGUACGCUGGACCCACGAGAUCCGGGAAAUUUCUGUGUCAUCCACGACUCGCGGUAUAUAUCAUACCCGAGGUAAGUACCCGAUCAAUGCCUUUCCCCUAACGAUACUAGACAAACAGGUUCACUCGAUUGGUACCCAGCCCACAUGUUGUACGUCUUACAAGCAUCGAAUCUCGACGGUAUCAACCAUGCGGGGACCAACGGUGUGCCUGGAACACGUAAAAACGGCAUAGUCGCCCUACCUGGCAUGACCCCAUCAUGAGAGUGACCACAUAUCACUCCCGCCACUAGUAAUGUGGCUCUUUGCAAGUACCGACCAGAGUAAUCAACACAACCCCGUCCCAUAAGGGGUAAUGUGGUCGUACAUGUAAGGUUGGGACGGUCGACACAUCANNNNNNNNNNUCUAUUCCCAUUUCCGAAACCAUACUCACACAAAUACCCGGUGCACCACUUCACCAAAGUGGCCACCUAACUCAUCAUCACCCUCGAACAUUAGUGGCACCCGACGGGAUUUUCAUAACCAUUGAUUUAUUUCAUCAACAUGUUCAUGCUAAUACUACUUCUAGCUUUACUUUUUGACAUGAUAUUAGAAUGACCCUCAUAGGUGGUAGGAUCAAGCUCAAUGCAUGUGCUCCGAAGAAGCCAUCGGUAACAUCACAUCAAUGAUUUACCGGCACUUAUGAUCAUAUGCAACGGAAAUAUUUGCUACACUAGCAUGCAAUAUAACAUAUGCUCAGUCAUGGUCAAAGGACCACUUGCCUUGGUCAGCUAGGUAUCUGGGGUCUUCGAGGUCUUCCGCUCCGACUCCUUCGUCACAGGGUUUUCUAUCGUCGUAUAAAGAUAAAAUAAUAAGUAGCCCACUCUGAAACAAAUCACAAAGUCAUUUUUAAAAUGUUGGUUAUUUCUGAUAAAUCUAAUGAAGGAAUAUUUUUAAAAUCAACUAAACAAAAGCAAAACUAUUCCAAAUUAAUCCUUUUAUUUUUAUAAAACGGAAUAGUUGCUGCAAAAAUUCAACCAAUGGUUCUAUUAAAUACUACACAUUUUAAUGAAGAUUGACAGUGGAAAAGUCAUAUUUUCACAUUGGUUAAAUCUUUUUAUAAAAAUAUUUGAAAUUCAAGCUUUUAAAUAAAAGAAAAAGGGCUACAGUCCCUGGCCUGGCUAGGCCUGGGACUGGGCCGGACCAAAGGCCAGCAGCUCGCCUGCACACGCGCGCGCGCCGUGAGGUUUGAACCUGACGCGCGGGCCCGUGCGGUUAGCGGCUGCGGGCAGCGAGGGAGAGAGAGAUGGGCCAACGAUAGGUGGGGCACACUUGUCGGGGUCCUCUCCUACCUUUGGCCAGACAGGAGGAGGAGCACGUCGGUGUGGCUACCGACAUCCUCGGGCUCCAACGAAGACGGAAAUGGGUCCGGCUUGUCAUCGCCAACCUGAUGGUGGUCGAGACAACGGCGGAGUGGCUCGGGUUCACCGGCGGUAAGGAAGCCGCACCGAAGGAGUUUCAGGCGAAGGUGGAGGGGGUAGCUAGGGGCACGGAUUAGCUUGGGAUAGAUGGGGGAAAGAUCCCUGGUGUCAAGGGAAGUGGCUUGGUGGGCAGAGGGAUGCAGGAGCCGACGUGUAGCCGGAGAUCGACCGGAGCUCCGAGGCGGAGGGGCCUCGGUCGAUCUCGAGCACCGGGGCUCUGCUCGCUUGCUUGGGUGGCUAGGGAGGUGCUAGAGGUAGCUGUGAUGAUGCUUGAGGGGUGCUGGAGCGAGGGGGAGGGAUAUUUAUAGGCCCGCGACGAUGAGCUGAUUCGGGAGCGUUGGUGACUCACCGUGGUGCGCAUGGCGGUGCGGAGAGGAGCUGUGGUUGAAAUCACGGUCUCAGGACGUGGUUUUGUACUGCCAGAACCUACUGUGGGGAAGGAAGAGAGAGGGGAGACAAGCAUCAGUGGAUGCGCAUCUCUGGAUGGUUCUGGUGCACGUGGGCACGCGUCGAACCAGCUCUUAGCACGGGAGAGGAGGGGCCCUGAUGGUCGCCUGAUGCAGAGGGGUUGUCGGGGAAGAAGUUGGGCACCUCGGGGGAGGCUGGAACUGGUCAAGGGCGUCGCCCCCACCUUGGAGUUCUCUGUAGCGCGUCCAGAGUGCAGUUUUGGCAUACCACGGCAUGCUGGCGCGCUCUGGGGUGCUUUGGACGUGUCUAGCAUGUCCUGGGCACUGGUUGGGUGUAACACCCCAAAAAUCGGGUUAUCGAUUUUUGUGUUGUUAUUCCUUCCUAGCUUCUCUCUCUCGGAUUUUUCCNNNNNNNNNNCAAAUUUGGCCAAUGACGAGGCGAACCCAGUCUAUCCUCAACGUCUCCGUGCAUUUCCCAUGUCCUUGUGCCAGUUUGUUCUCGCUGAGAAAACCCCGAACCUCUUGGAAACCCUAGCUCUGAUGUAUUGGAAUUGGGAAUCAUGUCGUUGUGUUUUCAAAGGAGCCAUCAUUUCCCUUGCUCUGUUGAUCCUCCAAUUUCUCCCAAAGCUCAUUAUUCCCUCAUAGACCCCAGAUGUGCAAAAAUAUUGCCAAGUCUUAUGCAAUAUUUCUUUUCUAGAAUUAAUUUUUGUUUCUUCCUUUCUGAGGAAUUAAAUCCAAGAAAAUAUCUAUCCAUAUCCCAAGGUCAUGAAAACUAGCAGAGAUAUUCUUUGUGAUCAUAUGAAGCUCUCAUAAAAUAUUGGCUAUCACUGAGUAGGGAAAAAAUGUCCUUUUCCUAUUUAAAGCCAAUAUUCCAAUUUGGGGCCUUUCCAAAGGAACUACCAUUUUGGUAGCCACGCAAAAUCCCAAAUAAUUUGUGGAGCUUCUCAUAUGCAUAUAUUCAUCAAUUCCAUCAAGAGAUUAAGUUCCCCAGUUCAAAAAUUGAGCACAAUAUCCUUGUGUCCCUUGAGCUGAAAUUUUGCAGAGUAGUUCAUUAUGAUUAGUCAUCCUUGUCCACCAAAAACUAGCCCCUGCCAUCACUCCAUUCUUCCUCAGUGAAUUAUUUAAGAUUCUGUCCAGAUUGGAGCAUUGUGAAGGAAGUACCAUUUAUAUUUGUGCAAGUGGUAUGAAACUUUUACAAUACCUUCAUAUGCCUAAAUCAUGAGUCUCCUCCAAAUUUCAGCCAUUUCCNNNNNNNNNNNNNNNNNNNNNNNNNNNNNNNNNNNNNNNNNNNNNNNNNNNNNNNNNNNNNNNNNNNNNNNNNNNNNNNNNNNNNNNNNNNNNNNNNNNNCGUUGAGCUGAUUGAAUACAUGAGGUGCAGUUUUAGUGCUACUAGGAGGACGGAUAAAGCGUGCUGAGAAUGUUAAGAGGGGUCGUGGUAGACCAAACUUGACAUGGGAGGAGUCCGUUAAGAGAUACCUGAAGGUUUGAAAUAUCGACAAAGACUUAGCCAUGGACAGGGGUGUGUGGAAGUUAGCUAUCCAUGUUCCAGAGCCAUGACUUGGCUUCGAGAUCUUAAGGGUUUCAACUCUAGCCUACCCCAACUUGUUUGGGACUGAAAGGCUUGGUUGUUGUUGUUGUUGUAAACGUUGAGCUGAAAAUCAACACAUAGCUUUCUAACAUUCUCUUUGGAGAUAAAAACCAAAACAAUCACCAACCGCACUAUUUGGAAUGUAAUUGUGCACAUCAAUCAAGUACAAAAAGUAUGAGUCGCCACAUACUCAAAUGGAAAAGCGAACACAAGUGCGAACUUUGUUCCUGUCCACGCCCUCCUGCAAUUAUACCUACACAUUCCGAAUUACAAAUCCCCUUCACCCAAUCAAAGGAAACCAGCAGCUAGCUCCACAAGCAAGGAUCAAUGCUUCACGCUUCGCAGAGCUGCACACUGCUGAACACAAGCAAUGACCCAAUCAGCUCAAUAGACGCGCAUUCCAAAUAUCUCUUGAAAUUAUCUCUCAUUCUUGUUUAAAUACAUUUAUUUUAAUUUGUCUUCAUCCUGGUUUCAGCUACCAAAGUCUAAACUAUAUAUUAUUGUAUUAAAUGUGAAUGGAAUCUUUCUCUUUCUUGUCAUCUUUUUGUGCUCGUAAUUUGUAGGGAGUAUAUAUUCAUCCUUGGGUCCAUUACUUCAUUUGAAAACCUUGCCUUUCUUAUUGCUUACAGUUACAAGCAUAUCACACACUGCCGUUUGCUUUCAUUUUGUAUUGAUACUAGAAACUUGGAUCCAUUGUACAAUUGCAGACGCUUGAUUUUGGAACAACAGCUAGCUUCUUCUCAAGUUCCUAGAGAGGAGCAGAUAAAAUUGAUAAAGGAGUUGCAGAGGAAGGAGACUGAAUACAUGAGACUUAAAAGGCAUAGAAUUUGUGUGGAUGACUUUGAGCUGCUCACCAUCAUUGGAAGAGGUGCUUAUGGGGAGGUUUGCAUCUUCCAGUAUCUACAAGCAUGCUUCUGAGUCAUUUUAGGCAGUCCAAAUUUUGUAUCCCUUUCAAUUCAACUGUAUCUGCUCAAUAAAUAGUUGGCAUUUGCCAAGUAAACAUAGUAUGCAUGCCGAUACGUUGACUGGCGGCGCCAGUUGGUUGCAUGUAGCAUUUCCUAGAUAUAUUGGCUCUAAAAUUCCUGAUGUUUAAAUUACAACUGUUUGUCAUGCUGAAACUGCUGACCCCUGUAGGUGAUAACUUGAUUUGUUGUUCUGAUAGGUUCAACUAUGCCGGGAUAAAUCCUCUGGUAAUAUUUAUGCAAUGAAAAAACUAAAGAAGUCUGAAAUGGUUGUCAAGGGUCAGGUAUGCUAAGAGUACUGUACUGUUUGUUCUGCAUUUUGUUUUCUUUGUAGUAUUUGUGGAUAUGUUCGAACAUUUUAGUUUUGAUAUAUUUUGAUGCUAGCCACAAAAGCAGUCUCAUCAUGUAAGAAGUAACAAUGAUAAUGCCAUGCUAGAGAACUCAAAAUGGCCUGUACAUUGACCUGUGUGUUAAGUUCUGACUGAAUUUAUUUUAUGAGAUUGUAGAGUAAGAGUAUAGAUAAGUGGUUCAGAUUGUAAGAGUAGGACUGUCGAUCAUGGUCAGGAAUUCUCUGUUAUUUUUCUACUCUACAAAGAAAAAUUACCGCAGUACAAUUUUUGAUGUACUGUUGUUUUCGUGAACUUUUGUUUAACGUGAGAGGCUUUGUAUGUUAGUUCCCAGAUUAUUCAUUUUUCUUUGAAUUGAAAUAUUUUCAACUAUUAUUAUGGGAANNNNNNNNNNNNNNNNNNNNNNNNNNNNNNNNNNNNNNNNNNNNNNNNNNNNNNNNNNNNNNNNNNNNNNNNNNNNNNNNNNNNNNNNNNNNNNNNNNNNGCGAGCAGCUCGGCCGCGGUACGGAGCUUGACGACGACAAAGAUCUGUGGGCGGCGCCAAAGCUUUCGGGCGACUACAGGAACUGGGGUCAGCGGCGGAGCCCCCGGAAGGCAGUAAGGUUUCCUCGCCGUGAUAAUGGGGAGGAGAUUGAAGAGACUGGUAGGUGGAAAGCGUCAGUCCAGUCCCCACCACCUAUUUAACAGGGCAGGCGCUGGAAUCGAAGCGCCAUGAGCGGGAACCGCCGGAGGAUAAAAAGAUUCGCUAUAAUGGCGCUCCGAAAAUUUUGGGAUAACGAUAUCAAAGGAUCCGUUGGGAUUAUGUGAGUCUUCCUGGAAUCCAAGGGAUAAGAAGAUGCCAACGAGAAAUGGUUUGGCGAUUUAAGUUCUUCCGCGACGGAUGGCGGGUUAAAGUUUCUGACGUAUAGAGAAGGAUGAAGGAUGAAUCUCCUUUAACUGAGCGAAAAUAUUGGCGUGAAGAGAAUUCAAGUCAAUCUGGGGCCUAAUGUUGGGGAUAUUACGNNNNNNNNNNNNNNNNNNNNNNNNNNNNNNNNNNNNNNNNNNNNNNNNNNNNNNNNNNNNNNNNNNNNNNNNNNNNNNNNNNNNNNNNNNNNNNNNNNNNAAUUGAAAUAUUUUCAACUAUUAUUAUGGGAAUAUUUAGUAAGUUUAGUUUGCCCUGUUCUUCCUUUUGGAACUAAUAUUUUCUUUACAUCUAUUAGGUGGAACAUGUUAGAUCUGAAAGAAACUUGCUGGCUGAAGUUGGUAGCCACUGCAUUGUGAAACUGUACUAUUCUUUCCAAGAUGCUGAGUAUCUCUACCUUAUCAUGGAGUACCUUCCCGGAGGUGAUAUGAUGACCCUCCUCAUGAGAGAGGAUACCUUAACUGAAAAUGUGGCUCGAUUCUAUAUUGCCGAGACAGUUCUUGCCAUUGAGUCUAUUCAUAAACAUAAUUACAUCCACAGGUCACAUACUUCCGAAUCUUAUUUGCAUAUGCUAUAUUCUAUAUAUGUUUAUUCAUUUUUUUUGUUUUAUUGCCCUUACAGGGAUAUUAAGCCUGAUAAUCUCCUUCUCGAUAAGAAUGGACACAUGAAGUUGUCAGAUUUUGGCUUAUGCAAGCCAAUUGACUGUACCAAAUUGUCAACCUUGAAUGAAGAUGAACCUAUGACUGAUGAAAACCUUAGGGAGUCCAUGGAUAUUGAUUAUUCUCUCUCUGAUACAGCAAAUGGUAGAAGGUGGAGAAGUCCAAAUGAACAGCUUCAGCACUGGCAGAAGAACAGGAGAAAAUUGGUGCGCGCUUGCUUACCAUAUCGAGCAUCCAACUAGUUACAUAUAACUCUAUUUGUUCUUUUUUCUUAUUAUGUGGGCAUAAAUUCUCAACAUCAUUUCUCCAGAGGGAAAAGUAUCGCCAAACAUUUCCAUUUUAAAUGAAUUUCAGGCAUUUUCUACUGUCGGUACACCUGAUUAUAUUGCUCCUGAGGUUUUACUAAAAAAGGGAUAUGGAGUUGAGUGUGACUGGUAGGUUAAGAAUUUCAUAUUCACAUACUUCAUUCCUUGUUUUGAUCUUCAAGACAAAAAAUUAAACUUGUCUCUUGUUUUAAAUAACUGUUGUAUGAUUGCUUAUUUUUUAUUUGCAUGCAGGUGGUCUCUGGGUGCAAUCAUGUAUGAGAUGCUUGUUGGGUAUCCACNNNNNNNNNNNNNNNNNNNNNNNNNNNNNNNNNNNNNNNNNNNNNNNNNNNNNNNNNNNNNNNNNNNNNNNNNNNNNNNNNNNNNNNNNNNNNNNNNNNNNNNNNNNNNAUUCUGAUGAUCCGAUAACCACAUGCCGAAAGGUUUGUUUGCUGAAUAAUGUAUCUAUAAUUGAAUCGUUAAGCCCAUGCAGUUGCGUGUUAUAUACAUGUAAAUUUGGACAUGCCAUUGCAAAAUUUGCAGUAAAAUUGCAAUCUUUGCAGUGGCAUUAUUAUAAUCUUUCCUUGUACUUGUAACAUAUCUUAUGAGAGUUGUCUUUGUGGUCAAGAUCAUUACAUUGUCUAGUGAGUUGAAAUAUGUUGCAGAUAAUAGGAUCCCACCAACUGGUGGGAUAGAGCUCUUUUUCUUUCUGUGGGAGUUAUUAUCAUAUAGUUCUCUUCUUCCACUGAGGGUGGAUAUACGUUUUUCCUUUUUCGAAUGAGAAUUUCAUGGCAUAUUCUAUUUGUUAUAAGUCUAAAUACACAUUGAUUCAUUAUAUAACAAUAUAUUUACUGCUUGUGGGUUAUACUGAUUUUGAUUCUUUUUUUAGAACAGUCGUACUGUAGUGUAGUGGUUUACUUUGAUUAUCUUAGUUAUUAUAGUUUAGUAUGGAGCUUAUUUUAGCUGCAAGUAAAACUUACUGAAAACAUUGCUACGCAUUUGCUACUUGUGUUGUUGUGCAGGAACAUACAAAUUUUCACGUCCAGAUCACCCUAGUUGAAUGAGGUAGAUGAAAUAUAGUUAGCGAAGUAGUUCCUUGCUCUGCAACGUUUGCCAAAUGUUACUAACCUUGAUUCUCUCCCAUGUGUGGAAGUGUGGGCAUAAAUUCUCACUGUGAGCUUUAAAUUACUCUUAUGCUGGCAUGAUUUCAAAUCCUGGACUACCUGUCUUUGAAUUUCAUAUAAUUGACAUUAAACUUAUAUAUUUUGGUCUCUUUUUCUGGGUAUAUAUAACGUGAGAAAGAUGAGUACCCAUAUUCUAUAAGCGCUCCCACUUUCUGUUGUAAGUACUGCACUGACUCUGCUCUACUACUUCCUAGAUUGUACAUUGGAGAAGCUAUUUAAAAUUUCCAGAAAAUCCAAGGUUGUCUCCUGAAGCUAAGGAUCUCAUUUGUCGGUUCUUAUGUGAUGUUGACCACAGGAUUGGAAGUGGAGGGGCAGAUCAAAUAAAGGUAUUUGUCUCUCAAAAGUAUCUGCUGUCCCCAGUUGCAAAUAUAAGUUAUGUUAAAAUCCAUGCUGGUAAAACAUUUUCAGAUUUAGUCAUCCAUAUACAAAAUAGUACCUAAAUUGGCUGGCUGAAAGUGGUAUUACUAUAUAUCAUGAAAUAUAGUUGCAUACUCCUAUAUAAACCAGGUCCUUGUAUGUAAUAACAAUCAGGUCUUCUAGUUUCUAUCCCUGACCCAUCUGAGUCUCUCUAUCUAAUAUCUGCUACCCUUCUAAUCACCGGCAAUGGCGCCUUGAUGCAGAGGAUGAACUCAUCCCCUUGUGUCCCACCCCUAUACAUACAUACAUACAUACAUACAUACANNNNNNNNNNNNNNNNNNNNNNNNNNNNNNNNNNNNNNNNNNNNNNNNNNNNNNNNNNNNNNNNNNNNNNNNNNNNNNNNNNNNNNNNNNNNNNNNNNNNAAAAUUGGCAUCCACCCCAGAUGGCCGGAAACAGCUCACACUCAGGCAUGGUGCCGUUAUGCGAGCAAGGGUUCGUCAGAGUCACCCACAACACAUCACCAUACACUCGGACAUAAGCAUUAUAAUUUUAAUAUGUAAGAGCAUCAAGGUUUGAGGGCAUAUCUUAGAUGAAAAGUAAUACUAGGAAAUAUUACUAGUGUUGUCAUAGUUAUAUACAAAUUCAAGUUAAAAGGUGAUACAGAUAAACACACAGAGUGCAAGCAAAGUUAUCACGCAAGUCUGGAGCUGAUGGUAAGAGGUUGGCUUGCCUGGGGGUUGACGAAUACUCCGGGAAGAAGCGCAAUAAAACACCAGGAAGAUUUACCGGAGAGGUUUCCCUCUCGGAGGGCUCAAUCAGAGGGCAAGGGCAAAACAUUCAUUUCUACUAUGCAAACAUAAUAUGAAAAUCAUAUUAUAGAAACAGGCUCGACGAGACGAAGACGUGGGCGCUGGUUUUACCUCAAUCGGAGCUACGGGGAAAAAGUUACGGACGUUCAUUCGUUAGGCACAAAUCAAAUAAAACUUAUUCAUUUCUGCUCUUAACCAGUGAACGUUCACAACUUCAGUAGUUCGGCCGGCGGGGUUUUAAACCGAAAGCGCAUUCCUGGGAAUACGCUUUCACCGAAUAGAAACCGAAAGCGCAUUCCUGGGAAUACACUUUCACCGAAUAGAAUGCGGUGGCUGAGGAGAAAUGGCAACGGUCUUCGGCGAUGGGAGCAAUGGGGAGCUUCGAGGCUUGUGGAGGGGGCGAGGGAGGUUGCUGCUCCACAGGAGGGGUUCGAAAAUGCCUUAAAUAGCUACGAGUGAAGGUUCUCGCGAUUCCGGGAGAGAUUCUGAGAAUCCAUGGCGAGAUUCCCUUGGCAUACAGCUCUAGGGGCAAGGGGACGAGGGGGAGAGGGUUCUAGAGGGCAUACGUGGGCUAGGGGAACCACCUCGACACUCCUGUACAGGCUGGUGCUGGAUGGAGAUGUGCUCCCGUCACCUCAAUGCACAGAGCUCAGUUUUGGCACUCUCUACCCAUGGUCACCACGUGGCCAUGGCCUUGCCAUGCCCCUCAAGCUGUCAAACCAUGUCUAGGGUUAUCUACACACUGCUCUGAGUUGACCUAUGCAUCAUGAUAGCACUGUGGAGCAAUGAUGUGACCACACCAAAGUCAAAUAGGUUUCAAUAGCAAGGUGUUUGUGAUGUGGUGUGACCACCACAGUGCACAUAUUUCCGUGCUAUUUUGCUGAGGUUCACCACUCACUAAGGUCACUAUGCUGGCCAAAAUUCAGCACCACCCAAUAAGUCUAAGGGGUACUUCCUUUAUAACUUGGCAUACUGACCAGAAAUGAAGAAGAUGAUGCUGGGGUCAAANNNNNNNNNNNNNNNNNNNNNNNNNNNNNNNNNNNNNNNNNNNNNNNNNNNNNNNNNNNNNNNNNNNNNNNNNNNNNNNNNNNNNNNNNNNNNNNNNNNNUCUGUUCAUUGGCUGUUAUUCUUAUGUUGGGUAGCACCGGGAGCGGAGAACGAAUACGUGGAGUCAGGAGAGUACGUGUAGGACGAUCCAGAACCAUUCCAAGCUGAGGAUAUCACAGGCAAGAUGAUAUGACCUUGAUUCCAUCUCUAGACUUGUUAUGUUAGUUCGUUUCCAUGUCAUAUUGCUUGCUGCCUACCACUGAAAUUAAGUUGCCUCUUCAUAUGCCAUGAGCCCAUACACCGUUCCCCUUCCUAGCAAAUUUGUGUGGCUAAGUAGGCUUGCUCAGUUACUAAUGUUAGCAUUGUUAGUUGCAGGUGUUUUAAACUCAUGUGAUGACAUGAGCUUGUUAUUAUUACCUUAAAUUCUGUUAUUUAAUUAAUGCACCUAUAUACUUGGUAAAUGACGGGAGGCCUAGCCUUUUGCCGGGUGUCUUGUUCCGUUCUUGCCGCCUUAGUUACCGGUUACCGGUGUUUGAUUCCAUAAUGAUCGCUCCUAACACGUUCGGGGUUGUUAUGGGGACCCCCUUGAUAAAUCGCGUAGUGCUAAGGCUUGUCCGGCAGGACCCAACAUUGGUUUUAAUUUGCUAAUCACUUAANNNNNNNNNNNNNNNNNNNNNNNNNNNNNNNNNNNNNNNNNNNNNNNNNNNNNNNNNNNNNNNNNNNNNNNNNNNNNNNNNNNNNNNNNNNNNNNNNNNNUAUUCCACCACCACCACCUCCUCGAGAAAGCUUGACUAUGGCUCAGUUCCUUCAAGCUCUCCGAGAGGAGCGUCAAGCCAGUAAUGCCGCCAUCCAGCAGUUGGCUCAAGUCUUGGUGAACAACCCGCCGCAGAACGGGAAUGACAAUGGUCGCUCUACUCUAUCUAAGUUUAUGCAGACUACGCCUCCCAUAUUAACGGAGACGACUGAACCAUUGGAUGCCGAUGACUGGAUCCGUACUAUUGAAGACCUCCUCGCGCUGGUCAAGUGCACUGAUGAUCGCGAGAAAGUCCUUUAUGCUUCUCACUUUCUCGGAGGCACGGCCAGAGCUUGGUGGGAUGGGUUCCAGAUCAUGCGAGCAGGACAAGCCAUCACUUGGGCAAUGUUCAAGGAAGGAUUCUGCGCUGCUCACAUUCCUCCCGAAAUGAUGACCAUUAAGAAGCGGGAAUUCCGGGCCUUAAGUCAAGGUAGUGGAACCGUCAAGGAGUAUUUGCAAAAGUUCAACCUCGUGUCAAGAUAUGCACCACAGGACGUCAACACUGAGGCUGCAAAAGUGGAACGCUUUAUGGAAGGACUGCACCAGUCACUCCAUAUGAACUGGUUGUUUGUGAAUGUUGGACCUUCCGCGAUCUGGUUAAUAAGGCCCUUAUGUUGGAAGAUAAGCGUCGUGCAAUGGACAACACCCGUAAGCACAAGCUGAUGGGUAGUGGAGGACCCAGUAAUCCAAAGCCAUGCCCUUGGCAGUCAGCUCCAGCAAGACCUAGUUAUCAGCAGCAACAGUAUAAGGCUCCAACAUUUCGCCAGAACUACCAGCCUCAGCAGCAAGUCAACACCAAGCCAACAUUCAACCCACCGAACAACAGUGGGGUCAAGACCAACCUUCGAGGACAAGUUACCUGUUUUGGAUGAGGACAGACUGAGCACUAUUCCAGACAGUGUCCCAACAAGAAGCCCGACACACCGCGCCCCAAUGCGCCAAAUAAAGGUCAAGGAGCACCACGCAGGAACCAAGCUUCCCGCAAUCAGCAGUAUCAUAGCAGGGCACAUAUUAAUCACAUCUCCGUAGAAGAAGCACAGGAAGACCUAGACUGCAUUUUGGGUACGUUCCUCGUCAACUCCACCCCAACAACAAUAUUGUUUGAUUGUGGUGCUUCGCAUUCUUUUGUUACUCAGAAGUUUGCGGAAAAAUGUGGCUUGAAGCCUACCCUACUUAACGGGCAAAUGGCAGUACAUACCCGUGUUGGGGAUAUUACCUGCGGUAUGACCCGCCCUAUUGGGCGGGGUCACGAAAGCGGCGACUCAUACAUACAUGACCAAUAUAAGCCUUGGUUUGGGCCUGGGGCCUGUUGACAGAUCUUGUAAGAAGGCGGCCAGGGCCCAUGAGCCGGAUGGCGGUUCAAGAGUGACAAAGAAGAUAAGCCUCCAAGGAGUUUUCCUUGGCUUGAUGAACACGGUGACUUAGAGAUAAGGAAGGCCACGAUUUGUAAUGUGGCCAGGACUUUGUAAACCCUCGAGCCUCGACCUGUAUAUAAAGGCGAGUCUCUGGGACAGAUAUAUCAAGUUAGAAAUCAUCAAGAGCUAGGUCAGGCGAGUUACGUCGUCCUUGUAAUCGAAACCACCAUCAAUAUACACAAAGCAGGGCGUAGGCUUUUACCUACACACGAGGGGCCGAACCUGGGUAAAUCUGAGUCUCGCUUCCGCUCACCCCCUUUGAGUCGCCACCAAGGUGUGAUGGCUCCUUCANNNNNNNNNNNNNNNNNNNNNNNNNNNNNNNNNNNNNNNNNNNNNNNNNNNNNNNNNNNNNNNNNNNNNNNNNNNNNNNNNNNNNNNNNNNNNNNNNNNNUCCCUCGUAGACAAGAUAAGGCCUCAUUUGAAUCAAAUAGCCUCUUUGCAACAAUGUUUGAAACACAUGGAUUAAAAAAAUAUUAUAAGCUGCUUUUAUUCAUUGACGAUUGCCACGGUCGGUCCUAAAUAUUUCUCGGUCUGAUUCAUCGUGUCAACGGUAAAGGAGCAAUUUGAUUUGAAUUCUACCUUAGUACAUUCAAGAUGGUCAGCCAAGUAUAAUCCGUUCGUGAUGGCAGUUAGCUCAGCAGAGUCCACCUCAUUUAUGGUUUCCAAAAACCAGCUUGUUGCACCAAUAAAACCUUCUCGGUCAUCACGAGCCACAGCACACGCGCACAUGAGAGUGUUUUAUAUCGGAACAAGGCAUCGACGUUUAUUUUCACCGUCCCAUACAUCAUUUUCGACCACAUGUGAUCACUCUUCCUCUAUGGACCUUUGAGACUAGUUGAUCUCAAGUAGUUCAUCACCAAAACCUUGAUAGCUAGUGCUUCUCCGAGACUAAACAAUAUUUUUCUUAACUAUUAGGCGGUGCUGCCACCAUAUAUACCAUGUCGCUGCCACUGCUAAUUCCGUCAUUAACAAAUCUGCAACACUCCCUUGAAGUUUUAAUAGGAUCUCCAUUGUAAUGAACCCCGAUCUAUCCUCAACGGCCGCUUUCUAUAUUACUUACAGAAGUUCCAGUUGCGCCCACACUUCUGAAAAUUGUUAAUAUUUAAAUAAGUAGUGCAGGAUAUCCUCCACCCCAAUAAAGCAGACCGGGCAUUGAGGUGAGCAUGGUAUGUGCAUGUUCGCUAGUACACCAUAGCACGGGAGGGUGUCAUGAAAAACCUUCCAAGCAAAGUGUUUUAUCUUUCCUCGUAUUUUAAGUUUCCACAUAUCUUUCCAAGCUACGUUAGGGCUUGUUCGGUUAGGCAGAGUUUGAAGAGGUUUGAUGGGGAUUGAAGGGGANNNNNNNNNNNNNNNNNNNNNNNNNNNNNNNNNNNNNNNNNNNNNNNNNNNNNNNNNNNNNNNNNNNNNNNNNNNNNNNNNNNNNNNNNNNNNNNNNNNNNNNNNNNNNNNNNNNNNNNNNNNNNNNNNNNNNNNNCUCAAAUCUCGCCAAUCCCCUUCAAUCCUAUGGUGAGGGAAUUAACCGAACAUGGCCUUAAUGACUUUAGAACCUUGGACGUCCACAUAUGCUAUACGAGCCCCAUGCUGGUGCUCAAACUCCUUAUGAUAAGAUGACCUCACCAAAAAAGUGCCACAUCUUGUGUGCUUCGAGGCUAUAAAAUCUUCCGUCAAGUGAGCAUUCAAAAGAAUUUGUAAAAUUCUGUAACAAUCAACAAGGCAGAAAUUAUCCCGGAUUAGAAUUGCAUCUAAAUUACCAUACUCCAACAAAACAAAGGACGAGGCUUGCAAAUUAAGCGAGAAACAAAUUCAUGAUAGAGAUUCCGUUCGAUGUUUUCGUGGCAAGGCUCGCACGGGCUCGAUCAUACAUUGGAUUGUCAUAUUGAAAUGAUGCUCAAAUAUGCUCCCUAGGCGUAGCGAACUACAAGGCUUGACGAAGCAUAUCUAACAACACAUAUCGAGACUGUCCUGUGUAAGAAAGACCAUGAACAAACAAACCACUAGAUAUCGAACCCCAAUCUCAUAGCAUGCAUGUGUUGAAAGAUAAUCCUAAGUAAUUACUUGAAUUCCCACGUGAGAAUUACCGAAAUUUUUAUUGGUUAUUCUAUCAGGUUGCAGGUCCGGGAACCUACUCGAUGUAAUCAGCUGCAUUACCUUUUCCGCAACUAUCAACACAUAUCCGAGAAGUUCCGCAAACUCAUCCACCUCAGACCUUCGAAAAAAACAACGAUACUAGACCUAGUAGAUCAUCCGAGCUAUCUCCACCAGUAUUGGGGAAAAGUCACGGCACUAUUUGGCACCAAGCAAAGUAUUGAAGCGUUUCAAUGCCAGCGUCCUGAGAUACUAAGGAAGCUGAAUGAUAACGAUGUGUCGAAAAUGGAAAACCCCUUGGAACUCUACUCCUCGAUAACAGGAGGCACCAAGUACAGAAUUCCGUCAUAUCAACAUCGUAGAGGUUCCAAAAUACUCGCUUGAUCCUUAAAAAAUUGAGUGAGAAGAGGUGUAGAAUUAAAAUUCUUAUGUCAGGAUUCCUCACUAGAGCAUAGAAGAGGAGUAAAAAGAAUCCUACUCUCCGAUAUAUAACUAGACUCAAAGUAACUUUUCACUAGACUCGACUUGGCCAAGUUCGAUCAAUCAAGGGGGCUCCUAGGUCGGUACUACUCUGUUACCAACUUGUAACACCAAAGAUGCGAUCAUCUCCUUAUUUUGGCACGAGGGCCUCGACAGGGAUAGAAAUGCAUCUCGUCGUUUCGCAAGAAUGGAUAUCGUUACAAGUACAUGUAAAGAAGAGAUGAGUAUAUGGAAUUGGCUUAUAAUCGCCACGAGUUAUCCAUGAUCAUCUCAAUACAAACAUAUAUUCGAGCACCAUUCAGAAGAGUAGGGUCCGAAUACAUAAAAAAUCAAACGAUAAAACGACGUCCAUCCUUGCAAUCCCAGGGUGACGGCCUAGAACCCAGCCUAUGAUCGAUGAAGAAGAAGAAGAAGAAACUCCAAAUAGAACAUUCACGACGCUCACAUCAAAGUAUGUCUUUACCUAUACCUACAACCAUUGUUGUAGUAGUCUGUGAGCCACAGGGACUCAACAAUCUCAUUUCCAAAGGUAUCAAGACUAGCAAAGNNNNNNNNNNNNNNNNNNNNNNNNNNNNNNNNNNNNNNNNNNNNNNNNNNNNNNNNNNNNNNNNNNNNNNNNNNNNNNNNNNNNNNNNNNNNNNNNNNNNAAGUUUUUGAUAGUGGGGAUACCUCUGCUUGGAAGGAGUCAGGACUUCGGAGACAUAAUACACUGGCCGCUAAACUUUGUAUGAUUUGCCUUCUUCUUCUCGUUCGAUUGUAAGAACAGUGCUGACGACUUGAUUGGUAGCCGCGAUAUACAGAAGAAGGGGCUCUUUACUGAGCGGAGCAGUAAGAACCGGUUUGGUGGAAAGUAGGACUUUGAAGUCGUCAAAUGCAACUUGGGCUUCAUCUAUCCACUCAAAAGUAUUUGAUUUCUUCAUGAGUCGGUACAGAGGAAGUGCUUUCUCGCCGAGUCGACUAAUAAACCUGCUCAAAGCCGCUAGGCAACCUGUGAGCCGUUGAACAUCGUGUAUUCCUACCGGCCUCUCCAUUCGGACGAUGGUCCCGAUCUUUUCGGGGUUGACAUCGAUCCCUCGUUCAGAAACAAAGAAACCGAGUAACUUUCCGCUGGGAACGCCGAAUGAACACUUGGCGGGGUUGAGCUUGANNNNNNNNNNNNNNNNNNNNNNNNNNNNNNNNNNNNNNNNNNNNNNNNNNNNNNNNNNNNNNNNNNNNNNNNNNNNNNNNNNNNNNNNNNNNNNNNNNNNUGAUCGUUCUGCCUAUGAUCAUCUUGUGGCUGAAAUUAAGGAUUUGAGGAGAGAUAACAAUUUAUUUCUCAAAAGUUAGCUAGGGAUCAAAAUAGAGUUGCCGAUCGGUUGACACAUUAUAGUCGUAUAGAGUGUAUCAGAGCUGUGUGGAUGCAUGUAGGACCACCAUAUAUUAAGGAUCUUUUGUCUCUUAAUUGUAACUCUUUUAAUAUGAGAUAAAACUCUUUUCUCCUCGCAAAGAAAAAAACAUUGUUAUAGAGAGUGCAACCAGGUGGUAGAUGAAUUAGCAAAACAUUCCUUCACUAAGUACUCCCUCCUGUCCUUUUUAGUCUGCAUAUAAGUUUUGUCCAAAGUCAAAGUAUCUCUACUUUGACCAAACUUAUAGAAAAAAAAUUACGAACAUUCACCAUGUCAAAUCAACAUUCUUAGAUUCUUUACGAAAUGUAGUUUCAUAAUAUAUAUAUUUGGUAUUGUAGAUAUUGAUAUUUUUUAAUAUAAAUUUGGUCAAACUUUGCAAAGUUUGACUUGACCGAAAUCUAAUACGCGGAGUAAAAAGGACAGGAGGGAGUACUAGACUUUCUGGGUCUUGAGAUCCGUGACUUUAUUUCUCCCCUAUACUUGUAAACGAUAUGUAGAAAUAAAGUCUAUUUGCUGUCAAAAAAAUAUUAAAGUAAAACUGAAAUAAAAUAAAAGGGGUAUCGUGUUUCAGGAAAAGAAAAGGUAGGGAUAGUAUCCUGCAAAAUUGCCUUUUCUUCCGAAUCAAUGGUGUAAAAUUGCCAUAGAGCUCGGUGUGCUCCAUUUACUCAUUAGCUGUCUCCAGCCUGUUUUAUUAUUAUCAGAAGGAAAGAAAAGCUGUCUCCAGCCUGUAGUCCUCCACUAAAAAAGACGAGGCUAUUCAACUCUAACCUCAAACUAACCAAACAAGAAACAGCCGCGUCGGCGAAGCCAUACUAGNNNNNNNNNNNNNNNNNNNNNNNNNNNNNNNNNNNNNNNNNNNNNNNNNNNNNNNNNNNNNNNNNNNNNNNNNNNNNNNNNNNNNNNNNNNNNNNNNNNNCCGCCACAAUCAAGGAGCCAAUGGCAAGCGAAGGCCGCAAGAGGAACCCUUGGAUUUAGUCGCCAAUACCAACGCCAACAGUGGCAACCAACGCUAGAAGAAAAACAGGGGAUUUAGUGGGAAGAGGCCACAUAACUAUGAAGAGCUACUCAAGGGCCCUUGCCCGCACCAUGCCACGGCAGACGGACCAGCGACUCACUCCUGGGAGUACUGUUUCGUAAUGCGGGAGUUUCGGGCGGAGGCGAUCAAUAAAAGCCAAAACGAUGACCCGAACCAACGGCAGGAGCAGUUUGCUGCACCCAACCAACGACAGAACCCCUUUGGUAGUUUUCCCGAACAGGAGGCUCAGGGAGGCCCGCAGCCAAGCAGCGGCCAGUAUCCGGUGCACCACCAGCGGCGGUAUAACCCGCCAGGAGCCUUUCAGCAGCCGCCCCCACAGGGGGCUCCGCAGGGUCAGGAUGACAACGGAGGUUUCCGCAACAAUCCCAAACAGUUAAGCAAUGGGCAGUAUCACGUUUCCACCACCAAUGCUUGCAGACGUGAUAAGAAGGUGAGUCACCGGGUGUACAGUGUGUCUGAGCCGGCGCUUCCCAGGUACCUGCACUGGUCUGAACAGACCAUAUCGUGGAGUAGGGAGGNNNNNNNNNNNNNNNNNNNNNNNNNNNNNNNNNNNNNNNNNNNNNNNNNNNNNNNNNNNNNNNNNNNNNNNNNNNNNNNNNNNNNNNNNNNNNNNNNNNNAUGGUUGAUCGCCCUCCGGGUGCUCCGCCCAUCUUGACCUUGCGGGUCUUCAUCUUCUCCAGGCGAAGUAGGUCCUUGACUUGGUGUAGUUCUUGGCGAAUCUUCGUCGACUCCUUGAUCAAAAGGUGAGUCGAAGUGUCGGAGGAGAGAUUGAAGUAGGUCUAAAACCUUUGUGGUGUCCCGUCCUCUAAAGAUGGGUUGAGUGUCCAACUCCCAUCAAUCCCAUCCUUAAUGAAAGGUAGGUGACGAGUAGCUGGCUCGUUCGCCAUCUCGGGAAGGAUGUCGUGGAGAUGCACGAGCGCCUCUCGUGCGGCUGUCUCCACUGUCAACAUCAGAUCCUCCAUUUGUGGUCCUUCAAAGAACCAACUAGUUGGGGAGUCAUUAGACUUCACUAUCACGUCCACAUGAUAUUCCUUGGCAUCAGCAUUGACCCAGUGCUCGUGGUAGAGGAAGAUGGGCGUGGGGCGUACUAGACACUUCUCGAGGCUAUCUCCCAAAAGCAGGGGAAAGCCCGUUUCCAGAAGCAUCUCGGUACGGCGACCAUCUACAAAGAUGUAGGAGAGAUAUUAGAAAGUUUUGGUGGGUGCAGAAAAUCUCAGUGGUAAAGGCUAGGUGGACUAAUCGUCUCAGCUAUCGUCCAUGCUACCUAAGGCUUCCAAUAGUCAGGAUGGAUCUGAUACCAGCUUUGUGGGGACCCCGACUUACGAGUCGAGAUCGCCGAAUGAACGUGCUCAGUGAUCCCAGAGAUCAAUGCUCACCGAACACACAUAUACUAAAUAUUAAGAGUCUUACAUUCAAGUACCGAAUUAUUACAUCACAUGAUUGAAUGGUCAAGUUCACAAGGUAGGGCCUAUAAGGCCAAAUCACACGGAUACAACUAGCAGCGGAAAUCUUAAGGCUAAGCGGGUUCCCAUGCCACCAGCCUACACCAACAGGCAUUCUGACUGGGAAGCGUCCUAGUUCGCAGGGCCGUCUCCAAAGACGUACUCUUCUCCAAACUCUGGUCCUUCCAUGUCUGGUCAAUAAUAUAACUAAUGGCAAGCCAGUGAGUACUUUUGAAUGUACUCGGAAACAUCCCAUGAUAUGAACAAUGCAAUUGGUAGUAUAACAAGUAAUAUGCAACNNNNNNNNNNCAAAGACAUACUCUUCUCCAAACUCUGGUCCUUCCAUGUCUGGUCAGUAAUAUAACCAGUGGCAAGCCAGUGAGUACUUUUGAAUAUACUCGCAAACAGCCCAUGAUAUGAACAAUGCAAUUGGUAGUAUAACAAGUAAUAUGCAACUUUGGUGGGUAACAUCUUGGUUGUAAAUAAACAUGAUCAUGGAUGUGCAACAUAAGCUAAAUGUUGAUUUGAAGAACAAGUUACAGAUAUCAACAUAUCUGUCAAGGGCUGAACACACCGGGUUCACCCUAUAUGCCAAGUCACCAAACUUGGUCAUAUCAACUGAUUUAAAUUAACACCAUUUACCACACACUCACACACACUUGGUUUAUGCGGAAACGACUCGACAUAGUUUAAGCAACACCACCCAACUGUCCUUGACCGUGGACAUGGCUAUUCGAAUAGUUUUACACUCUGCAGAGGUAGUACGCUGGACCCANNNNNNNNNNUGACUCGACGUAGUUUAAGCAACACUACCCACCUGUCCUUGACCGUGGACACGACUAUUCGAAUAGUUUUACACUCUACAGAGGUAGUAUGCUGGACCCAGUGAUGACCCACAAGUGUAGGGGAUCUAUCGUAGUCUUUUCGAUAAGUAAGAGUGUCGAACCCAACGAGGAGCAGAAGGAACUGACAAGUGGUUUUCAGCAAGGUAUUCUCUGCAAGCACUGAAAUUAUCGGUAACAGAUAGUUGUGUGAUAAGAUAAUUCNNNNNNNNNNNNNNNNNNNNNNNNNNNNNNNNUUUUCAGCAAGGUAUUCUGUGCAAGCAUUGAAAUUAUCGGUAACAAAUAGUUGUGUGAUAAGAUAAUUCGUAGUGAGUAGCAAGUAGCAAUAGUAAAAAAGGUACAUCAAUAUGGCCCAAUCCCUUUUGUAGCAAGGGACAAGCCUGGACAAACUCUUAUAUAAGGUAAAGCGCUCCCGAGGACACAUGGGGAUUUCUGUCAAGCUAGUUUUCAUCAUGUUCAUAUGAUUUGCGUUCGCUACUUUGAUAGUUUGAUAUGUGGGUGGACCGGUGCUUGGGUGCUGCCCUUACUUGGACAAACAUCCCACUUAUGAUUAACCCCUCUCGCAAGCAUCCACAAAUACGAAAGAAGAAUUAAGACAAAGUCUAACCAUAGCAUUAAACUAGUGGAUCCAAAUCAGCCCCUUACGAAGCAACGCAUAAACUAGGGUUUAAGCUUCUGUCACUCUAGCAACCCAUCAUCUACUUAUUACUUCCCAAUCCCUUCCUCUAGGCCCAAAUAAUGGUGAAGUGUUAUGUAGUCGACGUUCGCAUAACACCACUAGAGGAAAUACAACAUACAACGCAUCAAAAUAUCGAACGAAUACCAAAUUCACAUGACUACUNNNNNNNNNNCUACUUCCCAAUGCCUUCCUCUAGGCCCAAAUAAUGGCAUUUCCUGACGUUUACCGACAUUACCUAUUCUUUGACAUUCAGCACAAAACAAGACAAACUUACGGGCAUCCUUGAAGAGAGUAGGCCAAUAGAAACCUGAUUGCAAUACCUUGUGUGCAGUUCUAUCUCCCGCAUGGUGUCCUUCGUAAGCCUCGGUGUGACACUUCUGUAGGAUCUGUCCCUGUUCAUGCUCAGGUACACAACGUCUAAUAGCACCAUCUACUCCUUCUUUAUAAAGGUGAGGAUCAUCCCAAAAGUAAUGUCUCAAAUCAAAGAAGAAUUUUGUCUUUUGAUGGUAUGUGAAACUAGGUGGUAUAUAUUUGGCAACGAUAUAAUUCGCAUAAUCAGCAUACCAUGGUGUACUACGUGAAGCAUUGAACAUUCUCCUACCUAGACAAGUUAUCUGCUACGGGGUUCUCAGCACCCUUCCUAUCAACAACAUGCAAAUCAAAUUCUUGUAGCAAGAGAACCCAUCUGAUAAGUCUAGGUUUAGCCUCUUUCUUUUCCAUGAGGUACUUAAUAGCAGCAUGAUCAGUGUGAAUAGUAACCUUGGAAUCAACAAUGUAAGAUCUGUACUUUUCACAUGCAAACACGACUACUAAAAAUUCCUUUUCAGUAGUAGCAUAGUUUCUUUGGGCACUGUCUAGAGUUUUACUAGCAUAAUGAAUAACAUUCAACUUCUUAUCAACUCUUUGUCCUAGAACAACACCAACAACAUAAUCACUAACAUCACACAUAAUCUCAAAAGGUAAGUUCCAAUCAGGUGGUUGAACAAUAGGCGCAGUUAUCAAGGCCUUCUUAAAUAUUUCAAAUGCUUCCUCACAAUCAUAGUCAAAAACAAAAGGAAUAUCCUUUUGCAAGAGAUUGGUAAGAGGCCUAGAAAUCUUAGAGAAGUCUUUAAUGAACCUUCUAUAGAAACCAGCAUGACCAAGGAAACUUCUUAUACCUUUGAUAUCUUUGGGGCAUGGCAUUUUCUCGAUCGCAUCAACUUUAGCCUUAUCGACUUCAAUACCUCUUUCAGAAAUUUUAUGUCCUAAGANNNNNNNNNNNNNNNNNNNNNNNNNNNNNNNNNNNNNNNNNNNNNNNNNNNNNNNNNNNNNNNNNNNNNNNNNNNNNNNNNNNNNNNNNNNNCAUGAACCAUAAAGUGGCGCUUCUCCCAAUUCAAGACAAGAUUGGUAUCUUUACAUCUCUGCAAAACUCGAUCAAGGUUGCUGAGGCAAUCAUCAAAAGAAGACCCGUAAACGGAGAAGUCAUCCAUGAAAACCUCAACAAUCUUUUCACAAAAGUCAGAGAAUAUAGCCAUCAUACAUCUUUGAAAGGUAGCAGGUGCAUUACAUAAGUCAAAAGGCAUACGUCUGUAAGCAAAGGUACCGAAAGGGCAGGUCAAAGUGGUUUUCUCCUUAUCAGAUUGUGCACCCGGUAUUUGGGAAAAACCAGAAUAACCAUCUAGAAAGCAGAAGUGUGUGUGUUUAGACAAUAUUUCUAGCAUUUGGUCGAUAAAAGGCAAAGGGUAAUGAUCUUUCCUAGUGGCUUUAUUCAAUUUCCUAAAAUCAGUCACCAUCCUAUAGCCAGUAAUAAUUCUCUGUGGGAUCAAUUCAUUUUUAUCAUUAGGGACAACGGUAAUACCUCCCUUCUUAGGGACGCAAUGCACCGGACUUACUGAGUCACUAUGAGAAACAUGAUAGAUAAUACCCGCUUCCAGGAGCUUUAGUAUUUCUUUUCUUACUACCUCUUUCAUCUUAGGAUUCAAUCUCCGUUGAUGAUCGACAACUGGUUUGAAAUCAGGAUCGGUUUUAAUUUUGUGCUGGCAUAGAGUGGGACUAAUGCCCUUAAGAUCGUCAAGAGUAUAUCCAAUAGCAGCACGGUGCUUCCUCAGAGUUUUUAAUAAUUUAUUUUCUUCAUACUCUGAAAGGCUAGCACUAAUAAUAACAUGAUAUAUCUCUUUUUCAUCAAGAUAAGCAUACUUAAGAGUAUCAAGUAACUGCUUAAGCUCAAGCACAGGAUCACCCUUUGGUGGGGGUGGAUCUCCAAGCAGUUCAACAGGCAAAUUAUUCUUAAGGAUAGGAUGUUGUUCAAAGAUAACUUUAUCUAUCUCAUUCCUUUCAUCCAUAUGCAUAUCAUUUUCAUGCUCAAGCAAAUAUUUCUCUAAAGGAUCAGUAGGAGGCACAACAAUAGAAGCUAGAGCAAUAAUUUCAUCCUUACUAGACAACUCUUUUUCAUGAGGUNNNNNNNNNNNNNNNNNNNNNNNNNNNNNNNNNNNNNNNNNNNNNNNNNNNNNNNNNNNNNNNNNNNNNNNNNNNNNNNNNNNNNNNNNNNNNNNNNNNNCUGGCCCCGUUUAACUGGUCAAACAGGUCUUCGAUCUUGGGGAGCGGGUACUUGUUCUUAAUUGUGACUUCAUUAAGAGAACGGUAAUCGACGCAGAGUCGAAUGGUACCGUCCUUCUUUGAAACAAAUAGAACAGGUGAUCCCCAAGGUAAUGCACUCGGACGGAUGAACCCUUUCCUGAGUUGCUCAUCCAGCUGCUUCUUCAGCUCUGCCAGCUCUUCGGAACCCAUCCUGUAAGGCUUUUUAUAUAUAGGCCUUGAUCCGGGCAUGAGCUCGAUGAUGAACUCGAUGUCUCGGUCAGGAGGCAUUCAGGGUAGCUCGUCAGGAAAGACGUCUGGGUAUUCACAGACUACAGGCACUUGAUCAAGCUCUACCUCGGAUAGACUGUUGACUCGAGGCACUUGAGCUGAUACUGGCUCGGAGACAAACUUGACCUUGACCCCUUGGUUGCUUGUCAUGGUAAUGGCCCUGUUGGCACAGUCCAAAAAACUCUGGUGCUUGGCCAACCAAUCCAUGCUGAGGAUUACUUCUAACCCUUGCGAUUUAAGCACAAUGAGGUCUGCCAAGAAACUCGUUCCAUUGAUAACUAUCUCGACCCUUCUACACCCUAGGUUGGUACUCAAUACUGCUCCCGGGGUUUGAAUUUCCAUCUGCCCAUGGAGUAGAGUGGGUUUUAAACCACACUUCUCCGCAAACCUUUGAGUAACAAAAGAAUGUGAGGCANNNNNNNNNNNNNNNNNNNNNNNNNNNNNNNNNNNNNNNNNNNNNNNNNNNNNNNNNNNNNNNNNNNNNNNNNNNNNNNNNNNNNNNNNNNNNNNNNNNNGAUCGUUGUUGGACCGCCGAGAGGUUGGCCUGCCAUGGACUGCAGCACCAUCCAUGCCGCCUCCUAUGCGAUCAAGAGCCGGAAACCUUACGGCACCUGCUGCUGGAAUGCCCAUUCGCUCGUGAGGCAUGGCAUGAGACCCUGGCCUGGCUUCGCAUUCCAGCACCUAUACCCAGCCGCGAGCCCUCGCUCAUGGACUGGUGGAUGCAUGCCAAGGAGAACACGCCGUGGAUCCUCCACAAAGCCCUGAAAUCAGCCGCGCUGCUCGUGCCCUGGAUGGUUUGGAAGCACAGAAACAGCUGCGUCUUCGACAAUGCAACACCAUCCAUGAAUACGCUUCUAGAUAGGAUCAAGGAUGAGGCCCGUUCUUGGGCGGCUGCCGGGGCACCUGGCCUCCGGCUUGUGAUUCCACAAACCUGGGAUGUCCACUGACCGUAAUGUAUUCAUGUCCUAGGACGAUUGUACCUGAACUCCUUCUCAAUGCAAAGAAACACAGAUGCCUUUUGCGUUUUCUCGAAAAAAAGAAAUAGCAACUGCUCAUUGGUUAGUUUUGCUCCUUUCAGCUCGGUAGUAGUUGCUGUUUUUCAGUCCACUUGACCAUUUCUGUUGAUUUUGAUUACCUGUUAGAUUAUUCUUUUUAGCAUAGCUACAAUUUUAUAUUCAUCAUGUGUUGCCACCAUAUAUGUUACUAUACACUACAGUAGUACAUGUGCACAUUAUGUCAGAUUGGUACAAUGCCUUCACUUUGUUAGUUUCAUUCCUUACUUGCAACAGCUUAUGUAAACAUAAACACAUGCAGGUUUGGACAAAAGCUCCUCGUUUACAAGCCAACCUAGUGGAUCAGCAUCUGGUAGAGUAUUAUUUCCUUUUGUUGGCUUGUGUAAACACCUGGCUGGAAUACCCCUUGCUUAUGCCAUUUUAUCCUGUUUGAACCCUUACAAUCCCAGAUACAACCGACAUGGAUUCAUCAGCAGAAGCCAAUGGAAGCGAUACACACAUGCGCACUGUUUCAUCUGCCGAUUAUAUGAUGCAAUAAGCAGCCCUGCUGUGACUGAAAUACCCGUCGCCGCACCAGCAUGAUUCGCCUUCAGUGAUGUGGCNNNNNNNNNNNNNNNNNNNNNNNNNNNNNNNNNNNNNNNNNNNNNNNNNNNNNNNNNNNNNNNNNNNNNNNNNNNNNNNNNNNNNNNNNNNNNNNNNNNNGAGGUAAGUACCCGAUCAGUGCCUUUCCCUUGACGACACUAGACAAAGAGUCCACUCGAUUGGUACCCAUCCCACAUGAUGUAUGUCUUAUAUGCACCAACUCUAGACCGCAUCAUCCAUGCAAGGACCAACGGUGUGCCAAGAACACGUAAAAACGGCAUAGUCGCCCUACCUGGUACGACCCCGUCACGAGAGUGACCAUAUCACUCCCUCCACCAGUAAUGCGUGCUCUUUGCUAGCACGACCAGAGUAAUCAACAAAGCCUCGUCCCAUAAAAGGUAUCGUGGUCGUACAUGUAAGGUUGGGACAGUUGAAAAAUCCUAAAUCUAAUCCCAUUUCCGAAACCACUCACACAAAACCUUUUCGGUGCACCACUUCUUUCUCAAGUGGUCAUCCAGCUCAACACCAUCACCCAGGGCAUUAAUGACAUCCAAUGGGGUUUUCGUAAAACCUUUGAUAUCACCUCUGUGUUACCGUCACCAUGCAUAUGCUCAUCCUAUACGUAGCACUACUGUCUACUUGUGAACUUUAUCUGCAUGACCCUCAUAGAUGGUAAGGUCAUGAUCAAAUGCAAGUGCUCCACACGAGCUAUGGGUAACACCAUACCGAGGGUUUACCGAUAAAUUAUGAUCAUAUGCAUCGGAAUAAGUAAUGGCAUCCAUAAAACUGUUUUCUCAGACAUGGUCAAAGGGCUGCUUGCCUUGAUCAGCUAGGUAUCCGGGGUCUUUGAGGUCUUUGGGUCCAAGUCCUUCAUCAAACGUGUGAUCUAUCGUCGUAAUAGCAAUAAUAAUAAUAAGGUCCACAACCAAAACAGAGUACAAACUCACAUCAAAACUGUUAUCCUAAUAUGUAAAAUCCUAUUAUUAUUUGUCAAAAUAUUUGUUUCUGGUUUUGGAAUGAUUUUUUAAAAGUCUUUUUAACAGAAGUUAAAAAAUACUUAAACUAGUUUUAAAAUAAACUAGUGCAUAAAAGUUUUCAUAAAAAUUCCAGAAGCAGUACUAUUAAAUACUACACAAUUUUAAAAGAAUUAUUGUGGAAAAAUAUUUAAGUUUGGAUAAGGAAUUAAUCGUGUGGAUUUAUUUUUAAAACCAAAAAUAAAAAGGAAAAAGAUCCAGCUCUCUAGCCUCGAUCGGCCAGCAGCUUGGCCGACCCAGCUGGCCAACCAGCCAGCCAGCCAGCUAGCCCAGGGGCGCGUGCUGUCUGGUCCAAACCUAACGUGCGCCCCCUACGACCGAUGAUAGAGAGGAGAGAGAGGGGGAUAGAGAGGCCACCGACAGGUGGGGCCUUCCUGUCGGGGUCAUCUUCUACCUCUAGACAGAGGAGAGGGGCACCUCACCGGUGGUAGCUCCGGGGUCCUCGAGGCCAGGCGAGCACGGGAAUGAGCUCGUGGCACUUCCACCUACCGGAUGGGGGUCGAGGGGACGACGAAGGUGGCCUGAAUCACCGACAACGAUGAAGCCGCGACGGAGANNNNNNNNNNNNNNNNNNNNNNNNNNNNNNNNNNNNNNNNNNNNNNNNNNNNNNNNNNNNNNNNNNNNNNNNNNNGGGAAGGUGAUGGAAACGGUACUCCGAGUGGGGAGAAGGAUAGGGGAGAGGUGGAGAAUGUUCCGCAGGUCUUUGCGGUCACAUGGGGAGUGAAAGGAGCUCUGGAGCGUGCCUGCAGCCCAAGAUCGACGGAGCCCUGAUGCGGCGCACCUCGGUCGAUCUCAAGUAUGGGGUCUCUUUUAGCUCAAGGGGGUGCUCGGGGUUGUCGAUUGGGGAGGAGAGGGAGGUUCUGGUGGAGCGGGGGAGUGCGGGGGAGCCUUUAAAUAGGCGGGCAACGAGUCACCGAACGGUGGCGCGCCGGUGGUUUUGCUGCGGUGGCAUGAGAGGGAGAGAGAGCUCGGGAGUGAAACCGUGGUAUGCGGACACGGUUNNNNNNNNNNNNNNNNNNNNNNNNNNNNNNNNNNNNNNNNNNNNNNNNNNNNNNNNNNNNNNNNNNNNNNNNNNNNNNNNNNNNNNNNNNNNNNNNNNNNGGGCGGGUUAUUAACAGGUAAUAUCCCCAACACGUCGCCCGAGCUCUUGCGCGAGGAGAGGGGGUCCCUGAUGGUGGCUUUGCACAGAGUGGCUGUCGGGGGAGCGUUUGGACAUUACUAGGGAGGUUGGAACUGGCCGGGGCGUCGUCCCCUUGCUGGAGGUUCUCUGUAGCGCGCCCAGAGCGCAAUUUUGGCAUGCCACGGGAUGCUGGCGCGCUCUGGGCACUUGGGACGUGUCCUCCAUGUCCUGAGUGUUGUUGGGAGUGUGCCUAGCCGUUGUGUGUUAGUGGGAGCACGAGCUGGUCAAAGGAGGCAAGGAAUACCAGUGUUGCCAGUACUGGCCUGCGGCUCAAAUUGAAGAUCUUGUCACUUGUGCUUGGAGUUGGGGAGGGGCUGGUUGAUUGGGUGCUCAGGGUGUUCUGGGGCUCUAACUCACCAAGUUUGGGGCUUUGCCAUUGGGUAAAACAGUGGCUAGGAGGGUUUUUACCUUCCUGUCAGAAGGUGUUCGACAGUGAUUUGGGGUGCUUGCACUCCACCACUGAAACUGAAACUUAAUAGGUUUGGUCUUGGGGUAAAAACAUNNNNNNNNNNNNGUAAGAAGGUGUUCGACAGUGAUUUGGGGUGCUUGCACUCCACCACUGGAACUGAAACUUAACAGGUUUGGUCUUGGGGUAAAAACAUGGGGUUUCACCAAAUUUGAGCUCCAUUGAACAAGUUUAGCUUUGUAAACUUGGAAAUGCUUCAAAAUGACCAGUACUGUCCUUUACAAAGGAAGUGUGGCCAAACAGAGUCUCACAAAUCCCAUCUUUGGUGUGGAAUCCUCAUUUGGGGUGCCAAACACCUCUGCAAAGUUUCAGCUCCAUUGGAGAAACUUUGCAAUGUAGAGUUGUUCCAACUCUUCUCUGGACAGAGAGGGUUUUGGGCUCAUUAGGUGCACUUCCCCACCUUGGAUUAAGGUGAGAUUUUAUGUGAGCACCUAAUAUGACUUGGGAGGGCUCCUGUAAUUUUAUGGGAAUUUAUUGAGAUCAUUUCCUUUGGAAACAUCUCAAAAAGCCAAAACAGACAGAAAUGGUUUUCACGGUUUUACUCAAAUAGUAUUAAUAUAAAAUAGGGUUGAAAAUCUUAUAUAUGGAAAAUAUAUGUCCUUGUGAGCUUCCAUGAAUUUCCUCAGAAUUUUCUAAGGCAGGAAAGAAUUUUCCUUGUGGGAAUAUCAUUCCUAGCCUUAGAAAGAGACAUAAAUAUAAAAUAGGAAAAUAAUAUUUUAAAUCACCAAUUAAUGUUUUUAAUGAAUGAAAAUAAUAUUUGGAUCANNNNNNNNNNUUGAGCUUCCAUGAAUUUCCUCAGAAUUUUCUAAGGAAGGAAAGCAAUUUUCCUUGUCGGAAUAUCAUUCCUGGCCUUAGAAACAGACAUAAAUAUAAAAUAGGAAAAUAAUAUUCUAAAUCACCAAUUAAUGUUUUUAAUGAAUGAAAAUAAUAUUUGGAUCAGAUCACCAACUUUGGUUGGAAGUGCCACUUGGCUUCAUGAGCUAGUAGUGUAUCCCAACAUGAUGAAAGGAAAAAGGGUUUUUGAAGAGAGCAAAAUAAUAAGUUUUUCAUGGGUUUGAGUCAUCAAGCAAGCAAGCAUUCACUCACACAAGGGCUUACAUUGCACUCACAACAUUAUUUGAAAAAGUUUUAACAAGCUCUGAUUUUUGCAACAUAAAAUACUUGUGGUGAAAAACAGGGUGUGACAUACCUAUCCCUCUUACAAGAAUCUCGUCCCCGAGAUUCCUAAGCUAAGCGUUAAAUAGCUCGGGAAAUUCUGAUCGGAGAUAGUCUUCACGUUCCCACGUGGCUUCUGCUUCGGUAUGGNNNNNNNNNNUUUCUUUCUGUUUUGUUGCGUCCACACCAUCAUAAUUCUGUUAUGAUUGUGUUUUUCGUGUUUCUUUUUGUGUUUGAGCCAAGCAAAACCUUUAUGACUAGUCUUGGUGAUGGUUGUUUCACCCUGCUGGAAAAAGACGGAAACUUUUCGCUCACCAGAUGUUUUUUCAUUUUUAUUCAGAAAGAGAUUUUGAGUUGAUUCUUUUUGCUUCUGGUUCAUAUGAUUUUUGCCCAGGCCGUCGUAAUUGUUCAGAUUUUUGAGGUAUCAGAAGUAUAUGAAGUAUACAAAUUGCUACAGACUGGUCAAUUUUUGACAUAUUCUAUUUUUGCUGAGUUGGUUGCUUGUUUUGAUGAAGCUAUGGUUAGUAUCAGGGGGUACUAGCCAUGGAAAAGUGAGAAUACUAUAUCCCAACAUCAAUAUAGAUAGAACUCAAGUUUUNNNNNNNNNNNNNNNNNNNNNNNNNNNNNNNNNNNNNNNNNNNNNNNNNNNNNNNNNNNNNNNNNNNNNNNNNNNNNNNNNNNNNNNNNNNNNNNNNNNNGGACAUGAGGGGCCCUGAGGGCUGCCUGAUGCAAAGAGGUUGUCGGGGGAGAGGAGAGACACCGUGGGGAGGCUGGAACUGGCCGAGGGGGUCGCCCCCACCUCGGUUGCUCUCUGUAGCGCGCCCAGAGCGCAACUUUGGCAUGCCACGACAUGCUGGCGUGCUGUGGGAUGCCUUGGACGUGUCUAGCGUGUCUUGGGCACUGACUUGGAGAUGCCUAGCCGUUGGAGUCCCAUGGGAGCCUCGGCUGGUCAAAGGAAGACAGGGAAACAGGUGCUGUCAGCCUUGGGCGGAAGCUCAAAUUGAAGAUUUUGGAUUAUCUACUUUGAACCAAAGAGGGGCCACUUGACUGGAGUUAGGCACUAAUGUCAGUCACCUAAUCUAUGAGUUUGAGAGAAAGGGAUUGGGUUUAGCUGGGGUUUCGAGGGGUUUUACCCAACUGUCAGAAGGUGCUCAACAGUGGUUUGGGGUGGUUGCACCCCACCAAUGGCUAUGCAACUUAACAUGAUGGGUUUGGUGCUAAAACAUGGGGCCACACCAAGUUUGAGCUCCUUUGGACAAGUUUAGCUUUGUAAACUUGAAAACAUCCCUAAAUGACCAGACUUGUCCCAUCCAAAGGGAGUGUGGGAAAAUCAAGUCCCAUAAAUCCCAUAUUUGGCAUGGAGUCCUCAUUUGAGGUAUUAGACACUCCUGCCAAGUUUCAGCUCCAUUGGAUAAACUUUGCUAUGUAGAGUUGCUCUAACUUCAUACUUGACAGAAGGGGUUUUGCAAUUAUUUGGUGACCUUAACCACCUUGGAUCAAUGUGAAAAUUUGUAUGGGCACCAAAUAUGGCUUAGGGAAUCUACUGGAAUUUUCUAGGAAUNNNNNNNNNNNNNNNNNNNNNNNNNNNNNNNNNNNNNNNNNNNNNNNNNNNNNNNNNNNNNNNNNNNNNNNNNNNNNNNNNNNNNNNNNNNNNNNNNNNNUCACACACGAUUCACCACGAGUCACCGCUUAUGUGGAACAAGACAACGAGUUAGCACGUCAAGAUUCGUUGGACGCCUUGGAGGAGGAGCAUGAUUUGGACGCGUCGCGAUCGACGAUUUAUCAACAAGACUUGCGACGCUAUCACAGCCGCCGAGUUAAGAGCCGAGCUUUUCAAGAGGGCGACUUAGUGCUCCGGUUGAUUCAAGAUCAUACUGGUAUGCAUAAGUUAUCCCCUCCAUGGGAAGGGACAUUUGUCAUCAGCAAGAAUCUCCGUAACGGUUCAUAUUACUUGGUGGAUCUCCGCCCGGAUAGGCCAACGACAAAGGUUGAGACAACUCGCCCAUGGAACAUCUCCCACUUGCGGCCAUACUAUACUUAGAGCCACUGGCUCCUUACCUAUGUUUACAAUUUCGAAUUUGUAAUCCUUUAUUUUAUUUAUAAAGCAAUAAAGCCGAUGCCCACGAACUUCGGGGUCCUUUGUUGUUUCAUCUUCUUGAAAGCAUGAGUCUUUAUUGUUCUACAAGUCGUCCAAGCAUGGACGCUAUCAACAUCAAAGAGCAUAAGUCGCCACGUCGCGCUUAUUUCAAAACUGGAUGUUGAUACGCCAAAGAGGACCAAAGUUGCCACACUGCACGGUUCAAACAUGGGCACCUUAUAUGGUUUUGAGAAUUAAGCCGACUUACUUGGGGGCUACUAGNNNNNNNNNNNNNNNNNNNNNNNNNNNNNNNNNNNNNNNNNNNNNNNNNNNNNNNNNNNNNNNNNNNNNNNNNNNNNNNNNNNNNNNNNNNNNNNNNNNNGUGGGUUCUUGAUAGUGGUUGCACAAACCACAUGACCGGUGAUAAAAGAUUGCUGAUGAAUAUGCCACCGACUCCAUCACCACUGAAGCAAAUCACUUAUAUUGACAAAGGUAAAAGGAAGGUAUUGGGACUUGGCAACGUGGUUAUUUCCAAGGACAGACACAUGGACAAAGUGAUGCUGGUCGAAUCCCUUGGGUUUAACCUUAUGUCAGUCUCAAUGCUUUGUGAUCUUGAUAUGGUUGUUAUCUUUGGAAAAUAUAGAUGUGUAGUCAUCAUGGAAUCUGACAGAUCCAAAGUCUUUGAAGGCUUUAGGAGAGGAGAUUUGUACGUUGUUGAUUUUUCCACAGGUCCUCAACCAGCCACAUGCUUACUAGCAAAAACCUCAGAAGGCUGGCUAUGGCAUCGAAGACUUGGUCAUGCAGGCAUGAGUAAUUCACACACGCUGGCGAAGAAAAAGCAUGUCAUUGGCAUCAAAUCCGUCAAAUUCCUCAAAGACCACCUCUGCGGUGCUUGUGAGUCUGAAAAAAUGACCAGAUCCAAACACCCCUCGAAGACUAUCAUGACUACNNNNNNNNNNNNNNNNNNNNNNNNNNNNNNNNNNNNNNNNNNNNNNNNNNNNNNNNNNNNNNNNNNNNNNNNNNNNNNNNNNNNNNNNNNNNNNNNNNNNGGGUUUGUAGGCGGAUGAAUUCCUGCCUUCCGCCAGACUCUGGCCGCCGAGGGGCAGCGGACGAAUAGAUGUAGGCGGUCCUCUGCAUGGGCUAUGCACAUCGGGCAUGUCACGGAAGGCAGAAGGUUUUUCUGGUGCAGGUUGAAGCUUGUGUUGAGGCGGUCAAGAUGCAGAAGCCAGCCACAAACUUUGCAGGAGAUAUAUGCAGGGUGGCAAUUCGACAGCAUAUGCAUAAGGAAACUAAAAUAGAGUGACACGGAUGAAUAAUCUUUAAUAGGAAUGUCACCAAGCAAAUACGUAAGAAUUUUAAACUCAUCUAUAAUUGUUGUUUUGCCCCGUAACAACGCACGGGCACUUAACUAGUAUGCAUAAUACGUAGAUCGCUCUCAAAAAGUUUUCUUUUCCUUUUUGUGGGGAUUCAAUUUCUUUACUUGAAGAUAUCCAAAAUGUUGCCUAAUAAACUUGGAUGGAUGGAGUAGCUUUUAUUGGCAUAAUACCAGCCAUUUAUAACUUAUCCUAUGUGAUUAAAUGUCUGUUUGGACGGAGGCUAAAAGGCGCCAAAAAUAUAUUCUUAGUGAGCAUUUCAAGUUCACACUUAAUCUAUCUACUGCACAAAUACACAAUGUUUUCCUAAACUCCCAAAAAUGUGCACAAUGUUUCGUCUCUUUUGUUCGUUUAGGCUUUGAUCAGACACUUGUAUCUGUUUUGUUUGUGACAUUGAUUGACUAAGUGUAAGUAAUGUGUCAGCCUCAUCGUCCAAUGUCAAGCUCGGUCAAGUGCAAAUGUGNNNNNNNNNNNNNNNNNNNNNNNNNNNNNNNNNNNNNNNNNNNNNNNNNNNNNNNNNNNNNNNNNNNNNNNNNNNNNNNNNNNNNNNNNNNNNNNNNNNNUUGGCCAGUCAAUUUGAUCCAACAAUGAUGAAUCGUGAAUGGCUUACCCUCGAUUUUCUUGUACAAUGUCGCCGCAAGGCCGGCUAGAAAAGCAAAUGAAUCACGUGAUGAAAAAUAUUGCAACAUAGGGCAAAUAAAUCAUAUGAUCAACUUUGUGGGAAGCAAAACUUACGAGCUCAACGGUACCCAUGCCACUUGGUGCACUGUUCUUGAUUUNNNNNNNNNNNNNNNNNNNNNNNNNNNNNNNNNNNNNNNNNNNNNNNNNNNNNNNNNNNNNNNNNNNNNNNNNNNNNNNNNNNNNNNNNNNNNNNNNNNNNNNNNNNNNNNNNNNNNNNNNNNNNNNNNACUUGUUCAACGAUGAUUGAAGGAGUUCUCACUCUAAUCACCGAUUUUUGCCACAUGAUACAGCGGGUAGUUCUUCAUGUCAUGAAAGAAAUCAUGCACCUUCCUCAAUAAGGUCGCACCCCUUUGCUCGGUACCUUCCUAAAACACGUCGCAUCCCUUUGCUCAACACCGGCGAAUGGAUCAACGCUUGUGCCCAACCAAGCCAAGCAAAACAGCUUGUCCUCCUUGGUGGUGUAUACAACUCCUCUAUUCACUUUCUUUACUUCCAUCUUGGCACUAGCGAGUACUGUUUUUCCACCCCCUCCAUUCGUUUGACCAUCGUUGAUCAUGGACAUCAUCACCUCUUUGGCCGCCGUUGAGCUUACGCGGGGGAGGUCCGGUGAACAGGGUGCAGCGCCUGCAGAGAAGCUAUCCUCCGGUGGUGUAUGUUGUCGGAUGAGCCGCAAUGACUCGAUGUACUGAUGUUGACGUUGACGAUGAACGGGAGAUGGGAGUGGGUGGAGGCAGGGGGCAAUGUGUGUGCAGGCACACACGGCACAGCGGCGUAGCUUGCAAGAGGAGCUCAUGCUCACACCGCCUCACUGGCCCCUCGCGCCUUCUCUCUCGCCCGGCACUCUUGCCGCUUGAUACUCUUCGGAUUUGGCCGACAUGGGCCCUUCCGAGGGCAGCACCUCGAAGAUGUUGGACAGGGCCGAGUNNNNNNNNNNNNNNNNNNNNNNNNNNNNNNNNNNNNNNNNNNNNNNNNNNNNNNNNNNNNNNNNNNNNNNNNNNNNNNNNNNNNNNNNNNNNNNNNNNNNUGAUUGCUUUCUCAAGAGAUAAUUUAUCUAGCACAUGAGGCAAUUUCUCUCUUUGCGAGCCAUCAGUUUCAUCGAACCGCACAUCUACAGUUUCAACAACCUUGUUGUGAUAGGAGUUGAAGACUCUGUAGGUGUGCGAGUUCUUUCCAUAACCAAGCAUAAAACCCUCAUGUGCUUUAGGUGCAAAUUUUGAGCUAUGGUNNNNNNNNNNNNNNNNNNNNNNNNNNNNNNNNNNNNNNNNNNNNNNNNNNNNNNNNNNNNNNNNNNNNNNNNNNNNNNNNNNNNNNNNNNNNNNNNNNNNNNNNNNNAUCCAGCAUCUUGCACCAAAGACUUUGAAAUACUUACAUUGGGUUUCUUGUCAGUGAGGAGUUUAUAUGAGGUUUUCUUGAGGAAUUUGUGAAGAUAUACCCUGUUGAUGAUGUGGCAAGCAGUGUUGAUAGCUUCAGGCCAGAAACGACGAGGAGUCUGAUAUUCUUCAAGCAUGGUCCGUGCCAUUUCAACCAGAGUCAUGUUCUUGCGUUCAAUGACGCCAUUCUGUUGAGCAGUAUAGGGAGCACAUAAUUCGUGAGUAACACCAAGUUCAUCAAGAUAAUCAUCAAGAAUAGUAUUUUUGAAUUCUGUCCCGUUAUCACUCCUGAUGUGUUUGAUCUUGACGUCGAAGUUCGUCGAGGCCCUUGAGGAAAAUCGUUUGAAGACUUCCCGCACUUCAGUUUUAUACANNNNNNNNNNNNNNNNNNNNNNNNNNNNNNNNNNNNNNNNNNNNNNNNNNNNNNNNNNNNNNNNNNNNNNNNNNNNNNNNNNNNNNNNNNNNNNNNNNNNUAAACGGACGUGAGUUAAUAAUGAUUAAGAAAUGAUCCUGAACACCUACUUACGAGUCAAACAUACCCCCACCAUGUCCUCUCUUGGAUACCGAGCUCAUGAGAAGAGACAAUCAAGGUUACGCACACAGUUAGCAUAUUUUAAUUAAGUUUACUUCGAGUUUGCUAUGAUCGGGUGUUAAACGAAGUUUCCAAGUUGUCACAUAACUGCGGGCACGACUUUUUGAAAGAUUUAUGUCACACCCUGUUUUCACUACACUUCUUGUGUAAUUCAAAAAUCUGAGUUUAUUAAAACUUUUCCAAACUCAAUGAUGUGAGUGCCAUGAUUGUCAUUGGAUGCUUGCAUGCUUGGUUGUGUGAUAUCAAAAACCAUAUUUUCAUAACUUAAUUAUGCUCAAAAACCUUUUUCUUAUUUCUGGUUAAUUCAAAACCCUGCUUUGGGUUGCACUACAAGUCUUUGAUGGCAAGAAGUGCUCUUAUCCAGAGUUGGUGAUUUGGUUCUAAAACCAUUAUAGAUCACCAAAACCAUAAAAUAAUUAUUUUAUGAAUUAUUUCCCUAUUUUAAUUGCAUGUCCAUUUCUGAGGCGAGAAAUGAUAUUCCUAUAAGGAAAUAUACUUUUCUGCCUUAGAAAAAUCUGAGAAAAUUUGGAGAUACUCAGAAGGACNNNNNNNNNNNNNNNNNNNNNNNNNNNNNNNNNNNNNNNNNNNNNNNNNNNNNNNNNNNNNNNNNNNNNNNNNNNNNNNNNNNNNNNNNNNNNNNNNNNNAUCUUGGCAUGAUCUCCUUAUUUGGGUUAUUGAGCACUCGUGCAAAGUUUGAGACCAAAUGGAAAAACUUGACAAUGUAGAGUUGCUCCAACUUGAUUUUGGACAGAGAGGAUUUCUGAAUUAUUUGGUGAAUCAAAUCACCUUGUAUGGAGGUGAAACUUGUCAUGAUCACCAAAUAUAGCAUGUGCGACAUGCUAGAAUUUUCUAGGAAUUUAUUGAGAAUAUUUCCUUUGGAAAUAUUUCAAAAGGUCAAAAUAGACAGAAUUGGUUUUCAAAGGUUUGCUCUAAUAUUUUGAGUAGGACUAGGGGUUGAAACUCUUAUGUAUGGAAAAUAAAUGUCCUCUUAGUAUUCCCAAAUUUUCUCAGAUUUUUCUAAGGUAGAAAAAUAAUUUUUCACCCAGAAAUAUCAUUUCUCGCCUUAGAAAUGGACAUAUAAAUAAAAUAGAAAAAUGAGUUUAAAAAUAAAUAUUUUAUGGUUUUGAAGAGUUAUAUUAAUAUUAGAACCAGAAUAUAAUCUUUGGGUGAAGGCAAUCCCUUAAAUUNNNNNNNNNNNNNNNNNNNNNNNNNNNNNNNNNNNNNNNNNNNNNNNNNNNNNNNNNNNNNNNNNNNNNNNNNNNNNNNNNNNNNNNNNNNNNNNNNNNNGGGCUAUCCCUGCGGCACUGAACAUUUACACCGCCAACUUCCAGGCUGGGGCCAUUGUGAAAUUCUGUUUGGCGAUUUAAGUGGAAAAUGUACCAGAAUAAGGGAACUAAGGGUUCCAUCCGCAAGUAAGCCUCACAGAACACUUGGAACUGGCAUAGGUUACUUAUCGAAUUAGGUCCCAGAUCCUGGAGGNNNNNNNNNNNNNNNNNNNNNNNNNNNNNNNNNNNNNNNNNNNNNNNNNNNNNNNNNNNNNNNNNNNNNNNNNNNNNNNNNNNNNNNNNNNNNNNNNNNNNNNNNNNNNNNNNNNNNNNNAAAGCCAUGGCAUCUUUAAGGAACUUUGAUCCGAGCGGCUUAAAACCUCGCUCAAGGUGUUCGACGAAAACGACUAUCUCCCCUUCUUUGGGGUUGGGGAGAUCCUCUCCGAACCCGGUACGCCAACCGAUAACAUCCUGAGGGUCCAAAUUUCCCGUUUUCACAUAAUCUACUAGUAUGGUAUCGCUGACUUUGGUAGGGAGCCAGUCACUUUUGAAGACGGUGCCCAUGCUACAAAGGAGUAAAGUACGGGUGAAUUUACACGUUUGAACAUCUACCGUAAGAGGUGAAAUAAGUUCAUUUGACUCGCCAAGUAAUUUGUUCACGAACUGAGGAAAAAUCUUGACCCGCCAUAUAAAGAUCCGGGUCGAGUUGCUAUGGCGACUUAUGAAGUUUGGCUACUCACAAGAGUUGUGUCUUAAAGCGUCGGAGACGUUUGUUCAAAAUGGUGAAGUGUGAAGACUACAAACNNNNNNNNNNNNNNNNNNNNNNNNNNNNNNNNNNNNNNNNNNNNNNNNNNNNNNNNNNNNNNNNNNNNNNNNNNNNNNNNNNNNNNNNNNNNNNNNNNNNUGGUCUCGGGCCUGCAGUGGUUGGAUGCACCGACCGAGGAAAAUCUCCAGCAAAUCUAUGCCGGUGACUCCCUUUCUGACGACAUCUACGAGUGCGUCGACCAGAGGCUGGAUAUGGAUCUUCUCCGCCUUCGUGAGCGCGAGCUGCUUAGGCGGAGCUGGUCGAUCUAAGCUAAAAGGAGGAAACCCUGUCGUGGCAUUCGGACAAGCAACGUCCUAGCAGUAGAACCAUGUCGACUGCCAGUUUCUAACCGAUUCACUCAGCUGAAGAGCGGGAUAACUACUUUUGCUCUUCUUUUGGAAGCCUAAGCCUCUGCAGAGCUGGAGAAGGUGAGUCUUAUCAUCCGACUGAUUAAGUCGUUUGAUAGUUUGGGAUCUAGCAGAGAAGAUAUGUUUGAAAAGCCCCCAAUGGGGAGGACAGCCGAUGAAGCACUCAUACAAGACUACGAAAGCAGAGAGAUGAGCUAUGGCAUUCGGGGGAAAGUGGUGGAGCUGCGCCCCGAAGUGGUUCAUUAUGCCUUUGAAGAAAGGAUGUGGGGGCAGGGAGAAACCNNNNNNNNNNNNNNNNNNNNNNNNNNNNNNNNNNNNNNNNNNNNNNNNNNNNNNNNNNNNNNNNNNNNNNNNNNNNNNNNNNNNNNNNNNNNNNNNNNNNUCAUUCAACAGAUCAUCGGUUCUGUCUAGCAGUUUUUGAAGCUUUUCAAUGGCACUUUGUUGCUUAGUUGCAAUAUUGGGAAGUUUACUGUAAUUGGGUUUUUUAUAAUUAUCAGGUUCACAGUCACUUGAAUCAGAGGAGGAAGUGUCAUUUGGUACCUUUGAACCUUUUGCCAUGAAGCAAUAGGUUCGAGCGUAGUCAUCAGCAUAGUCAUCAGUGUAGAUAGCGUUGUCAUUUUCUUCAAGGUUGAAGAUUGACUUGCUAACGAAUGUGGUAGCCAGUGCAAGACUUGUCACACCAGACUACGAGUCUUCAUCAGAACCUUCCUCUUCAUCACAUUCCUCAGACUCCUCCUCAGAAUCAAUUUCCUUGCCAAUGAGUGCCCGAGCCUUUCUGAAACUAGUCUUCUUGUGUGGUGAGGACUUUGAGGAUGAGGAUUUUGAAGAUUUCUUCUUUUUCUAUAAGUCAUCAGAACUUUCAUCCUUGUAUUUCUUCUUCUUUGAUUCCUUCACCCAGCGAGGACAAUCAGCAAUAUAGUGCNNNNNNNNNNNNNNNNNNNNNNNNNNNNNNNNNNNNNNNNNNNNNNNNNNNNNNNNNNNNNNNNNNNNNNNNNNNNNNNNNNNNNNNNNNNNNNNNNNNNUCGGAAGCAGAAGCAGAAAGCUCCGUCCACUCCGCAGGAAGAAGCCGCAGCUGUAACCAAUGCCAAGUUCAAGGGCAAAGGGAAGGCUCAGUUCACCCCCAAGAAGAAGCAGUUCAAUAAUCCCAUCCUAGACCAGCCAUGUCCGAUUCAUACGAAGAUGGAUGAAGAGGGCAACCCCAUAUAUCCGAAGCAUGCCACUCGACAGUGUCGCCUCCUGAUCCAGGGGUUCGGCGAAGGGCAANNNNNNNNNNNNNNNNNNNNNNNNNNNNNNNNNNNNNNNNNNNNNNNNNNNNNNNNNNNNNNNNNNNNNNNNNNNNNNNNNNNNNNNNNNNNNNNNNNNNNNNAGUUAAAAGGACAAUGAACAGGAUGAGGAGGAUAAGGAGGCUCCGUUCCCCCAAGUCCAUGCAACACUGAUGAUUUUUGCUGACGUUGAGAGCAAGAGUCGACCGAAGAUGGUGAACAGGGAGGUGAACAUGGCCACCCCNNNNNNNNNNNNNNNNNNNNNNNNNNNNNNNNNNNNNNNNNNNNNNNNNNNNNNNNNNNNNNNNNNNNNNNNNNNNNNNNNNNNNNNNNNNNNNNNNNNNNNNNNNNNNNNNNNNNNNNNUCCUCAAAUGGUCUCAGACUGUGAUCACCUUUGAACAGUCGGAUCAUCCGGCACACGUACCCACCCGAGGGAGACAGGCACUGGUCGUCGAUCCGAUGGUGGAAGGAGUCCGACUGCGCAAAGUCCUCAUGGNNNNNNNNNNNNNNNNNNNNNNNNNNNNNNNNNNNNNNNNNNNNNNNNNNNNNNNNNNNNNNNNNNNNNNNNNNNNNNNNNNNNNNNNNNNNNNNNNNNNAAGGAGGUGCGCGAAGAGAAGCUGAAAACGUUGCAGGUCGCCAACACGAAGAAACUUCGGUUCGAAGACUUCAUGGAAACCUUCCUUGAGAGCGCUACCCGCAUCACCGACGGGAUCGACUUGGACACAUUUGUAGAGCCCGCCUGUCCUAGCGCCAGUCCGGACGACGCUUAAGAAAAGUUGUACCUCGGUAUGCCGAGUGUUGGUUGUAAGAAACUUUGGCCACUGCUGUUGGUCAUCACAUUCUUGGCUCGGUGCGGGUAAGCUUGAUCCACACCGAGCCAACUAUCUUUAGGUGAACUUUGAAUUUGAAUCAAAUCUUUUGCUCUUCUGUUGCCAAAGAGUUGUUGAUACGAUUUUGGCUCGAGUUUUUGUUUGGCGUUUCUUGGUGAAGCCAAUGGCAAACAUGCGGAGCAUGUAACUGUCAGUUGUCUUGACAUCUGCAUGAGCCUCCCUGAGGGUCUGCUGAUUCUCCGAGUGGAUCUGUAGGAUACACUCGAAGGCAAUAGAGUACUUAGGCGAUUCAUGAUCGCGGCUAAGUCUUCGAGUGCGACUGUGAGGCCGCACUCGGAUUGAGUUUUACUCAUGUAAUUGUCAAUAGUGUUGACAUCUACAUGAGCCUCAAUGAGGUUCUGCUACUCAUGUAAUUGUUAGUGGUCUUGACAUCUACAUGAGUCUCAAUGAGGUUCUGUUGAGUCCUCGAAUGUAUCUGUGGGAUACAGUCGAAUGCAUCUGAGUAGUUAGGCAAUUUGUGAUCGCAGCUAAAUCCUCAAGUGCGACUGUAAGGUCAUACUCGGAGCGGGUUGUUACUCAUGUAAUUGUCAGUGGUCUUGACAUCCACAUGAGCCUCAAUGAGGGUCUGCUAUUAAUGUAAUUGUCAGUGGUCUUGACAUCCACAUGAGCCUCAAUGAGGGUCUGCUGAGUCCCCGAGUGUAUCUGUAGGAUACAGUCGCAGGAAGCUUUCUCAUUUAAGCGAUUCUUGAUCGCAGUUAAGUCUUCGAGUGUGACGAGUAGUGCAUGCUCGGAGAAAAUUUGUCCUGAGGCGAUUCUUAAUCGCAGCUCAGUCCCCGAGUGCGACGUUUAGUGCACACUUAGAGAAAGUUAUUACUUAGACGAUUCUUGAUCGCAGCUAAGUCCCCGAGUGCGAAGUUUAGUGCACACUCGAAGAAAGUCAGUACUUAGACGAUUCUUGAUCGCAGCUAAGUCCCCGAGUGCGACGUUUAGUGCACACUUGGAGAAAGUUAGUACUUAGGCGAUUCUUGAUCGCAGCUAAGUCCCCGAGUGCGACGUUUAGUGCAAACUCGGAGAAAGUCGGUACUUAGGCGAUUCUUGAUCGCAGCUAAGUCCCCGAGUGCGACGUUUNNNNNNNNNNNNNNNNNNNNNNNNNNNNNNNNNNNNNNNNNNNNNNNNNNNNNNNNNNNNNNNNNNNNNNNNNNNNNNNNNNNNNNNNNNNNNNNUUCUUGAUCGCAGCUAAGUCCCCGAGUGCGAUGUUUAGUGCACACUCGGAGAAAGUCAGUACUUAGGCGAUUCUAGAUCAUAGCUAAGUCCCCGAGUGCGAUGUUUAGUGCAUACUCGGAGAAAGUGAGUACUUAGGCGAUUCUGGAUCAUAGCUAAGUCCCCGAGUGCGACGUUUAGUGCACACUCGGAGAAAGUCAGUACUUAGGCGAUUCUUGAUCGCAGCUAAGUUUUUUUUUUGAGACCGGAGUCUGCAACCGCGGAAGAAUUUUGAAUCUGCAAAAGCUCAAUCUGCUUUAUAUUAUUUCACGAAUACUUGUUCUUUACAUUGCUUCAGUCGACGGUCACGUGUAGAAGCGCUUCAGGAGAUCUCCGUUCCAUGCUCGCGGCUCGUCNNNNNNNNNNNNNNNNNNNNNNNNNNNNNNNNNNNNNNNNNNNNNNNNNNNNNNNNNNNNNNNNNNNNNNNNNNNNNNNNNNNNNNNNNNNNNNNNNNNNAAGCGGAGCGCCUCUGGAGUUUUUCAACGAUGCGUUUCCUCCGAAGAAGGAUGCAUAAUCUUAAAUGACAUUCAUUCUGGAGACUGUGGGCAUCAUGCCGGGUCACGCUCCUUGGUGUCAAAAGCAUUCCGUCAUGGUUUCUUUUGGUUGACGGCUCAUGCAGAUGCAGAAGAUAUAGUUCGUCGGUGCGAGGGGUGCCAGUGUUACGGACGACAGGCUCAUGUGCCGGCUCAAGAACUAAGAAUGAUUCCCAUCACUUGGCCUUUUGCGGUCUGGGGGUUAGACAUGGUCGGNNNNNNNNNNNNNNNNNNNNNNNNNNNNNNNNNNNNNNNNNNNNNNNNNNNNNNNNNNNNNNNNNNNNNNNNNNNNNNNNNNNNNNNNNNNNNNNNNNNNNNNNNNNNNNNNNNNNNNNNNNNNNNNNNNNNNAUAAGUUCACCAAGUGGGUUGAGGCAGAACCUAUUGGAACUUGUGAUGCGGAGACAGCGGUCAAGUUCUUGAAGAAGUUGAUCUUUCGGUUUGGAUAUCCACACAGUAUCAUUACUGAUAAUGGUACUAACCUGUCCCAAGGGGCGAUGCAGGAGUUUUGCCAUCGAGAACAUAUCCGGCUUGAUGUUUCUGCAGUCGCUCACCCACAAUCUAAUGGGCACGCGGAACGGGCNNNNNNNNNNNNNNNNNNNNNNNNNNNNNNNNNNNNNNNNNNNNNNNNNNNNNNNNNNNNNNNNNNNNNNNNNNNNNNNNNNNNNNNNNNNNNNNNNNNNAAUAAUCCUAAGCAGUCAAAUAGCGGGCAAUAUCACAUGUUCACCACAAGCACUUGCAAACGGGACCAAAAGGUGAAACACAUGGCUUUUAGCGUGGUUGAGCCGGCGCUCCCUAGGUACCUCAAUUGGUCUGAACAGCCCAUUAUCUGGAGUAGGGAAGAUCACCUGCCCCGGGUUGAUAAUCCCUGCGACUUGGCUUUGGUCGUGGCUCCCCAGGUCGGAGGUUACACCCAUUCCAAAGUCCUUAUGGAUGGCGGCAGCAACAUUAACAUCUUAUGUUUUGAUACCUUUCGGUGGAUGAAUUUCUCAGAAAAAGAUUUGAUGCAAUCUUCCACGGUCUUCCACAGUAUUGUUCCGGGUAAGUCGGCAUACCCUGUUGGGCAAAUCAAACUUAACGUAGCUUUUGACACAGAGUCUAAUUACAGGAGCGAGUCCCUCAUGUUUGAGGUGGUCAAGAUCAAGAGCCCUUACCACGCGCUGUUCGGAAGACCGUCUUACGUCCGGUUCAUGGCCNNNNNNNNNNNNNNNNNNNNNNNNNNNNNNNNNNNNNNNNNNNNNNNNNNNNNNNNNNNNNNNNNNNNNNNNNNNNNNNNNNNNNNNNNNNNNNNNNNNNNNNNNNNNNNNNNNNNNNNNNAAAAUGCCCGGACCUAAGGGGACUAUUACAAUCAAUGGGGACAUGAAGAUAGCCCAAGAAUGCGAGGAAGGAGACGCGGCUUAUGCCGAGUCGGCUUGCGCGCCCGAGGNNNNNNNNNNNNNNNNNNNNNNNNNNNNNNNNNNNNNNNNNNNNNNNNNNNNNNNNNNNNNNNNNNNNNNNNNNNNNNNNNNNNNNNNNNNNNNNNNNNNNNNNNNNNNNNNNNNNNNNNNNNNNNNNNNNNNNNNNNNNNNNNNACCACUCAAGAGACCCACAAUCGACUCAGAGCCGCCCCUCAAGUUUAAACCGAUGGAUGACACAUAGGUGAUAGACUUCACGCAUGGCGAUUCAACCAAGCAGUUCACCAUUGGGACGGGUCUGGAUCCCAAAUAGGAAAGCGCGCUAAUCGAAUUCAUCCGUGACAAUCGGGACAUAUUCGCAUGGAAACCUUCAGACAUGCCAGGUGUGCCGAGAUAUUUCGCUGAGCACCAUCUUAAUAUUGACCCUAAAAUAAAGCCGGUUCGGCAGUAUCUUCGCCAGUUUAAUGAAGAACGACGUAAGGCAAUUGGGGUGGAAGUCGCAUGGCUUUUGGCUGCUUCAUCAUAGAGGUUUUCCAUCCUAAAUGGUUGGCUAACUUGGUCUUGGUGCUCAAGAAGAAUGGCACCUUUCGCAUGUGNNNNNNNNNNNNNNNNNNNNNNNNNNNNNNNNNNNNNNNNNNNNNNNNNNNNNNNNNNNNNNNNNNNNNNNNNNNNNNNNNNNNNNNNNNNNNNNNNNNNNNNNNNNNNNNNACUACACCGACCUCAGCAGGGCCUGCCCGAAGGACCCUUUUGCCCUUCCCCGCAUUGAUCAAAUCAUUGACUCUAUGAUGUGUUGCGAGCGGUUGUGCUUUCUGGAUGCUUACUCAGGAUACCACCAGAUCAAGAUGGCUGUGGCGGACUAGGAGAAAACGUCCUUCAUAACCCCCUUUGGAGCCUUUUGUUACGUGUCCAUGCCGUUCGGGCUCAAGAGCACAGGGGCGACUUAUCAACGUUGCAUCCAGAAUUGCGUGCACAGCCAAAUCAGAUGCAAUGUUCACGCCUACGUUGACGAUAUCGUGGUCAGAUCCCAGAAGAAGGAAUCACUUUUGGAGGACCUCAGGGAGACUUUUGACAAUUUGCACGUGUACUAGGUGAGACUUAAUCCUACCAAGUGUGUUUUUGGUGUUCCCGCAGGAAAGUUAUUGGGUUUUCUGGUGUCAGANNNNNNNNNNNNNNNNNNNNNNNNNNNNNNNNNNNNNNNNNNNNNNNNNNNNNNNNNNNNNNNNNNNNNNNNNNNNNNNNNNNNNNNNNNNNNNNNNNNNCAGAGAUGGAAAAAAAUGCACAAGGCAAAACUAGUCGGAUAAAUUCAAAAGGAAAUACCCCCUGGUCAUAUAAAAAUACGACCUAUUUAAAUAAAACAAGAACAAGAUUUUUAGGAGCAAAUAAUAUUUCACAAAACAGAAUUAUCUUCUCUGUNNNNNNNNNNNNNNNNNNNNNNNNNNNNNNNNNNNNNNNNNNNNNNNNNNNNNNNNNNNNNNNNNNNNNNNNNNNNNNNNNNNNNNNNNNNNNNNNNNNNNNNUGUAAUUUUAUAUGCACCUAUAAACACCCAUUCAAAACCAGCAACUCACAUCUCUCAUCCACCACAAUUUUAGCUAAAACAUGGGCAUUAUUUGAAAAGGGAAAGGAAGAGGUGAAAUUUUACAUAGGGGAAAAUAGAGAGGGGGAGAAGGUGGUUGGUUUUGAAAAGAAUAAGCACUUGCUAACACAUGCUACACUCCACACAAGUCACACAUCACAUGAUCACAUGAAAUAUAACACCACAAUCUUCACUCCUAGUAAGAACAUAUGCAAACAUGAUCAUGACAUGCAAUCAUAAGGUAUGACAAGGAAUGAUAUGUUAUGCAUGCAUGCAAGGGAAGCAAGUAAUAAGGGACACACAUGAAAUCAUGGCUCAAAAUGACAUCAUCACAAUCUAUGAGAAGGUGGUCCCACAUGAAGUAGGUCCAAAAAGGGUAGGUUCUACACUUGGGGCAUUACAAACUCUCCCACACUACAAAGAAGAUCUCGACCUCGAGAUCUAAGACUGAAAGAAAUCGGAAAAUUCGGAACGGAGGUGAUCCUCGCGUUCCCACGUAGCCUCUUUAUCGGAAUGGUGUGACCACUGCACUUUGAGAAACUUGACAGUCUUGUUACGNNNNNNNNNNNNNNNNNNNNNNNNNNNNNNNNNNNNNNNNNNNNNNNNNNNNNNNNNNNNNNNNNNNNNNNNNNNNNNNNNNNNNNNNNNNNNNNNNNNNGAGAAGAGGUGAAUAAAUAGGAAAAAUGAAAAGAAAGAAGAAGAAGAUGAAGAAGAGAAGAAGGAGAAGGAGGAGGAGGAGGAGAAGGAGGAGAAGGCCAAGGACCUUCUAGUCCUUCUCCUCCUUCUUCUUGAUUUCUUCUUCUUCUCCUCCUCCUCCUCUUUCUUCUCCUAUUUUAUAUUCUCCUUGCCUUAAUUUCCCGAACAAUGACAUAAUUAGCCCAUUUAGCUCCAAAAUGCCAUAAUAACCUCAAAAUGGCAUAAGAACCUUGGUUAGCUCAUGAAUAUUAUAUACUUAGCUUGUUUUACUCUAAAUUGGGAUAAUUUGCCCAUUUAGCUCCAAAAAGGCAUAAUUAGGUAAUUUAGCUCCAACAAGAGGAGAAGAGGAGAAUAAAUAGGAAAAAUGAAAAGAAAGAAGAAGAAGACGAAGAAGAAGAGAAGAAGGAGAAGGAGGACGAGGAGAAGGAGGAGAAGGCCAAGGACCUUCUAGUCCUUCUCCUCCUUUUUCUUGAUUUAUUCUUCUUCUCCUCCUCCUCCUCUUUCUUCUCCUCUUUCAUAUUAUCCUUGCUUCAAUUUCCCCAACAAUGACAUAAUUAGCCCAUUUAGCUCCAAAAUGCCAUAAUAACCUCAAAAUGGCUUAAGAAGCUUGGUUAGCUCAUUAGUAUUAUAUACUUAGCUUGUUUUCCUCUAAAAUGGGAUAAUUAGCCCAUNNNNNNNNNNNNNNNNNNNNNNNNNNNNNNNNNNNNNNNNNNNNNNNNNNNNNNNNNNNNNNNNNNNNNNNNNNNNNNNNNNNNNNNNNNNNNNNNNNNNAUGGCCAGGAAACCAUGGCCAUCUUUGAUCAACGAGCUAGUCAACUAGAGGCUUACUAGGGACAGUGUUUUGUCUAUGUAUCCACACAAGUAUUGUGUUUCCAAUCAAUACAAUUAUAGCAUGGAUAAUAAACGAUUAUCAUGAACUAAGAAAUAUAAUAAUAACUAAUUUAUUAUUGCCUCUAGGGCAUAUUUCCAACAGGGAGUCCCCCUCCCUUCCCACCUCCUCCCUUUUUUUUCUUUUUCCUUUGAUUUCUUAUCCUUGGCGCAUAGAGCCCUUUUGGGCUGUCCCACCAGCCCACUAAGGGCUGGUGCGCCACCCUUAUGGCCUAUGGGCUUCCCCGGGGUGGGUUGCCCCCCCGGUGAACUCCCAGAACCCAUUCGUCAUUACCGGUACAUUCCCGGUAACUCCGAAAACCUUCCGGUAAUCAAAUGAGGUCAUCCUAUAUAUCAAUCUUCGUUUCNNNNNNNNNNNNNNNNNNNNNNNNNNNNNNNNNNNNNNNNNNNNNNNNNNNNNNNNNNNNNNNNNNNNNNNNNNNNNNNNNNNNNNNNNNNNNNNNNNNNNNNNNNNNNNNNNNNNNNNNNNNNNNNNNNNCCCUCGUGACGUCCGUGAUCUCAUCCGAGACUCCGAACAACAUUCGGUAACCAACCAUAUAACUCAAAUACGUAUAAAACAACGUCGAACCUUAAGUGUGCAGACCCNNNNNNNNNNNNNNNNNNNNNNNNNNNNNNNNNNNNNNNNNNNNNNNNNNNNNNNNNNNNNNNNNNNNNNNNNNNNNNNNNNNNNNNNNNNNNNNNNNNNAGGAUCAAAAAUCCCAACAAGAGGAGCAAGAAUACGGGUUUGAGCUGCGAAACGAUUUUUUCUGGAGGUAGGAGAAGCGGAUGAGAGCAAGAAUGAGUGGAGGGGGUGCCUGUGGGCCCCACAAGCCUAGGUGGCACGGCCAGGGGGUUGCCCGCGCCCCUAGGGCUUGUGGCCCACUGGUGUGGCCCCCAGACAGACUCUUUGUCCCAGUAUUUUUCAAAUAUUCCAGAAAAAAUCAUACUAGAUUUUCACAGUGGUCGGAGAACUUUUAUUUUCGGGGUAUUUUUCCACCGGACACUAAAACAGAAAAGAGGGAAAACUAACCUAAACCUAUCAUUUUUCUUCUAAGCAACCUAAAGUGAAAGCUUGGAAUAGAGGUUUGUGACUCCUUGAUUCAUCCAUCUCAUGGUCAUCGAAAUAAAUCCAUCAAUGGGGUUGAUCAAAUCCCCUCAACAAAACUUUCUCGAAUCGCAAAAGAAGACGGAGAAUUUUCGAAUAGUCACUAAGUCACCUCAAUGGGGAUGUGUAUCUCCCCAACAAGCAAAUCAUACUUCAUCUUGACACGAGGAAUAUGGCAUUCAAAGCUCCCAAUAAGAAUCGAUGAAGUCUUUUCGAUAACAUUGAUGCAAUGUACUCGAUAUUGUUUCUUCGGAAAGUGCACCGUAUGCUCAUUACCAUUGACAUGGAAAGUGACAUUGCCUUUGUUGCAAUCUAUAACAGCCCCUGCAGUGUUCAAAAAGGGUCUUCCGAGGAUGACAACCAUGGCAUCGUCCUCGGGAAUAUCCAAGAUAACAAAGUCUGUUAAGAUAGUGGUGUUAGCAACCACAACAGGCACAUCCUUGCAAAUGCCGAUAGGGAAAGCAGUUGAUUUGUCGGCCAUUUGCAGAGAGAUUUUAGUGGGUGUCAACUUAUCCAGUUCAAGUCUACGAUAAAGAGAGAGAGGCAUAACACUAACACCGGCUCCAAGGUCGCAUAAAAGCAAUUCUAACGUAGUUGCCUUUAAUGGAGCAAGGUAUAGUGGGCACAUCGGGAUCACCUAGUUUCUUAGGAGUUCCACCCUUGAAAGUGUAAUUAGCAAGCAUGACGGAGAUCUCAAGAUCAGGUAUCCUCCUCUUAUUAGUCACAAUAUCUUUCAUGUACUUACAUACAGAGACAUCUUGAGCAUAUCUGUCAAACGCAUUUGCAGAAAGACAGGUCUAAUCAUCUCAACGAAGCGCUCAAAAUCCUCAUCAUCCUUUUUCUUGGAUGGUUUGGGAGGAAAGGGCAUAGGUUUCUGAACCCAAGGUUCCCUUUCUUUACCGUGCUUCCUAGCAGCGAAGUCAUUCUUAUCGCAUCUUCUAGUCUUAGGCUGUGGGUUAUCAAGAUCUACACUAGGUUCAAUCUCCACAUCAUUUUUAUUGCUAGGUUGAGCAUCUUCAUGAACAUCACUAUUGAUAUUAUCAUUAUGCUCAUGUUCAUCACCAGAUUGUGUUUCAGCAUCAGAGACAGAGGCAUCGUUUGGACUCUCAGGUGUAGCAGCAACAGGGUUGCUAGCGUGCAGGUUCCUAUCAUCUUUCUUCUUCUUUCUAGGAUGACUAGGUGCAUCAGUGCUAAAUCCUUGAGACUCUUGUUCAACUCUCUUCGGAUGACCCUCAGGAUACAGAGGUUCCUGGGUCAUUCUACCGCCUCUAGUAAUGACUCUGACGACAUUGUCAUUCAACUCAUUCAGCAAGUCAUUUUGAGCUUUAAGUACUUGUUCUACCUGAGUAGUAACCAUAGAGGCAUGUUUACUCAGAAGUUUAAGAUCAUUGACAUUUCUAUCCACACAAGCACUUAAAUGACUAAGCAUACGAGCAUUCUUUUCCAAUUGUCUGCUAACUUAAUCGUUGAAACUGUUGUUUGGCAACAAAGUUAUCAAAUUCAUCCAUGCAUAAGUUAUUAGGUUUAUCAAAAGGAAUAUCACUGUCAUCAAACCUACACAGAGAAUUUACUUCUACUACUUGUAUCGGGUUAUCGAGAUCUCUUCGAUAGGUGGUAGAUUUUUGACAUCUUCAGAUUAAUUGCCUUUCUCUCGCAUAGAUUUCUUGGCUUCUUGCAUAUCUUCAGGACUGAGGAAUAGGAUACCUCUUUUCUUCGGAGUUGGCUUAGGAGGUAGUUCGGGAAUAGUCCAAGCAUUCUCAUUGCACAAGAUGUUGUUCAGUAGAAUCUCAGCUUGUUCUACGGUUCGUUCCCUAAAACACUACCGGCACAACUAUCUAGGUGGUCUUUGGAAGCAUCGGUAAGUCCAUUAUAGAAGAUAUCAAGUAUCUCAUUCUUCUCAAGGGGGUGAUCAGGCAAAGCAUUCAGUGGCUGGAUGAGCCUCCCCUAAGCUUGUGGGAGACUCUCUUCUUCAGCUUGAGCAAAGUUGUAUAUUUCCUGCAAGGCAGCUUGCUUCUUAUGGGCAGGGAAAUAUUUCUCGGAGAAGUAGUAGACUAUAUCCUGGGGGCUACGCACACAUCCAGGAGCAAGAGAAGUGAACCGGGUCUUAGCAUCAUCCUUCAGCGAGAAAGGAAACAGCUUGAGCAUGUAGUAGUGGUGGAUCUUUUCCUCACUAGUGAAUAGGGUGGCUAUAUUGUGCAGUUUGGUAAGAUGGGCUACAACCGUUUCAGACUCGUAACCGUGAAAGGGAUCAGAUUCGACUAGAGUGAUUAACUCAGGAUCGACAGAGUAUUCAUAAUCCUUAUCGGUUACAAAGAUAGGUGAAGUGGCAAACUUCGGGUCGUAUUUCAUCCUAGCGUUCAGAGAUUUUUCUUUCCACUUGCGCAGAAGUUUCUCAACAUCAUAGCUAUCCUUACACGCAAGAAAAUCCUCAGCUAUCUCUCCCUCCAUAACAUAGCGCGUAUCAGGCAUAACAGGCAAUUCAGGCACAGUAGGUUCUACUUCAAUAGUAUCAGCAGUUUCAGAAGUAUCAUCACAUCUAGCAGCAGCUCUAGCAAUAUGUGCAUCAAGGAAUGCACCAAGUGGCAAAGCAGUAUCACACAUAGUAGGCAUAGUAUCAAGCAUAGCAUCAUCAGGCAUAGUAUCUAGCAUAACAUCAUCAGGCAUAGUAUCAAGCAUAGCAUCAUCAACAUCAGAAGUAGCAUCAUCAAGCACAGGCGACAUAUCAAGAUUUCUAGCAGGAGGCGAAGUCGCAAACUUACUCAAAACUAAAGGUGAAUCAAGUGCAGAGCUAGAUGGCAGUUCCUUACCUCUCCUCGUAGUGGAAGGUAGGAUUUUAGUUCUCGGAUCUUUCGGAUUCCUCAUAGUGAUCAGCAGACGUCAAUCCCAAGUGACUCAGAGAAUAUAGCUGUGCUUCCCCGGCAACGGCGCCAAAAAAAGCCUUGAUGUCCCACAAGCAUAUGGGAUCGCAACAGUAUUCUAGGGUAGAGUAUUCAACCCAAAUUUAUUGAUUCGCUCACAAGGGGAAGCUAAAGGAUAUUCUCAAGUAUUACCAACUGAGUUGUCAAUUCAACCACACCUGAAAGAUUAGUGUCUGCAAGCAAAAUAUCAGUAGCAAGGUAGUACGAUAGCAACGGCACCAGAAAAAGCUUUGGCAAUCCCCAGCAACGGCGCUAGAAAAGGCCUUGUUGACGGGAUGUUAGCGCCAACAAAGUCUUGCAACAAGUAACAAUGGAGUAGCAAGGAACAAUAGUAGCAGCAGCAGCAAAGUAACAAGUAACAGCAGUAGCGACAGCAGCAACAAGUAACAACAGUAGUGACAGUAGCAAAGUGGCCCAAUCCAUCUUGUAGCAAGGGACAAGUCUAGGCAAAGUAACGUAGCGAGGACCAGUAGUAAAAGACUCGUAGGCAGUGGAUCGGCGAUGGAUGAGUGUGACGGAUGUGAUUCAUCAUGUAACAGCUAUAACACGGAGAGAUAUGUGGCUAGCCCCCGUUCAUCAAUCUAAUGAAGACAUGUAUUCCGUAUGUAGUCAUACGUGCUUAGGGAAAAGAACUUGCAUGACAUCUAUUGUCCAUCCCUCCCGUGGCAGCGGGGUCCUAAUGGAAACUACGAUAUAUUAAGCUUCUCCUUUUAAUAAAGAACCGGACCAACGCAUGAACACGCGAUGAAUACAUGAACUCAUCAUACUAUGGUAAUCUCCGCGAGUGGUUCCGGCUAUUGUUACUCCGGGGUUGCCGGGUCAUAACACAUAGUAGGUGACUACAACUUGCAAGAUAGGAUCUAAAACACACAUAUAUUGGUGACAACAUAAUAGGUUCAGAUCUGAAAUCAUGGCACUCGGGCCCUAGUGACAAGCAUUAAGCAUAGCCAAUUAGUAGCAACAUCAAUCUAGAACAUAGUGGAUACUAGGGAUCAAUCCCCGUCAAGAACUAACUCGAUUACAUGAUAGAUCUCAUCCAACUCAUUACCGUCCAGCAAGCCUACGAUGAGAUUACUUACAAACGAUGAAGAGCAUCAUGGAAUUGUCGAUGGAGAAAGGUUGAUGAUGACGAUGGCAACGAUUUCCCCUCUUUGGAGCCCGAAACGGACUCCAGAUUUGCCCUCCAAAUGAAGAACAAGAUGUGGCGGCGCCUCCGUAUCGCAAAACGCGAUGAAACCUUCUCUCUGAUUUUUUUCCAGGCGAAACGGAAGAUAUAGGACUGAGAUUGGGGGCGAUGGUGCCACGUGGGCCCCACAAGCCUGCAUGGCGCGGCCUAAGGGGGUGGCCGCACCAUGUGGGCUUGUGGCCCACUGGCACACCCCCUCAGGUGGAUCUUUGCGCAGAUAUUUUUCUUUUAUUUCAGAAAAAAUCUCCGUAAAUUUUCAGGACGUUCCGAGAACUUUAAUUUCUGCACAAAAACAACACCAUGGCAAUUCUGCUGAAAACAGCGUCAGUCCGGGUUAGUUGCAUUCAAAUCAUGCAAAUUAGAAUCCAAAACAAGGGCAAAAGAGAUCGGAAAAGUAGAUACGACGGAGACGUAUCAUGGAGCAGCUUCAUCUUGAUCGAAGCUUCGGUGGAGACGUCAAGUCAUGCGUGGCCGACAGGUGCUACGCUGUGUCAUGCAUGCUCGACAGGUGCUACACACGACAGAUCUUUCAGAGCCUUCAUGUCAGGAUGGACGAGCGCAAGACGGUGACGCCGUUGGGCGCCGUGGUGGCGUCGACGGAUUGACGAACUGACAAUGGUGAUACGGAUCUCUCUCCUGAAGAUGAGACAGUGGUUCGAUGAUGAUGGCGGCUUCUAAAACGUGUGCAAGUGGUAUACGAUUUAGGUUUGCUGCAUCGUUUGUUGUUCCGAUACGUUCUAGGGAUGGAUCGGUGAUGACAAUAGUUUUUGAUAUGAAGAAUGGGAGCACUCAACAUUAUCAUGUUUGUAUGUGUGAGUGAUGUCUUCGGGUGGUUUGAUGUAUGAUCUUGUCAGACUUUUAUGGAAUAGAUAACCGCCACGACAGUGCGUCUCGGCUCUUUCAUGACAACCCUUGGGUGGGAUUAGGCCACUUCCAAUGCAUUGGUGCUAAGAUGAGGUGCUAAGCACAUUAAAUAGUUUAGCAACUAAAGUCCCUAAUGCAUACUAGUUGCUUACCUUAUGGUAGCUAAGCCUUCUUAUUUAAUGCUUUUGCAACUAAAGUUGUGCAUGCAUGGGUGCAUUUCCUUCAUUUAAUUGUUUUAUCUAGGUUCAAGCGCUUACCAUUGUUUGUUCCUGGGUCACCACAUUCAUCUUUUUUUUAUUAAUUAGUUUGUUACAUUUCAUUUUUUCUUAUAUGACAAUCUUAGCAUCCGUAGAAGAUGAAACAUUGGGAGUAACCUUAAUAACCCAACCCACCCCAUCUAAUUCCAUUGAUUAACGAGAGCUCUUUCAUGGCAACCCUGUCGGAUUAAUAAUCCCAACCCAACCCGCCCCAGCUAAUUCCAUUGAUUAACGAGGACAUGAAAGAGCCAAGUAGCGGCCCUGCUGUGGUGGCGUACACCCGUCGAUCCCAGGCCGAUUUAAUUAGUCGCAGUUACUACCACCUGCUUCGCAACCUCCACCGCCAUGAAUGCGUGAUCUACUAGGCGGCUAGGGCUAGGCCGCUGCUCACAGUCCCAUCCAUGCCUCUCGUCACGUCACCACCUCAACUGUAAAUUGAAAAUGAAGUGGAGCGCCGUGGAGAAAACGAGGUCCAACGAUGGAGAGAACGCGGCAGCAUAAAUUCCAGCCGAGCAAUCUCUCGGUUUCUCACUCUCUUUCUCUCUCUCUCUCUCUCAGCAUUAAUGGUGGGGGGUUGCCUGGGUAGCCAAGGUAAGUUGCUUGCCUCGCUCGGCUGCGCUGGAGGAGAGGAGUCGCGGGCAUAUGCUUGCAUCCAUCUCGGAGUUGAAGAGAGGAAAACCAACUAGGUACUAGUGGAGAGGAGAUGGGGGAGGGGAACGGGACGGCGUGGGCGGGGGCGCUGUCGCCGGCGGCGCGGUACGCGGAGACGGGAGGGGCGAGCUUGACAUGGGAGAACCUAACGGCCGUGCUGCCUGGGUCCGGCGGCCGGCCAACCAAGAAGCUAUUGCAAGGGCUGUUCGGCUAUGCCGUGCCCGGCAGGAUCGUAGCCAUCAUGGGGCCCUCCGGCUCCGGCAAGUCCACCCUCCUCGACUCCCUCUCCGGUAUGCAAACACAUCUACAUGCUCUCCUUUCACCGAUUUUUUCCCCCUUGUGUUAAGACUGACCAUUUGGAUCCAGUUCUACACGUUUGUUCCAGCAGGUUUACCCUCCUUUCGAUUGUUGUUGUUGUUGUACUAUUAGAGUAGUAGUAGCAAAAUCAGUAAUUUCUGCGUUCGUUGCAGGGAGGCUGGCCAGGAAUGUGCUCCAGACCGGCAAGGUGCUGCUCAAUGGCAAGAAGAGGCGGCUCGACUUUGGCGCGGUGGUGAGUGAAAGCUAUAGUAGAAGCCUAAUUAUACUCUUAACAGUGAGCUAUUUCCUGCAACAAAACUUAUCAUGCGCUUCAUUCCCAUUUUUCCAAUCAAAACGUCAUGUCAACAAACAUGAGGCUUCAGUACUAUGCUUAACAUGUCUUCAAUUGCUUAUUGCUUGUGGAUGAAUUUGUCAGUCACCAUGUUGGGCUAGUACUCCCUAUGCACAAAGUGACCAUAAGCACGUUUAUGAGCCCAGCUGAAAGGUCGGAUAAUCGGGGGUCAAGUUCAGGUUCAGACUGAUUUCAGACUGUAUUACCGAAAAAGGGUUUCCCCCGCUUUGUAUACAGAGCAACCAAUCGGAUUGCGGAGGGUUUCAGACUGUAUUCGCUAAGAGCAGGAUGCAUAAUGGUAGUUGUAGUUGCCGUUAAGCUCAUACCAAGACAAUCCAAUCGGUGAGUUUGUUAUCUGACAUCUAUGUGUCCGUUGCAGAGGGCAUCGAUUGAUGCGGAUUGCGGAGGCUGGGUGCGCUCUUUCCUUCCCGUAAAAACUAACGCCGGCAAAAAACCCAUAUGCCACGGAAUGGUUCCUUUUGACCCCUCUAAUUUCGAUGGAUCGUAUGGAUUGUACCAAAAGCAAGGCCUUAGUUGGUAGCUAGGGCUUGGAACUCAUCAAGCCCUUCAUGUGCCGGUUCAUACUCCACAAUUAGUCUUCUGGUGGUUUCCCCAUCUGAAUUCAGUUAUUAGAGUAUACUGCUUAGGAAAGUAUCUUGGGCAGUUCGGGGUUGACAUCUAAUGAUCUAAAGUAGAUCUUCUCUCAACAAGCUAUCACAUUCUUAUGUUCAAAUAAUAAUAGACAUGCUUUUGAAAAGCCACUGGACAGUGCCAAAAAUAAGUCCAUUUCAGCUCACUAUCUCAAGGCACUUCGUCAGCCUGUUGCCACCGGAACAUGUACUACGAGAAUGGCACUGUCAUUAAAAGCCCAACCAAUUCUUGUUUCAUGUUAAAUAGGGGGAUGCAUUGGAUUACAAAAUGCAGUUGUCAAUCCCUUUCAGUAUGACAUUACAAAAUGCAGUUGUCAGUCCCUAUCAGUAUUAUACAUGGGUGCCACACACUAAUGGUAUUAGUCAAUGAAAAUAAUUAAUGUGGACUAGACACUCCACUCUUGUGUAAAAUUUUGACUUGUGUACGGCUGCAACUUGGAAAUGGAAUGCUUCUUUUCAAGGAAAAAGGAAAUGCGAAUUUCAGAUUCUAGUAAAAUCCUUAACCGUGCCAAACUUGUAAAAAUAAUCUAGCCAUAUGUUCCUCAAAAUAUAAGAAGUGUGUGUUAAACAACUAAAUAACCCUAAACACAUGUGCCCUAUGGCGAACUCCAGCUCCCCUCGGAUAUCUGGCUCACGUAAGACGUUGCCAGGGUUCAGCUUCAGCUUCCAAACAAGAACACCAUUUGCACACUAAGCUAAAUUUCAGUUUAGGCUAGUUUUCCAUGCCCAAACCUCAGAUCCCACAUUACGAGAUGAUACUUCCUUUUUGCAGCACCCCCUUGCUAGAAAAAUGACCUCCUAAUCUUAUCAAAAAUUGUUUUGAGCAUAAGGAACAUGGCCAUGUGGAAAAAGGACUAACUGCAGUUUAAGUGGCUGUUGGGUGUUCAGGAAUAAUCUGUGUCUAAACAUAAAUCAAGUGAAAAAAAUAAACUAAUCAAUACUGAAAUUCUGAUGCUACACGGCAGAGGUGUGGGUAGCAAUUUCAAAAGGGAUUAUGUGUGACGUGUAGUUGUGAAAUUAGUACUUUAAUUUCAGUACAAUCUAAUUCCUUUUUUGCGGGCCAGUACAAUUAAUUUCAUGACAUAGAGGAUCCAUAUGGAAGUACUCCCUCUGUAAACAAAUAUAAUAGUGUUUAGAUCACUACCUUAGUGAUCUAAACGCUCUUAUAUUUCUUUACGGAGGGAGUACGAACUGUCAUUGCAUGGGGAUAAGAUUACACAAUAUUAACAUACCAGUACCCCUGACUGUUGUACUGAAAUACGAGCUACCAAAUUUGUCUUAAUAAAUACGGUACGAGGAACCAAGAAAUAGUGAUCCUUCUCCAAGUAGGCUCUAAAGUGUUUGACGUCGGUGGUGUGUACAUCGGUCUCUCUACAGGCGUACGUGACACAGGAGAACGUUCUGCUGGGCACGCUGACCGUCCGGGAGACGGUCACCUACUCGGCGCAGCUGCGGCUGCCGUCGAGCAUGUCAAAGGCUGAGGUGCGCCGAGUCGUCGACGAUACACUGGAUGAGAUGGGCCUACGGGAGUGCGCUGACCGUCCCGUCGGCACAUGGCACCUCCGGGGCAUUAGUGGCGGCGAGAAGAAGCGACUGUGCAUCGCACUGGAGAUCCUCACCCGGCCGCGCCUCCUAUUCCUCGACGAGCCCACCAGCGGCCUCGACAGCGCCUCCGCCUUCUCUGUCAUUGAGACGCUGCGCACACUUGCCAUCGACGGUGGACGCACCAUCGUCUCGUCGGUGCACCAGCCGAGCAGCGAGGUGUUCGCACUCUUCGAUGAUCUCUGCCUCCUCUCCAGCGGCGAGAGUGUCUACUUUGGAGACGCUAAGCUUGCACCGCAGGUAGUACCAUACGUACCAUCACACGAACUGCUUGCAUGUUUUUUCUUCGAGAACUUGUGCUUAAAAACAUUGUUGCUUUUGUUAUUUUGUCAGUUCUUUGCAGAAACCGGAUUCCCCUGCCCCAGCCGGAGGAACCCAUCCGACCACUUUCUCCGGUGCGUCAAUUCUGACUUCGACGAUGUCGCCACGGCCAUGAAAGGAUCCAUGAAGCUCCGAGCAGUAUGAGCAAAUUGAGGACUGGUUUUUUACAUCCUUGCAUUGUGACCUUUCAGUACAUGUGUUUUCUGAUCGGAAUAAAUACAUUUUUGUUUGAUUUGAAGGAGGCAGAUCUUGAUCCCCUGCUGAAGUACUCAACUUCAGAGAUCAGAGAGAGGCUCGUGGAUAAGUACCGGAUCUCAGACUAUGCCAUGAUGGUUAGGAACACUAUAAACGAGAUAAGCAAAAUAGUAAGCCAACUCUCAAAUUUCAAACAUCUUUCUCAAUUUUCUUCGAUCCGUAUUUUUUCUAAAUUUUGACAUGUACGCUGGUGCGUUGGAUUUGCAGGAGGGUGUGCUGGAGGAGGCAGUGAAGGGCAGCCAAGCGACCUGGUGCAAACAGCUGCGCACGUUGACCAAGCGCUCCUACAUCAACAUGUACCGUGACUUCGGCUACUACAGGCUGCGCAUCAUCAUCUACGUCCUGAUGGCCAUCUGCCUCGGCACCAUCUACUACGACGUCGGCAACAGCUACACUGCAAUCCAGGCGCGUGCCUCGUGCGGUGGUUUCGUCUCCGGCUUCAUGACAUUCAUGUCCAUCGGCGGCUUCCCCUCCUUCAUUGAGGAGAUGAAGGUCUUCUCCCUCGAGCGGCAGAACGGCCACUACGGCGUCGCCGCCUACAUCAUAUCCAACUUCCUCUCCUCCAUGCCGUUCCUGUUGACCAUGUCCUGGGCCAGCGCCUCCAUUACAUACUGGAUGGUUAAGUUCCGACCAGGAUUCAGCUACUUCGCCUUCUUCGCCCUUAACCUCUAUGGUGGCGUCUCUGUCAUCGAGAGCCUCAUGAUGAUCAUCUCGGCCCUUGUGCCCAACUUCCUCAUGGGCCUCAUCCUUGGCGCUGGCGUCAUUGUAAUUCUGCAACCAAUAUUUUCCUCUAUGCAUUUCAUCACUUUGGCUCGUCGUGCCUUCUUGCAGUGUUGGUGUCUGACAGGAUUGAUGCUUGCAUUUUGCAGGGGAUCAUGAUGUUGACGUCUGGAUUCUUCCGGCUUCUCCCGGAACUUCCCAAGAUAUUCUGGAAAUACCCAGUGUCCUACAUUGUCUACGGCUCUUGGGGUUUGAAGGUACAGCUUUUGAUCGGUCAGCUAAUUAAUUUCGCAAUGGAUGAUGCAAGUAAAAUCCUAGCUAGCAUGCAUCUGAAACUGAAAGCAUUUGCCUCGGCAUGCAGGGUGCAUACAAGAACGACCUGCUGGGGCUGGAGUUCGAGCCGAUGACGCCGGGAGGCGACAAGCUGACCGGCGAGUUCAUCAUCACCAACAUGAUGGGGCUGAGCGUCAGCUACUCCAAGUGGCUAGACCUAGCCAUGAUCUUCAUCCUCCUACUCGCCUACCGCGUCACCUUCUUCUUCGUCCUCAAGGUCAAGGAGGCCGCCGCGCCCUACAUCCGCGUGGCCUACACGCGGUUCACCGUGAAGCGCCUUGAGCGGCGGGCGUCCUUCAGGGAGUCGCUGGCCAUGACGUCCUUGUCGAAGCGGCACAACACGCCGCACCCCAUGGCCAUGCAGGAGGGGCUCAACUCCCCCAUACAGCAGUAUUGACUGGUCAAUGUCAAUGAGUGCGAGGAGCAGCCGCCCCGGCAUGCAGAUGAGUUGAUCAUUACUACCACAGCAAGAUGAUAGCCGUCCGUGACAUGCGUGUGUCACUAUUACUUGUGUAUGCGUUUCCACUUGUUAGUUUUGCUUGCAGGUCUGCAGCUUCGCGAGGUUCAUAAACAUACGGAUAGUGCAUUCUUUAAAAGUUUGGUUUUACUGUAAGAAGUCGCUGCAACCAAUACAGAUACGAGAUUAUAUUACGCCUCAUUGUUUCGCUCGUUUGUUUUACGGUCAGUUACUUCAUGCACUUUUUUUCUGAACCGAGACUGUUCUACAGUAAUUUUCAUUAAUAAUCAAUAAAAAAAGUACGCAAGUGAUGUUACAACAUCAUUAACCAAUAUUAGUGUUAAACAUAUAGCUAGCUGGGUUGUGUGAGUUGUAUAACCAAUACUAGUGCUAAACAUAUAGCUAGCUGGGUUGUGUGAGUUGUAUAACCAAUACUAGUGUUAAACAUAUAGCUAGCUGGGUUGUGUGAGUUGUAAUCUGUUAGGAUUGUUGUGAUUGUUUUAGCUGGGUUGUGUGAGUUGUAAUAUGUUAGGAUUGUUGUGAUUGUUUUACCUGGGUUGUGUGAGUUGUAAUCUGUUAGGCUUGUUGUGAUUGUUUCUUGGAGAUCAAUUGUUACAGUAUAUAUAGAUUGCACUAGCCCUUUCUAUCAGUUUAGACUUUUGGUUGCGUUGGCUAGUGCAUGAAGCUUAACAUGGUAUGAGAGCUAAGGCUUUGAGUUCAAGUCCUGGCUUUGACAAUUUGUUAAAAAUUGUUGGUAGCCCUUUUUAUGUCCACGUAAAGGCCUCUUGAGUCAUACGUGAGGAUGAUGGGCUACCUGGAUAGCUCGAUCCAUGAGCCUGCCACUGUGAUCAUCUCGGAGAAAGAUGUCUCUCGGAAGAUCACAUGUGCACUGAAUCCAGAGCAUGCUAUAUGAGUGACUCAAAAUCAACAAGUUCUUAUGUUUUUGAUCUCAUCGCUUUCUCGCGAAGUGCUGCUGCAGGUUAGCUCGUGCACCACCGCCGCCACGAUCUGGAGAGCCCUUCUGCAAAGCAUUGCUUCGCAGUCAAGGGCGAGAGUCAUCCAGCUCCGCACCACGAUCGAGCACACCCGCAAAGGAGACAUGUCCGCAACGGCGUACUACAUCAAGAUGACGAGCAUCGCUGAUGAGCUGGUUGCUGCCGGCAAGCCUAUGGAUGAGGACGGCGUUGUCUCCCACAUGCUGCAAGGGCUGCUUCACGAAUCAGACUACAGCGGCUUCGUGCCAGCCCUCUCUACGCGCAAUGCGGCCGAUCAUCCGAUUGGCCUUGGGGAGCUUUUCUUUGUGCUACUCGCUGCUGAAUCACGCAUUGCAGCACUGAACGCUGCCUUCCCUGCGUCCCACUCGGCGAAUCAUGCAUCACACUGUGGAGGGCGCGGGAAUCCCGGUCGCGGCGGCAUCGACGGUGCCCCCCGUGGCUACAACAACAACUACAUGGGUGGCCCCCACUCCGACAACUCCGUCGGCGGUGGUGCUGGUUGGGCGCCGCGCCAAGAAGGAGGUGAUCGCGGCGAUCGCGGUGACCGUGUCCAAGAAAAAUGUCAGAUCUGUAAGGAGAUGGGACAUGGUGCAUGGCGCUGUAAAAAGCGGUAUGAUCGUGGCUACAACAACAACGUUCGCAACCCUGCUUGACCUUCCGAGGGGGUGGAAAUCGCUCCACCAACGCGGUUCACUCCUAUGGUGUGGACACGAACUGGUACUUGGACACGGGCGCGACAUGUCACGUGACAGGUGAGUUGGAGAAUCUCACCGUCCGUGAUCGCUACACUGGCAAGGAUCAAAUCCACACAGCUAGUGGUGAAUGUAUGGACAUAGCACAUAUUGGUCAUUCUACUCUUGUCACCCCCAAUGGAUCUAUUGAACUAAAAAAUAUUCUCCAUGCACCCAAAUCCGAUCAAAGCCUACUUUCUGGCCAUAAGCUUAUCUUGACAAUAAUGCUUUCCUUGAGAUUUACCCUGAAAUUUUCUUUGUCAAGGAUCGGGCCAAUCGGAGAACAAUUCUUCAAGGCAAAAGUAGAGGGGGCCCGUUUCCUGUCUCCUGUCUCCGGUGGUCAAGAUGCUCCUUCACGUCAAGUGCUAGGUGUAUCAACACCAUCCACAUCUCGGUGGCAUAGGCACCUAAGGCAUCCUUCAUUACCGGUAGUUUAAAGAAUUCUUCAUGAUUUUCAUCUUCGAGUGUCCAAUAAAAAGGAUCAUCACUUGGUUUGUGAUGCUUGUGAGAUGGCCAAAAGCCAUCAACUUCCGUAUCCUCAAUCAACUAGUGAGUCAAAGGCUCCUUUAGAGCUUGUUUAUUCAAAUGUGUGGGGUCCUGGUCCAAACUUUGUAGGCACACAAAUCUAUUAUGUGAGCUUUAUUGAUAAUUUUAGCAAAUUUAUUUGGAUUUAUUUGCUGAAGAAUAAGUCUGAUGUGUUUGAGAAAUUUCAUCACUUUCAACAACUUGUUGAACGCCUUUUUGAUUGCAAAAUUCUUUCCAUGCAAAUAGACUGGGGUGAAUAUCAAAAGUUUAAUUCCUUUUUUUGAGCACAUUUAUCACUCACCAUGUCUCCUGCCCUCAUGCACACCAACAGAAUGGAUCUGCUGAACAGAAACAUCGACACAUUGUCGAAGUGGGGUUGUCCCUCCUUGCUCGUGCUUUUAUGCCAUUAAAAUUUUGGGAUGAGGCAUUCCUCACCACCGUUUAUCUUGUCAACCAUGUUCCUAGUCAUGUAAUCAAUAAUCAAACCCCUCUUGAGCGUCUUUUUGGCAUCAAACCCAACUACACAUCCCUUCGUAUAUUUUGGUUGUGCAGUGUGGCCAAAUCUCCGUCCUUUCAACAAACAUAAACUCGAAUUUGUCUCCAAACAAAGUGUUUUCAUAGGAUACAACAAUCUUCACAAAGGGUACAAAUGCUUAGAUAUCUCCAACGACCUCGUUUAUAUCUCCCGCGACGUGGUGUUUGAUGAACACAUUUUUCCCUUUGCGACUCUCCAUCCUAAUGCCGGCGCCCAACUCCGCAAGGAACUUGUUCUCCUUCCGUCUCAUCUUCUUCCUACAUCACACUGUUGGGGAACGUCGCAUGGGAAACAAAAAUUUUCCUACGCGCACAAAGACCUAUCAUGGUGAUGUCCAUCUACGAGAGGGGAUGAGUGAUCUACGUACCCUUGUAGAUCGUACAGCAGAAGCGUUAGAGAACGCGGUUGAUGUAGUGGAACGUCCUCACGUCCCUCGAUCCGCCCCACGAACAAUCCCGCGACCAGUCCCACGAUCUAGUANNNNNNNNNNNNNNNNNNNNNNNNNNNNNNNNNNNNNNNNNNNNNNNNNNNNNNNNNNNNNNNNNNNNNNNNNNNNNNNNNNNNNNNNNNNNNNNNNNNNNNNNNNNNNNNNNNNNNNNNNNNNNNNNNNNNNNNNNNNNNNNNNNNNNNNNNNNNNNNNNNNNNNNNNNNNNNNNNNNNNNNNNNNNNNNNNNNNNNNNNNNNNNNNNNNNNNNNNNNNNNNNNNNNNNNNNNNNNNNNNNNNNNNNNNNNNNNNNNNNNNNNNNNNNNNNNNNNNNNNNNNNNNNNNNNNNNNNNNNNNNNNNNNNNNNNNNNNNNNNNNNNNNNNNNNNNNNNNNNNNNNNNNNNNNNNNNNNNNNNNNNNNNNNNNNNNNNNNCUCCGGCAGCGUGACGGCACUCCGGAGGUUGGUGAUGACCUUGUCUCAGCAGGGCUCCGCCCGAGCUCCGCAGAAACGCGAUCUAGAGGAAAAACCGUGGAGGUAUGUGGUCGGGCUGCCGUGGAAAAGUCGUCUCAAAGCAGCCCUAAAACCUCCGUAUAUAUAGGUGGGAGGGAGGGGGGCCUUGCCUUGGGGUCCAAGGACCCUCAAGGGGUCGGCCGAGCCAAGGGGGAGGACUCUCCCCCCCCAAACCGAGUUGGACUAGGUUUGGUGGGAGGGAGUGUUGGGGAACGUCGCAUGGGAAACAAAAAAAAAUUUCCUACGCNGUAACCAACCAUAUAACUCAAAUACGCAUAAAACAACGUCGAACCUUAAGUGUGCAGACCCUGCGGGUUCGAGAACUAUGUCGACAUGACCCGAGUGACUCCUCGGUCAAUAUCCAAUAGCGGGACCUGGAUGCCCAUAUUGGAUCCUACAUAUUCUACGAAGAUCUUAUCGUUUGAACCUCAGUGCCAAGGAUUCAUAUAAUCCCGUAUAUCAUUCCCUUUGUCCUUCGGUAUGUUACUUGCCUGAGAAUCGAUCGUCAGUAUCCGCAUACCUAUUUCAAUCUCGUUUACCGGCAAGUCUCUUUACUCGUUCCGUAAUACAAGAUCCCGCAACUUACACUAAGUCACAUUGCUUGCAAGGCUUGUGUGUGAUGUUGUAUUACCGAGUGGGCCCCGAGAUACCUCUCCGUCACACGGAGUGACAAAUCCCAGUCUCGAUCCAUACUAACUCAACUAACACCUUCGGAGAUACCUGUAGAGCAUCUUUAUAGUCACCCAGUUACGUUGCGACGUUUGAUACACACAAAGCAUUCCUCCGGUGUCAGUGAGUUAUAUGAUCUCAUGGUCAUAGGAACAAAUACUUGACACGCAGAAAACAGUAGCAACAAAAUGACACGAUCAACAUGCUACGUCUAUUAGUUUGGGUCUAGUCCAUCACAUGAUUCUCCUAAUGAUGUGAUCCCGUUAUCAAGUAACAACACUUGCCUAUGGCCAGGAAACCAUGGCCAUCUUUGAUCAACGAGCUAGUCAACUAGAGGCUUACUAGGGACAGUGUUUUGUCUAUGUAUCCACACAAGUAUUGUGUUUCCAAUCAAUACAAUUAUAGCAUGGAUAAUAAACGAUUAUCAUGAACUAAGAAAUAUAAUAAUAACUAAUUUAUUAUUGCCUCUAGGGCAUAUUUCCAACAGUCUCCCACUUGCACUAGAGUCAAUAAUCUAGUUCACAUCACCAUGUGAUUCCAACGAAUCCAACACCCAUAUAGUUAUGGGGUCUGAUCACGUUUUGCUCGUGAGAGAGGUUUUAGUCAACGGUUCUGAAACUUUUAGAUCCGUGCGUUCUUUACAAAUCUUUAUGUCAUCUUAUAGAUGCUACUACUACGUGCUAUUCGGAAAUGCUCCAAAUAUCUACUCUACUAUACGAAUCCGUUUCACUACUCAUAGUUAUUUGGAUUAGUGUCAAAGCUUGCAUCGACGUAACCCUUUAUGACGAACUCUUUAACCACCUCCAUAAUCGAGAAAAAUUCCUUAGUCCAUUAGUUACUAAGGAUAAAUUUUGACCGCUGCUAGUGAUUCAAUCAUGGAUCACUCUCUGUACCUCUCAACAUACUUUGAGUCAAGGCACACAUCAGGUGCGGUACACAACAUGGCAUACUUUAGAUUCUACGGCUAAGGCAUAGAAGACGACCUUCGUCUAUUCUCUUUAUUCUGCCGGGGUCGGGUUUUGAGUCUUACUCAAAUUCACACCUCACAACGCAACCAAGAACUCCUUCUUUGCUGAUCUAGUUUGAACUCCUUCAAAAACUUGUCAAGGCAUGCAUCUUGUUGAAACUUCCAUUAAGCGCUUUCGAUCUAUCUCCAUAGAUCUUUGAUGCUCAACGUUCAAGUAGCGUAAUCCAGGUACUCCUUUGAAAAUUUCUUUCAAACAACCUUGUAUGCUUUACAGAAAUUCUACAUUACUUCUGAUCCACAAUAUGUCAACCACAUAUACCUAUCAGAAAUUCUAUAGUGCUCCCACUCACUUCUUUGGAAAUACAAGUUUCUCAUAAACCUUGUACAAACCCAAAAUCUUUGAUCAUCUCAUCAAAGUGUAUAUUCCAACUCCGAGAUGCUUGCACCAGUCCAUUGAAGGAUCACUGGAGCUUGCAUACUUGCUAGUAUCUUUAGGAUCGACAAAACCUUCUGGUUGUAUCACAUACAAUGUUUGCUCAAGGAAACCGUCGAGAAAACAAUGUUUUGACAUCCUGCGUGCAAUAUUUCAUAAAUAAUGCAUCAACAACUAACAUAAUUCUAACAGACUUUUAGCAUCGCUACGAGUGAGAAAGUCUCAUCAUUGUCAACUGUUUGAUCUUAUCGAAAACAUCUUUGCGACAAGUCGAGCUUUUCUUAAUAGUGACUUAUCACCAUCAUCGUCUGUCUUCUUUUAAAGAUCCAUUUUUACUCAAUAGUCCUAUGACCAUCAAGUAGUUCUACCAAAGUCUACACUUUGUUUUCACACAUGGAUCCUCUCUCGGAUUUCAUGGCUUCCAGCCAUUUGUCAGAAUCUGGGCCCACCAUCGCUUUCUCCAUAACUCGUAGGUUCACUGUUGCUCAACAACAUGACCUCCAAGACAGGGUUACCGUACUACUCUGCAGCAGUACGCGACCUUGUCGACCUACGAGGUUUGUAGUAACUUGAUUCGAAGCUCAAUGAUCAUCAUCAUCAGCUUCCACUUCAAUUGGUGUAGGCGCCACAUGAACAACUUCCUGCGCCCUGCUACACACUGGUUGAAGUGAUGGUUCAAUAACCUCAUCAAGUUCUACUACCCUCCCACUCAAUUCUUUCGAGAGAAACCUUUCCUCGAGAAAGGAUCCGUUUCUAGAAACAAACACUUUGCUUUUGGAUCUGAGAUAGGAGAUGUACCCAACUGUUUUGGAUAUCCUAUGAAGAUGCAUUUAUCCGCUUUGGGUUCGAGCUUAUCAGACUGAAACUUUUUCACAUAAGUGUCGAAGCUCCAAACUUUCAAGAAACGACAGUUUAGAUUUCUCUAAACCUCAGUCUAUACUGUGUCAUCUCAAUGGAAAUACGCGGUACCCUAUUUAAAGUGAAUGCGGUUGUCUUUAAUGCAUAACCCAUAAACGAUAGUGGUAAUUCGAUAAGAGACAUCAUAGUAUGCACCAUACCAAAUAGUGCGUGGCUAUGACGUUCAGACACAUCAUCACACUAUGAUGUUCCAGGUGGCAUGAGCUGCGAAACAAUUUCCACAUUGUCUUAACUGCGUACCAAAACUCGUCACUCAGAUAUUCAUUUCCAUGAUCAUAUCGUAGACAGUUUAUCCUCUUGUUACGACGAACUUCACUCUGAAACGGAAUUGAACUUUUCAACAUUUCAGAUUUGUGAUUCAUUAAGUAAAUACUCAUGUAUCUACUCAAAUCGUCAGUGAAGUAAGAACAUGAUGAUAUCCACUGCGUGCCUCAGCACCCAUUGGACUGCAUACAUCAAAAUGUAUCACUUCCAACAAGUUACUAUCUUAUUUCAUCUUAAUGAAAACAAGGCCUUGCUCAUGUGGUAUGAUUUGCAUGUCACUAGUGAUUCGAAAUCAGGUGAGUACAAAGAUCCAUCAGCAUGGAGCCUCUUCAUGCAAUUUAUACUAACAUGACUCAAGCGGCAGUGCCACAAGUAAGUGGUACUAUCAUCAUUAACUCGUAUCUUUUGGCACCAAUAUUAUGAACAUGUGUAACACUACGAUCGAGAUUCAAUAAACCAUUGAAGGUGAUUAUUCAAGAAAAUAGAGUAACCAUUAUUCUCUUUAAAUGAAUAAUCGUAUUGCAAUAAACACGAUCCAAUCAUGUUCAUGCUUAACGCAAGCACCAAAUAACAAUUAUUUUGGUUUAACACCAAUCCCGAUGGUAGAGGGAGCGUGCGACGUUUGAUCAUAUCAACCUUGGAAACACUUCCAACACGUAUCGUCACCUCGCCUUUAGCUAGUCUCCGUUUAUGCCGUAGCUUUCAUUUCGUGUUACUAAUCACUUAGAAACCGAGCCGGUAUCCAAUACCCUCAUGCUACUAGGAGUACUAGUAAAGUACACAUCAACAUCAUGUAUAUCAAAUAUACUUCUUUCGACUUUUGCCAGCCUUCUUAUCUAUCAAUCAUCUAGAGUUGCUCCACCUCAGUGACUGUUCCCCUCAUUGCGGAAGCACUUAGUCUCGGGUUUUUAAUCUUGGGUCUCUUCAUUAGUGCAGCAACUGUUUUGCCAUUUCACGAAGUAUCCCUUCUAGCCCUUGCCUUUCUUGAAACUUAGUGGUUUUACAAACCAUCAACUAUUGAUGCUCCUUCUUGAUUUCUACUUUCGCAGUGUCAAACAUCGCGAAUCGCUCAAGGAUCAUUGUAUCUAUCCUUGAUAUGUUAUAAUUCAUCACGAAGCUCUCAUAGCUCGGUGGCAGUGUCUUUGGAGAACCAUCACUAUCUCAUCUGGAAGAUUAACUCCCACUUGAUUCAAGUGAUUGCCGUACUCAGACAAUCUGAGCACACACUCAACGAUCGAGCUUUUCUCCUUUACUUUGUGGACAAAGAAUCUUGUCGGAGGUCUUGUACCUCUUAACAAGGGCACAAGCAUGAAAUCACAAUUUCAUCUCUUUAGAACAUCACUUAUGUUCCGCGACGUUUCAAAACGUUUUCGGUGCCUUGCUUCUAAGCCAUUAAGUAUUUUGCACUGAACUAUCGUGUAGUCAUCAGAAACGUAUAUGUCGGAUGUUCACAACAUCCACAGAUGACGCUCGAGGUGCAGCACACCGAGUGGUGCAUUAAGGACAUAAGCCUUCUGCGCAGCAACGAGGACAAUCCUCGGUUUUACAGACUUAGUCUGCAAAGUUUGCUACUAUCAAUUUUCAACUAAAUUUUCUCUAGGAACAUAUAAAAACAGUAGAGCUAUAGCGCAAGCUACAUCGUAAUUCGCAAAGAACAUUAGACUAUGUUCAUGAUAAUUAGUUCAAUUAAUCAUAUUACUUAAGAACUCCCACUCAAAAAGUACAUCUCUCUAGUCAUUUGAGUGGUACAUGAUCCAAAUCCACUAUCUCAAGUCCGAUCAUCACGUGAGUCGAGAAUAGUUUCAGUGGUAAGCAUCUCUAUGCUAAUCAUAUCAACUAUACGAUUCAUGCUCGACCUUUCGGUCUCAUGUGUUCCGAGGCCAUGUAUGCACAUGCUAGGCUCGUCAAGCUUAACCCAAGUGUUCUGCGUGCGCAACUGUUUUGCACCCGUUGUAUGUGAACGUUGAGUCUAUCACACCCGAUCAUCACGUGGUGUCUCGAAACGACGAACUGUAGCAACGGUGCACAGUCGGGGAGAACACAAUUUCGUCUUGAAAUUUUAGUGAGAGAUCACCUCAUAAUGCUACCGUCGUUCUAAGCAAGAUAAGGUGCAUAAAAGGAUUAACAUCACAUGCAAUUCAUAAGUGACAUGAUAUGGCCAUCAUCACGUGCUUCUUGAUCUCCAUCACCAAAGCACCGACACGAUCUUCUUGUCACCGGCGUCACACCAUGAUCUCUAUCAUCAUGAUCUCCAUCAACGUGUCGCCAUUGGGGUUGUCGUGCUACUCAUGCUAUUACUACUAAAGCUACGUCCUAGCAAUAUAGUAAACGCAUCUGCAAGCACAAACGUUAGUUUAAAGACAACCCUAUGGCUCCUGCCGGUUGCCGUACCAUCGACGUGCAAGUCGAUAUUAACUAUUACAACAUGAUCAUCUCAUACAUCCAAUAUAUCACAUCACAUCUUUGGCCAUAUCACAUCACAAGCAUACCCUGCAAAAACAAGUUAGACGUCCUCUAAUUUUGUUGUUGCAUGUUUUACGUGGUGACCAUGGGUAUCUAGUAGGAUCGCAUCUUACUUACGCAAACACCACAAUGGAGAUAUAUGAAUUGCUAUUUAACCUCAUCCAAGGACCUCCUCGGUCAAUUCCGAUUCAACUAAAGUUGGAGAAACUGACACCCGCCAGUCAUCUUUGAGCAACGGAGUUACUCGUAGUGAUGAAACCAGUCUCUCGUAAGCGUACGAGUAAUGUCGGUCCGAGCCGCUUCGAUCCAACAAUACCACGGAAUCAAGAAGAGACUAAGGAGGGCAGCAAUACGCACAUCACCGCCCACAAAAACUUUUGUGUUCUACUCGAGAAUACAUCUACGCAUGAACCUAGCUCAUGAUGCCACUGUUGGGGAACGUCGCAUGGGAAACAAAAAAAAUUUCCUACGCGCACGAAGACCUAUCAUGGUGAUGUCCAUCUAUGAGAGGGGAUGAGUGAUCUACAUACCCUUGUAGAUCGUACAGCAGAAGCGUUAGUGAACGCGGUUGAUGUAGUGGAACGUCCUCACGUCCCUCGAUCCGCCCCGCGAACAAUCCCGCGAUCAGUCCCACGAUCUAGUACCGAACGGACGGCACCUCCGCGUUCAGCACACGUACAGCUCGACGAUGAUCUCGGCCUUCUUGAUCCAGCAAGAGAGACGGAGAGGUAGAAGAGUUCUCCGGCAGCGUGACGGCGCUCCGGAGGUUGGUGAUGAUCUAAUCUCGGCAGGGCUCCGCCCGAGCUCCGCAGAAACGCGAUCUAGAGGAAAAACUGUGGAGGUAUGUGGUCGGGCUGCCGUGGAAAAGUCGUCUCAAAUCAGCCCUAAAACCUCCGUAUAUAUAGGUGGGAGGGAGGGGAGGAGGCAGCCUCAAAACCUAAAGGUUUGGCCGAAAUUGGAGGUGGAGGAGUCCUACUCCAAUCCUAGUUGGAGUAGGAUUCCACCUUCCCACUUGGAAACUCUUUCCACCUUGUGUUUUUUCCUUCUCAAACCUUAUGGGCCUUAGUGGGAACUUAUUCCAGCCCACUAGGGGCUGGUUUAUCUCUUCCCAUAGCCCAUGAGACCCUUUGGGGCGUGACACCCCUCCCGAUGGUCCCCGGCACCCCUCCCGGCACUCCCGGUACACUACCGAUGAGCCCGAAACUUUUCCGGUGACCAAAACAGGACUUCCUAUAUAUCAAUCUUUACCUCCGGACCAUUCCGGAGCUCCUCGUGACGUCCUUGAUCUCAUCCCGGACUCCGAACAACAUUCGNAGGGCAUAUUUCCAACAGGGAGUCCCCCUCCCUUCCCACCUCCUCCCUUUUUUUUCUUUUUCCUUUGAUUUCUUAUCCUUGGCGCAUAGAGCCCUUUUGGGCUGUCCCACCAGCCCACUAAGGGCUGGUGCGCCACCCUUAUGGCCUAUGGGCUUCCCCGGGGUGGGUUGCCCCCCCGGUGAACUCCCAGAACCCAUUCGUCAUUACCGGUACAUUCCCGGUAACUCCGAAAACCUUCCGGUAAUCAAAUGAGGUCAUCCUAUAUAUCAAUCUUCGUUUCCGGACCAUUCCGGAAACCCUCGUGACGUCCGUGAUCUCAUCCGAGACUCCGAACAACAUUCGGUAACCAACCAUAUAACUCAAAUACGUAUAAAACAACGUCGAACCUUAAGUGUGCAGACCCUGCGGGUUCGAGAACUAUGUAGACAUGACCCGAGAGACUCCUCGGUCAAUAUCCAAUAGCGGGACCUGGAUGCCCAUAUUGGAUCCUACAUAUUCUACGAAGAUCUUAUCGUUUGAACCUCAGUGCCAAGGAUUCGUAUAAUCCCAUAUGUCAUUCCCUUUGUCCUUCGGUAUGUUACUUGCCCGAGAUUCGACCGUCAGUAUCCGCAUACCUAUUUCAAUCUCGUUUACCGGCAAGUCUCUUUACUCGUUCCGUAAUACAAGAUCCCGCAACUUACACUAAGUUACAUUGCUUGCAAGGCUUGUGUGUGAUGUUGUAUUACCGAGUGGGCCCCGAGAUACCUCUCCGUCACAUGGAGUGACAAAUCCCAGUCUUGAUCCAUACUAACUCAACUAACACCUUCGGAGAUACCUGUAGAGCAUCUUUAUAGUCACCCAGUUACGUUGCGACGUUUGAUACACACAAAGCAUUCCUCCGGUGUCAGUGAGUUAUAUGAUCUCAUGGUCAUAGGAAUAAAUACUUGACACGCAGAAAACAUCAGCAACAAAAUGACACGACCAACAUGCUACGUCUAUUAGUUUGGGUCUAGUCCAUCACGUGAUUCUCCCAAUGACGUGAUCCAGUUAUCAAGCAACAACACCUUGUUCAUAAUCAGAAGACACUGACUAUCAUCGAUCAACUGGCUAGCCAACUAGAGGCAUGCUAGGGACAGUGUUUUGUCUAUGUAUCCACACAUGUAAAUGAGUCUUCAUUCAAUACAAUUAUAGCAUGGAUAAUAAACUAUUAUCUUGAUACAGGAAUUAUAAUAAUAACUAUACAUUUAUUAUUGCCUCUAGGGCAUAAUUCCAACACACACAUCAUCCAAGGGGGGUUGUAGAUUCUGACAAUACAUCUUUGUCACCUAACCCCGUUGCAAGUGUAGGAAUUUGGAGAAGAAGUUGGAGAUAACUCUCAUGAUUUUAUGGAGCCACCAGACUCCCGAGGGCCAACUGAUGCAGAAGAUCCAGGAGUUGAUCCCGGUACUCCCUCUGGCAGCCGUCUCUCCUCUAGAUCGUGUGCGGGUGCUGCCCCAAGAGAAUCAGGGUGGUCGCUAGGUGGGUCGAUGACCUCAGUGCGUGGUGCGACUCUUCAUGACCAGGUGCCCGCUGCCUCUCAAGAACUACCAGAUCGCAGUUCUGGGGAGGUCCUUCGCUCGGUGGCUCCCGAUUUGCUGCAGUCAGAUUCGACGCUAGCUGCUGCAUCUGAUGACGGCUCCUCUGUGGCUGCAGGAUCCCCUGUCUCACCGUCGUGAAACCUACUGCAACAAAAACUUUUUCGGCCACCUGUUCCUCUCCAGUGCGUCUACAUACCAGGUCACAAAGCGGUAUUUCUAAACCAAAAAUUUACAAAGAUGGCUGCAUUUGUUGGGUCUCCUUUUGUGUCACAGGUAAACCACAAAACCUUGGAGAAGCGCUAGGUUCAUCCAAGUGGCAAGCUGCUAUGGAUGAGGAGUAUGCAGCUCUCAUGGACAACAAAACAUGACAUUUGGUUCCUCCAGCCAAGGGUAGGAAUGUGAUUGACUGCAAGUGGGUUUACAAAGUAAAGAGAAAAUCAGAUGGCACUAUUAACAAGUACAAAGCUCAUUUAGUUCCUAAAGGAUUUAAGCAACGGUAUGGACUUGACUAUGAGGACACUUUUAGCCGUGUAGUAAAAGCUGCUACUAUUAGAUUAAUCUUGCCAUGGCUUAAGGUUUAUGUGGAGAUGCCCCUGGAUGCAAGAAAGGAACAAUGUUGGCUCAAGCUUCAAGCUAGAAGACUCUUCAUUUUAUAUUUGUGAGAAAUCACUUUUUAGUCCAUAGGAAAGCCAAUACUAUUAAAAGGGGGCGAGGUAGUAAAAUGAACUGAUUGCUCAAAUGCUCAAAGUUAGCCACCAAAACACUCAGUUAUUUUUCCCACAUAUCCACUCUUUCAAGAUCCACAUACACAAAUUCGGUGUCACCAACAUUUCCAUAUCGGACCCACUGAGUUUGACCUCAGACACAAACCCUAGCCAUUCCCACCAAAUCGGUGCAACCGAAACCAAGUCGGUGCUACCGAGUUCAGUGUGACCAACAUUCUAUUGCCAAGAUAUAAAAAAUCGGAAUUUUCGAGUUUGAGCAUCGGUGCCACCGAGUUUGGUGAUACGUCCUAAACUUAUCCAUAAUUUUUUGCUUGUGUCAUGCUUGUUUUGCAUCAUUGUCUCAUGUUUCUAUUAGUUUUAUAUCUUUUUCAGCAUUUAUUUGGACUAACCUAUUAAUGUUUGCAAAAGUGGACAAUGUUCUUGUUUUACACUUUGGUGUGUAGUAAUUACUUGGAAAUUGACAAAAAUGCAAAAGGAGUCGUACUGGAGUAGGACUCUGACUUUCCUCAAAUCUACCCCCUACAGAUUUUAGAGAUCGUCUGUUUCUGCCUCGAAGAUGACAUCAAAUGUGAACAUAAUAGAUGUGUAAGUUGUGGGGAAUUUCGAGAGGAACGUUCUGGACUAAACAUUCAUCCAAAACAGAGUUUGUACAUGGUCAGUUGACCCGUUUUACUAAAGGAGGAAAUCUGAUUACGUAAAUCCGAAAUAUUAUGACGUGAUUGACUUUAACUCUUUCCAAACUUGGGGGAUUCGGCCAAGCCACGACUUUGGGGCCUCGUUAGGGCUGAGAGGACUCCCAAGGAAGGUUCUAGAGGUGCCCAAGAGCCCUUGGAUCAAAGGGGCAUCCAUCGGAGGGCCAAGGAUGAUCGUCCCAGCUCAUAUAAGGAGAGGAAAACCCUGAUUUCUGGAGAGCCACCAAGAGCCACGAAAUUUCCUCCUCCCAGGCAUCCGUCUUGGGGUGGAGAACCACCUCCAUAUCAGCACCAUAUCCAAGGAAGAAGGGGGGCUAAGGGCCACCGCCCCAAGGUCCAUGGCCGCCGUCGGCCACCGUCUCCUCUCCGGGCUGCACCUCUCCAUCAACCUCUUGCUCACCAUGGCCAUGUGUGAGUAGCCUCCCUCGGGGCUGAAAGCUCUACGUGUUGCUAUGUGGUUAUCUCUCUCUCCCAUGAUGUGAUCUUGAUCGUGAUCAUAGGCUAUGUUAAUAUUGGGUGAUCUCAUGAUGUUUCUCCUUCUUCUAUGUAUUGGAUUGAUGUACUCACACUACAACAACAACCCCCCUAUAGCAACGCAUUUUUCCGUAUCUAAAAGUCUAUAUAUGCGUUGUUACUAUUUUUACCAACGGUUUGGGAUGCGUUGCCUUAUCCGGUGUUGCUAGCGCAUAAUGCAACGCUUAUAUCAUCGUUGGUAAAAGGAACCGUUGCAAGAAUGCAACACAUAAAAUAAACUUGUGCAACACUUCUAUAUGUUGGUGCUUAACGGAUAGGAAUCAAAAUCCCAUUGCUUGGCAACGAAGAAUUUGCAACGCUUCAAGUGUUGGUUCAUAUAUAAUGUGAAUAAUAAUAUUUUUUAUACAUAUAGCCAGCAAUUUAAAUUAAUGCUUCACGAAAUGAUGAUAAUUAUCAAGUGAAGAAAAACAAGAGAAUAUACUCAUGAGAGGAAGAAAUCAUAUAUUAGAUAAAACUACUUCUUUACAAAUGUGAAUAUUACACAAGGAAAACCAUCCAAAUGGGAUGUAUAAUCUAAAUGGUUUCUGACAGUGAAAUUUAAUUGAAAGCAUCCAUCAACAUCCCUACAACUUUAUUAAAACAUAAUCAAGGAAUAUCGUCCAACAGGAACAUCAUCCGUACAAACUUAUCUAAACUAAAAGCAUAUGUCUUCAUCAUCAUGAACAGGAACAUCAUCAUCAUCAUCAUUGUAGUAUACUUGCUUGUUGCCACACACCGAUAUAAUCAUCCAUUUAUGUUUUGAAUCUACAAAGAAAAUAGAAAAAUGAACUGUUAACACACAAUGCAUUGACAUGAUUUAAGUAGUGAUAGACGCAAGAUAUUAGUCACUUACAAAGGUAUUACGGUUUUUGCGACUCUAUACCAAAUCUUCAAUUUUGAAAAGUGCCAUAUCGACAUGCACUACGCAUAAUUCAUUAGUAAUCUCAGCACCAUCAAGUUCAAAUUUAGGAUCAACUCAUAACUGUAGAAAGAGGUACGUCUCUGUUAUGAUUUUUUAGUCUCACUAAAAAAAUACUUUUGUUCCUGCCUGUUAGAGAAAAACAAAGUUACCAUUGGCACAAUCAUGUUGAGGAAAAUAAUUAAUAGAAAUGAGACAUAUAAUAGAAAAGGUUGAGAGGCCAAGACCUGUCAUGUUUGCAUCUUUUCCUCUACUAUAUGGUAUCUUAUGUUGUCCCAUGAGAUGCCAUCUUCUAUGUCUUUCAAGGGAUAAGAGAUUAUAAGCCAACUAAUGUACCUGCCUGCUAUUUGAAAGACAUACCAAUAUAAAUGGGGCAGGUAAUAAUGAAAGUGUGUAAAGAAUGUAAAAUGCUCAAACCAUGCCACAUAGAAUAAAAUGGAAGGAAUCAAGGAAAAAUAUAAGAAGCCUUUCGGCAUACAACGGCUACAACCCAACAUCACACAUGUCAUAUGGUUAUGAAUACAUUCUUCUACUGGUUAAUCUCAUGAUGUACAUCAUCUAUAAAAUUCUAGGAAGCCUUUCACUACCAACAAAGUAGUUUUGGUGAUGAGUGCUUAAAAUAAUUAAACUUCAUAUGAUGAUUCAGUGCAGAACACAAAUAUAGAGAUUUUUAUUCGAGCAUCAAUAUGGUAUGAGCAACUGCAUAAUUCUAGGGCACCUACUGGAAGAUAUUGAAGCAGUAUGUUUGACCACUAAUCAAGUAACAAAAUAUUACUAUAUCAAUACCUGAGACAUAUUAAGCUAAAAGAUAAAUUAAAUUUACUAAGUUAGUACAAAUAUAACGUAUUAGACAUUGAAAAGAAGCUUUGAGACAUAAGAUCCAUCGUAAAUGAGGUACUCCCAGUACCAACCCAAUGAUUUUGCAUGAAGUGCAGCGAGAACAGCAGGGUGUAUCAACAUUAAUUCAUCUUUACCACCAACUUCUAAUAAAAUAUCCAGUAUAUAUCCAGAUAAACUCUAAAUAGCACAUGUGAGCGGAUAAAUCAAAGGUAGUGACACUAUUAAGAGAAUGAAAAGAUGAGGCAGAUAAAACAAGACUGUAGUAUGUUCGAACAAAUAAUUAGGAUGCCUUGAUGCCUUAUUUUGUAAACUACAAAUAUGUAACAGAUAUAGAUAUGGUGAUAUAAUAAUUAGUUGGAAGUUGCAGCCAUCCAAAAAAUAAUAUUGAAUGUGGGCAGAUGAACGAUGCCAAUAACUGAAAUUACAUAGAAACAAUUGACAUUUUCGAAUGGAAAUUCUUUGCAUUUAGUUAAUAUAUUUUCCUUUUUAUUUUUGCGAUGUAUUAGUACAUGACAUCAUGAUCAAUCAGAAACAUGGAAGUAUUUAUAAAGUAGCCAUAUGCUACAAAUUUACUUCUAUUUUCCCCAUGGUGUAUAUUCCACCUUGUAAAGGAAAAGCACAUCAAGAGAAUAAAGGAGUGAUUCUGUGGAUGUAGCCAAGCAUAGUAUAAAGAGGAAGCAUGGACCUCAAAGUUAGUGUCUAGAAUUUGGUAAACCAGCAGAGAGAACCGUGUAGGUAUAUGUUAUUAAUAAUAGGAGAAGGGGACAACAAUAAAAUUCCAAAAGCCAAGUGGAUAAAUGGAAAACAUCCACGGUACGUUUUGUAUUCCUAGAACACAAACUAGUUCAGCUAUCUCUAAAAAAUACAGAAGUCAGAUACGUUGUAAUAGGUCUAGAAUCAUGUCACUUGACUAAAUUAGUACUACUCGGUUCAGCGUGUAGAAUUUAACUAACAUGUCACUUGACUAAAUAAGUACUACUUGUCUCAACAUAGUUUUAUAAGAAUUUUUAUCUUCUAGUGUAUUUAGGGAUUACACAACAAAUAUUUUCUGAUCAUAAAUCAUAAGUAAAAAGUAAGAUUUGCUUGCGUAAUUCUUCUUUUUGAUAUGACAUGCAGCUCACAUAAACAUCUUCUUAAAUGGAAAGCAUAGCUUGUGGUACAUGUACUCAAUAAUAUUUUCAGAGUUUUGUGACAAGCAACAAUUAUUGAUCAGAAGAUUACCUUCCUUACGCUCUUGAACUCCAGUUGUAGUGGGGAGAAAGCCUUAUGCAGCUCUGGGUGCUAAUGUCACCAGAUGCUGAUGGAUGAUCAUGCGGAGAACUAUGGAUCACAAGCCCUCGGAUCCAACAAGUACUCAGCUUCACCAUGCACUGCACCGAUGUCCUUCUCCCCGAGCGUCACAGCGGCCUACUUGACGGAGUUGUGUAAAGCUGCCAAGCCGCUUCUCAGUUUGUAGUAGCAGAGAACAGAGAGAGGUAGAUGGUCUUUUAAGCGGAAGGAAAUAUGUAAAAAAAGUUACUAAAUUCUGCCUCAAAUAAAAUAGAGGGAGAAACUUUUGGGAUCCUGUCCAUUGCAACAUAUUCAAUGCUUUAGUGUGAUUACAUUUCUCAGCGCCGAGUGGACAUAAUUUGAUACUUUAACCUGCUCUGAAGUCUCGAAAAUGAAUAAGACCAUAUAACGGAUUAGGCCUAAAACAUAUGGCAUCGUAAGCAGAAAGUUGAAAUCCGAAUCAUCAACAUCAACCACCAUACUAAGACAACAAGUCUUAUUAUACAAUCAGUCAAUCACAUAAUCAACGAAUGCACAAUCAAGUUUUACUUCCACCGGCUCGUGAAAAUUUCCUAAGCCAUUACUAGAAUCAGUUCAAUCACAACAAGAGGCUUUAGCUCACCUCCACACCAACUAGAUGUAAUUCAGUUUGUCGGUCAUUAUCAGGGACUGGCAGGCCAUAAGUUGCAAUUCCCAACUUGAUUGAAGUGAAGUAGAGCAUGAUGUAGAAAAAAAAUUGGGAGAAGAGAAGUGUCCCGGCUCACGGCGGAGGCGCGAUCAUGAGGAUGGUUGUAGCUGCAGCUCUCCUCGUAAUCGCAGGCCCAAGUGCAGAGGUAGUAGACGCAGUUGGUAGCAGGAGAGUGAUGACGAAAGGCGGCGCACCGAGAUGGAGGGUCCCAGUGGAUUCGUGAUGAGGGAUGGCGGAUUGGGAUGGAGGGUCGCAUGGGACUGGAGACGAGGGACGGCACGCAGGGGUGGAGGAUCUCCGGCGAGUGGUGAGGGGCGACAUGCCAGGAUGGAGGAUCUCCGGCGAGUGGUGAGGGGCGUGCUCCGGUAUGCAGGUAAGUUGAGGGGCAGCGGGAGGCGUGGGAGUCUAUAGGCUCGAGAGGAAUAGAAGGAGGCUGCUGACAGGGACCAUCUAGGUUAAUCUUGACAACCAACUUGGGCCGGGCUAGAGUAACAGGAGGAGGCCGAGGACAGGUUGUGGCCGGUUGCAAGCUCCAAGCCUGCAACACAUUUGCUACAAUGGUUAUAUAUGCGUAUCUACCAUGAAUUUUGCAACCUAUAAUCAAAACGUUGUAGAAUAUGUGUUGCUUUAUAGGGGGUGUCCUUGUAGUGUCACUUGAUCUUAUCUAGUAUAAUCUCCGAGACCAUGGUGACAACGGUCUAUUGGACAUGAAUUAGAAGAAUAUUUUCAUGAGUGAUUUCCUCUUUUGUGAAUUGAUUGAAGAUUGAGAGUCUCUUGGUGCUUGUCUUUGACUAUCCUUGAGAUAUGUUGUGGUGAUUGUGGUACUCUCUUUGGAUGGCCGCGGCGACAUUGGGAAAUCCAUAGAUGAGAACUACGAACUCUGAGGUGUGCUUUUGUAGACCUACAUAAUUCUCGUCCUCUCUUGAUCACAAAGGAAUGACCUUCGAGUACGUAUCCAUUGCAUGUUUUAGUGGAAAUAUCAUGUGAUUAGACUAUGUUAAUGUUGUUGUGAGUAGUCACUAGUGAAAGUAUGAAGCCUAGGCCUUGUUUUCCACCAUUGAACACCGUUUACUUUCAGUUUUGUUUCAUGUUUGCUUGUUGCCAUUUUUAUUUCAGAUUUACAAUACCUUGUUUUACCAUCCAUAUCACUUGUCUUUUAACAUCUCUUCGCCGAACUAGUGCACCUAUACAACUGACAACUGUAUUAGGUGUGUUGGGGACACAAGAGACUUCUUGUAUCUUAAUUGCAGGGUUGCUUGAGAGAGACCAUCUUCAACCUCUACUUCCCUAAGUUCGAUAAACCUUAGGUCAUCCACUUGAGGGAAAGUGCUGCUGUCCUACAAACCUCUGUGCUUGGAGGCCCAACAUAGUCUACAAGAAUAGAAGCGUGCGUAGACAUCAUUUAGCCAUCUAACCAUUAGUCACCUUUUCGGUGUCACCGAGUUUCAUGUAUAGGUCUCAUCGAGAUUCAAAAGUUCACACCUUUGUGCUAAUCGGUACCACCGAGUUUUUGAUUUCGGCGUCACCGAGUUUGCCCUUUUGUGUGCAACGGUUGGAUUUUGGUUGCUUCCUAUAUAUACCCCUUCAGCCACCUCUUAUUUGUGGGAGAAGCACUCAGAACACACACUUCAUUGGCAGACCAUUUUCUGAGAGAGAACGACCUACUGAUGUGUUGAGACCAAGAUAUUCCAAUCCUAUCAUUUGAAACUUGAUCUCUAGCCUCCCCAAACCGCUUUCCACCAAAUCAACUUCUCCUACCCAUGCAUAUUCUGUGAGAGAGUGAUUUGUGUUGAGGAGACUAUCUUUACAAGCACAAGAGCAAGGAGCUCAUUGAUCUACCACAUCUAUUACCUGUUGGAGGGUGGUGCCUCCUAGAUUGGUUAGGUGUUGCUUGGAAGCCUCCUACUUCGUGUUGUGGAGUUGAACCAAGAUGUUUGUAUUGGCAAGGAGAUCGCCCACUCUGUGAAGAUCUACUUUGAGUAAGGCUAGUCCUCCGUGGACGAAAGCCAUGGUGGAACAGACAAGGCCGCUUCUUUGUGGACCCUCCGUGGACUUUCGCAGCCGUUACCCUCUGUGGGUUGAAGUCUCCACUAACAUGGACGUACGAUAGUGCCACAUAUCAGAACCAUGCCAAAAAUUACCGUGUCAACCUCAUGCAUUUGAUAUCCCUACCUUACUCCUCUACUUUACACUUGCAUGUUCUACUUUUCGCUGCUAUACUGUUAGAAUUGGAUGUGUAGAGUGAACUUGACUUGUUAUAACUGUCGUAGCUUCCUCUCAAGUAAAAUUGAGAAAAUGCAAAAAAUUUAUCUUGUCAAGUAGUCUAAUCACCCCUGUCUAGACAUACUUUCGAUCCUACAAGUGGUACCAUAGCUUUGGUCUCCAUUUCAUUGGUUUAACAACCUAGGAGAGUAUGGCAUCUAGUGAGGGAAAUUAUCAUCAUAGAAGUCCAUAUUUCGAUGGCACUAAUUUUGCUAGUUGGAAGCAUAAAAUGAAAACGCAUAUUCUUGCCUUUAAUCCUCAUGUUUGGGCUGUUAUUCAUGUUGGUGUGCAAGGUAACUUCUUUGGAGAAGGGAAUGAGCCAGAUCAUGAUGCGACAACUGAUGAACUGAAGAUGUUGCAACUUAAUGCUCAAGCCUGCAACAUCAUCUUCAACUGCCUAUGCCCCAAAGGAUUCAACAAAAUCAGUCGUCUUGAGAAUGAAAAAUAAAUUUGGGAUACUUUGGUUGAUAUGCAUGAAGGUACUGAUUCUGUGAGAGAAUCUAAGUUGGAUGUGCUUCAAAGUCAGCUUGACAAGUUCAAGAUGAAGGAUGGUGAAGGUGUCGCUGAAAUGUACUCUAGGCUAGCUCCUCAUCACCAAUGAGAUUGCCGGAUUAGGAAGCGAAGAGAGACGGACAAAUUUAUCAUCAAGAAGAUACUUAGAGCUCUCGAUGGCAAGUAUGACACAAUGUGCACAUUGAUCCAAAUGAUGCCAAAUUACAAAGAUCUCAAGCCAACUAAAGUCAUUGGUAGGAUUGUUGCUCAUGAGAUGUCACUCAAGGACAAAGAUGAGAUGCACAACAAGUCAAGCGGUGCUUAUAAAGCUUCAUGUGAUGCUCCUGCUACUUCAAAGGACAAUCUUGUCAGUGAUGAAGAGAUAAGCCUCAUGGUCAGAAAAUUUAACAAGUUCUAUAAGAGUAGAGACAGAGAGAGAAGCUCAAGCUCUAGACAUGAAGAGAAGAGUUCGUCCAGUCGUGAACGAAACUGCUACAAUUGUGGGAAGCCCGGACACUACUCAAAUGAGUGCUCGACUCCCUAUGAAAGAAGGGAAGACUCACCUCGAAGACGAAGCUCAAGAGAUGAGUCACCUCGCAGAGAGAGAAGGAGUAGAGAAGAUCACUAUGAACGAAGACACUCACGGAGAGGCAAGGAAUCAGAGAAGAAGGACAAAUACACCAAGAGUAGUUCAAGAAGAAGACAUCAAGCUCACGUUGGUGAAUGGGUGUCUCGCUCCGAGUCUGAUCACCACUACGAGAGAAGCUAUCACUCCAUCUCCGACUAUAAUCAAGAUGAAGGUGUUGCCGGCAUUGCACUUGUUUCCACCAACUCCUACGACUUAUAUGAUUCACCAAAUGAGGGAGUCGGAAACUGCUUCACGACGAAAGGCCCCAAGGUAUCACAUCCCGAGUAUCUUGAUUUUAAUAGUGACGAGGACGACUUGUUAGGAGAAGAUGACUUGCUUCUUGAUAAAACUAGUGAUUGCACUAAAAAUGAACUUGCUAAUUAUCAUGCUAGUCAAGAGAAAUCGAAUGAUGAUGAUAAGAAAGAAAUUGAACGACUAACUCAAGAAUUUAAAACUCUUAAGUUAGCUCAUGAGACUACUCUGGAAGAUCAUAGAGAGCUUGCAAGAACCCAUGAGAAGCUACGCUCCGAGAAGCUCAACUUGGAGCAAGAGCAUGAGUUCUUAAAAGCGAUCAAUGAUGAUAUUCGAAAGAAGAGUUCUUCUUAUCUAGCCAAACGAUUCCUCUUGUCCAACUUUGUCUCACAAGUUAAACAUAGGAACACUAGUAACAAAGGCAAGAAGGUUUCUUCAUCUAGUAACAACUAUGCUAAAGCUAAAUCCAAGAAUGUUGUUGCUAGUAGCUCUAUUGAUUCCACUAACGAUUCUCUUAGCCAAGUUACGCUUGAGAAAGGAAAUGAUCUAUUGAAAGGGAUUAUAGAGAAAGGUGUCUUCAAGAGCCUUGCCGGAAGUAAACAAUUCGAGGAAAUUGUGGGCAAGCAAGGAGGACAUCGGAAGAAACAAGAUGUUGGCUACUUCAACGUCAACGGAGAUGAUUGGGAAGAAGGUACAUAUCCCACUCCAAAUUUUGUUCCCCAAGAGGACAAGUGUGAUCCCGCUCCUCCCAAAGGAACAAGCUCACAAGGUGGCCUUCUACACAAGACUACAAAGGCAACGGAAAGCUUCAAGAUGACAUUGAUCUAUUUUAAGAAGAACCCCAAGCCAAGGUCAAGUGGGUUCCCAAGGACACUACUAGCUCUACCUCAACAAGUGUUACCACAACUCCAAGGAUUCCCAUCAAUUUGAUGUGGAUCCCCAAGAGGAAGAACUAGGGAAGUUCUUGAGAGAUGACUCCGCCAAUGAAAUUCACUCUUAUUCAUUUUGGGAAUAGCUAUUUGCAAUCAACCUCAACCAUAUGCAUUAAUUCAAGGAGUCACACAUACCCUCAAAGGUAAGCAAGGAACAAGGUAACUAAUGCAUCGUUGGACAUCAUCCCAUUUGUGUUUCACUCCAUGUCCUUAGAUAUUCUUGCAUACGUUACUCGUGCUUUGCGACUAACCCAUAUAGGUGAGAAGAGUAUGGGAACAACAAGGAUUGCUCCCAACUCAAGAUGAUCGUCAUCAACAUUGAGCAUCCACCACUACUUCACCUACUUGAAGUCUUCUACGACAAAACCCAAGGUUAGUUGAUCCCUCUUAGUGGGGAUGUCAUAUCAAGGGGAUAUUUACUCUAAGACUUGAGUAUAAGCAUCUCCUAAGGACAUGAACACACUAAUGCUUAUGUAAAAGUGGCAACCCCACUUGUGCUUAACGAUGAGUAUGACCUAUGAUCAAGUAUUCUUACUUGGGUCCUAUGUCAAUAUACUCAUAUAGAUGACUUUGUCAUCGCCCAAGUGCUUGAUAGCUGCUAGGAUAUUUGUGAAUGUUCACCAUGUUUUUAUCUAUCAUUCUUAUUGUGUGAGCAUGUUGGUCUGCAUGUGUUUGAUCAUUCGAGGACAUCCAACUCUUGUUAUUUGGCUCUUGAUUUAUCUUUUGCCAAUUGGAUGGACAAGAAUGCCUAGGACCCUUCUCUAGAUAUCUUUGCUAUCUAUCUCAAGUUCUAUUCAUGCUUCAUCACAAAACUUGAACAAGCACUUGUCGAUCCCUCUGUGUGAAGGUGCACUCAGAGUUUCGUAUCGUCAAUGGCUGACCUCCAAAACCUCUAUGUGAAUGAACUCGGUGAAACCAACCUCACAAACUCGGAUCCACUAAAUUCCAGAGUUGUUCUAGGUUUUCCAUCUCGGUACCACCGGAAUCACAAACUCGGUUCCACCGAGUUUCCUUGUCAACUGACAAUAGAGAAACUCGGUGACACCGAUUUCGUAAUCUCGGUGACUCCGUAGGCGAAUGGGUAUAUAUUCCAACAGACCAAAUCUUUGAUUUCACUUCGUCAAAGCUGUUUCAUCCCAAAACCAUGCGCUGCUUCUGGGCCCCUGGUCUCCGCCCUUUAAUCCCCAUGCGUCUCCGUCGUUGGGAAUUGCCGCCGCCGACGGAUUCCUCAUCGUCGUCGCCGCCGUAGCCGGACCACCUCCAAGUUAGGGUAUGGUUCGGAUCCCCUUUGCGUUCCUCCAUCUAAUUCUUACGCAAUGGGAAGAUUUAUCCACAAGCCACCGUGUGCGUCCUCUCCAUCCACCAGAUGAAUCCAUAGAUUAGAGAACUAGGAAAUUUUUAGGGUUAACCAUCCGUAGACCCCAUCUCGUUGCCUCCGAGUUGCAAAACUCGGUGCUACCGAUUUUGGACCUAGGGUUACUAAGAAAUAACUCGGAGAGACCGAGUUGUUAUUUUUGGUUCCACCAAAAUGAUGACCCGGUGACACCAAAAGUUCAAACUCGAUUCCACCGAUAUGUGUUCUGCAGAAAGUUAAAACUAAGGAUUUUUCUGUUCAAAUUUUCAAAAACAUCUGAAUUUCAUGAUGCUCAUCCUUUCUAUCUUUCCUAUAUCCACUUCACAUGUUUUGCUGUUUGCUGCUGAGUUUCUGCUUGCUUGUUAGAUACGUCUGGUUCAGAAGAUAAUCAAAAUGACUUUAGAGAGCAGAGCGUAGAGAUGGACUCAGGCACUAGUCCAAAGAAGUCUGUCUGUGACCCAAGUUCUCCCAGCUCUCAUGGUUUGUCCAAGGCAGCCACCAGGCGGAAGAAGCUAGACUCUGAUGAAGAGGACUCAGACUUUAUGCCAGAGGAAACUUCAGCUCCUUCGAAGGCUCCAAGGAAGGCUGUCAGGAAGGUAACUGCUACCCGUGGUGAUCUGAGAGCACCUGAAUAUGCUAGGAAGAGCACAACACUUACCAGUGAUGUACCUGCCAAGAAGGUUGGUUUGAAGAGGACCAGGAAGAGAACUGUUCAUCUUGUUGGAAGGAAGACUUCAAUGUAUGAAGACCCAGAAGCUGCUGAGGAAGAAGCUCGUGAGGAGAUCCUAGUUCCCCCCAAGAAGAAGAAGCUGAGGCUGCUAGAAAUAGGCCACCACCAGUUCCAUAGCUCAGAACUCAAGCUGAGCAAUUGGCAUUUCUAGUUAGCUCUGUCCAAGGCAUAGAGAAGAAUAUCCAGGAGAUACUACAAAGUCAGGAAAGCCUUGAGACAGUCGUGGAAAGAAAGUUUCAUGACAUGGAUGUGAAGGUUUCUGAGUUGACAACUAUAGUCAAACAACUUCAACAUGAAGUUGACUCACUGGAGAUUCCGCGCUCAGAUGAGGAAGAUGAUGAUGAUGAUGAUGAUGAGGAAGAGACUCCUCCUCCCACCACUACUCAGUUCAGCACCAGGCCUAGGUCAGCCGUUGUACCUGCUCAGGAGACAAGACAGACAUCUUCAGCACAAGCUUCCAGUACUGGAAAACAGUUUUUUGCCAUCUGCUGCUUCUUUGCCGUGUGCUGGCUGAUGGCAAAGAACCUCUUUGCCAUCAGCUACCAGCAACCAGACGGCAAAGAGCAGGCUGAUGCCAAAGAUACUAUUUGCCAUCAGCCAGCUCUUUGCCGUGUGCCAGCUCAUGGCAAAGAGCAUUCAGGCAGACGACAAAGAGCAUGGGCGGCCCACCCAGCAGCCCCUCUCCCCCCUAACGUCCUCUCUCUUUGAUGUACGCUUUUGUCCUCUGUGCCGUCGCGAGGCGGACGGCAAAGAGGGUGCCCCCCUAACGGCCGUUAGCCCCACCCCCACGCGCCUCUCUCUCACCCUAACCCCUCUCUCUCACCCCCGACACCACCACCGCCGCCGCGCCCUCCUCCGGCCUCCCUGCGCUGCCGCCCCUCCUCCUCCGGCCUCCCCACGUCCCCUCCUCCUCCGACCUCCCUGCGCCCCCUCCUCCUCCGGCCUCCCUGCGCCCCCUCCUCCUCCCUCAUCCGGCCUCCGGCCUCCCUGCGCUGCCGCCCCCUCCUCCUCCGGCCUCCCUGCGCCCUCCUCCGGCCUCCCUGUGCCCCCUCCUCCACCACGCCCCGUCCUCCUCCCUGGGACCUCCUCCUCCACCACCGUCGUCGGCGCUCGCCCCUUCUCCACCACCACCCCCUCCGCCACCACCACCGUCUCCUGCACCGCCGCACCCUCCUCCUCCCCGGCCGCCCCCUCCGGUGAGUCCUUUUUUUUUCUUUUUUUGCUAAUUUACAGAUUUAGUUUUGUUUUGUUAAUUAGUGGUAGCUAGAUUAUUGUUAGUAGUUUUAGUGGUAGAUUUAGUUAGGUUAGUAGUUUUAGUUAGGUUAGUUAGUUAGCUUGGUUAGUUAGGUGGACGAGGAGAAGAGGAGAAGAGGAGGAGGAGGAGGACGAGAAGAGGAGAAGAAGAAGAGGAGUAGGAGGAGGAGGAGGAGAAGAAAAAGAAAAAGAAGAAGAAGAAGAAGAGGAGAAGAAAAAAAAUAAGAAGGAGAAGGAGAAGAAGAAGAAGAAGAGAAGAAAAAAUAAGAAGGAGAAGAAGUAAAGAAGAAGAGAAUAAGAAAAAAAAUAAGAAGGAGAAGAAGAGAAAAAAGAAGAAGAAGUUGAUUUUUUAUUGUUUGGUAUUUAGUGGUAGCUAGAUUCUUUUUUAGUUACUUAGUGGUAGAUUCUGUUUUUUUUGCUGUUUAGUGCUAUCUAGGUUUAGCGAUAGGUUUAGUUAGCUUGGUUAGUUAGGUUAGUUAUUUAGUUAGCUUAAUAGAAAGAAUAGGAAGAAGAAGAAGAGGAGGAGGAGGAGAAGAUGAGAAGAGGAGGAGAAGAAGAAGAAGAAGAAGAGGAGGAGGAGGAGAAGACAAAAAUAAUAAGGAGAAGAAGAAAAGAAGAAGAGAAGAAGAAGAGAAGAAGAGAAGAAGAAUACCUUCUCCUCCUCCUUCUUCUCCUCCUUCUUCUCCUCCUCCUCCUUCUCCUUCUUCUUGAUUUCUUCUUCUUCUUCUCCUCCUCCUAUUUCUUCUCCUCUAUCUUAUUCCCCUGACCUUAUUUUCCCCAACAAUGAGAUAAUUAGCCCAUUUAGCUACAAAAUGGCAUAAAAACCUUGGUUAGCUCAUGAAUAUUAUAUUCAUAACUUGUUUUCCUCUAAAAUGACAUAAUUAGAAUAUUUGUGUUGAUCAGGUGGAUUUACAUGUGAUAGUUGUCUCGUCGCUGUGAGGUCUGCUGUGCGAAGACCUGCCCGUGCGUUGUACGAGCUCUGCCCCUGCAUUCGUGGGUGAGUACAAAUUUCAUCUCCUCCCCGCCCCUUCAUUGACUGUGGCUCGGUUUCCAGAUGAAACUUUCUAGAUUUAGGUAAUUAACUUAAUUUAUCAGUAUGCGUGAUCACUAUGCGUCUCCCGUUCGAAAGGGCGACAUCUAUAAAUAUGCAUGUCUUUGCAUAUUUAUAACCGCCAUCCUUUCGAAUUGUCCAACAUUAUCCAUGGACAGCCCGAGUAUGUGUAGAUUGGGUUUUUUUCCCGUAUGCUGUGCUCUGGAUCCGAUGCGGAAUUUCUUCAGUGCCUCCCUAUUGUUCUCCGGAUGCACAUCCUCUCUGUUUAUUGCGGAGAUGUGUAUCAGGAGAACAACGGGGAGGUGCUGCCGAAAUUUUGCGUUGUAUCCGGAGCAGAGUAUGGGAAAACGAACCCAAUCUACACAUACUCGGGUGGGAUUAUGACCUAUCUUGACCUAUUAGCGUGUAGGUUGCCUGGACGUAAUAAAAAAGACGAACCUGAUUAACCGAUGAAUAUACAUGCUAAAUUAUAUAUAAAUAUAUUUCUUCUGUCUUUAGUAGCUACGCAAGAUGAGUGAUCGUGCGAGGAUGUAUACCGGUCACCCUAGUCAGAAAUAGAUGACGAAAGAAUGGUUUGUAAAAACAAAGGAAUUUGUGAAAGCCGCAUUCGCAAAUGGACAGGAAAGAAACUAUUGCCCCUGUCCUGGAUGCGACAACUAUAAAAAGACGACAGAGGCUGUAAUGAUUAAACACCUGCAAAGGAGGAGUUUUAAGCCUAAUUAUACGGUGUGGACAUUUCAUGGUGAGUCUAUGCAACGCACAAGAGCUGAGGUGGUCCGUCGUCGCACGGACGAGCAUGGUACCGGGAUCAAAGACAUGGUGCAAGACUUUGAUGAUGCUCGGGAUUCGGAAGAUGAGAUGGAGGAAUCUGCAAAGGCCUUUUAUGAAAUGUUGGAGUCUUCAAAACAUUCUCUCCAUGAGCACACCGAGCUCUGUCAGCUGGAUGCAAUUGCAGAAGUAAUGGCUCUGAAGGCUCAGUUCAACUUGGGAAGAGAAUGCUACGACGCGAUGAUGACACUAUUUGGACGCUUCCUACCCAAAGGCCAUGUCAUGCUUGCAAACCGGUUCCAGUCGGACAAAAUACUUCGUGUACUUAAGAUGCCCUAUGAGAAGAUAGAUGCAUGCGAGAAAGGAUGUGUCUUAUUUAGGAAGGAGUAUGCACACUUGGACUAUUGUCCCAAUUGCGAGUCUUGCAGGUAUCUUGUGGUAGACAACGGUAUGGGUGAGAAGAGGCAGACCAAAAUCGCAGUUAGUGUUCUUCGGUAUAUGCCAAUCGUACCUAGACUUCAACGUCUUUUCAUGGUCGAAGAGACAGCCAGAUAGAUGACAUGGCACAAAUUGGGCAAAAGAACCGAACUAGAUGCGGAUGGGAAUAAGAUGAUGUUACACACAUCGGAUGGGGAAGCGUGGAAACAUUUCGAUGGAUUGCAUCAGGAUAAAGCGGCAGAUCCAAGGAAUCCUCGAAUCUACGCCGCCACAGAUGGUUUUAAUCCCUUCGGCAUGACGGCAACCCAAUACAGUUGUUGGCCUGUAUUUGUCAUUCCACUCAAUCUCCCCCCAGGCAGAUUAUGCAAAGAAAGAACAUAUUUCUGACGUUGAUAAUUCCAGGGCCCAAUUAUCCAGGGAAGAAUAUGAAUGUGUACCUGCAACCGCUUAAGGAUGAAUUGGAAGAAUCUUGGGAUAAUGGGGUCAAUACAUACGAUGCCGCUAGAAAAGAAAACUUCAAAAUGCAUGUGUGGUACAUGUCAUGGGUAUAAGUCUGACAGUAGAUGUGUAGGGUAUGAAAGGAUGGGCAGAGCCUUAGCUACGGCGAGGUUGUAUGAGUUCAGGCCCCUCUAUGGUGGCGGUAAAAGCCCUACGUAUCAGUGCUCUUGGGAGCUUGUUGUCGAGUGGAAUAUGGAUUACAGUGAAUUGCUAACCCCUGCACCAGUGGGGAAGGGCGGCUUAUAUAGAGUGCGCUGCCCUUCACAACGGUUCGGUGCACAGGGGUGGAGUAGUGGUGAAUAAUUGCCUAUGUUACACGUAACAUAUGUCUUAAAUGCUAAUAAAGGUACAUGGAAACGUAUGACCGUUGCCCUCUAGGGGGGUUACGAUGUACAGAGUGGAAUCCAAUCGGUACGUUUGAUACGCUCCGAAUGCUCAUCUCCGACUGGAGGAUGGAGGGAUCGUCACCGACUGGAUGAUGGGAAGUCCUUAAUUUAGUCGGAACUGACUAAGGGCCUUAUCCCUUAUGAAGGGUAGUCCUUGGGUAGGACCCAUAGGGCAGGCCUAUGACCCUACCCUAGGACUAUAACCCCAUCAUUAGGCCCCGAAUGGAUUGGGGUUGGAACGACGAAGCGAUGCUUGGAGUACGGAUCCGACUGGUAUGGAUGCGACUUUGGCGUUGUUUGCCUCGAUCCAUUUUAUCCUCUUGACCAGAGAUCCGAGUGGAUGUAUUUGUGAAAAGAACCGUCAGGGACUGAGUGCUUCCGCGAAAUCUUUUGACGUGAUCAGUCAACUGACAGCGGCGAAUUUUCUGGGAUCCUCAAAUUUCGGUUGCCGCGCGCUCAGCGGGGAUGUCGACAUCGUAAUCGAGUAGUAUUUGCCGCCUCGAUUUCCGUGCCUUCAUAUCCUCCACUAAUAUCGCAGCAACCGGUUAGGGGAUAAGAUUUCGGGGCCACCUUCUAGUGACCCAGUCGGAACCUUAUUUAAACCUCUACAGCGAGGGUUUUUCGUUUCACUCGCCUGAUAACACGCAUUUGCCUCGCUUCUCUCGUGACCUCCUGCGCAUCCCGAGCUCCUUCCUUCUACUCCUCCCCCUCGGAUCUGCAGCCUCCACCAUGACAAAGGGGCAGACGAGCAAGCUCGAGGCGCGGAAGAAGAAGAAGAAGGCGGCGGCUCCUGCUCAGCGGCGGCAGCGAGCACUGCCGGCGGGUUGGAUCCAGGGGGAUUUCCUCCCCUCCACGGUGACGGAGGAGGACAUGCUGGAGCUGGUGGAGCAGGGCAUGAUCGAGCACAAGACGUGGAGGUUGCCGGUGGAGGGCGAGACCGAGCCGGCACCCCAGGAGGGGGAGCGCGUCUUGCUGCUCAGUCACGUGCACCGAGGCUUCUCUCUGCCUCCUCAUCCCUUCUUCAGAGGUAUAAUGAACCACUUCGGGGCGCAGCUCCACCAUUUUCCUCCCAACGCAAUAGCUCAUCUCUCUGCCUUCGUCGUGCUGUGCGAGUGUUUUAUCGGUUGUCCUCCCCAUUGGGGGCUUUUUAAGCACAUCUUCUCUGCUAGAUCUCAAACCAUCAAAAGACUUAGCCAGUCGGAUGACAAAACUCACCUCCUCCAGCUCUGCGGAGGCUUAGGCUUCCAAAAGAAAAGUAAAAGUAGUUAUCCCGCUCUCUAGUUGUCUGAAUCUGUUAGGAACUGGCAAUCGACUUGGUUCUACUGCCAGGACGUUGCUUGCCCGAAUGCCGCCACUGGACUGCCACCUUUUAGCCUAGACCGACUGGCUCCGCCUAGGCAGCUUGCGCUCACGAAGAUGGAGAAGAUCCAGAUCCAGCCUCUAGUCGAUGCGCUUGUAGAGGUCGUCCGAAAGGGAGUCACUGGCAUAGAUUUGCUGGAGAUUUUUCUGGGUCGGCGUAUCCAGCCUUUGCAAGCUCGACACCACGCCAUGUGGCACUACACGGGGCCUGAGGACUGCACUCGGUCUAACCCCGAGUGCGUGACCGGGGAGCUGGUGGCGUCGUGGGUCCUCAACAUCACAGGCGCCUGCGAUAACCCCAGAGGAGCCCGGCGAGUGAAGCCCUUCCGCGCGGACAACCCUCCUCCGAAUGAGGUGAGUAUAACUUGUCGAGUGCACACAAUUAUCUUAGAUUUAUCGCUUUUUCUUGUAUCACUGUCUGACGUCUGAUGUUGUCGACUGUAUCUCGUGCAGGCGUGGACCAACUGGUUUUCUCCUGUCUCGAACGGGAAUCCGGCCGAGGAAGAGGAAGGAAGCCAGGAGGGCAGCGUGGAGAGCGUCGAGUACGUCUUCGAUAGUGGGGGGACAGAGGAGGAGUCCGAAGAAGAAAAGGAGGAAGAUGAGGAACAGAGCUCGCCACCCCCACCACCAGAGCCUCGGACUAAACGCCGUCACGAACCUGUGGCUCCGUCAGCUCCCCCAGCGGCCUCGAGUGCCCCGCCAGCUCCUCCUGUGGUUCCGAGUGCCUUGCCAGCUUCUCCCAUGGUUCCGAGUACUCGGAGCACAAAAAGGACCAGGGACUCUGCUGCUGAGCCCGCGGGCCAGCCCUCUAAGGUGGCCAAACCGAGUGGAUCCAAGCCUCGGAAGGCUUUGCCGCGGAUGAGGAUCGCCGUUCCCGUCGCCUCAGCAUAAGUAUAUUGUUCUUCUAUCUUCUUCCAGUAUUUGAUUGAACUCAUGCUUAUUGGUUGAGUGAAUUUUACUCGACAGAGCUGCCACCUCCGCCACUUCUGUGCCAUGCCAGGAAGACGAUCCCAUGGAUACGGACAACGUUGCCAUGUCCCAGCAAGGUACGUCGUGGCGACUCCGAGAGCUUACAUUAUUGUUUCACGAAUUCUGUCUUUGGUCUUGCCCUUUUUCCUGUGGUCUCACGUCGUUCGGUCGGGCUUCCUUCAGAGGUGAUUCAUGUGGAGGAUGACGACCAGAAGAGCUCAGAGCAAGCUGCGGCGCCUGUCCUUGAGGUUGUUCCGUCUGUUACUACUCCCGCCAUGGACGUGCCGCCAACCGAGACGAUGCCGUCGACUGAAACGGCGCUUAUCGCUGCUGAACCGACUGGAGCACGACUUGGGAUGCCCAAGGAGUCUCUUGUGGUGCCAGGUCCUAUCCAGUACGACGCCCAGCGCCUCCCGGAAGAUCAGGUGGGAGCUGCCAAGGGGGCCAUGGUGCAGGCGGAGUUGAUGGCGGGUGAUGCCAAGAGAGCGUAUGACUCCAUCGCGUCUGUGUACAAGCGAAGCUUGGAACUCCGGGACGAUAUCCGAGUAAGUGGGCUAGUAAGUAUUUGCUUUCCCCUUGUAACCCACUGGGUGUAUAAGCUAGAUACUCGGAUACAGAAUGAUUAGUUUGCUGUGGGUUCACUCUUAGUGAACCCAGUGGGUGUAGUCCUCGAGACUUCUGUCGAGUGCUUGCACCGGCAGUUGUCUUUAUAUAAAUUUUCUUUAACUUGAUCAGAUCAAAACUAAUCUGUUCGAAUGUUACCGGUGGGGGCAUCCCGAGUGCACCUACUGGAUUAGUCCCCGAGAGUAAUUUUACUCAGGCCGGGUAGUAGUAGCCUCAUAGGCUUCUUUUUGUUAUAUAUCUCAAUAGGGCGGACCUGUUUGAGCUUCAUGCCAGUGGGGUCACUCUUAGUGAACCCACUGGGUGUAGUCCCCGAGACCGCUGUCGACUACGUGCGUCGGCAGGGGUCUGAAGAACUUCGAGUUUGUGUUGUUGUCCUUGUUGAAUUUGUCUGAUCGUCUCUUCGCGCUGACUUGUAGAAGACUUGCGAGAUGGGAUCAGCGUACAACACUCUUAAAGCUGAAAAGAUUCAGUUUGCUGCGGAACUGGAUGCAACAAUGCUUGCCUUGGCUGGUCUGAAGGGUGUUCUGGCUGAACGGGAGAAGUCGUUGGAGGAGUCCCGUGAGGCAAACAAGGCAUUGGUGGCCGAAAUGGAGAAAAUGGGGAAACAAAGAACCGAGCUGAUGGGACAGAUGCAGGUGAUGAACAGGCGGUGUAUAGCACAGGAGAAGUACGUCAGUGACUAGGCAAGGAAGAUGAUUGCGCUUCUCAGUGGUAAGUUCUGUUUUUCCGAAUGCUUCUUGAAUGUGUAUUUCAUUCUGCGCUUACUUUUUGCUCGUCUUGUCUUUGCAGAUUUUUGCAUGGACGCUGAGGCUGAAGCAGCUGACGUUGAGCGGUCGAUUCUUCCGAACGUUCCACUCGGCGAGGACGCCAAUCGAGACAUGCUCCGAGCACACAUUCGCCUGGGCAAAGGGGGACCUUUCAUCGGUCGACUGAGAGAGGUCGUCGGCCGAAUCGACAAGGAGCUAUGGCCCGAAGACGAGUCUCGGCAAGAGAUGGAAGGGUUGAUGACUCGGCUGGAGGAGGCCCCGAACCGAGUGCAGGCGUGGAAGAAGUCUGCGGCUCGCUGUGGUGCGGACGUGGCGCUGUCGCUGGUCCGAGUGCACUGCAAGGAGGCUCGCGAAGAGAAGCUGAAGGCAUUGCAAGUCGCCAACACCAAAAAAGCUUCGAUUCGAAGAUUUCAUGGAGACUUUCCUUGGGAGCGCCACUCGCAUCGUAGACAGGAUCGACCUCGACACUUUCGUGGAGCCUGCCAGUCCCAGUGCCAGUCCUGACGACGCUUGAGAAAACUUUUACCUCGGUAUGCCGAGUGUUAGUUGUAUGAAACUUUGGCCACUGCUGUUGGCCGUCACAUUCGUGGUUCGGUGUGGAUAAGCUUGAUCUACACUGAACCAACCAUCUUUAGACGAACUUUGAAUUUGAAUCGAAUCUUUUGCUCUUCCUUUGGCAAAGAGUUGUUGACACGAUUUUGGCUCGUGGUUUUUGUUUGGCGUUUCUUGGUGAAGCCAAUGGCAAACAUGUGGAGCAUGUAAUUGUCAGUUGUCUUGACAUCUGCAUGAGCCUCACUGAGGGUCUGUUGAGUCUCCGAGUGGAUCUGUAGGAUACACUCGAAGGCAAUUGUGUACUUAGGCGAUUCGUGAUCGCGGCUAAGUCUUCGAGUGCGACUCUAAGGUCGUACUCGGAGCGAGUUGUUACUCAUGUAAUUGUCAGUUGUCUUGGCAUCUACAUGAGCCUCAAUGAGGUUCUGCUACUCAUGUAAUUGUCAGUUGUCUUGACAUCUACAUGAGCCUCAAUGAGGGUCUGCUAAGCCUCCGAGUGGAUCUGUAAGAUACACUCGAAGGAAGCUUUCUAUUUAGGCGAUUCUUGAUCGCAGACAAGUCCCCGAGUGCGACGUUUAGCGCACAUUCGGAGAAAGUUAGUACUUAGGCCAUUCUGGAUCGCAUCUAAGUCCCCGAGUGCGACAUUUAGUGCACACUCAGAGAAAUUUGUACUUAGGCGAUUCUUGAUCACAGCUAAGUCCCCGAGUGCGACGUUUGGUGCACACUCGGAGAAAGUUUGUACUUAGGCGAUUCUUGAUCGCAGCUAAGUCCCCGAGUGCGACGUUUAGUGCACACUCGGAGAAAAUUAGUACUUAGGCUAUUCUGGAUCGCAGCUAAGUCCCCGAGUGCGAAAUUUAGUGCACACUCGAAGAAAGUUUGUACUUAGGCGAUUCUUGAUCGCGGCUAAGUCCCCGAGUGCGACGUUUUGUGCACACUCGAAGAAAGUUUGUACUUAGGCGAUUCUGUAUCGCAGCUAAGUCUCCGAGUGCGACGUUUACUGCACACUCGGAGAAAGUUAGUACUUAGGCGACUCUGGAUCGCAGCUAAUUUUUUUUGAGACCGGAUUCUGCGACCGCGGAAGAAUUUUGAAUAUGGAAAAACUCAAUCUGCUUUGUAUUACUUCAACGAUACUUGUUCUUUACAUUGCUUCAGUCAACGGUCACGUGUAGAAGCACUUCCGGAGAUCUCUGUUCCAUGCUCGCGGCUCGUCCGUUUCCCUGUCGAGGUUGUAGAGUCGAUAUGCUCCGCUGUUCAGCACCUUGGAGAUGAUGAAGGGUCCUUCCGAGGCGGGAGCCAACUUGUGAGGUCUCUGCUGAUCCACUCGGAGCACCAUGUCGCCUGCUUGGAAUGUACGACUCCUGACGUGUCGCACGUGAAAGCGCCGCAGAUCUUGUUGAUAAAUGGUUGAGCGAGUCAGUGCCAUCUCGCGCUCCUCCUCUAGAAGAUCCACUCCGUCUUGCCUUGCUUGUUCUGCUUCAGCUUCGGAGAAGAGUUCAACUCGUGGAGCGUUGUGAAGCAAAUGACUCGGAAGGACUACUUCUGCUCCGUAAACGAGGAAGAACGGGGAUCGCCCUGUAGAUCUAUUUGGGGUUGUGCGGAGACCCCAAAGCAUCGAAGGCAGCUCGGUGACCCAUGCGCCGGCGGCAUGUCCCACUUCUCGCAGGAGUCGAGGUUUCAAACCUUGUAGAAUAAGUCCAUUCGACCGCUAUGCUUGCCCGUUUGUUUGGGGAUGCGCCACAGAUGCAAAAUCCACUCGGAUACCUUAGCCUGUACAGAAACCUUUGAAUCUGUCCGAGUUAAAGUUUGUUCCAUUGUCAGUGAUUAUGCUGUGAGGUACCCGGAAUCUGGAGAUGAUGUCCCUGACAAACUUGAUGGUCGUAAGGGCGUCGAGCUUCUUGAUGGGCUUGGCUUCAAUCCACUUUGUGAACUUGUCGACUGCCACCAACAGAUGUGUGAAUCCCCCUUGGCCUGUCCUGAAUGGACCGACGGUAUCUAAUCCCCAUACUGCAAACGGCCAGACAAGAGGGAUUGUCUUCAACGCAGAUGUUGGCUUGUGGGACUUGUUAGAGUAGAACUGACAGCCUUCACAUCGGUCGACCAUAUCUUUCGCCAUUUCACUCGCCUGGAGCCAGAAGAAGCCAACUCUGAAUGCUUUGGCGACGAUUGCCCUUGAGGAGGCAUGAUGACCGCAGGUUCCCGAGUGAAUUUCUUCCAGGAUUAACUGUCCCUCCUCAGGGGAGAUGCAUCGUUGAAGGACGCCUGAAACGCUUUCUUUGUACAACUGGCCAUCAAUGCCAGUGAACGACUUUGACCUGCGGACGAUCUGUCUGGCUUGGACUUCGUCUUCUGGUAAUUCUUGCCUCAGGAUGUAUGCAAUGAACGGCACAGUCCAAUCGGGGAUGAUAGCAAGAAUCUCCAUGAUCAAAUCAACCACAGCAGGGACUUCGACUUCAGUCGGAUCUGUCGAGCUCUUUGGUUGACUGGUUCCUCUGUAAAAGUAUCUUCUUUAACUGAGGGAAGGUGGAGGUGCUCGAGGCAGACGUCACUCGGGACUGGUCUCCGAGUGGAUCCGAGUUUUGCCAACUCAUCAGCUGCUUGGUUUUUCAGUCGCGGAACAUGGUGGAGUUCCAGACCUUCAAACUUUUUCUCCAGCUUCCUCACUGCAUUGUAGUAUGUGGUCAUGGUGGGGUUCCUGACGUCCCACUCCUUCAUCACUUGAUUAACCACCAAAUCCGAAUCGCCAUAGACCAUCAGGCGACGGACGCCGAGUGCGAUGGCCAUGCGCAGUCCUUAAAGGAGAGCCUCAUACUCUGCCUCGUUGUUGGAGGAAUCAAAGUGUAUCUGCAACACAUACUUGAGUUUGUCACCUUUUGGUGAUACGAUCACAACGCCAGCGCCGAAGCCAUUCAACAUCUUGGACCCAUCGAAGAACAUUGUCCAAUGAGCCGAGUAGAUGUGGGUCGGUUGCUGUUGUUCUACCCAUUCUGCUAUGAAGUCAGCCAGAGCUUGAGACUUUAUAGCUUUCUUGGCCUCGAACUUGAUGUCGCAGUAUAACAUCUCCAUUGCCCACUUCACCACUCGGCCCGAUGCGUUCCGAUUGUGUAUGAUUUCCGACAACGGAGCAUCAGAAACGACAGACACAGAGUGGUCUUGGAAAUAAUGAGCCACCUUCUUCACAGUCAUGUAAAUCCCGUAGAUAAGUUUUUGAUAGUGGGGAUACCUCUGCUUGGAAGGAGUCAGGACGUCGGAGACAUAAUACACUUGCCGCUGAACCUUGUAUGCUUUGCCUUCUUCUUCCCGUUCGACUGUGAGAACAGUGCUGACGACUUGAUUUGUAGCCGCGAUGUACAGAAGAAGGGGUUCUUUACUGAGCGGAGCAGUAAGAACCGGCUGGGUGGAAAGUAGGACUUUGAGGUUGUCGAAUGCGAUUUGGGCUUCGUCUGUCCACUCGAAAGUAUCUGAUUUCUUCAUGAGUCGGUACAGAGGAAGUGGCUUCUCGCCGAGUCGACUGAUAAACCUGCUCAAAGCCGCUAGGCAACCUGUGAGCCUUUGAACAUCGUGUAUUCUGACCGGCCGCUCCAUUCGGACGAUGGUCCGAUCUUUUCGGGGUUGACAUCGAUCCCUCGUUCGGAAACGAAGAAACCGAGUAACUUUCCGCUGGGAACACCGAAUGAACACUUGGCUGGGUUGAGCUUGAUAUCGUACCUAUGAAGGUUGGCGAAUGUUUCUGCCAAGUCAGUCAGCAGGUCGGAACCUUUGCGUGACUUGACUAUGAUAUCGUCCAUAUACGCCUCCACAUUCCGACCGAUCUGGUCGAGGAGGCAUUUUUGGAUCAUGCGCAUAAAGAUUGCUCCUGCAUUCUUUAAACCAAAUGACAUAGUGAUGUAGCAGAAGCACCCGAAUGGGGUGAUGAAGGCUGUUUUGAAUUCAUCGGGGCCAUACAGACAGAUCUGAUGAUAGCCCGAGUAGGCAUCAAGGAAUGACAAACGCUCGCAACCCGCAGUCGAAUCGACAAUUUGAUCGAUGCGGGGGAGCGGAAAAUGGUCUUUCGGGCAGACCUUAUUGAGAUGCUUGAAGUCGAUGCACAUUCGGAGCGACUUGUCCUUCUUGGGCACCAUGACAACAUUGGCGAGCCACUCGGAGUGGUGUACCUCGCGAAUGAAGUUGGCUGCCAAAAGCUUAGCCACCUCUUCUCCGAUUGCCUUCCUCUUGUGCACGGCGGACCAACGCAGGCGUUCUCGGACAGGCCGAGCGGCGGGAUCCACAUGCAGUCGGUGCUCAGCCAACUCCCUGGGUACACCUGGCAUGUCAGCUGGCUUCCAUGCGAAGAUGUCCCAGUUCUCACGGAGGAAUUGGAUGAGCUCGGCUUCCUAUUUAGGAUCGAGGGUGGUGGAGAUGUUCGUCGGGGCAGCGGUGUUGUCCGUCGGGUGGAUGCUGACCUUCUUCGUCUCUCCCGCCGACUGGAAUGCGGACUCCGAAGCUGGCUUCUUCGAACGCAUCAAGUCAGCGGGGUCGACUGUCUUCUUGUACUCGUCAAGCUCGAGGACAGCCAUCUGCUGAUCGGCGAUCCUCGAUCCUUGCUGCAGACACUCCUCGACCCGCUGCUGAUUGCCUAUGAUAGUGAUCACACCUUUCGGGCCUGGCAUCUUCAGCUUCAGGUACACGUAACAUGGACGGGCCAUGAAACGCGCAUACGCCGGGCGGCCCAAAAUUGCGUGGUACGCACUCUGGAAGUCCACCACCUCGAACGUCAGCUUUUCCUUGCGGAAGUUCUUGUCGGAGCCGAAGACGACGUCCAACGCGAUCUGGCCGAGUGACUUGGCCUUUCGUCCAGGGACGACUCCAUGGAACUGCAUGCUGCUCUCACUAAGUUUGGACAUCAGAAUGCCCAUCCCCUUGAGAGUGUUAGCGUACAUGAUGUUCAAGCCACUGCCGCCGUCCAUGAGGACUUUGCGCAGUCGGACUCCUUCCACCACCGGGUCGAUGACCAGAGCCUGCCUCCCUGUGGUGGGUACGUGUGCUGGAUGAUCCGACUGGUCAAAGGUGAUCACAGUCUGAGACCAUUUGAGGAAGGUGGGGUUGGUCGGCGUGGCCAUGUUCACCUCCCUGUUCACCAGCUUCAGUCGACUCUUGCUCUCAACGUCAGCAAAAAUCAUCAGUGUUGCAUGGACUUGGGGGAACGGAUCCUCCUUGUCCUCCUCAUCCUGUUCAUUGUCCUUUUCACUCGGCUGCCCUUCGCCGAACCCCUGGAUCAGGAGGCGACAUUGCCGAGUGGUAUGCUUCGGAUAUAUGGCGUUGCUCUCUUCAUCCAUCUUUGUGUGAAUCGGACAUGGCUGUUCCAGGAUGGGGUUUCUGAACUGCUUCUUCUUGGGGGUGAACUGAGCCUUCCCCUUGCCCUUGAACUUGGCAUUGGUAACGGCUGCGGCCUCUGCCUGCGGAGUGGACGGAGCUUUCUGCUUAUGCUUCCGAGUGCUGUUCCCAUCUCCGACGCUGAAUGAAAUCGCCCAGGGGCUCAUUCUGCUUCUCGACACAGUGCUGGAGCUCCACUAGACCAGCAGGGCGUUUGCAUGUCCCUUCGAACGUCCUGAUGAAGACUCGGGCCAGAUCUGCCCAGCUGUAGAUGCUUGAGGGAGCCAACUGGUUCAGCCACGCUCGUGCCGAGCCGUCGAGCAUCAGAGGGAGGUGUUUCAUGGCGACGUGAUCGUCCCCUCCUCCGAUCUGGACCGGCACUCGGUAGUCGUCCAACCACGUUUCUGUCUUGGAUUCUCCUGUAAACUUGCUGAUCCCCGUCGCCAAUCGGAAGUUGGGAGGGAUGUCAGCCGAACGGAUGGCUCGACUGAAACACUCGAGACCAGAGACGAUGGUCCUGCUUCCACUCGGACGGUCCAUAUCAUGACCAUCGCGGUGGGCCCGGCCCCUGUCGACCCUCCUCUGGGUGAUAUGCCCUCUCGCGUCGGGCCUUGGAUCAUAAGUGUCACCGACUGAACGCCGAUCAUCAUGAUGUCGGGGCCCGUAGGGCCCACCCCAUGGAGGGGUGCGUGAGCGGCGACGAUCUUCGGGAUUCAUGGAAUGGCUGCCUCCCCUGUGUCGCUGAUGAGAACCAGGGCUGUGAACUGACCGAUGCGUGUUCGCGUGAACAGAACUAUUAUGAAUCCUGUUGUGCGACUGGGAGACCGCCGAAUUUUGCUGCUACGCCGUGUGCAGUAGGGCACGGAUUUGCUCGAUCCCUUUGCCAGCCUCUGAAUCAGUCGGCUGGAAGGAAUCGGCUAUCUUGGCGGCGCCAGCCAGGUUGAGGACGGGUGUGUGGAACACCUCCACGUUGCUCCGCCGAGUGUGUCGACUGGCAGAACGGCAGGGCUGACGGCGAGCGCCGGAUGUUUUGCCGACCUCGUGCUCAUUCGGGCCAGUUUGGCGGGGACUUUCAUGGGAGUUGGCCAUCUGCACUUCAGCUGCAGGCCCGCGACCCAAGUACUCGGAAGGAAACUUAGUCGGAACUGAGUCCGAGCGCUGGGACGGCGGCGCAACCACAACCGACUCUAGGACCGCCACUUGUGAGGACGCGUUCUGGCGCGCCUGGGCGUGUUGCACCCAACACUGGAGCCGCGGAUGGCAGGACCGCUUGUUGCGGCACGCGACGGCGGCGUAGGUCGACACCGGAGCCGACUGCUGGAGAAGAAGAAUACCGCGGGCGCCGGCACGGAAGUGCGUAGCCCCGCGACUGGGGAGCGCCUCGAUAUCGAGAGGGGCAUCCCGAAGCCAUGCCGAAUCGUCGACGAUGAAGGAGAGAGCGCCGAAGAGGAUCUCAUGACCCAUGCUCAAAGCUCCACCGGAUGACAUGAUGAAAAGAUGUAGUCGCAAACUCGCCAGAAGUCGCUUAGACGCCUGCCCACGGUGGGCGCCAACUGUCGUGGGUAUAAGUCUGACAGUAGAUGUGUAGGCUACGAAAGGAUGGGCAGAGCCUUAGCUACGGCGAGGUUGUAUGAGUUCAGGCCCCUCUACGGUGGAGGUAAAAUCCCUACAUCUCAGUGCUCUUGGGAGCUUGUUGUCGAGUGGAAUAUGGAUUACAGUGAAUUGCUAACCCCUGCACUAGUGGGGAAGGGUGGCUUAUAUAGAGUGCGCUGCCCUUCACAAUGGUUCCGUGCAUAGGGGUGGAGUAGUGGCGAAUAAAUGCCUACGUUACAGGUAACGUAUGUCUUAAAUGCUAAUAAAAGUACAUGGAAACGUAUGACCGUUGCCCUUCACGGGGGUUACGAUGUAGAGAGUGGAAUCCAGUCAGUACGCUUGAUACGCUCCGAAUGCUCAUCUCCGACUGGAUGAUGGAGGGAUCGUCACCGACUGGAUGAUGGGAAGUCCUUAAUUCAGUCGGAACUGACUAAGGGCCUUAUCCCUUAUGAAGGGUAGUCCUUGGGUAGGGCCCAUAGGGCAGGCCUAUGACCCUACCCUAGGACUAUAACCCCCUCAGUACAUGUACUCUAUGCAUGACUUGCUAGCGUAUGCGCUAUUCUAUGGAUGGUGUGUGCAUGGAAAGUUCCCGUGCCCCCAAUGCAAGGCAGCUCUUCAGUUUCAUUGGUUGCAGGAGGGUCGGAAGUAUUCUUGCUUUGACUUGCAUAGACAGUUCCUGGAUCCUGACCAUCAGUUCAGAAAAGACAAGAAGAACUUUACCAAAGGUAAAGUUGUCAAAAACUUGGCACCACCUGCAUUCAUAGGCCAACAGAUCCUGGAUCAGUUAAACACCCUCGAGCCUGAUCCAGAGCGUCCAGGGUAUUUCAAGGGGUAUAAUUCAAAACACGCCUGGACUCACAAGCCAUGCUUCUGGGAUCUGCCUUACUUCAAAGACCUCCUUCUUCCACACAAUAUCGACAUGAUGCACACUAAAAAGAAUACCGGAGAGGCUAUUUUUGGUACAUUGUUCGACAUAGAUCACUACUAGGAAAAGGCCUGCUAGUGGCGCACCUGUUUUGGCUACUAAUGGCGCACUACAGGUGUGCCACUAGCAUCACGCCAUUAGAAUUUUUUACUAAUGGCGCACCUGUGGUGCGCCAUUAGUAUGUGGUGUACUAAUGGCGCACCAGGCAGUGCGCCAUUAGUAUAGUUCAUGGUGCGCCAUUAGUAUCUUGUAUAGUAAUGGCGCACCAGGCAGUGCGCCAUUAGUAUAGUUCAUGGUGCGCCAUUAGUAUCUUGUAUACUAAUGGCGCACCAGGCAGUGCACCAUUAGUAUAGCUCAUGGUGCGCCAUUAGUAUGCCUCCCAGGGGCCAUAUUUACCCAUGUGCUCUGGCUUACUAAUGGGACACUAGUUGAGGAUGCGCCACUAGUGUGCUUUUGCAGUGCGCCCCUAAAGUGUUGAGUGGUGUGCCACUAGUAUGAAUAUUAGGUAUUAUUUUUUUCUGAUAUUUGCACAGAUUACAAAACAUAUUACUGCAUAGAAUAUAGAGAGCACAACAUAUAAACAACAGAUUUAUCGAAUACAAUAGAAGCUUAGUCUCCGAAUACAAUUCAUCAUAGAGUCUCCGAAUUUAAAAUACCGAACAAUGUUAGAACAAUACAAGUCUUGAGACCGCGAGUAGCGAGUUUGUCUUCACAUUACAAGUCGAUAUCGAUCAUGUAAACUACCAUCACAUAGAAGAGAGUUGCGUCAUCACGAGAAAGACAAGCAAAAUUAUCUAAAGUACAACAUCAUCGACACCAAGCAUGUUACUGAAGCCGUGCCUAGAGAAUCACAUUUGCGUCCUUUGCUUGCUACCCCUGUCCUCGUCUUCUUCCACCUGUUGCGGAAAGGUCAGGAACAAAUUAUGCUCCGGCAGGAAUUUGUGCUAGUUCAAAUUAGCAUACGACACGAUGAAAUCACUUUGAAAGAAAAACUAACAUUGUGAAACAAAUGCAUAUUUUGGGAGAACCUCUACAAUAAAGAAAUCAUCCAAAGAGCUUUCAUAAAGAGAAAAGCAUAAUUACUGAUCCCCCCUAGGCCACUACUACUUUUUGUGUUGGACAACAAAUCGUACGUGACAACUGACAAGACAGUAAGAUGUGUUCGAUUUUAUCAAUGUUUAUAGGCGACAUGGUGUAUGAUGACAUCAAGAAUAUUCAUACUCAUGUCAAAAAAAUCAUACUGAGAACAAUCGAUUUACCUCGUUGAUAACCUUCCUAGAUUUCCGCCCAAUCGUUGAACUUGAAUCAGAGUCUGAUCGCUUGGGUUUCUUUGUUACUGGCUCUUCCAUAUCAUCUUCAUCUCCAUCAUCUGCAAUCAUUUUGUAUUUUGUAUGGAGGUCAGAUUUGCAGUUGGCACUACUAUGCCAAAUAACCAUUUUUUCCAAAUAAAUAUUUCUACGCCGCAUACUUAAUUAAACAAGUCAGAAUGGAAUUUCAAGGCCCAUAAUUCAGAAAAUGUAAAGUUUCUUUACAUUAUCUAGUGAACACCGAAAAAUGAGAAGUAUCUUCGCAAAUCAGAGCACUCUAUAACAUGCAAAAUAAAAAUCAGCAGAAACAAGAGAAAUGUUUACCAUCUUCAUCACCAAAGCCUUCAAAAUCUUCCAUAUCAUCCAUGUCACCCAUCUCGAUAUCAUCACCUUUAGCAUACUCUAUCUCGCCUUCCUGUAUUGGCAAGUGAAUCCACAAUAUAUGGGAAAGAUUGUGAGCAGUGAGAACAUAACAAAAUUAGCUUGAUUAUCAGAGUCUGUACUAUCUUACUUCUUCCUCUUCUAUCUCAGGAGCCAACUCAUCUUUUUCCAUGUCAAGGAUAGUAUCAAACUGCUUGAAGGGGAAAUUAUAAUUUUCACCAUAGACACCCUUCCUCAGGCGCUCCUUUAAUUCACUUUCUGUGACCCUCGCACUCUUUUCUGUGACCCAAGUUUCGUUAGUUAUCAUAAAUCAAAUAGGGACAAGACUGUUAAAGAAAAAAUAUUUGGUAAUACUUUCACAAAAAUAUAGACGCAUACGCAUAUCCGGAAUAAUAUAGACGCAUACGCAUAUCCGGAAUAUAGCUUCUUGAGAUAUACUCCUUGAUAUAUAGACAGUAAACGUAUGAGUAUUUAACUCUAGCUUUUGUGUGGUAAUACUUUUAGGUCUGACUAUCUUGUGAUGGUGAUUCUAGCAAAGAUAGGAAAGGUAAUGAUGCAGCAAAAAUGAUGGGAGCGACUCUCAACAUUCAGAAACAUUCAGAUUUCAUAGUUUAAGAAAGAAGCUUGCACGACAGUAAGCUAAAAAGAAGGCUGCUGCUGUUCAACAGGAACAAGAGACAUUUGUGGCGACCCAAGUUGGGGGAACUCAGUGUUGUAAGUAACAGCAGGAGCAUACAAAGGUUGAAUGGUGUACACGCCUCCAUUAAAACCAAAUCCAGGAUCAAAUCUUUGCAUAUACCUGAAAUUGCCAUUCAACAGUGAGGAAACUUGUCAUAAAAAUUUAGUCAAAAAAGGAUAUGUAUGUCCUUGUAAUGAAAAUGAGAAUAUGAUUAAUAAGGCUAAGUAUCUUGGCUAUGUAUAUGCACUUCUGUAGAGUAAGAUUAACAGGUGUCUGAAACAGUAAGAUUGCAUUUCAUCUUUCAUCAAAAUACACAUGAAAUGUUUUGAUUUUGUAAAGUAAGAACACUAGGCAAACCAAGAAGGAUAGCAAUUCUUUGUCAAUGUUUACCUCAAGGAACCAGACGGAAUCAUUCAAGGAAACACCCUUCUCAACAAUCAAUAUCUUCUAAUCAUUUACAAGAAUUGCUAAGUGCGACUUGGAUGCAGGCUGUGCUCCAAGUACUGUUGGCACAAUCCUGCAACAAAACAAAUAGUUGAAUGACCAUCAAGUAAGAACCAAGGACAUUAUAAGCACGACAAGAACAAAAAUGAGAAGUACAAUACCUUUGUAAACAUUCUUACAGUUGUAACUAUUAUGGAUGCCAUAUACAGUUGUACAUAUACCUUUGUAACUAUUAUGGAUGCCAUUCUGAAAACCUUCUUUGUAAACAUGCAACCAUGUCAUAAAUGGUAAAAAGCAAGUAACAAACAUUGGUGUGGCAGGAACAUCUUAUUACAUCUUUAUGGGAACAACAGGGAAUACCCCCUAGGAAAUAAUUAUAUUGCAACAUAUAUAGUACAUCAACCUUACAUGAGUAUCCAUGGGGCAAGAACAUUCACAGAUUUCUGAAAACUGUCCUCUCUGAACUUGCCAUUUUCAUCAACGACCAGGUAUAAGCCAUCACCUCCAGCAGGAAAUACAUAGUGCUGGAGAGGUGUAGGUCGAUAGUCAGUGUAUACUAUAUGACAAGGUUGCUUAUGUACCUAAGAAACAAAAUCAUACUACCGUCAUUAUGCAGAACACAUAUAUGCUGAAAAUAUAGAUGGAUGGUUGACCAUGUAGUGCAUUGUAGCAAACAUAUAUUUAUGUGCAUCAACAGAAUGAUGUUUAUGUGUGUGUCCCUUAAAUUAAUCACACCAUGUUUCUAUUUGGAUAAAUAGGAUCUAGGGGAACAACAACCACUUUCAUGCAGAUAUUAUUUACACGUAUCUAAGUCCCAAGCAAUUCGACACACUCUUUGACUGCCAUCAAAUUUCAGAACGUCAAAAGAAAAGAAUAGCAUUCCAGCUAAAAUGAAAGUUUGUAUUAUAAAGCAUAAACAUAAAUUCUGUAACACAAGCUACAUAUUACAAACUCUGAAGUCAAACCCCACAACAAUCUUUUUGCUAGAAGCAUAACGAUUUUAGGGAAGAUAGGUAAAACUAAAGGAAAUCUAUCUCCUCUGAUAAGAUCGCACACAAGUGAAAGUAAAAAGACUUGAGUGAGUCAAGCUAGAAGCACCAUAACUAAAAAAUGUGCAAAGAAGUGAAAAUGCUAUGUGUGCAAGUGCAUACAUAUAUUGUAAACUAUUUUGUAUUGCAUACUUAUCAGAAAUUAGAAGAAUGGAAAUUAGUUUAAUUAUUUCAAUUCAAGCAAGAAACAUAAAAUACAGUUCACACUAGCAUAUGUGAACUAGUACAAUAGUGUGCCAGAUAACAACAUACUGUUGAUCUGCAGAAAAUAACAUAGUUCUCCAUACUUCACAAUAUUAAAGCCAAACAUUUAGUUACAGAAGUCACAUUCGACACACAUAUAAACAUGAUGGGACGGUAGCAGCAAUGCAGGACUCACUAAGAAUGGUUAAAAAAAUGCAGAAACAGUUCAAAUAUGUGGACCACUAAUUAUGAAUUCAGACAGUGAUUUCAAGAUACUUACGCAUCCUUGUGAAGUUUACAACUGCUGAAUAUAGCACUGGCGAUAUGGCAGGCAAAACAAACAUAGGCAUCACUCGUAUUGCCCUCAUUUGCCAAGCGAGAUCUUCGUCUCUUGUCAUCACGAUGGCAUAACCUACAGCCACAGCCUGAGAAUAGGACCAACUAUUAAGAAGGCACAAAUUAUUUGCUGGAUACUUAGUACAAAAAUAGCCAUUACUAAUCUAAUAUAUAUGUAACCCAUAGAAGUGCAGCACUCAAUAAUUCACAUAACUAGAGGAUCGCAGAGGCAAACUGUGAAUCCCCAAACAGACUCUCACCACAGCAUAAGAGGAAACCAGUGUUUCCUUCUCAGCAGAUACUCAAAAAUAAACCCUCUUAGCAAUCCUACUUAGUGUUGUUCUAAUGAUACCUCAAAUACACCAAACUGCAACUAGAUUAUAAAUAUUGUUCCUGGAAAUACACAAAUUGCGCAACAUUGGUUUCUUAUGCAUUGACAAUCUAAACAUAUAAUUAAACAUACAUCAAUUUCUACUUUGAAAACAGUAGCACACAACUGAACAUUUUGGGAAGGUGUACAUAGUAAUAACUCCAAAAGGAAAGGAAUGAACAAAUAGUAUUGACUUGUGAACAUGAAUAUCUGACAGAACAAUCAUAGCCAAAAUCUGUGCAUCUCCUCCCAGUAAGAAGAUCUACUCUAGAAUCUAUGAACCAGAAACGCAGUGUAUCCGCCCAUGUGGCCAACUGGCCAUGUCUAAUCAGCAUGGAUGAUCCCGAACUUUCAAAGCACUUUGUCUACUUCGUUCCAACAAAGCUGGUUCGCUUUUAACCUCCGGGGAAAAUAUAACACCCCAAUCGCAUGUUCACAACCUCGCACAUGACCGCGUACGCGCAUGCACAGAAGCACGGAAAUAAAAAGAAAAACUCCCAACGUUCGACUGAGAAAACAUUGAGGCAGCCAAAUCUCCGAGCGUGAACAAAUGGAAUCACCGCGAAUCCAAACCUAGGCGCAUCCACGGCUGCUAGAACAGACCAUGAUCAUCUCAGAUAUGGCAUCCACACGCGUAGUAAAUUGGAGAAGGAACAAAGAGCAGGAUGGUUAGGGGAUUUGGCGACCUCGGUGACGACGGAGAGGACGAUGAUGUUGUGGACGGUGCGGCGGGAGAACUGGGUCCGGCGGCGCAUCCGCGCGUGCACGGCGGCCUCCUCCUUGGACAGGUACUGCAGGUGUUUCUCGUAGUCCUCGCGGCCGCCGAAGAUCCCGCGCCACAUCCUCCCCAGCACCCCACCUCCCGCCUUCUUCUCCCCCUCCGCCUUCCCCUUGCCCUUGGCCUCGACCGGCUCGCCUUCUCUGUCCGCUGGCGUGGAAGCCAUUGUCGGGGCUCGCGGAUCUGCGUGCAGCGGGAUCCGAUAGGGAGGGUGGUUCGGCGUCCAGGUGGGGUGGGUGGGGAAAUGAGGACGAUGGAUGGAACGCACGCGUCCAACCACACAAGCAGUAGAAUGGGUUAGCAAUGGCGCACCCCCGAGCGGUGCACCAUUAGAUUUUUUUAUAGCAAUGGCGCAUCCCCAGGCAGUGCGCCAUUAGUANNNNNNNNNNNNNNNNNNNNNNNNNNNNNNNNNNNNNNNNNNNNNNNNNNNNNNNNNNNNNNNNNNNNNNNNNNNNNNNNNNNNNNNNNNNNNNNNNNNNNNNNNNNNNNNNNNNNNNNNNNNNNNNNNNNNNNNNNNNNNNNNNNNNNNNNNNNNNNNNNNNNNNNNNNNNNNNNNNNNNNNNNNNNNNNNNNNNNNNNNNNNNNNNNNNNNNNNNNNNNNNNNNNNNNNNNNNNNNNNNNNNNNNNNNNNNNNNNNNNNNNNNNNNNNNNNNNNNNNNNNNNNNNNNNNNNNNNNNNNNNNNNNNNNNNNNNNNNNNNNNNNNNNNGGCAGUGCGCCAUUAGUAAAUUUUUUUCAUAUAGCAAUGGCGCAUUCCAAAGAGUUGCGCCAUUAGUAAUCUUUUUUUUGGAUAGCAAUGGCGCACCCUGGAGAGAUGCGCCAUUAGUAAUAUAUUUUUUGAAUAGCAAUGGCGCUCGGGGGGAGGGAGGGGUGGGUUGUGCGCUCGACCGAUUCCGUUCGGGGGAACCGAGCGAGGAGACAGGGGAGGGUGCGGGNAUGGCGCACCAGCUGGUGGUGCGCCAUUAGUAGUUUUACAAUAAAUAAAUAAAUAAAUAAAUACAUAUAGUAGUGGCGCACCACCUACAAAUGCGCCAUUAGUAACCCUGGUUACUAAUGGCGCACCAGCUGGUGAUGCGCCAUUAGUAGUUUUGCAAAAAAAAAGUAGUAGUGGCGCACUGGAUGAGUGAUGCGCCAUUACUAGUUAAACUAGUAAUGGCGCACUCUGCCCCGGUGCGCCAUUAGUACUUUUGCAAUUUUUUUUAUAGUAGUGGCGCACCGAGUGUGUGGUGCGCCAUUAGUGUCCAUCACACUAAUGGCACACCUGCACAUGGUGCGCCACUGCUAUAUAGUAGUGGCGCACUACUUGUGUGGUGUGCCAUUAGUGUCUAUAUCAUCUAUAGCCCUUUUCCUAGUAGUGGAUGGGAAGACAAAGGAUAAUAUUAAGGCUAGAGUCGAUCAAGAGACACUAUGUCAUAGACCGUUACAAAACUUACGAGAAGGCAAAGGAAAGCAGAAGUGGUCGAAGCCAAAGGCCUGGUUCAAUCUUGGAAGGCCAACUAUGAGGGAAAUUAUCUUGUGGGUCAAAAUGCACUUGAUGUUCCCCGAUGGGUAUGCAGCGAAUCUAAAGAGGGGAGCGAGUCUUGAAAAAUUAAAAAUCUUUGGUCUCAAGAGUCAUGAUUGGCACAUAUGGCUAGAGCGGGUAAUGUCGGUGAUGUUACGUGGCUUUAUUCCUGAGGAUGAAUGGCUAGUACUGGCGGAGCUGAGCUAUUUCUUCCGUGUUCUUUGUGCGAAAGAAUUGUCGCCUCGCGUGGUAGAAGACAUGGAGGAGUUUGCAGCGGAUUUGUUGUGCAAGUUAGAGAAGAUCUUUCCACCGGGCUUCUUUAAUCCAAUGCAGCAUUUGAUUUUACAUCUACCGACCGAGGCAACAUUGGGUGGGCCCGUGCAAGAUCGUUGGUGCUAUGCAACUGAGAGGAUGCAGAAGACCCUUCAAGCUAAAUGUAAAAAUAAGCGUAGAAUUGAAGCAUCGAUGGCUGAGGCAUUCAUUACUGAGGAGGUGGCAAACUUUGUGACAACACACUACGAAGCCAAAAAUCAUGAUUUGCAUAAUCCGAAGCCUCGACACAAUGAUCCAGACCCUAAAAAAGGUGGGUCCAACCUCAGCCUAUUCAAAGGGAAGCUCGCACCAGCCGGUGCUUCGAAACCAAUAACGUUGGAUGUCGAAGAAUGGUGGAACAUUUCGUUGUAUAUCUUCAAUAACCUAACAGAAGUGCGGCCGUACAUCGAGUGAGUUCUCGGCACAUUUGCCCGUAAUUCUAAUUCAUUUGAACCGCUCUUAUUCCCGGAUAUUUCAAACAACCGUUACGUCGCCAAAUUCUCGGAUGGAGCGGUGAUCGAAAAUGAUUCCGUCGAAGAGUAUGAGCUUCUGUCAAAGACAGGAGGCGACUAUCCUGGUUUCAUCCCUUGGUUCAAACAAACGGUAAUUAUCAAUAAUGGAGCAUUUCAUUUCUUGGUCUAACUUGCGGAUAAUGCAACAAUCGUUUCGUAUUAAACUUGUAGGCUAAUUCAGAGUCUAUGGACACCGAAUUGAGACAAGUCACUAAUGGUUUUGACUAUAAGGUCCGUUCAUUUGAGAAAUACAACAUCAACAUGUAUCUCUUUCGUACCUUUGGCAAAGAGCUAUCUAUGCCCGACCAGAAAUCUACAAACUGUGGUGUCUGUGCUAUCGGCGAAGGUGUUAUCAAGUAUUAUGGAAGAGUUGAAGCAAUUUAUGAACUUAAAUUCUAUGGUGAAAACCCACCGAACCUCGUAGUCUUCAAAUGUUAUUGGUUCCAGCCGAAGAAGACUAGAAGGACUCAUGAACAUAUAGGACUAGUCGAAAUCAAUCCAAACACCCAUUUAGAUGUUCCCGAUGUCUAUAUUACGGCUCAACAGGCGACCCAAGUUUUCUAUCUACCGUGGGUAUGCCAAACAGAUAAGAAUCUGGAAGGUUGGUAUGUUGUUUAUGAAGUGCCUCCACAUGUCAGACCACCUCUCCCAAAUGAAUAGGAUUAUGAACCUCACAUUAACCCAGACACAUAUGAUGGAUAAUUCUUCCAAGAAACACGUCUUUCCAAGAAACGUUUCAAGAACCGCCGUGCUUCACCCAAGAACAUGGAAGUAGACAGCGACAAUGAAUCCGACUCCAGCCCUGAGCCGGAACGAGAAGACCUGGAACUCGUAGAGGUUACUGAUGCGGAUGACCUGUCAAUGCUUCAACGAUUAAAGGAAGGCCUUUCACAACUUCACGCCGUUGAACCCGAUGAGCACGUCAUUCAUGAAGACAUGCGUGAUAGUGAUGAUGAUGAUGCAUUUAUUGAUGAUGAUUAUUAGUUUGUAAGAUUCACAACUUAAAUUAUAUAUACUUUAAUCUUUAUAUAUACUUUAAUCUUUAUUAUUCAUGUACAUAUUAUUAUUCAUGUCAGUUAUUCAAUUUUUUUAUGUUGUACUAAUUUCUUUUAAUCUUUAUCAUGGCAGGUCACCAGGUGUGGAAAGAUGGUGCGCACUGGUCCAGAUCGCUCGACGGGUUCUUCCGAGGCGCCCCGCACGAGGGGUGGUACUUCCCUUCCACCCCUAUCUCUCCGUAGAGCCUUGGCAGACAGUCCGUCGACACCACCCGUGGGUUCUUCUUCGUCGGCGGCAUUGCCCACUGGGAGAGGUGCUGGUCGGGUAGGGAAGAAGGGGAAGGGUACAGGGAGAGGUGGUGGCCGCGGAAGAUCCAGGAGGACUAUUGAGCCGUCCUCGCCACCACCACCAGCUCAUUCACCCGAGCAUAGGACUACUAUGGUCGACCCGUUUGCGGAGGAGGCUACGGGGACUCCGUUCCAGGAGCCUGGUGUUGACGGGCAUUCAUCCCAUGAGACUCUGGUCCAGGAGCAGCCUCGGGUCGAGGUGCAUUCGUCUCACGAGACUACGGUUCCGGAGGCUUCACCCGACGUGGAGAGGCCCGGAUGGGAGACCUGGCCGGAUCAUACCGAGUUGCCGGAUUGGACCGAGGGUCCGGGUGGCUCAGGGGGCGGGGAUGGUGGGGAUGAGCUUACGGAUAGUGAGGGCGAUGUGCAGGUGGACGGGGCCACUGUGUACAAGCGUGGUAGUACACGUCUCCCGGUCGCGCCGGCUACCCGCGAGCAGAGGCCGUUGAUUAAACCUGAAGGAGAUAGGUAAGUACAUUUACUCUUUUUUUAGCUUUUGCCUUGAAGUUUGUUCAAAUAUCUAAUGUGUUGACCUUAUCAUACUGCAGGGGAUGGGUACACCCUCUUGGAGUCCGCAGGCCGAACUCCGUCCUUGGUCUGCUUUGCCGGACAAAUUUCCCGGGGUUUGUCACGUUGCCUGGUGAGGGUCAGGUUCCUACACUAGGAUUUUCCUGGGAGCACUACGAGGCUGCGCAAGCCCCGCCGGAGGAGAUUAUAGAUGGUGCCUUGUGCCACACGAGGGCCGAGAUGGUGAUCAAGAGCUUUUGGGUAAAUUAUCCUUUUAUAGAAUCUAAAAUUAACAAUAUAGCUAAUUAUUGUACUAAUCGGUGUUUUCAUGUUUCAUUGCAGACCUUCUAUAGGUGUGAGGAUGGAUAUGAGGAGGAGGAGGCCAGGGUUCUCGAGGCCGAGUGUAGGCGGUUACUACAGAACUUGCGCCACGAGGCUUGGCCGUAGGCUAUUCGAGAUUAAUACACCACGCGUGGUAUUAAGAAGCAGAAGAAGGAUUGCCGCGGAAAGUUUCUGAAGAAGGAGCAAUACAUGAAUGUAAUUACCUAUUCUUAAGUCUUUCUACGUAGUUUUCUUGAUUUCAUUCAUAGGCGUAGCGCUGAAAAUUCUUUCUAAUAACUUACAGGUGCCCCCGAGAUGGUGUGCGGAUAAGAUGGAUUGUUGGGAGGCGUUGGUUGAUGAGUGGUGCACAGGCAGCUGGCGAACCGUCCACGAGAAUGCGAAGGAUCGACGGAGCCAAAUGGUUGGUGUGCCACAGCAUCAAGGCAGCGCCAACUUACUUCAGUUCAGACGAAACUGGGUAUGUGAUUUGCUUCAUGAUUCAUGCAAUUCAUUCUUGAUGCUAAUAUUUUGUUCCUCUCUUUUAGGCGCAUCACAAUAAGACGGAGAUGCCACACUUGUACGACCUUUAUGGCAUGGCCCAUACUGCCUCGUACAAGAAGGCGAAGGCAUUCUCUUAGUCUGACCUGGAUGAUCCCAAUAACUUCACCAACAUAUCAUCCCACCAGAAGCUCGUGGCAUACAAGGACGCGUGGAAAGCUACGAAAGGGGAUGACUUUAACCCUAGCCAGGAACCUUUGGAUCCAGAGCUGGUGAUGAUAUCUAGUGGCGGGAGGCCCCAUGACUCGAUAGCCAUUGGAGAUGGGAUACUACGUUGUCCACUCACUCUCCUGGAGAUCAAGGCGCGCCAGUCGAGCAGCUGUCCUGAGAUAAUGCGUCGUCCACGACCAGUUGAUCUUGCCAUCGAGGUUAGUUGUAUGGACUAAGAACACUUUCAUCCAUUUCAUUAUGUGUGUCACCAUAGAUCAUUACUGUGGCAACGAGGAAUGGUGUUUCAGGCUGCUCUUCAGAAAGAGAGAUUGGCAAACCAGACUGCUCUUGAGAAAGAGAGAUUGGCAAGCCAGGCUGCUCUUGAGGCUGCUCUUGAGAAAGAGAGAUUGGCAAGUCAGGCUGCUCUUGAUGAGAGGGACCAGACCACGACACGAUUGAUUGAGGAGGAGAGGUCCCGGAAUGAGGCGGGUCAACGGGCCCUGCACGAGCUUUUUGUGGUAAGAUUUUUUCACAUUAGCCAAAUCAUGUGUGUAAUGUGUGUUUCAUUACUAACUAAUACGACCAACUCUUCAGGGUCUGUGCGAGAAGAGCGGUCAAGUCCCUCCGCCGAUGCCCGUCUUCUCUUUGAUUGGCACGGUGAGUUUCAUUAUAAACUAGUAUUAAUAAUUGAGUGUCAUCAUGCUAACUGAGACAUUGCAAAAUAUCUAUUCUGCAGAAUAACUCCCGAGCGGCAUCGCACGACCCUUCUCGAGGUGUUCCUCCUCCUUGAUGACCACUACGGUAAGUUCUCUUCUCCUCUUUCAUAUUCUCCUUGCCUUAAUUUUCCCAACAAUGACAUAGUUAGCCCAUUUAGCUCCAAAAAGACAUAAUUAGCCCAUUUAGCUCCAAAAUGACAUAAUAAGAUCAAAAUGGCAUAAGAACCUUGGUUAGCUCAUUAAUAUUAUAUACUUAGCUUGUUUUCCUCUAAAAUGAGAUAAUUAGCCCAUUUAGCUCCAAAAAGACAUAGUUAGGUAAUUUAGCUCCAAGAAGAGGAGAAGAGGAGAAGAAAUAGGAAAAAUGAAAAGAUAGAAGAAGAAGAAGAAGGAGAAGGAGGAGGAGGAGGAGGAGGAGAAGGAGGAGAAUGCCAAGGACCUUCUAGUCCUUCUCCUCCUUCUCCUCCUCCUUCUCCUCCUUCUUCUUGAUUUCUUAUUCUUCUUCUCCUCCUCCUCUUUCUUCUCCUAUUUCAUAUUCUCCUUGCCUUAAUUUCCUGAACAAUGACAUAAUUAGCCCAUUUAGCUCCAAAAUGCCAUAAUAACCUCAAAAUGGCAUAAGAACCUUGGUUAGCUCAUUAAUAUUAUAUACUUAGCUUGUUUUCCUCUAAAAUGGGAUAAUUAGCCCAUUUAGCUCCAAAAAGACAUAAUUAGGUAAUUUAGCUCCAACAAGAGNNNNNNNNNNNNNNNNNNNNNNNNNNNNNNNNNNNNNNNNNNNNNNNNNNNNNNNNNNNNNNNNNNNNNNNNNNNNNNNNNNNNNNNNNNNNNNNNNNNNNNNNNNNNNNNNNNNNNNNNNNNNNNNNNNNNNNNNNNNNNNNNNNNNNNNNNNNNNNNNNNNNNNNNNNNNNNNNNNNNNNNNNNNNNNNNNNNNNCAACAAGAGGAGAAGAGGUGAAUAAAUAGGAAAAAUGAAAAGAAAGAAGAAGAAGAUGAAGAAGAGAAGAAGGAGAAGGAGGAGGAGGAGGAGAAGGAGGAGAAGGCCAAGGACCUUCUAGUCCUUCUCCUCCUUCUUCUUGAUUUCUUCUUCUUCUCCUCCUCCUCCUCUUUCUUCUCCUAUUUUAUAUUCUCCUUGCCUUAAUUUCCCGAACAAUGACAUAAUUAGCCCAUUUAGCUCCAAAAUGCCAUAAUAACCUCAAAAUGGCUUAAGAAGCUUGGUUAGCUCAUUAGUAUUAUAUACUUAGCUUGUUUUCCUCUAAAAUGGGAUAAUUAGCCCAUUUAGCUCCAAAAAGGCAUAAUUAGGUAAUUUAGCUCCAACAAGAGGAGAAGAGGAGAAUAAAUAGGAAAAAUGAAAAGAAAGAAGAAGAAGACGAAGAAGAAGAGAAGAAGGAGAAGGAGGACGAGGAGAAGGAGGAGAAGGCCAAGGACCUUCUAGUCCUUCUCCUCCUUUUUCUUGAUUUAUUCUUCUUCUCCUCCUCCUCCUCUUUCUUCUCCUCUUUCAUAUUAUCCUUGCUUCAAUUUCCCCAACAAUGACNNNNNNNNNNNNNNNNNNNNNNNNNNNNNNNNNNNNNNNNNNNNNNNNNNNNNNNNNNNNNNNNNNNNNNNNNNNNNNNNNNNNNNNNNNNNNNNNNNNNNNNNNNNNNNNNNNNNNNNNNNNNNNNNNNNNNNNNNNNNNNNNNNNNNNNNNNNNNNNNNNNNNNNNNNNNNNNNNNNNNNNNNNNNNNNNNNNNNNNNNNNNNNNNNNNNNNNNNNNNNNNNNNNNNNNNNNNNNNNNNNNNNNNNNNNNNNNNNNNNNNNNNNNNNNNNNNNNNNNNNNNNNNNNNNNNNNNNNNNNNNNNNNNNNNNNNNNNNNNNNNNNNNNNNNNNNNNNNNNNNNNNNNNNNNNNNNNNNNNNNNNNNNNNNNNNNNNNNNNNNNNNNNNNNNNNNNNNNNNNNGGAGAAGAAAUAGGAAAAUGACAAGAAAGAAGAAGAAGAAGAAGACGAAGAAGAAGAAGAAGAAGAGACGAAGGAGAAGGAGGAGGAGGAGGAGGAGAAGGCCAAGGACCUUCUAGUCCUUCUCCUCCUCCUCCUUCUCCUCCUUGUCCUCCUUCUUCUUGAUUUCUUCUUCUUCUCCUCCUCCUCCUCUUUCUUCUCCUCUUUCAUAUUAUCCUUGCUUUAAUUUCCCNNNNNNNNNNNNNNNNNNNNNNNNNNNNNNNNNNNNNNNNNNNNNNNNNNNNNNNNNNNNNNNNNNNNNNNNNNNNNNNNNNNNNNNNNNNNNNNNNNNNNNNNNNNNNNNNNNNNNNNNNNNNNNNNNNNNNNNNNNNNNNNNNNNNNNNNNNNNNNNNNNNNNNNNNNNNNNNNNNNNNNNNNNNNNNNNNNNNNNNNNNNNNNNNNNNNNNNNNNNNNNNNNNNNNNNNNNNNNNNNNNNNNNNNNNNNNNNNNNNNNNNNNNNNNNNNNNNNNNNNNNNNNNNNNNNNNNNNNNNNNNNNNNNNNNNNNNNNNNNNNNNNNNNNNNNNNNNNNNNNNNNNNNNNNNNNNNNNNNNNNNNNNNNNNNNNNNNNNNNNNNNNNNNNNNNNGGAGAAGAAAUAGGAAAAAUGGAAAGAAAGAAGAAGAAAAGAUGAAGAAGAAGAAGAAGAGAAGGAGAAGGAGGAGGAGGAGGAGGAGAAGGCCAAGGACCUUCUAGUCCUUCUCCUCCUCCUCCUUCUCCUCCUUCUCCUGCUUCUUCUUGAUUUCUUCUUCUUCACCUCCUCCUCCUCUUUCUUCUAAUCUUUCAUAUUGUCCUUGCUUUAAUUUCCCCAACAAUGACAUAAUUAGCCCNAGCUGGCAGACGGCAAAGGUGCCACAUGGCACCCAACUGUGCAUCCUGGGGUGUCUAUAUUGGCUGUUUGCCGUCUGCUUCUAGGGCGGGCAGACGCAAAAGAAGAGGGCACGGAGGAGGGAAGGAGGAGGAGGCAGACAACAAAGAGUGGAAGGGGGAGGAGGAGGAGGCAGACGGCAAAGNNNNNNNNNNNNNNNNNNNNNNNNNNNNNNNNNNNNNNNNNNNNNNNNNNNNNNNNNNNNNNNNNNNNNNNNNNNNNNNNNNNNNNNNNNNNNNNNNNNNNNNNNNNNNNNNNNNNNNNNNNNNNNNNNNNNNNNNNNNNNNNNNNNNNNNNNNNNNNNNNNNNNNNNNNNNNNNNNNNNNNNNNNNNNNNNNNNNNNNNNNNNNNNNNNNNNNNNNNNNNNNNNNNNNNNNNNNNNNNNNNNNNNNNNNNNNNNNNNNNNNNNNNNNNNNNNNNNNNNNNNNNNNNNNNNNNNNNNNNNNNNNNNNNNNNNNNNNNNNNNNNNNGGAGGCAGACGGCAAAGCCUCCGUUAACCCCUAACGGAGGCAACGCCUGUCGGCUGCCGUCUCGAGCACUUUGCCGACCGCUCCUAUGAAAAGCUGAAGGCAAAGCUCUUUGCCGUCCGCUUUGGGGAGACACAUGGCAAAGAAGGUACGAUGCCGUCGUAGGCUGACGCAGAAAUUUUGCUGGCCGUGAGAAUCUUUGCCGUCUAUGGUAUUCUCUUUGCCGUCCGGGAUUUACUCUUCGCCGUCUGUGAUGGCAGACGGCAAAGAAGCUGAUUCCUGUAGUGUUCAUCACCUUCAGGACCAGCACCUUCAGUAUCAACUCCUGCAGCUCCAGGACAUUCAACAGAAGCCUUCGCGGGUGCUCUUUUGUCGACUCCAUCAUCAAGUGCCCAGAGAGACGAGUAGUUCUAUACUUUUGAACUUUUUGGUAACUUUUUGCCAAAGGCGUAGAAAUGUAUAGAUCAUAGUUUGAGAGAGAGAGAGAGAGAGCUUUUGACUUUAUUUCCUCUCAUUUGGUUUUAAAAACUUUUGUCUUUUGGAUGCCUUUAUCCUAUUUGUGUGAUUUAUCAUACGCUUUAUCUUGUUUGAUGCUACACUAUUAUCUCUUAGCUAUCUUUGUGAUGACCAUUCACUUAUCUUGUUGGCGCCAUGUGCAUUGCUAUUCAUUCCUAUUUUGUAUCCGCACCAUCAAGAUGUAUGUGACAUGGAAGAGUGACCCAUGAUCCUAAUAGAUUGUGCAUUUGCAUUCAAACGCGAAUUUUAAAUAAUGCACAAAUUUAGGGGGAGCUCUUGCUUUUCACAUACUUCUCAAAGCGUCGAUGCUAACAAUUGAUUAUAUCUAUUGUCGAGGCUUUGAUCUAUAUGUUGUCAUCAAUUACCAAAAAGGGGGAGAUUGAAAGCAAAAUUGCUCCCUAGGGUGGUUUUGAUAAUUUAUCACAACAUAUGCAUCAUUGGACUAAUAUGUUUUCCAAGUAUAUUUCAGAAAAAGUUCAAAAGAUGCCAUGGCUUAAGCUUUAUGUGGAGAUGCCCCUGUAUGCAAGAAAGGAACAAUGUUGGCUCAAGCUUCAAGCUAGAAGACUCUUCAUUUCAUAUUUGUGAGAAAUCACUUUUGAGUCCAUAGGAAAGCCAAUACUAUUAAAAGGGGGUGAGGUAGUUGUGACAGCCCGAUGCCGACGUUCCAGAAGAUUCCCCUUCUAUUCCGUUUUCGACGUGUGGUUAUUUUUAUUUGUCACAUCAUGCGCAUCAUCAGCAUUGCAUCAGCAUCUCCGUUGCCGCCAGUUUUCAACUUGCAUCCGUUAGUAGUUGUCGGUUCUCGUCGUUGUCCAUUCUGAGCCCGACCACACUCGCACGCGCCCGCGGCAUCUUCGAAUCUUGUUUUUAAAAGUGUGUUGAAAACUUUCUCCGAUUCGGUUGGAACGUGGCGUGCGGUAUUAAUAUAUUAUAGGUAGACCGCCUGCCAAUUUUCGUCGUAAUCGGAGUCCGUCUGGUACCCGAACGGUCGACCGUAGCGGCACCGUAUUCGGUCUAUCGUCAGACUUUUUACGCUGUUUUAAAACCCCGAUGCCGGGCUGCCCGUUUUCCCUCUCAUCUCCGCCUAGCCUCUCUGCACAGUGCACCGACCUGCACGCAACCUAGUUCGAAAACCUCCCAGAACCCGAACCCGGCGGUCGUGACCGUUGGAUCCGGAUCAACCCCGUUUUUUUUGACCGGCUACUGUAGGGAAAACACCCCACAACCUUUUUUCUUUUAUUCCCAUAUGCAAGAGUUAUAUGUACAAGAAGAGGUUAGGAUGUACAAGGGGGUUGGGGAGCUAUGAAUACAAACCUCGAGGAGGCAAAAAGGAAAUCCAUUUAAGGAGAUCAUCCCUAAAACUAGCAUUAAUCCUAUGGGCUAACAGGGAAAUGUCAUGAAUAAAGCUGGAUCUCCAUUUCCUUAAUCUCGGCUGCUCCUGGUUGAACACCUUGGCAUUUCUGACAGUCCAGGUGUUCCAACAUGCAGUGAACACCACCUCAGCAAAAAAGGGGUACUGGAAGUCUCUCUUGGCAGCCAAAGCAGAACUCCACAUGGAUUGACCCUGCCAUGUGAUCUGCAGGUAGGUCCAUACCCUGGUGCUGAAAAGACAGUUGAAGAAAAGGUGAUCUCUGUCCUCUUUAACUCUGGCAUGGCAUAAAACACAGAGGUUGGAGUCUGAAACAUUCCAAUGGCACCGUUCAAGCAUGUCCUGGGUGCUGAGCCUAUCCAUGAUUAGCAUCUAGGCAAACAUCUUGAUCUUCAUUGUACAACAGCUCUUCCAGAUCCAGUUCAGUAAAGGGUUUGGAGUAAUAGUGCUGUGGAUAUGAGUAUAGUAUCGCUUGGCCGUGUAGGCCUUAGCAUCCUUACCCCAUACCCACAUAUCAGAAGCCUAGGGAUUCAACACCAGGUCUUGAAGCAGGGAGUUGACAGAAAGUAGCUCAUGGUAAGCCUGAGCAGAGAGUGGUAGAUGGAACAUAUUGAGCAUACUUACAUCAUGAAAGGAUUUAAAAACCUCCUCAGCUGUGCAGAAAGGAUCAGUGACAAAGGAGAAGAGCCUUUGGAAUAUAGCAGCCAAAGGCCUAGUAGAAUUUCCAACCAACCAGGAGUCAGACCAAAACAGGAAAGUGUCACCCUUGUUAGGCUGAACAUAUGUAACUGAUCUGAACUUCUCAAGCCUUUUGCAGAUAUCCUUCCACCAAAAUGAGCCACAAAGAGUAGUUCCCUGAGGGACUGUGUUAUGGUAGUAAGUGUUCCAUAUUAAGUGAACCCAUGGGAUAUCAGCCUUAUUUAGAAAUUUGUCAACAUUCUUGAGCAGAAGGGCUUCAUUCUGGAUUGCUAGAUUCAUAAUGCCUAAACCCCCUUUAUGUUUGGGUCUGCACACUAGAUUCCAGGCAGCAGGGAGGGUGCAUGACCUUGACCAUUUUUCCUCCGAAGGAAUUGCCUUUGAAUUCUUUCAAGCUGUUUUAGUAUGCCUGGUGGAAUAUCCAAACUGCAUAGAAAGAAGAUUGGAACAGAGGACAGUGCUGAGUUUAAAUACUGCAACCUUCCCCCUGGGCCAGGAAGGAUGAACUAGCACUUAGUCUUCUCUCCAUGUUGUCAACCAGUGGCAUGAGAUCAAUAAUUCUUGGUUUAGUUGUCCCCACUAGAAGCCCAAGGUAUGUGAAGGGUAAUGAUCCUACCUUACAACCAAUGGAGUCAGCAAGGGCUUGGAGAUUCUCUUGAGAAAUGUUGACAGGCAGAAGGGCAGACUUAUGAUAAUUCAGUUGGAGCCCAGUGGAUUGGGAGAAGAGCAAGAGCAUUUGCUUGAACUGAAGUAGUUGAGUUUCUUCAGCAGGGAGGAUGAUAAGGGUAUCAUCAGCAUAUUGGACUAUAGGGAAAUCCUUAUCAUGGCAAGGGAUGGGCAGCUGAAUUAGUCCAUCCACCAACAUCGUGUUAACCAUGGUCUGCAAAAAGUCUGCAGCAAUUGCAAAAAGCAGUGGGGACAUGGGAUCUCCCUGCCUGACCCCUUUCUUGCACAUGAAUUUCCUUCCAGGCACUCCAUUGACCAGGACAGAGGAAGAGCCAGAAGUGAGGAGCUGCUGUACCCAAAGUAUCCAUUUAUCAUUGAAUCUUUUCUGUUUGAGAAUCUGAAAGAUAAACUCAUGUUCCGCAGAAUCAAAAGCCUUUUCAAAGUCCAGCUUGAGAAUAACUAUAGGCUUUUUGGAUUGAUGACAUUGAUGCAGGUAUUCAAGAGUCCAGCCAACAAAAUCUUGUAUGGUUCUAGACUUGAUAAAGCCAUUCUGAUUCUUGUGAAUACACUUCAUGAUCUGCAACUGCAAUCUGUUGGCUAUCAUCUUAGACAAAAACUUGAGGCCCAUCCCAGUGAGGGAGAUAGGUCUGUAGUCUCCCACUUGCUGAGGUGAUCUCUUUUUGGGAAUCAGAGUAAUAUAGGAAGAAUUCAUGUUCUCCAACUUAGCAGUACCAGCAUGGAAGGCAACAGCAAGUUGAUAAAACUUAGGACAAAUAAUAGACCAGCAUUUCUUAAAGAAGAGGCCAUUAAAGCCAUCAGGUCCAGGAGCUUUGUCAAUUGGCAUUUCCUGAACAGUUUUAUCCAUUUCAGAUUUAGAAAAGCUAUGUGAGGACAUCAAGACCAUCCACCUUUUGGAUCAGAGACUAUAGAUGAAAGGCCAUGCUAAUUCUAAGGGAAGUUCCCAUUCUGUCCUUGAAGGAUGCCGAGAAACACCCAACAAUUUGGUCAUGAUUAGAAAUAAUGGAUCCAUCAUUUAACUUAAGAGAAGCAAUGGAGUUCCUCCUAUAUCUCUCAGUUGCCAUAGCAUGGAAAAUUUUGGUGUUUUCCUCACCUACUUUGACAAAUCUGAUAGUGGCUCUCUUUUUCCAGUAUAGGAACUGAAGGUGCAGGAGGUGCUCCAGGUGCAACUUUACAAUGCUCCUGAAGUUGGCUUCAGGUCUGAAUAGGGCCUUAAUUCCUCAAGUUCAUCCAAACAUAACACAACAUGGUUGCAUCGAGAGAUGAAAAUUUUUAGUUGGGACAAGUUUGUCUGCCAUCUCUUCAGAGCCCGCCUGAGAUGUUUCAACUUAUCCAUAAUGAUGGCAGUAAUGUGAGCCUUCUUAGAAGGAAUAACCCAUGACUUUUGGACAUAGUCCAUGAAGCCCUCCAUUUCAACCCAGUAGUUCUCAAAUCGAAAGAGGUUGCACUUAGGGAUGGAGGUGUUGAUAGUAACCACACAUGGAACAUGAUCAGAAGAUGUUUUUGCAAGGGGAAGCACUUGUGUAAGAGGGUAUGAAGAGAUCCGAUUGGCUGAUGUGAAGAACCAGUCAAGUUGCUCAAGAAGAGGGGAAUCUUGCAUAUUGGACCAAGUGAAUGAUCUGCCCUUAAUGGGUAGUUCCAGUAAACCAAGAUGACCAAUGAUCUCAUUGAAGAUGAACAUAUCGUUUACAUCAGCCCCAUGGAGGUUUCUGUUAUCAGGUGAUCGAAUGAAAUUAAAGUCUCCAAGUAGGAACCAGUUAGCAACAGCAGGUAUAUGAAGAUUAUACAACCAGCUAACAAAGAGAUCUCUAGCUUCACCCUGACAAGGACCAUAGACAUUCACUAAAGUCCAGGAUUCUCCAGUAUGAUUUGAUGUGAAUGAGAUGAUCAAUCCAAAAGGUGUGCACUCCACUAAAGCACCAGUAAGAAUGGAUGAGUUCCAGAGUGUUAUAAGGUCCCCGGAUGCUCCCCGGGAAGGGGAGUAAGCAAAUUGAUCAAAAUGUUUAGGACAGAAACACCUCACUGUCCGGAAAUCAAUGGACUGCAUUUUAGUUUCUUGCAAGCACACUACAGCAGCCAGGCUCUCAUCAAUCUUGUUACGAAUCGCACAUUGCCUGUGAUCGUAAUUUAGGCCACGAAUAUUCCAACAAAGAACAUGCCAACUUCUCGUAGAACGACUAUCCAUAGAAAGAUAUAUAUAAGGCAAAAGCAGGGAUAUGUAAUAGCCCUUGCAAUCGAGGUUCAGUUAGCCAUAAAACAACGCAAACAGUAGUCUGACGAAACAUGGAGCCGGUAUAGCAAAUAUAUAACAUAAGUUGACUAAACAUCUGCAGAUGAUGGUUUGAGAUCAGCUGGAUCUUCCAUAAGACGAUCCACGGUCAACUUCUCAGGAGCGAUGCCAAGCCGCUGACCGACAUCCUGAAUCACCGGGAUAGGAGUGGCAGGUGGAAUCUGUUCGUCUUGAGCAGUAGACUCAUGCGCCGGAGAAGGCAUGGGCUUGGCUUUGGGCUUCUGCUUCUUUGGGACGUGCGCUGGCAACUCCUGCAACACAUGCUUGAAACCAUCCCUCUUGAUGGAGCCUCGUGUGCAUCGGCGAAUAGAGGAGUCGACAACAGGCGUGGCCUUCUUACGGGCCCCUCUCUUCAUCACAACACGUGAUUGGAAGGAAAAAGAUUCCUCAGCAGAUGAAGAGGGGCUGACAGGGAUUACCUCUGCUGAAGAAAGAAGAGUGCAUUCUCGCGCUGUUGGCGCCAGCUCUGGGUCAGAGCUAUCAAAGGCCAUCGUCCAAGACCGCUUGGGAAUCAGAAUGGGCGUUGCCAUUGGCAUCUGUAGCUGGCGAGGGACAUGCAAGGUGGUGGCUGUCCCCAUGAGUGCUUCAAAUGAUCGGGACCAGGAAAGUACUGGCGGUAGAGGAGGCCCGUAAAAAACCUUGACAGCCAAAACAAAGAUAUUCUCAGACUGAACCUGUGGGGGCUUGUAUGGGACGAUCGCCAGGGGAUUGUUGUCAGGCGCCUCGUCCUCCACCGGCACGUCUUCCUCCGGCUCAGUAGCAUCAACUUGGACAUCAGCCGCCUCCUCAGCAUUAGGGGCAGCAGGGUCAGCGGCCACCAUCGCAGCCAUACCGGGAACAGGGGGAGCAGGGUCAGCGGCAACCUCCUCAAUGUCACCCUAGGGUUGUGGGUCUAAGCCCACCAGUUCAUGAACCGAAUCCGAAGAAGAGGGACUGGGCUGAUGGAUCACCAUGGACUCCUAGUCUUGUGCAGCAGCAGCAGGUUGCGCUUCUGGGGCCGCCUCAGGCUCCCAUCCUCCUCCAUCAUCAGCAGCAGCUGGUUACCCCCAUCCCCCUCCAUCAGCAGCAUCAGGUACUAUUCGCUCAGGUUCAGGGGGGCACAUCAUUCCAUCCCAGAGCAGGGUACGGGGGCAGUGCAAACAAGAGGUUGUCGUUGACAAGCUAGCCGGGACACGGAUGGGGGUUGCCAUUGAGGGGCAUUGGAUCUUCGUCGUGGGGCAUCAGCUCAGUAGGCGCCGACCCCACGAUGUAAACAGGUGCAGACCAAGACACCUUCACACCACCCCAAGCAGCAUACUCUGAAAAGUUGAUACUGUGAGGUACUAGUCGAUCACCUGGAAAAGAUGCAAACACGAUGGAGCGAACCAAGUAGGGAUCAUCGCUGACCCAAUGAUGGAACUCUUCGAAAGUGUUUACUGCAGCCCGGAGGUCGUUGGUGUUGCGGAAAUCUAGAGGGACUCCCAGGAGCAUCAGACACCCCUGCCGAAAACCCUCUUGGCCUCUGAAGCCAAGUCCUUCAUUGUGGCGCAUGAAACGAACUAUAGUUUUGUGCGCCAAUGCCUGCGGAACCAUCUGGACAGCAGCAAAGCUUUUGGCCGCAUCUCGGAGUUCGAACAGCCCCACACCCUCGAUCCAUGGCUGUGCUGAUCAAACAUGAAGACCCCUAUGAUGAAGAAUAGCGACCACCUCUUGCCGUACCUGGACCAUGAUAUAUGCUGGAGGUGCAGGGAGCACCUCUGCGAUGACGAACUGCUCAUGACGCCUGGUUAUUGGGAUGGCAGGAGUGGUGUAGGUCCGAGGUAGCCGGUCGGGACCGCAGUCGAUGAUGUUGUGGCCCGGCGAGAGGAAGCGUUCCGGAUCAAGCUCAAAGUUCUCCAUUGUGGGAGGAGACGGCAGCGUGGGAGGCGGUGUCUUAGAGGGAGUUCGAGGAUGUGACGGCGACGAGACAGGGAGGAACUGUGUUGCAUGCGGUGCGGUUUCUCCAAGAGUAUCGGCAGUUCUCGAGAUAUCAGCGACAUGGGAGGUGGUGGGUCUCUUGCAUUUCCAAGUAAGACAAUUAUUACGCAUAAAGGAAGCGCAUCUAGAUCGUGUGUGGCCCACGUCUCUGUCAGCGCAUCCAGGCGAAGUCGUGCAGUUGGCAGCUAGAUGUCCCCGAGAGUUGCAAAUAGAGCAAGAGAAAAUCUCUGUAACCAUGCCACUAAUAAGCUCAUCAAAGGCCAGAUGCGCUUCUUGUGAGGAGGGAAUAUCCAUCUUACUAUUGGACUCGGGCCGAGGUGAAGAAGUAAUGUCGGAAGGUUCAUUAAUGAGCGUAGAAGUCGGCCCAGUAUCCAAACUCUCCACCGAAGUUUGAUUCUCAGAAUUCGAAACCCCAUGAUUCUCGGCGGGAUCAGCUGUAGCUCCGUCAGACUAAGGAGAAUUUCUGUUACACUUGGUAAUUUAAAAAUCAGGCCCGGGAGAUCUGGGAGAUGACUCCUGUCGAGAAACAGUACCAAACGUAAUAUGCGGCGCCGCCACUGUCCACCGGAGUUUAGCUGGCGGUGGCACAGAGAUGAUGACAUGUUCGGGAGAAGGCACUGCAUAACCGGCCUGUUCAAGCGUGAGGAGCUCGUCAUGAGAAAUCGGACAUCUAUAACCCUUGCAAACCUCAUAUUGCUGGAGGUAUGCGAAUGAUAGCUUCUUACGAACAGAUGAUCCAGAUUUGAGAGAGGAUUUGAGAGGUCUGGAAUGCAUUGCCAUCAGACCUAGUGAGUCUCUCCUCUUGGAUGGACUCACAAUAAUCCAUUCAACAUCACAUUUUUUCUUCCAUAUAGAAAAUUCCCGGCGCCAAUUAGGACCACCAUUACCCCAUAGAUGGAAGAAGCACUUAAAAUUUGAACACUUAUAUGAACGAAAAUCCAGAAUAUGAAAGCCAACUUGCAUGCAGGACACUUUGAAAGAGAAAACCGAGUCCGUAAUCUAAGAGACAUGAUCAAUGGCAGAGCCCCCAAUCGCAGAUUCCAGCGUUGCAGCGACAGUAUCCUCAGAGAGACGCAAACAUGACGACCAAAAGAAACCACCAUGAUGAAUGGGCGGCAGUGCUUCAUAGGAUGCACCGGAACGCCAGAAUGACGAUAAACCUCAUCGGCAAAGGCCAAACCAGGAGAAAAGUCCAGAUCCAACGUGGAACCACCCAUGCAAGCCAUGCACGACCACGUGAUCAACCCCGUUUUACCGCAAACAGUCAUCAGUUUGUCCAUUGGACUCCCUAGCCUAUCCAUUCUUGACUGUCCGAUUUAUAUUGGAGGGUCCAGAUAACCCUAGAUCUAACCGACCUACUAUAUUUAUAGAUGUAUCCCUACCCUAAACCUAGUUUCUAGGGAUCCUACACUAGCGCCGCCAGCCACAUCCCAUCGUAGCUGCCACCCGACCAACCUCCUCCUUCCUCGGGAUCUAAUCCCGAUCCAGAUCCUCCCCAACCAGCGAGCUCUCCUAUGUGCGAGCAAACCCCCUUCGCGUAGCCACCCACCCAACGAGCAGCCCGUAGCUGGUCCAACCCAGUGCACCCUCAUGCCCGUGGAUGGGCUCGUCCCUGAGCUCCAGCAGCCUCAUGGCGAUCCUGAGCUCCAGAUGGAGUUGGCCCUGAUCUCGAGCAGCCAGUAGCAGGUGCAGCCAUCGCCAUUGUUUGGAGCAACGUGGUCCCAAGCCUCGUCGGAGAUGCCCAUCGUCCCAGUUCGGAGCUUCCCCGCUCCUCUCUCUCUUACUCCUCCCUGCUUUUGCUUCUCUCUCUCUCUGAGAGUUCCCUCUUUAUGUUUCUUUUGCAGCUAUAGGAGUCAUGGCACCGUCGUUCAGCUCCGCCCCGUCACCACCAGCCGACAACCCGUAGGAGCUCGCCCCGUUCCCGCGCGCACAAGCCCCACAGGAGAGGAUCUCCUCCGUGUUGAGCCCCUGGGCGCCUCCCUUCCUCCCCUCUCCUUUCCUCCUCUGCUCUCCCUCUCUCUAACCAUCUUUUCUGAACCAGGGACAGCUGCACCAUGGAUGGAUUCGGCGUUGACCCAGCCGGCUGCCUCCAAAGCACAACUAGGUGCCGGAUCUGGACGGGGGCAAGUCAGUCAGCCCAUUCCCGCAAACUUCGCUGCAGCCCCAGCUCGCCUCUAACCGCCAGCAAGCCUCGCCGUUGCGUUUGCCUGCUGCAUCUGAUGGUGAGAACCCUUGUGCAUUCGUGGGAACAAGGCCCCCGCGUCAGAUUAGCUCAACUGCCAUAGCGCCCGUAGUUGGAUACAAACACUGCUUUGGUGUAGUGGUUAGCUGCACCAAACUCCAUUCAGUAGAUCCUGUGUUCGAGUCCCUACGACAGCAUUAUUUAACAUGCUUUUUUUGUCUCCUUCGGAUCAGCUGUUGCCAUGUUUUAUAGCCUGUCUAGUCUAAUUUCGUUCAGGGAUGCUUGACUAGCCAAUUGGUUAGCCUCCACAUUUACAACUAGGAGUUGUUGGGUUCAAGUCUGAGGAACCCCAUUUUUUCCCCAUGUUUUUAUUUCUUUUGCACACACAUGCCCACUUGGGCCGAUUUCAGCCCUGGACCACUGCACAAUAGUGCAAUUCGGUCCAUUGUUCUUUUUUUUAAUGUCGUGGGAUUUUUUCCAAUUUCCACGGACUUUGCUAAUUUCAGUAAAAGCUUUGUUUUUCAAACGAGCGUAGUUUCUAAACCGUGCAUUGGAUCGGAGUGAUUCAAAUUUGUAACUUGGCUAGAAAUUCACGUAGAUUAAUAUUUUCCAACUUUCAUGCAUAAUUAGAACUGUUUAGUGUGUUGUUUGCAUCGGUUUGCAUGUCAACGUGUUGAAAAUGGUUUAGGUCGUAACUAUUUGUCCAUAGCUCCGUUGGAGAUGUGCCAUAUAUGUAACUGGACUAGAACGCCGAGUAGAAUCACAUGAACCACUUUGUUUUGCCGUCUAACAAACCUAAAAUGUGAUUAGGACAAAUCUGGACAGAAUCAGAAUUUAACGCGUGGGGUCAUUUCCGGUCUCAUUUAAAAUGCCUAGCUAGGUAGAUUAAUUUGUGCUUCACCCUCGUGCCAUGUUUAACAACAUUUAAUAUUGCCGUGUACCUGAACAGGAGUGAACUAAAUUAGUCAACUGGAGUUUCGUCGAUAUGCAACUCGUUGCACAUCGAGCUUCACUUAAUGUGUAGUGUUUCAUUGUUGUGAUUGUCAUGCCUUGCAUUAGACCGUUCAUGCAUCAUAUGUGUCUUGCAUAGUGUGGUGUAUGUCUGUGUUGAUGAUUGUUUCCGGUUUCCUCCGUCUCGUUAGAGUUCCGCAAGCGUGUCGGAGAGUGAGGACCCGUUCGACUAGAACGGUUCGUCUGCUUCACGGAGUCAUUCUUCUUCCAAGCGGGAUCUCAGGCAAGAUGACCAUUUCCGCAGAUAUCAUUACUAUCAUUGCCAUGCUAGUUUUUACCGUUUCUAUCGUUUAUGUCUUGUUGCCUACCACCUGUUAAAUAUUAGCCUCUCAGCAAUGCCAUGAAGACCUUCAACCUGUUCACAACCUAGCAAACCACUGAUUGGCUAUGUUACCGCUUGGUUUACCAUGUGUUAGCGUUGCUAGUUGCAGGAGCAGUUGCUUCCAUGUGUAAACAUGGGUCCUUGGUAUAUCACCCUAUUAAAUGCUAUUUAAUUUAAUGCACCUAUAUACUUGGUAAAAGGUGGAAGACCCAGCCUUUCUAGCCUGGUGUAUUGUUCCACCUUUGCCCCCCUUAGUUUUGGCUAUCGGUGUUAUGUUCCAUAAUUUAGCGCUCCUAAGACAUCGGGGUUGUUAUGGGGACCCCCUUGAUAAUUCGUUUUAGAUUAAAGCUGGUCUGGCAAGGCCCAACAUUGGUACUACAUUUGCCCAACAUAAUAAUUCUGUUAAUACUGAAAUGCAUAGGGAGUUAGCGCUACCCGAGGAGUAAUUCUACAUAAUACAGGGAGGGCUAGUGCUGAUGGUGCUGGUCCAAAACAGAGCAGCUUACUAACACUACCCGGGGCAACUCGGCGUUUGGCGUGGUAACCAUCGCUCAUCCCUCGUGUCCCGAGAACGAGAUACGCGUCUCCUAUCGAGAUCGUCGACACGUCAGGCGGUGUUGCUGGAUUAGUUUUACCUUUGACGAGAUAUCUUGUGCAUCGGGAUUCUGGUGAUGCUUUGGGUAAUCUCAGAGUUGAGGUUUUCCACUAAGGAGUCCGACGAGAUCGCGAGCUUCGUGAUCGAGGAUUUCUAUGCGGCUUGUGGUAAUUUGUGAUGGACUAGUUGAAGCACCCCUGCAGGGUUAAAUCUUUUCGGAAAGUCGUGCCCGCGGUUAUGUGGCAACGUGGAAACUUUGUUUAACACUGGUUCUAGAUAACUUGAAGUUAACUUAAUUAAAACAUGCCAACUGUGUGCGUAACCGUGACUGUCUCUUUCCUGAGUUCCUUCUCCGAUCGAGGACAUGGUGGGGUUGUCUAACGUAGGUAGGUGUUAAGGAUCAUUCAUUUGAUCAUCAGUAGUCACGUCCGCUAUGCGUAGAUCUUUCCCCUCUUAUUUCUUGUACUCGUAAGUUUAGCCACCAAAUAUAUGCUUAGCCGCUGCUGCAACCUCACCACUUAACCUUGCCUCACCUAUUCAGCUUUGCUAGUCUUGAUACCUUUGGAAAUGAGAUUGUUGAGUCCCCUGUGGCUCACAGAUUACUACAACACCAGUUGUAGGUACAUGUAAAGGUUACUUGACGCGAGCGCGUUGGUUGUGCAUUUGGAGUUGCCUCUUCUUCUUCUUCUUCAUCGAUCUAGGAUGGGUUCCAGGCCGGCAGCCUGGGAUAGCAAGGAUGGACGCCGUUCUUCUUUUCUCGUUUUUUUUCAUCCGUAGUCGGACCCUGCUCUUCUUCAUGAUGAUUAUGUAUUGUACUGUUGUGACUCUGAUGUAGCUUGUGGCGAGUGUAAGCCAAUUCUAUAUAUAUAUCUCUUCUUUUCAGUACAUGUACUGGUAACGAUAUCCAUUCUUGCGAUACGACGAGAUGCGCUUCUAUGCCUGACGAGGCCCUCAUGCCAAAUUGAGGAUAGGGUCGCAUCUUGGGCGUGACAGUAGUAAAAUGAACUGAUUGCUCAAAUGCUCAAAGUUAGCCACCCAAACAUUGAGUCAUUUUCCCCACAUAUCCACUCUGUCAAGAUCCACAUACACAAAUUCGGUGUCACCAACAUUUCCAUAUCGGACCCGCCGAGUUUAACCUUAGACAUAAACCCUAGACAUUCCCACCAAAUCGGUGCAACCAAAACCAAUUCGGUGCUACCGAGUUCAGUGUGAUCAACAUUCUAUUGCAUAGAUACACAAAAUCAGAAUUUCCUAGUUUGAGUAUCGGUGCCUACGAGUUUUGCCAUCUGACCGUUAGUCACCUUUUUGGUGUCACCGAGUUUUGUAUAUCGGUCUCACCGAGAUUCAAAAGUUCACACUUUGUGCUAAUCGGUACCACCGAGUUUUCAACUUCGGUGUCACCGAGUUUGCCCUUUUGUGUGUAACGGUCGGAUUUUGGAUACCGCCUAUAUAUACCCCUUCAGCCACCUCUCAUUCGUGGGAGAAGCACUCAGAACACACACUUCAUUGCCAGAUCCAUUUUUUGAGAGAGAACCACCUACUAAUGUGUUGAGUCCAAGAUAUCCCAAUCCUAUCAUUUAAAACUUGAUCUCUAGCCUCCCAAACUGCUUUCCACCAAAUCAACCUCUCCUACCCAUGCAUAUUGUGUGAGAGAGUGAUUUGUGUUGAGGAGAUUAUCUUUAGAAGAACAAGAUCAAGGAGUUCAUUGAUCUACCACAUCUAUUACCUUUUGGAGGGUGGUGCUUCCUGGAUUGGUUAGGUGUCUCUUGGGAGCCUCCUACUUUGUUUUGUGGAGUUGAACCAAGAUGCUUGUAAGGGCAAGGAGAUCGCCUACUUCAUGAAGAUCUACAGUGAGUAAGGCUAGUCCUCCAUGGACGGAAGCCGUGGAGGAAUAGACAAGGCCGCUUCUUUGUGGACCCUCCGUGGGUGGAGCUCUUCGUUGACUCUCACAGCCGUUAACCUCCGUGGGUUGAAGACUCCACUAACAUGGACGUAUGAUAGCGCCACCUAUCGGAACCAUUCCAAAAAUCGUUGUGUCAACCUCAUGCGUUUGAUCUCCCUACCUUACUCCUCUACUUUACACUUGCAUGUUUUACUUUCCGCUGCUAUACUAUUAGAAUUGCAUGUAGAGGGUGUACUUGACUUGUUAUAACUGUCGUAGCUUCCUCUCAAGUAAAAUUGAGAAAAGGCAAAAAAUUAUCUUGUCAAGUAGUCUAAUCACUGCCUCUAAACAUACUUUCGAUCCUACAAAACCCUUAGCUAGUUGGGUUGUGUGAGUUGUAAACUGUUAGGAUUGUUGUGUUUGUUUCUUGGAGAUCAAUCCAGCCUAUCAACCCGCAUAAUCUUUCUUCUAUAUAUUAAUACGUAACGCGUCCUUGGAAGGCAUAUGCUUAACCUAUCUCUUUCUACAACGAGCUCUAUGAAACAUAACAAUCACAUUAUAGGUUCUGGCGUAUCUGACAAAAAAGGGUUUCCCCCGCUUUAUAUUAUAAAACAACCGCACCAUACAAUCAAAUGACGUGCAAGGUUCAAAUUAAAGAAGACAAGAGAAUUAAGUCUGGCUACGGGUACAACGCAACAAACCCCCAAAAGAAACUACUAUACUAAUCCGGCUCUCGGGAGAGGGUGGGGGCGGUGGAGCCAUGGAGACGGCACGGGAGCAUAGGCCGUUGGAACAAUGUCGAUGAAGCCUUGAUGCCUUCGCUUGCUAAGAGGCCGCCAUAGCUGCAAGAAGCCACAUAGUUUGUAAAUGGCGUCAGUCAUGCUAUGGGGGAUCACAUGCUCAAUGACAAGUUUGUUCUGCACAUUCCAAAGCGUCCAUGCUAGGGCGCUAAUAGACACCCACUUGGCUGGGCGGGUCACACAAGAGUACUCGAGGACCUCACUCAAUAGGUCUGAGAGAUUAUCAUUGGAUCAGUGUCCGCCCUCAACAUCUCGAAAGCAUCCCAAAUGUAAAAUCGCUAUAGGACACCAAAAAAAGAUAUGGUUGGAGCCCUCGGGGGUGUCGCAAAUUGGACACUGUCCGUUGGAGGGACCAUUUUGUUUAAGGACCUCUGUCCCCGAGGGGAGUCUGCCGCGCACCCAUUACCAAAGGAAAAUGCGGAUCUUCAUUGGCACCUUAAUCUCCAAAAGGAGGUUCUUCUCCCGUGUACCAGGGGUGGAAAGCAAGGCCUGAUAGAGAGACUUGGUGCUGAAUGAGACACUAGGCUCAAGAUGCCAAUAUGUGGCAUCUGGCUCUAUCGAGAGGGAAUGCAAGGUGAUGCACUCUAGCAUCUCCUCCCACAGAAGCACGUCCUGUGGACCCAAGGGAUGCGUGAAAGCUUCCUGAGGUCAGACAAGGCCGCCCUUAUAGUAAGUUACAUGUGGGUAGAAAUAGUAAAGAGCGAAAAUAAUCUCUCUGCAAAAAGUCUGUCCCCCGACCAUCGGUCUAACCAAAAUAAAGUGUUGGCACCUGAACCAAUCCUAAUCGAAGAGCCUAUCCGGAAGAUUGACAAUAGCUGGGUAAUGGAUUGACCGAAUUGAGAAGCACCGGUCUUGAGGGCAAAUGUGAGUGGCUGACCAUGGAGAUAUUUGGGACGAAUAAUGUCGAUCCAGAGGCCCCCCUCUUCGGUCUCAAUACGCCAGAGCCACUUGGACAUGAGAGCUAUGUUCAUCCGUUUGGAUGAAAUGACACCAAGUCCCCCCUGGUCCUUGGGUUUCCAGAUCUUCGACCACUUCACCAUGUGGUAUUUCUGUUUAUCCCCUUUUCCCGCCCAAAAGAAUUUGGACUGGUACUUGGCAAUAUUCGGAUGAAGGGAUUCAUGAAGACUAUGGAAUCCCAUCAGAUACAUCAAUAGGCUAGUCAUGGAAGAGUUGAUAAGCACAACCCUAGCCGCCUUCAAAAGCAACCUUUCUUGCCAAGGUUCAAUCCUAUGUUGUACCUUGGUAACAGAUGGACGGAGGUCCUUUUCUUGAAGCUAGGAAUGACUAAUCAACAUGCUGAGGUAAGUCGUCGGAAAGGACCUGAGCUGACAGUUAAGGCGGAUAACUAUACAUUGGGAGCCCUCCGGAGAGUAACCCAACACCAUCACUUCACACUUUACAAAGUUAAUCUUAAGUCCUAACAUCCCCUGAUAGCACAGAAGGAGGAACUUCAAGUGGGAGAUGUCCACAUCCGAACCUGCUACCAUCACGAUCAUGUUGUCUACAUAUUUCAAAUGGGUUAACCCACCCCCGGGGAUGAGGUGUGGGCAGAUAGCCCUUAGAUGGCUAGCCCUCUUGGCGAGGUCUAAGAUCGCCCCUAGGGCGUCCACUACUAAGUUAAGGAGGAAAGGGGAUAGCGGCUCACCCUGUCGUACCCCUUGCAAUGUAGGGAAGAAAGGGCCUACUUCACCAUUGAUAUUGAUUGCGAUGCAGCCACUCGACAUGAGUUGCAUGACCCGCGCAAUCCAACGUGGGUCGAAGCCUCGCUUCGACUAAACUUCCUGAAGGAAUGACGAAUGGACCGUAUCAUACGCUUUGUGAAAGUCAAUUUUGAAGAACACCGCUCGAAGGUGUCUCCUCUUAACUUCAUGAAGCACCUCAUGGAGGACGAGGAUUCCGUAAAGGAUGAGAUGUCCCUUGGUGAAUGCCAUAUGGUUGGGGUGAUGUAACCGAGGAGCAAUCAGGGCCGCCCUAGUGGCAUACCCUUUGGCCAGAAUCCGAAAGAUUACAUUGAUCACCAUGAUCAGCUGGAACAAUGUAAUGUCCACAACCCCUUGCACCUCGGGAUAAGGGAGAUGAUCCCAUAGUUUAGUAGAGAAAUGUCUAGCGUUCCGCAGGAGAACUCGUGGAACACAUGAAGAACUUCUCCCUUAACGGUACACCAGAAUGCAUGGAGAAAAACAGACUGGUAGGCCAUUGGGGCCUGGGGCCGAGUCUGGGUUCAUAGAUUGUAUGAAAGUUUCCACCUCCAACUCCUAAAAGGGACCCAACAGAGCGCCAUUCUCGGCUGCACACAGGUGUUGCUCCACGGGCCAUAUAGAGUCUGUGAUACGUUUCCAACGUAUCGAUAAUUUAUGAAGUAUUCAUGCCAUGUUAGCCUAAAUUUACAAUACUUUUAUAUGGUUUUGAUGCACUUUAUAUUAUUUAUUUAGAACUAACCUGGACUGACGCUGUUUUCAACAGAAUUACCAUGGUGUUGUCUUUGGGCAGAAAAUGAAAGUUCCCGUAACCGCCCGGAACCUUUUUAUACUUUUUCUGGAGGAAAUAAGCAAUAUUGGAGCGAAGAAACACCAGAGGGGAGCCACCUAUGGUCCACAAGCCAACAAGGUGCGACCACCCUAGGUCGUGCCUUGAUGGAUUGUGGGGACCACGUGGCUCCGUUUGGCGUGAUUCCAACGCAGAAAAAAAUCCUGUAUAUACAAGAAACCCCAGAAAUAAAGAGAGAACUUAUGCUCUGCCGCCACAACUCUGUGUGUCGAUGAAAACCCCAUCUGGAGCCUUUCUAGUACCUAGUCUGAGAGGGGUAAUCAUCUCCGGUGGCAAUCUUCAUCAUCCCGGUAGGGGCUGAGAGUGACGCCCCCCCGAUUUGAUCGAAACCUAAUCAUACACCGUGGGGACCCCGACUUAUGAGUCGAAAUCGCCGAAUGAACGUGCUCAGUGAUCCCAGAGAUCAAUACUCACUGAACACACAUAUAUUGAAUAUUAAGUGUCUUACAUCCAAGUACCGAAUUAUUACAUCACGUGACUGAAUGGUCAAAUUCACAAGGUAGGGCCUAUAAGGCCAAAUCACACUGAUACAACUAGUAGCGGAAAUCUUAGGGCUAAGCGGGUGCCCAUGCCAUCAGGCUACACCAACAGGCAUUCUGACUGGGAACCUUCCUAGUUCGCACGGGCGUCUCCAAAGACGUACUCAUCUCCAAACUCCGGUCCUUCCAUGUCUGGUCAAUAAUAUAACCAGUGGCAAGCCAAUGAGUACUAUUGAAUGUACUCGCAAGCAGUCCUUUGACCAUGACUAAGCAUAUGUUAUAUUGCAUGCUAGUGUAGCAAAUAUUUCCGUUGCAUAUGAUCAUAAGUGUCGGUAAACCAUUGAUGUGAUGUUACCGAUGGCUCCUCCGGAUCACAUGCAUUGAGCUUGAUCCUACCACCUCUGAGGGUCAUGCUAAUAUCAUGUAGACAAGUAAAGCUAGAAGUAGUAUUAGAUGAACAUGUUGAUGACAUAAAUCAAAGGUUAUGAAAACCCCGUCGGGUGCCACUAAUGCCCGAGUGUGACGAUCAGUUAGGUGGCCAAUUUUUGUGAAGUGGUGCACCGGGUAUUUGUGUGAGUAUGGUUUCGGAAAUGGGAACAGAUUUAUGAUGUGUCUACCGUCCCAACCUUACAUGUACGACCAUGUUACCCCUUUAUGGGACGACGCUAUGUUGAUUACUCUGGUCGGUGCUAGCAAAGAGCCACAUUACUAGUGGCGGGAGUGAUGUGUGGUCACUCUCGUGAUGGGGUCGUGCUAGGUAGGGAGACUAUGUCGUUUUUACGUGUUCCACGCACACCGUUGGUCCCCGUAUGGUUGAUACUGUCCAAAGUUGGUGCUCGUAAGAUGUACAACAUGUGGGGUGGGUACCAAUCGAGUGGACCUCUUUGUCCAGUAUCGUCAGGGGAAAGGCAUUAAUCGGGUACUUAACUCGGGUAUGUUAUAUACCACGAGUCGUGGAUGACACAGAAGUUUCCCGGAUCUCGUGGGUCCAACGUACUACCUCUAUAGAGUGUAAAACUAUUCGAAUAGCCGUGUCCAUGGUCAAGGACAGUUGGGUGGUGCUGCUUAAACUACGUCCAGUCGUUUCCACGUAAACUAAGUGUGUGUGAGUAUGUGUUAAGUGUUGUUAUUAUGAAAGAUUUGAUAUGACCAAGUGUGGUGACUUGGCAUAUAGGGUGAACCCGGAUGGUUCAACCCUUGACAGAUAUAUUGAUAUAUCUAACCUGUUCUUCAAAAGUAGUUUACUUAUGAUGCAUACCUAUGAUGUAUGCUUGUGUUUGAUUCUCAACAAUUUCUGUUACUCUCCACACUCACCUCCUUAGCCCAAAACUCGUGCCUAAUGAUCAUGCCAUGUGUUUUGGACCAGAAACUAUUUUUACCAAAUAUUGUUUUCACCAAAAUGCAUUUCUUUGAAUUAAGCCUUCAAAACCCCUCAGAUGAGGUUUGUACUACAAGUCCUCAAAUUAGGGAAUUUAUUUUGCACCAAUUAUUUUAUUUAAAACCUAUUAUCAAAAUGUAUUCCAAAAACCACAAUAUUAUUAUUUUAGAAGUUGUUUUAUUAUUUUAUUUAAAUGCCUUUCGGUGAGGCUAGAAAUGGUGUCUUAUGAAGGAAAGUUAUUUUUAUUGCUUUCAAAACAUUUGAGAAAAUUUAGGGAAACUCAGUGAGCAUAUAUAUUCCAUAUAUAUGAGUUUCAACACAUGGUCAUGUUCAAAAUAUUGGGCAAACCCCUUCAAAACCCUUCCUGCCUAUUUCAAGCUUUUGGAAUAUUUCUAUAAGAAAUAUUUUUAAUAAAUUCGAGUAAAAUUCCAGCAUGUCACCUAUGAUAUGUUUGGUGAUCUUGCCAAGUUUAAUCUCAAUCCAAGUUGAUUUGACUCCCCUAAUUAUUCUAAAACCCUUUGUGUCCAGAUCCAAAUUUGAGCAACUCUACAUUGUCAAGUGUCUCCAAUUAUGCUCAAAUUUGGUGGACAUGUUCUGAUACUCCAAAAAUGCAUCCACACCAAGUGGAGCAUCAAGGAGAAUAGAAGAACUUGUCCCAAGCCCCUCAAAACCCUCUCUGUUGAUUUCCGACUUUGGGAAACUUUACAUUGUAAAGUUUAUCCAAUUGACCCCAAACUUUUUGGGCAUGCCUUAAUGCUCAAAUAAUGCCCCCACACCAAAUAUUGGAUUUGUGGGAAUUGAUUUGAAUGACUUUGUAAGCAAAAAGCCAUUUCUGCCCAUUUCAUGGGUUUUCCAAGUCUACGUUGGAAACCUUCUCCCCCAAAUCCCAGAUUUGGUGUCCAAGCUUAUUUUCGUCUAUUAUUUGAUCCUGUUAAGUUUCAUAUCCAGUGAAGUUCAUCUGGUGGCUCUGUCGCUCAUCAAACACCUUGUGUGCAUUCACUUUAUUGGCUACUUUGACCCCUUCCACCUUAACCCUUGAGCUCAACUUUCUACCACAGCUUCAUAUAGUUACAUUUUACCUCCAGUAACAUUUCCAUGGCCACUGGUCAAUUAUUGGAGAGAGGCUCCAUGUAACUAUUCCUCAUUUUACCCUUGACAUCACUAUAUUCACCCCUCUUGCCUCACUUCGGCUUAAGCCAAAGCUUCCAUCUCUUUCCAAAGGACCCCUAGUAUCCCAAGGUAUCUUUUCAAACCAAUAGUUGGCAUGCUCAUGUAGGAAAAAUGAGCAUCACAUCUACAAGUUGAAUUAUGGCAGAAAUGUAGCCUUGUACAGCAAGUACCAGCUACACACCUCUCCCUAAUCUCAAACUUGGCAUUGUUGUAGUCCUUCCAUGUAUAAGACUGGUAGACAAGGUUUCACCUCAAUUCCAUUCGUGUGAAAACCACUUUUACGAGCCCUUAAUUUCCUGCUGGAAUGUUAACCUCAGUCAAAACCAAUUCAAACCAGCUUCAUAUCUAUCCAUACUCUACCAGUGCAUUUUGGCAUGCAUGCCUUGCAUGUGUGACACCUUGGCCUGGCCAAGGGGUGGCCCAUGACAUCAAGUGGGGUGCUGACCAUCUCCCUGCAGUGCAGAAAUGGUGCUCUGCACCUUGUCUCCUUCCUACAGCUCGAUUCAGGCGACCAAAGCUUGUCUCAGCACGCCACGGGAUUCCCGUUGACCAGUCCGACCCCUCCCCGACGCCAGCUUGCCUCCAAACCCCUUCUCGCACGCGUGCUCUCGCCGCGCCCAGAACAUCCAGAGGGCUCCCGAGCUCCUCCGUGUCGCCCCUCUCUUAUCUCCUCUCUCCCCGAGCCUCUGAUGCUCCUGCUCCUCUCCCUCUCUCCCUGGAGCACCCCUAGGCCAUCCAUCUCUCCUCCUGUGCCCUGCGUCCGCGACAAUGGCCGAAGCAGCCGGCGGUCAUCGCGCAAGAUGCGAGCAACCGGUGCUGCCCCUCGCCCCCUGGGCUCUCCGUCGUUUCCUCCCCGUUGCCGGACAACCUCCACAGCGCCCCAUCUCCUCCUGAGGUGUCAAACGCCCGAGACCCGUGAGGGCCGGUAGCAUCCCUCGCGACCGUCCCCUCCGGCUUCGCCGCUACCCUCCCUCGUGGGUGCUAGGCGUAGUAACGGGUGCGGCACGGCCUCCCCAUCCCGCCGUCGUGUCAGACCUCGCUGGAGGUGGCUAGAGGAGAGAGCACCGAUGCGCCCUCGAUCUCCUGCCUCUCCUCUGCAUGAGCAGGAGGAGGGAGAUGAAUGUGACAGCGAGGGCCCACGUGUAAGUGGCACGACCCCGGGCCCGCGUACGUUAAGUGGAGGCGGUUCCCUCUUGGACGCUUCCCCGCCCCAGAGGCGUAAUCCCCGAAGUACACCUUCGGCGUGUCCCUUCGCUACCAGCCCGAGCUGCUGGGCCGGCCCACCAUCUAUCUAACGCCCUGGGAGGAAGAUAACCCUCCUAGGCUGAGCUCCUUUUUCUCUUUUUCCUAUUUUGCAUAUAAAAAUCCAUAUAAAAAUCAUUCUAACUCCAAAUUGUUUGAUUCAAACUCCCGCAGGUUCCUAUAAUUCAGGGCUAUCCAAAUAUGUGCCUUGCACAUUUUUCCCAGCAACCUUUCUAUGGUGUUUUUAUUUAAAUCCAAAUCUGAAUGAUUUAAACCCCACCUUGUGAAAUUCCUAGAGAAUCCAAAUCAGCUCCAAAUGGAGUGAUUCCAAUUUACAAAGACUUAUUAUAUCAUGCCACAUUUUUGAAGCCUUGGUCAACAUUUGUACCAGGCUUUAUUCUGUUGCAUUAAAUAAAUAGCUUCCUAAUGCUAUUUAUCUAGUAUUAGAAAAUCCAUAGAAUAUUCAUUUCAACUCCAAAUCCACUGAAACAACUUCCUAAAUAUUUCUAAAAUUGUUCUGUGUUAAAUGAGUGCCUCCACUCAUAUUUAUCUUAAUAAUUUCUGUAGGCUUCAUAAAGAAUCCCAUACUCCUCCUUUCCUCCAUUCAGAAAUCCCCGAUGAUCCAAAUCUCCUAUGGCAAGUUUCAGGUAUUUUUCUUAUGACCAGAGAGGUCCAAGAAAAAUAUAACUUCUAUUUUUAUAGCACUUUUAUUUCUGCGUGCCGUGUGGCUUACCGUGGUUGUUUCCGACGAUAGUUGCCAGUUAGACGGAGUACUCGGAGUUGGAGCGGAAGACCGUGAAGACCCCGAGGACUUAUGUGAGUAAGGCAAGCAGCCCUUUGACCAUGACUGAGCGUAUGUUAUAUUGCAUGCUAGUGUAGCAAAUAUUUCCGUUGCAUAUGAUCAUAAGUGUCGUUAAAUCAUUGAUGUGAUGUUACCGAUGGCUCCUCCGUAGCACAUGCAUUGAGCUUAAUCCUGCCACCUAUGAGGGUCAUGCUAAUAUCAUGUCGACAAGUAAAGCUAGAAGUAGUAUUAGCAUGAACAUGUUGAUGACAUAAAUAAAGGUUAUGAAAACCCCGUUGGGUGCCACUAAUGCCCAAGGGUGAUGAUGAGUUAGGUGGCCACUUUUGGUGAAGUGGUGCACCCGGUAUUUGUGUGUGUAUGGUUUCGGAAAUGGGAAUAGGUUUAUGAUGUGUCGACCGUCCCAACCUUACAUGUACGACCACAUUACCCCUUUAUGGGACGGGGCUGUGUUGAUUACUCUUGUCGGUGCUAGCAAAGAGCCACAUUACUAGUGGUGGGAGUGAUGUGUGGUCAGUCUCGUGAUGGGGUUGUGCCAGGUAGGGCGACUAUGCCGUUUUUACGUGUUCUAGGAACACCGUUGUUCCCCGCAUGGUUGAUACUGUCCAGAGUUGGUGCUCAUAAGACGUACACCAUGUGGGCUGGGUACCAAUCGAGUGGACCUCUUUGUCUAGUAUCGUCAGGGGAAAGGCAUUGAUCGGGUACUUACCUCGGGUAUGUUAUAUACCGCGAGUCGUGGAUGACACGGAAGUUUCUCGUAUCUCGUGGGUCCAACGUACUACCUGUGUAGAGUGUAAAACUAUUCGAAUAGCCGUGUCCACGGUCAAGGAUAGUUGGGUAAUCCUGCUUAAACUACGUCCAGUCGUUUCGGCAUAAACCAAGUGUGUGUGAGUAUGUGGUAAAUGGAGUUUUAUGAAAGAGUUGAUAAGACCAAGUUGGUGACUUGGCAUAUAGGGUGAACCCGGAUGGUUCAACCCUUGACAGAUAUAUUGAUAUUUGUAACCUGUUCUUCAAAAGUAGUUUUGAACUUAUGAUGCAUACUCAUGAUCAUGUUUAUUUACCACCAAGAGGAUAUCCACCAAAGAAGCAUAUUAUUGUUAUCCUUCACUAGCAUUUGUUCAUAUCAUGGGCUGUUUGCGAGUACAAUCAAAAGUACACAUUGGCUUGCCACUGGUUAUUUCAUUGACCAGGUAUGAAAGGACAAGAUAUGGUGAAGAGUAACUCGGUGACGUUCUUGCGAGCUAGGACGCUUCCGAGUCAGAAUGCCUGUAGGUUAAGGGUGAUGGCAUGAGUUCACGCUUUCGACCAAUAAUUCCUCUAUUGGUCCAGUUUGGUGUGUUGUCCCUCAAGGCCCUAUAUAUGUAAGACUUGACCGAUAAGGUCAUUUGUUGUAUCAAACAGUAUGUAUGGAUGUAAGACUCUUAAUAUUCAGUAUCUGUGUUCGGUGAGCAUUGAUCUCUGGGAUCACUGAGCGCGUUCAUUAGGCGAUCUCGACUCGUAAGUCGGGGUCCCCACAAAGCUGAUAUCAGAGUCACACCCUGUUUUCACUACCACUUUUUUUGUAAUUCAAAAAUCUGAGAUUAUUAAAACUUUUUAAAAACUAAUGUUGUGAGUGGCAUGAUUGUCAUUGUAUUCUUGUAUGCUUGAUCAUGUAAUGAUAAAACCACAUUUCUCAAGAUCAAAUAAUUUCCAAAACCCUUUUGUGAUUUCUGGUUAAGGUAAAACCCUACUUUGAGUUGCACUACAUGCCCUUGAUGGCAAGGAGUGUUCUCACCCGAAGUUGGUGAUCUGAUUCUAGCUCUAUUUUAGUGCACCGAAACCACAAAAUAAUUAUUUUGUGAAUUGUUUUCUUAAUUUAUUUGCAUGUCCAUUUCUGAGGCCAGAAAUGGUAUUCCUAUAUGGAAAAAUACUUUUCUGCCUUAGAAAGAUCUGAUUAAAUUUGGAGAUGAUUAGAAGGAAAUAUAUUUUCCAUACAUAAGAUUUUUAACCCCUAUUUAUAUUAAUAUUAUUUGAGUAAAACCCUCGAGAUCAUUUUUUUCUGUUUUGAGCUUUUGAAAUAUUUCCAAAGAAAAUAUUCUCAAUAAAUUCCUAGAAAAUUCCAGUGGUAUCCCUAAGGCUGGCCAUAGUGGGAGUAACUUAGGUAGUAUCAUGUACUUGGGAAUAGCAAAUAUGUUGAUGUGGCGGACAUUUAAAGAAGAGAGAGAGGGUUAGAGUAACAUAGGUAGAUACCGUAACAUGUUAAAUGCUAUGCUACUAUGUGUCAUGCAUGUUAAUAAAUGAGAUCACCUAUGAUACUAGUUUAUGAUACAAUGCACUAUGAAGGUAGUAUCGUAUGCAUGAUACUAGUAUAUGUUACUCCCCACUAUGAGCAGCCUAAGCCAUAUUUGGUGUCCUUAUAAAGUUUCACCAUGAUCCAAGGUGAUUAGGGACCCCAAAUAAUUGCAAAACCCCUUCUGUCCAGAUUGAAGUUAGAGCAACUCUACAUAGCAAAGUUUGUCCAAUGGAGUUGAAACUUUGUAGGAGUGCCUAAUACCUCAAAUGAGGGUUCCACACCAAAAAUGGGAUUUGUGGGACUUAAUUUGACCACACUCUCUUUGGAAGGAACAGAUUUGGUCAAAUGGUGAAGUUUUCAAGUUUACAAAGCUAAACUUGUCCAAUGGAGCUCAAACUUGGUGAAAUCCCAUGUUUUAGCACCAAACCCAAUCUUGUUAAGUUGCAGAACCAGUGGUGGGGUGCAACCACCCCAAACCACUGUCGAGCACCUUCUGACAGAUGGGUAAAAGCCCCUCUAACCUUAGCUAAACCCCAACCCUUUUCCCCAAACUCUCAGAUUAGGUGGCCAGUAUCAAUGCACAACCCCAGUCAACUGGCCCCUCUCUGGUUCAAAAUCCCCAUUCUAAGCUUCAGCUCAAGGCUGACAACACCUGUUUCUCUUGUCUCCCUUGACCAGCCGAAGCUCCCGCGGGACUUCAACGGCUAGCCUCAUCCCAUUGUGGCACCCCGAUAGAGGGCCGAUGCACAUCUGUCCCCAGGAUAAGACCGGACGCAUGCCAAAGACAUGAAACAAAAAUUCUAGGCAAAAGUGGCUUUAUUAAUAUAAGGGAGUAUUACAAUGCUGUUGCUUACAACAAUAUUACACAAAUCCAAGGCUAACUAAGUGGCAUCAGAGGUCUUGAUACAUCGGCAACGACGUCCCUGGCUGGGCUCCAUAACUCGCAGGACUGACCUGGUUGCAAUCUAGCACGACGAGUCUUCUCCUGCAACUGGCCACGUGCAAUGCCAGGUGAGUACUUUGAAUGUACUCGCAAGACAACCAAAUACAUGGCAUGCAAACAAGCAGAUAACAAAGCAAGCAUAAUAGUUAUAUAAUAGCUAUUCUAGGCAUGGCAUGGAACUAACAGGAAAAAUAUAAAUCCAGCAUAUCAUGUCAUGGACUAAACCUAUAAUCUAUCUUACUAGCAUGACAAAGAUCACCACAAGUCCUUAACCAACUUGUUGUCACCGAAUAUCAACUUACUCUCUUCAGGGUUGUACCACAACCCUCAACAUACUCGUAAUCCAGUCUAAACAGACUCAAAACCACAUCACACAGUCAUCUGACCAGUCAUCAUAUAGCCAUCUCAUGGCUAACACAUCAUGUUGGCAACAUCCUCUGAUGUUCACACGAGAUGAGUUCUUCCAUCAUUACUAACAUCAAUAUGGUUGACCAUCUACCGAGGUCUGGUCGGGCUGUCCAUUACAAUAGACUCGGCUAUUCGAAUAGGUUUGACACUUUGCAGAGGUUGCACACUUUACCCAUAUUAUGGAGCACUGACUUCGAGAUCCCAUUCGGGUGGACCAGCAUUACUGCAACGAAACUUGCCUGAGCCGUGACUCUUUCAUCUUACCACCGACAAUCGUCCUUCCUCGGAGUCCUGCUCCGGGUGGCCCUGUGUCCUCAUGACACCUGCCACCGUCAUGUCCAAACUAAAUUGUCCCAUCCGGGGACGUCGGCACAAACACCUCAACUGACUCACAUGGUUAUCACCGCCUACCUGAUCGGGGUAGCACGCAUGCAUAACCCUCCCUCUUUGGAGGUACAGGUGAGAGGUCACGCGAUCAGCCCAAGACACGGCCGUCCCACAACGGAAAAUGUGGUUGCACUGAUGGGCUCGGACAGGUGACUCAAAUCAACCAACUAGGUAUCUCAUCCUGAACAUUAUUUGUCAUGGCUGACGCUAUGAUGUUACAGCAAUCCGAUAAUUAAUCAGAUCAUGCCACUACCAUAUUCAUAAACUCUCGGAUGAAACACAAAGAAAUCAUAGACAGUAAUCUCAACAGUAUAAUGUAAAUGGCAAACUAUUACUUUUAUAGAAUCUAGUUAUACGGUAGACCUUCGGAACCCUCGCAUAAAAUCGGCAAAUAGAUCGAUUGCCACCAGAACGGUCUUUACAACACAGAUCCGGGACAUUACCGGAGUAACUCAACCCCGACUCAAGACAGCUGGAAAGCAGCUCAGAGCGUGAGGCGGUGUUGAUAAGAAGAAAGUAGCAGUUCCCUAAGACGACCAAAGAAAAGCUCAAAGCAUAGGGUCACCGCCACGGAAAGAAAUUAAACAGUUGCCCGCGAUGGGCGAAAAGCAGCGGAGCACACGGGAGAGAUGCUGACAAAGGAAAUAUNNNNNNNNNNNNNNNNNNNNNNNNNNNNNNNNNNNNNNNNNNNNNNNNNNNNNNNNNNNNNNNNNNNNNNNNNNNNNNNNNNNNNNNNNNNNNNNNNNNNNNNNNNNNNNNNNNNNNNNNNNNNNNNNNNNNNNNNNNNNNNNNNNNNNNNNNNNNNNNNNNNNNNNNNNNNNNNNNNNNNNNNNNNNNNNNNNNNNNNNNNNNNNNNNNNNNNNNNNNNNNNNNNNNNNNNNNNNNNNNNNNNNNNNNNNNNNNNNNNNNNGAUUUAGGCAUAUGAAGGCAUUUUCAAAGUUUCAUACCAUUUGCAAAAAUAUAAAUGGUACUUCCUUCACAAUGCUCCAAUCUGGACAGAAUCUUAAAUAAUUCACUUAGGAAGAAUGGAGUGAUGGAAGGGGCUAAUAUUUGGUGGACAAGGAUGAUUUAUCAUAAUGAACUACUAUGCAAAAUUUCAGCUCAAGGGACACAAGGAAUCAAGCACUUACUUUGCAAACAUAAAAUGUGGACAUAAUCUGCAAAGGGAUAUUGUGCUCAACUUUUGAAC
rnacentral:lncRNA from 1 species